rnacentral:lncRNA from 1 species
CAAGACUCCCCAUUGAAUUAUUCAUCUUCAUGAUCUCCACCCCAUUCAAAAUACCAUCAACUCCAUAUGCCAUGGUCUUGUUGGUAGGUCCAACACUAACACGCAAAACCCCAGAGCUAUCAUCAUCAACAACAAAAUCCACAUAAAACGGAGAAGCCAGCGUAUAUGUAAUAGACGAAAGAUCUAAAUCUUCAUAUGCCAGGUACCCAUUAACAUAGACAUUAAAAUGUAUCAAACCAAGCGAUAUGCUAGCAAUAUCACAGAAAUGCAUCCUAACAAGAUACUUAUAACCCUCAUCCACUGGAAACUCCCAUGUCAUAUUAACAUUAAGUACUGAGCCAUUAGUGUUAGUAAUCACUCGAGCAGUCUUGUACACAAAAUCAGGACCUACUUCCCUGCUAGCCCCUCCAAUUUGGUAAUGAAUACGACCACCAAAGUACAUCCGUUUCGACAAAUCAUUGCUUGAUUUCAAAAACUCAUAAUCAGGAAUCCAUGUUCUCCAUACAGUAUCAUUAAAAGGUGUCACCUUUGGACCUCCAACAUUGAUCCUAUGCACAGUUUCGAGUGCCUGCUUGGUUAAUCCCACAAAUUUCUCAUCUUUAUUACCAUUAACAAGAAAUCCCACAUCAGCAAUCAAAUCUUUAGGUGCAGAUAUCACUUCAAUUGCAUUAACAAAACCAUAAUUACCCUUCUUUGCAGGCACAAAAUUAAUCACAAUCUUAUCAGAAUCAGCCCAUAUAAAAUACUCCUUAACUACGAAGUCCCUAACUUUCCCUACACUGAAAUUGCUCAAAGCAACAUAUCCAUUAACCAAAACGUGAAAUUGAGCAUCGCUUAAGUCCAAAUUGGAAGAAACAAAAGCGUGAAAAUGAAGCCUUACCAUAUGAGUCCCUGGUUCCUUAAUCUCAAAAGCAUAUUUUGAAGGUUUUUUGAAAAUUCUUGCGGAGUUGUAGAUUUGGAUAGAAUAAGGAGAUGGGCUUUGGUUGGUGAGCGGAAUCGUUUUUGCUGAGGAGAGAAGUGGCGAGUUCGGAUUGGAAUCGGAGAUAAAACGGCGGUUGUCGACGGUGGUGUCGACGGUGGAGCCACAAGAAAUGAGGUGGUUGUCUGUGGGAGAGAAGCUGGAAAGAGAGAGGGUGGAGAAAAGAGAGAGGGUGAGAAUCAAGAGAGAGAAAGUAUGGAUUCUGUGUGAGUUAGUCUCCUCCAUUUGAGAGAGAAAUUGAAGAAUAGAGAUUUCGGACAGUGAAGAGGAAAUUAAAGAGCUUUUGUUUCUAUUUUUGUGAUCGUGAGUUAGGGACGAGUUGAAUUGGGUUUUCGGGACAUUGUCAACGCGUCAUUUGGUGUCCGCGUUUUGGUUAUGGCCCCACUUUACGUGCUAACCUGGUAUUGAGGUAGAGCCAGCGCGUCGCUCUUACAGUGUUGGGACCCAACCAGGCUGGUUUAACUUGAACCAGCUAUUGGAAUUUGGCUGCCUUUUCCUUUCCUUUCCUUUUUUUUGUUUUUUUCCUCUUUUCUGCCAAUAUCCCAAUAAAUCUAUUUUUAGUUUUAAUCAUCUGGGUAUUUUCAUACCAUCUUUUUUUUUUUAUAAUGAUAUUUUUUUUUAAGUUGGGUUACUGGUUGGGAAUUUACUCUUAUCAAUUCAUGUUUUAUUUUAAAAAAAAAACUCUUGAAAUAACAAAAUUUUUAUAUAUAUAAAAAAAAUCCAAAACAAGUCUAAGUAAAUCUGGUUUUAACCUAUGAUUUCACAAAAAUUAUUCCAGUCAAGUCUAUUUUACAAAUGAUGGAAAGAUUCAAACCCGGAAUCGUAAAAUUUAACAUUAAAAACAUGGAAUAUUAUGUGAUUGGCAUUACAGAUUUAUAGUCCUAAACAACAAAUUAAUUUACUUUCUAGUGCGGUAAACCAAAGCAAAGUAUAAGGCUUCCAUGUUUAGGAUUGUAAUAGUGGUUGCGGUUUAAAGUGUUUUUCACUUAAAAAUAUAUUAAAAUAAUAUUUUUUUUAUUUUUAAAAAAUUAUUUUUGAGAUCAGCAUAUCAAAACGAUCUAUAAAUAUAAAAAAAAUUAAUAAAAUUUUUUAUAAUUUAAAGAAAUUUGAUUUCAACCGCGUUUUCAAACGAAUCCACAACGCAUACAAAAGUGAUUGCAGUCAGGUAUCUAUUAAAUGAAAUUGAAAAAAAUAUAUACAUGCAAUUGGAUCGAUCACAAGAGAGUUAGUGUUCACUCUUGAGCUCGGGAGUGAGAGAGAAAAUGGCGGACAAGAAGCCAUCAUCUUCUCUUCUCGUAGUUUCAUCCAUAGUUUUUGAACUCGGUCCGAUAGCUAGCUAGGUCCAAGGCCCGAGUUCCUGGUUUUGACCGGGUCACCGGGUUGUCCAGGUCAAUUCCGUUUUUUUAAAUCAAUAUGAAGUCAUUUUAGUAAAAAAAAAAUCAACGGGUUGCAACCGGGUUUUUGACCGGGUCUUGCUAGGUCAACCGGAUCACCCCAAGUUUUCUCUUUCUCUAUUUUUUCUUAAACCCGGUCCGGUUCCCACCCCGGAUCCCGGGUCGCCCUGCCAAGUCGGGUUUCAAAACUAUGGUUUCACCCCCUCCACCCUCUCUCUCUUCUUUCCAAAUAGAAGCUAGUCUCUGUAUUUAAUUUAAAUGGAGAAACGGACUAAAAUGUUAGAUUACAAGAUCUUCGAGGAUGCAAAUAACUCCAAGAAAGAUAGAAGGAUGAAUACUUCUAAGACUUUGUUAUUUGUUUUUUUUUUUGUAAGAUUAUUUGAGAGGGUGAGUUAGCUUAAUUUGAUUUGAUUUUUUUAUUGUUUUUUUUAUGAAAUUAUUAAUUUUUUAAAUUUUAUUUCUUGAUAUUGAAUUAUUGUCUUUAGGUUUUGUGAUUUUUUUGCUUUUUUUUUUAAGUUAUUUCGAGUGCAAGUUAAUCCAAGUAACUUUAACUCAUGUUUUUUUUUGCUGUAUUUUUAUUUAAAUUCAGUUUUUUUUACUAAGUUUUUUAAUUAAAAAUCUAAUAUUUUUGUCUUGAUAUUAUAUCAUAUGAGAUGGAUAGUCAGAUUGAUUCGAGUUCACAUGUUUUUUUCUUGGACAUUACAAUUUUUUUUUUAUACUUAUCCUUUAACAUUAUAUUAUUGAGCCCUUCAGUUUUGUGUUUUUUUUUUUUUGUUUUCUUACCUCGAGUUAUCUAAUCUAGUUAACUCGGAAUUAGCUAGUUUAUCAUUAUCUGUAAAUGUUUUUCUACGUUAAAAACAUUUAAUGACCAGCGGUGAAGCUGGACACUAAUCUAGUUAAUACUACAAGUUUAUAUACCACAGUCCCAAUAAUUCAUAGCAGAACACACCACUAAACCUUUUUUUUUUUAAUUAUCAAUAGCGAGGAUUUUACUCUAAAAGUUACAAAACCUUGUGUAGCCAAAAUAUAGAUCUGGCUAAUUCUCAUUUUGGUAAGCUGAUUCUCAUUUUGCUCGCCUGUAAAAUUUUGAUUGCAGCACAGGUUUAGGGUUUAAGGAUGCUUCUGUUUUUAAUCUUCUUCCUCUUCCUCUUCUUCUUUUUAUAAACUUUACAUUUUAUUAUUUGAUAGUUAAAACUUAAAAGUGCUGUUUAAGGUGGUUUAUUUUAGUUUUUAGACCCAAAUUUAUCUAUACUACUUUUAAUCUCUUCAAGUAAGUUUGUCUGAUUCCUAUCUUUUUAUUUUUCUCUGUGUUUUGCAGGUUGAGAGCCUUUUGACAAGUUCUUGGUUGCAAAUUGGUACUAAAUUUUUUGUUACAUUUUAUUUUUUUGAUGAAAUGGUUUAGUUGAAUUCAUCUCAUGCUGUAAGUUGCUAUCAUGGCUGGACUUAGGUUUUCUAUGCUAAAAAAGUCUUUCUGUAAUUCCAUCAACCCCACUUCACAACGUCAAUCGCUUCGAUUUUAUAAUGUUAAUGGAAGUAGUCUAAGAUCAGCAUCUGCUAUCAUAAAUCGAGAUUAUUACAAAGAUGAAUCAAAAUUGGCUGGAAAUCUGUCAAAUAUUAUAGCUAUGAGAUCUGAUGCUUGUGUCAAUAGCCAAUGUUAUAAGAAUAAACCCAUGAGAGGAUUUUUGUCAACUCCGUCAAAUGUGUUGCUUCGAAGUGCUGUUCCUUUCUUUUCAAUGAACCCCGGGUUGAGCUGUAGAUCAUUCUCUUGGUCUUCUGGUGGCAAAGUUGAUAAAUCUGGGGCUAGUGAAGUUUCAGCUUCUUCCAGUGGAAGUGAUGUGGACGUUAGUAACAGUGGUGGUAUUGGAAGUGACUGGAUUGAUAAGGUUAAAGAAGCUUGGCAAAGUGCAGUGCAUGCAGUAACUUAUUCUGAGCAAAAGGCUAAAGAGAUCUCCGCUGAACUGACCCCUUAUGUUCAGCAGUUGCUUGAUUCGCAUCCAUAUCUUAAAAAUGUGGUUGUUCCAGUUGGUUGGACUUUGACUGGUACUGUUGUGGCUUGGGUGGUUAUGCCUAGACUUUUGAGGCGAUUUCACAAGUAUUCUUUGCAAACUCCUGUUGCUUUACUAUCUGGAGGCACAUCUGGUGAACAAAUUUCAUAUGAGAAGAGCAUUUGGGGUGCUUUGGAAGAUCCUUUAAGAUAUGUAAUCACCUUUAUGGCAUUUUCACAAAUGUUAGUAGUUCCAACUAUAAUCCUUUCCACUUUAUGAUAUGUGAAUGUUCAUAUUUUUUAUAUAUAUUUUUCAUUAGGUGACUAAUAUAUUUGGACUCUGAUUUGCAGUGCUGUGAUGGUGGCACCUACUACAAUUGCUUCUCAGUAUAUAGCACAAGCAUGGAGGGGUGCUGUUAUUCUUUCUUUUGUAUGGUUUCUGCAUCGGUGGAAGACAAAUGUGUUUAAUCGUGUGAUAGCUUCGGCAACAGUUGAUCGGGAAAAGCUGUUAACUCUUGAUAGAGUUUCUUCUGUUGGUCUUUUUGUUAUUGGAGUGAUGGCUUUAGCUGAGGCUUGUGGGGUUGCAGUGCAGUCUAUACUGACUGUGGGUGGCAUUGGAGGUCAGUGUUAGUAAAUGGCUUGUGCUUUUACACAUGCAGUAAUUGUGAUGAUAGGAAUAUUUGGCAUGGAAAAUUCUGAUAUUUAACUAAUCUUCUGAUUUUUUAUUCCUGCUCGAUUUAUGCUUCCAAAUUCCUAUUUAUUUGUGAUUGUAGUGCAAUCUUAACAUUCUAACAUUUUUUUUUUGAAACGCUUAAUGGAUUUCUUGAAUGCACACGUUAACUCUACAAGUUCUUAAAUCAAAGUUACUUCUCUAUUCCCUCUCUAUCUGUUGACUUCCCUUGUCACUUAGUUUUGGCGAGCAAUACGGAAUUGUUUUUGCCAUUUUUUCUUUACACCUUAUGGAGACUGUCCUACCAAAACUUCAUGUAUUUGUAACACUGUUUGUUCUAUUCAGAAGCCCUCCAUAUGAAUGGAGGGAUACUCUUUAGUUAUGUUGUUGGGACUUUGGUCUGCUAUUUUAGUUAGUUUUUUUUUUUUUUUUACACUGGUGGCUAAAAAGACUCAAGUCAUGUUAUUUGUUCACCUUAACAUCUUUUUACCACUUCUUUUUUCACGUGAAUGCUAGUUAUUGCUUGAUAGUUUUACAUUUCUCAUUGAAAACUAAAGGGUAAAAUGUAGAGUGCCCCUGUACCAUUGGUCAAAGAACAAAGAAUCUCUAAACAAAAUUAGGGGUAAAAAUUAGUCUUUCUGGUAAAUGACGUUAGGUUUUCAUCCAAUUUUUUUAAGGUAAAAAGUGUCAAGCUCCCUUAUACUAUUGGUCGAAGCGCAAAUAAUCCCUGAACAAAUUAUUCAACUGAAAUCGGAUCCUUCUAUAAAGUGGACUAUGGUGACACGUGAUUUUACUUAACCCAAAUUGGAUGGAAACCUAAUGUCAUUUAGCAGAAGAACUAAUUUUUACCUCCAGUUUUGUUCUAGGACUGUUUGAGCCGAAUAGUUUGUUCAGGAACUCUUUGUGCUUUGACCAAUAGUACAUGGGUCCCUCAUACAUUUUACCCAAAACUAAAUGCAUCUUAUUGAUGAUAUCUCAAUCUAGACCACCCAUUCACUUUUCUCUUAGGGUCAAUCCUAUGUUGUAUCGUAGUUUUGUGUUUUUGUAAUCAUAUAAAAAAACCUGAUUCUCUUAUUAUUAUAAAAUUAUGUAGGAGUUGCUACUGCUUUUGCUGCCAAAGACGUCCUUGGGAAUGUGCUCAGCGGGUUGUCUAUGCAAUUUUCAAAGCCCUUUUCACUUGGAGAUACAAUAAAGGUGAGAACAUGUCAUUGGUCCUUUGUUGAUUGAAGUUUUUGUCUUUGGAUAGUGAAAAGUCUUUAUAAAGAAAUAGUCCAUGAGUAAAGAUCAAAAUUAUGGCUUUCUGUGAAAAGUUCUCUGAAGUUUCUUUUCACAAUGUCCAAGAGCAUUGUUUCACCAGACAUCCAUAACUUAAUUUAUGUUUUUAUUUGUUGUUACUUUCCCGCUGUUGAUCUUGUAAUGAAUUAUACUGCCAAGCACCUUUCAUCCAGCCCCUCAUUACUUGUGGUAGAGCAUGUUAGGAAUGAGCAUGAUAGUUGUGUAGAUAGUAUCCCUACCAAUUAUCUCUAUCAUUUUUAUUUUUACGUGCAGAUAUAUAUUUUGUUACCAGAAAAAGGGUAUCUAUCCAUUCUGAUUCUUUAUUCGUCAAUACUUGUGAAAAAUGGAAGAGAGGCUAUUCUUCCUAUGCAUUUGUAAUAAUCUCAGCAAUUUUAGGCAAGCCCAUUUGUCUUGUCCCUUUUCUCUUUAAAGAGUCACUGAAAUUCUUUGAUUGCAGGCUGGAGCUGUAGAAGGUCAAGUGGUCGAAAUGGGACUUACCACCACUUCAUUAUUGAAUGCUGAGAAAUUCCCCGUCUUAGUUCCAAAUGCAUUGUUUUCUAGUCAGGUAGGCCAUUUUCCUUACAAGUCAUAUUGUAUUUUUUGGGAAACCAUGGUCUAAAGCUGUGUGAUCAUGGACUCUAUCUCUGUUUCUGCCAAGGAUAUUUACAUCACACACCUAGUUGCUGAUGUCAUCAUAUUCAAGCCUUAUAUUUCCUUUUUCUUAUGCUUUGAUUUGGAUGUUGAAGUUUUCAGUGGUUGAUGGCUCAUCCUUAAUUUUUGAUUGAUUUAAGUGGCCAUAUGAAUAUCCAUCAUUGAUUCGGUUCUCUGACUGAAACUGUGGGUGUGUGUGUUUUUUUUUUAUUUUUUGAUAUGCAUCCACUCAGAUACCUUACAUUAUCUAAAGAAGCGUAUCAUCUCUAUCUUUCUCCCACAUAUAUGUGUCUUCCACAGUGCAUUGCACAUGUGCACACACAUUAUAGUGGUAUCUAAUAACGAGCUGGCAUCUUGAAUGCUUAUUCAGGAGCACCUUCUUUGCCAUGUUUAUACUAAUACUGUUGCCUGAAUAAUCUUUGAGGACUGACAUAUAAAGUUAUAGGUAAUUGUGAACAAGUCUCGUGCCCAAUGGCGUGCGAUGGUCUCCAAAAUUCCUGUGACAGUUGAUGAUGUGGAGAAGAUACCCCAGAUAUCAAAUGACAUCAAGAACAUGCUAAAAUCUAACGCAAACAUUUUCUUGGGAAAGGAGGCUCCUUACUGUUACUUGUCUAGAAUAGAAAGUUCAUUUGCAGAAUUGACUCUUGGGUGCAAUCUCAAACAAAUGGUAAGCUCGAAUCUUCCCCCAUCGAUUCUUUCUACUUUUGAUGCAGGACAGAAAAUCGACCAUUAUGCUUGCAAAUGAGCUGUGUUCACUUGCUGAUUUUCAUCUGUACCUGGCUCUGAUUCUUUGAAAUUUGAACAUCAUUUAUCUAGUUUGCUGUUAAUUGGAACUGUCUUCUGUGCUUGUCUCUCUAGUUUAAAAGACAUGUUGACCAAGGAAUAAAGACAUUUUUUUUUAAUAGCUGUCACUGCUCUGUUGGCUAAUAAAUGCGACCCUAGUCCUUUAUAACCUUCAAUGAUAUCACAUAAGGAUUCUGGCAUCAAAUUCAGUUAAGCUUUGUAGGGCAGAAUUGUAUUUAUAACAUGUCCAAACACGCGAGCUUGAGGGUUCAUAUUGUUGAUGACAUUUCCAAAAUAUUGCCAUACAAAUAUAACCAAGGCAAUUGCAGAGAAGCCAUUCCCUUUUUUUGUUUGUUUGCAAGGACCAAAUGAACUGCUUAUUCAUCUCUUGAUGCUCACCGUUGAAUAAAAGAAGAUUGUAGUCAUUGAUCUGGUUUUCUUCUCAUGAAGCUCUGUUUUGAAUCUCAAUACUUGGAUGCGUCGUCCUCUCAAAGAGUCCAUCACAUGUCAGCACAUUUUUUACCAUCCUUUUCUGUUAUGCUAGUAUAUGUUUAUAAUCAUGUGGUAUGGACUAAGGCUUUAUUGUUGUUGUCAUCACUGUUUUUACUAAUAGAUGUUGUACUGCUCUGAGUGCAGAGCAAAAAUGAAUUAUACUCCACGGAGCAAGACAUUCUUCUGCAGUCAGUCAGGAUAAUAAAGGAGCAUGGUGCUAGAUUAGGCAUCACUACUACCAGUCAGUGAUACAGUGACAAUGCUGGUAAACGAGAUUCCGCAUGGUGAAGCUUGGACCCUUCUCUACACGCACUCAACUUGAAUAUCAUACUGUGCAGAAACCUGUAUCAUAAUGUUGAUUCUUGUGUUCGAGUUGUUUUGGUGCAUCUGAAAAGAAAAAAAAAAAACUGUUGUGGUGUAACGGCUGACAAGAUGCAAACUCCAGUCGACUGAAGAACAGGUUUUCAACUUUCUUGACCAACAGUAGUUGAAAGUUUUGAAUCCAUUUGUUCAGCUGAAAAGGUAUCAUUUCUUUCUUUCUUUCUUUCUUUUUUGUAAAGAAAAAACCAAAAAGUCAAAACAUGCUUCAUGAGGAUUAUUCUAGCUUUGUGUAGCGAUAGACUAUUACAGCAGUCGUAAAGAGCGUCGAAUUCAAAUACAGCCUUCUUGAACCGAAAUAACGCAUGCAGAUGGUGUAGCAUGCUCUGAAUACAACAUAUUAGUGCUUAACAAAGACAUUAAUUAUGCAUUUCUAUACUGUAGCAUGUGUAACACGCCCAAUAAAUUGAAUUGGAUUUGGAUUGGUAACUAAUAUGGGAUAUUAUUGAAUUAAAAAUUGAUAAUUACAUUGCAUUUUUAAAUAGAUCUAUCACUUAUUUGAAUUUUUAUUUGCCAUCGACAACUCUUUUUUGUAUUUUUUUAAUGCAUAUAGUUUUCUAUUAGUUUUUAUGAACACAUUGAUAAAGCUUUUGAUGUGUAAUUCAGAUUUUUAUAUUGUCAACUCAAAAUUUAACACCGUCCAUGUAUUCUCUCUUUUUUUUCCUUACAAUUGAAUCGACUUCUCAUCUAACUUGCAGAGUAACGCGGGCACCUACUCUAUCUAGUAAAUUAAGAAAUCUCGUGCUUAUUUACAAUUCAAGCAACAAAACAAUCAGAAAAUCAUCAUUGGAUCCACUUCAGCUACAAUGUAAAUCAUUGUUGUUAAGGAGAUGAACUUUCAGUUCUCGAAAAGGGUCAUAAAACUGAAAUCUAUUGGGCAAGAUUAAAAUAGUGGGGGUAAAUUAAAUUUCAUUAGAAACCAUUGCAUCCAUUCCAGUCUGUUAACUGUAUUAUUUGAAAGUCGUAUGAUAUUGAUGGCAAAUCACUCAAGCAGCCAACAAACUUCUUCGAACCAAAAUCACUUGAUGCCAUUGUAGGAGUCCUGAUGCAGCUUGUGAUCUCCAAAUAUUGCAUCAGCUUCUUUAGUUCGAACUCUCGGUUUCUCUUCCUCCUUCGACACCAAGGCCUGUCUUGGUCUGUCCCUGCUAAAUGAUCCAUCUUCACUCCUCUCUAUUUCCACAGCCAGACCCUUCUCCACCAAAGCCGUUGCAUUCAAAGGCUGAUCAAUGAUGAAAGGUAAGAGAAAGAGACUGUCCGAAUUGCUAAGUUUCAAUCACAGAAGCCCAUGCAGAGUGAAACAAUGGCCCUCCAAUGGAUGAAUGCAGGGGCGGAACUGCGUAUUUCAGUCCUAAAAUAUUUAUAGUUUUUAAUUAUACCCUUUAAUUUUACAUGUUCGGCACCCCAAAAAUCAAGUAUAUUCUUUUUCGCCCCACCAAUCUUAAAUUUCUAGUUCCGCUCCUGGAUGAAUGUGCUAAAAUUUCAAACUGGGGAACACAAGCCCCUGCUUUGAUAUCUUGUCAUGAAAACCUACUGGCAUAGCAUCAAGAUCAUGAACAGCACAACUGGGUUUUCUAAGGGCCCAUAAAAAUGGCAAUUCAAAUAGCACUAUCCCAUGAGCAAUCUCAAAGACUUGUCUUUACUCAGCUUGCACUCCCUACCCACUCCCUACCAAACCCUACAAACUGUUAGCACAACACAAUCUGACAGCAAGCAUUGUGAGAAUUCAAUGGAGAGAUAAGAUUGAAAAAGCUACUGGAGUAAUAAGGCAGAACUCUCCUACGAUGCUGCCAGUGAAUGCCUACAAAAUUGGCACCUUUUGCUGGAGAAAAAUUAGGGAUAAAGAUGCUUCAAUGACAACAAAUUCAAGUCAAGUCAGAAUGGUAUUCUAACAAGAUAAAGAAACUGCUGUGAUUCUCCUGAAACUAAAAGGAUUUUAUGAUGAUAAAUCCGGAUGCCACUCCAUACCCUUGUCCAUGCAGAACAAGAUAACUGCUAUCAAUCUGUAUAGAAGAUAAUCCCUAUUCAUUAGCUCUUAGAAUCCUUGUAAAUGUCAUCUUCAGUACUCUUUAAAUACCCUCCUACCAUCACUGUAAAUAUAUUAAGAGAUUUAUUGCUGUAAAAUCUAUGAAGCAUUGUGUGCUCACGUUCUUCAUAAAUAAAAACAGAAAAACAAAGAAAGUCUCCACUCACAUCUACAGUUUUCUUCUCAAACACCCCUGAUUUGGCCUUCUGUUCACCGAGCAACCUAAAAAUUUCAAUCCAUGAACCAUCGGUGAUUUCUCUUUCUUGCGAUUUCACCUAAAAAGUAAGUACAAAAGCAGAGAAACAUGCAGGGAAUGUGGAAUUCACGGCGAUGUCAAUGGCCCAAUGGGGAAUGCAAUUGAUAAGUAUCCAAUCAGGUGCUUGAUCAGCUAUUAAUUGCCCGAAGGUGUGUUUCAGGAGAUCAUAGGCAACGUUCAAGUUCCGAAUUUUCUCAAACGGAAUGUCUAAGCAGUUUCAUCACUACUGGACAAGAGUUCAUUGUCUAAAGAUGGCAUUGGAAACACCACUAAGCUGAUCAAAAUCUCCAGACUUGGAGGAUAUUUAGGGUGUCUUCGGAUGUUUCUUGGAGUUGACAUAAAGGAGAGCUUUGGCUAAGUCUACAGGGAGCUGAAAAAAUGGCAUCAUGUGGCCAAGGCUAUAUAAUAAGCUGAAAAAAAUGGCAUCAUUUGGCCAAGGCGCAGUCCGUGGAAGCACGACUACAUGAUGAUCUUUGGCCAUUUCUGUUUGGAUAGAAUUCAUGGACAUAGCAGAGACCUAAUUACAAAUAUAUGGAUUUAUGGAACACUGAAAUACCAAGAAGAUAUUGCUAAGAAUAUUGGAAUCUGAUUUUUCGAUGAGGGCUGCUAUCUCAUUCUAGGCUGAUCCGCUGAAGGACUCAUCUAGCUCAGUUAGAGUCUUACUUCAAAUCAUUUCUUUGUUUCUCAUCGUACACCAAUUAAGUUUUGUAUAGUGGUUUACAAAUUAAUACAGAGCGCAGGAGCCCAUGGAUUCAUUAUAAAAACAACUAAAUGCAGCAUAAUGUCCGUUCCAAAAGCUAUUUUGAAGAGGUUUCAUUACCAAAAAUGAAGGUUUUUAUUCCAUAUUUCAAUACUUGAGAAUAUGAAAGCACCUAAAUAAAAUCUCCAGCAUGGGUGAUGAUCAAAUCUGCCUUGCGAGCUGUGGCCAUGUCCUUCAAACAUCCAUCUCUUCUUUUUGAGAAAAUCAACAAACUGACCAAUAUAGUAAUCCUGAUGCAACUUCUGGUUUCCGAAAAUCGCAGCAGCUUCACCUGCUUUCUCCCUCAAACUCUUUCCUUCCGCGGAUACCAUAGCGAGUUUCAGAGCCUUGGCUACACCAUCCCGGGUAAAUGACCCAUCUUCCCCUCUCUUUAUUUCCACACCUGAACCCUUCUCAACCAAAUACCUUACAUUCAAAGGUUGGUCGAUGAUGAAUGGUAAGAUAAUAAGGGUACGACCAAACUGCAAGCUUUCAAUAAUAGAACCCCACCCAGAGUGAAAUAAUGAUCCCCCAAUUAUUCUUUAUAAAUUUUGUUUCUCCUCGUCCGCUUUCAGGUUUCACAGCGCCCCGCGUCAUCUCUCCAAGCUCUCCUCUCUUUCUCUCUCUAUUUUAUCAUCUGUAAAAAAAAAAAAAAAAAAAGAGUGACGGGGAUCUUUUUUUAUUAUGCAUGAAAAUUGCAUUGUGUAGGUGCAUGAAAUCCAGUACAGAUGUAAAGCCAACGGUUCAUCCAAAUGAAAUAAAUGGGGAUCGGUGUCUAUGGCUGAGAUUUUGUGGUCUUGGGCCAUGAAAAUUUAAAGGCACAUGGGACGGAAGGCUUGAGAAUUGAUUGCUCCAAAUCCCUCUGCUCAUGUCUUCUCCUGAUGAUCCUUGAAAAUGGAAUGAGUUUGCGCCACAAAUUCCUUAUGGAUAAAUCUCACUACGCAAACAAUGUUUUCUCCACCCCUUUUAAUUUCUUCUUAACUUAAUAAUAAUCUUAAAAUCUUGAUUAAUUAAUUAAUAAACACAGGUAAAUCACAAUGAUGGGAGAGAAGGGAACGGUAUUAGUGACGACAACAAUACAGUGACGUGACUACAAAAUCCUCAUUUUAAUAGAUUUUUCCAAACAAGUCCCAAAAGAACAGACAAGAUCAUAUCUAGUACUAAACACUAGAUUACUCGGUUAAUACACACACUAUUAAUUCUUAGAUUAAAUGAGAGUUUUUUAGAUAUUAUUUUUUAAAAAUCUCAUUUAAUCUUGACUUUGUUCUAUAACCAUUUUUUUUUAUAUUUUCUUUGGUUACUUUGCUGCAAUUGUUUAUCUUUAUUGCCAUACGAUUAUAUAAAAAAUAUAUUUUUUUAAAUGAACUUGUUAAAUUUAGUUGAGUCUAUGCCUCGUGCUAUGGAUUUGACGAGUCAACUUAAAUCAAUUUAAUAUAUCGUUGUCUUAAUAUUUUUUUAAAAAAAAUAGCAUGUGUCUUCAAAACAUAACAAACCAUGUUUUAUUCUAAUCUUUCAUUUUACUUCUGAUUUGUCAAUCAAAUCAAAUUAGAUCAAGCUCCUAACACUAUUUAAUUUAAAAUCCAAGUUAAGUGAGGGUUCGGGUAAAAAAAUUUGAAAAAUUAUCAAUAGAGCCGGAUUUAAUAGUACUCACGGAAAGUUUUUAGUGAUAAUGUGGAAGAAUUGUAUUAUUUUUAUGUUUUUUUAGUUUAUUUACAUUAAAAUUAUUAGAAUUUUGAAUUUUAAAUAAUGAUUAUAAUUUUUUUUAUGUCAGAAAAUACGCUUAGAUAUUUUUUAUAUUAAAAAACAAAAACCAUACACAGCAUAUCGCGGGCCUAUAUGGUAUGUACCAGGAUUGUUUAAUUAAACCAAUACCAGAAGCUUGUGAUAUUUAAUUUGUUUUGUCGCCAUUGCAUAUCAUUACUCAUCAUCAAGGGUCUCCAUUUCCAACGCUGGCGAUUGUAUUCCAAAUUCCCAUUUGACCAUCGAGUAUUAAUAAUUUACUUUGUCGUUUAUUUGGAAAGAUAACAUUUUUAAAUUGUUGAUGAACAGUUGUUGACGGAUCAGACACGGCAGCUAAUAAUUGGUUUUUAUAUUCUAGGAAUGUUUUAUAUUUCAAGUUUCAACCAGUGAAACGGACCGGCAGUCCGCGGAAAGAUGACUGCGUGAAGAUCUUUAGCCAUUUCAGCAUGGGUAGAAUUGAAGGGCAUAGCAGAGACCUAAUUACAAAUAUAUGGAUUUAUGGAACUCUGAAAUACCAAGAAGAUAUAUUACUAAGGAUAUUGGAAUCGGAUUUUUCGUUGAGGGCUACAAUCCCAUUCCAGGCUGAACCGCUGACGGUCUAAUCUAGCUCAGCUAGAAAUGAAGUCUUUAUUUCACGUAUUUUCUCUCUGUUUCUCAUCGGACACCAUGGUUUGCAAAUUAAUACAGUGCGCAGGUGCUCAUGAAUUCAUUAUAAAGGCAGCUAAAUGCUGCAUGAUGUCCAUUCAAAUAGCUAUUUUGAAGAGGUUUCUUGACAAAAAAAAAAAAAAAAAACUGUUUUAUUCCAUAUUUGAAUACUUGAGAACAUGCAAGCACCUAAAUAAAAUCUCCAGCAUGGGCGAUGAUCAAAUCUGCCUUGCGAGUUGUGACCAUGUCCUACAAACAUUUCAUUUCUUCUUUUUGAGAAAAUCGACAAACUUACCAAUAUAGUAAUCCUGAUGCAACUUCUGGUUUCCGAAAAUCGCAGCAGCUUCACUUGCUUUCUCCCUCAAGCCUUUUCCUUCCGCGGAUAUCAUAGCGAGAUUCAGAGCCUUGGCUACACCAUCCCGGGUAAAUGACCCAUCUUCCCCUCUCUGUACUUCAACACCUAAACCCUUCUCAACCAAAUACCUUGCAUUCAAAGGUUGGUCGAUGAUGAAUGGUAGGAGAAUAAGGGUGUGACCAAACUGCAAACUUUCAAUAAUAGAACCCCACCCAGAGUGAAAUAAUGAUCCCCCAAUUGAUGGAUGACCCAAGAUUUCCAUCUGUGGCGCCCAUCCCAUGCAAACAAUCCCUCUAUCAGAUGUCCUUUCACCGAAUCCUGAAGGCAGAGCAUCAAGAUCAUCGUUGGCCCAACCGGGUUUUCGUAAUGCCCACAGAAAUGGCAAUCCAGACAACUCUAGCCCAUGAGCAAUCUCAUAUACUUGAUCUCUGGUUAGCUUAUACUCGCUACCAAAGCCUACAAACACAACGGACUUCGGCUUUUGGUCAUCAAGCCAUUUAAAGAUUUCACCCCACCUCCCAUCAGUGAAUUCCUUUCUUUCUGGCUUCUCCUGUGGCAACAAACCUACUGGGAUCACGGGUUUUCCUAUCACCCUUUCAAAUAGAUUCAAGUAGUCUCCUUCAAACUCGGCACAGCUGCGUACCGCCAAAGCUUGGCAUCCAUGGAGUAUCUUGGAGACCCUUUCACCAUCCGUGAUCCCAGAAGCAUUUCCUUUAUAAAUCCAUUCAAAAACUCCAACAGCCUCAUGGUUUCGAUAAGCUACCGAGGAGGGAAAGUCAACCCACUCUGGUUUCGAUGUCAUACUCGUCCAUGACGGCCUAAGUCUUUUUUGACCAUCGCCAACUAAUAAGCACUCUGGGUGCCCAAGAAACACAUAUGCAACAGCAGAGAAAACAGAGAAAUGAAUAAGUGGAACUUUUUUAUCUCUAGCAAUCUCUACCAUCCAAUAAGGAAUCAUGUCAAUGAUUAUCCAGUCUGGAAGUUGAUCGGCGAUGAACUGCUUCAAGGGGUGCUGCAGGAGAUCAUAUGCAAUCUUCAGGUACUCGAUUUUCUCGGCAGGAAUGUCAACCGUGGCCUCUCCAUCUUCUGGCAAGAUAUCAUUGUCUAAGCUUGGUAGUGGAAACUCAACAAAUUUCACCAAGUCUGCUAGACUUGGAGGAAUUUUAGGUAGUCUUUUGAUGUUUCUUGGGGUUGAAACAAAGGAGACUUUGAUUCCAGCUUUGGCUAAAUCUAUGGAAAGUUGAAAGAAAGGUAUCAUAUGGCCAAAGGCAAUCCAUGGAAGCAUCACUAUGUGAAGUUUCUCUGCCAUUAAUUCAAGGUAUGGAGAAAAAGAAGAUUUCCCAGGCUAGGAAAGGCAAACCUGUAUAAAUUUUAGAGUAUUGAGAAAGGAGGUUUAAGAUCAGUAUAUAUGGACUGAAUAUAAGAGCCAAUUAGGACGGACAGUAAGCAGAUUUCAAUGAGAAAAGCAAAACUUUACCAGCUUGUCUGUAGAUUAACGAGUGAAUCUUUCAGGGACUUCAAUGAUUUUUAAGUUUCGAAUGGAAAGCACUUCCGAUAUUUAACGAGCCAGGGGGCCAACCAAGUCUCGAACGUGAACUUCAUGUCCGAUUUUUCUUCUUUUUGACUGUACAGUACUUCAAUUAAUGGUUACUUUUUUUUUUUACAGAAAAAUAAAUAAAAUAUUUAUAUUUACAUCAUUCAAUUAUAAAAGAAACAUAAAAUAAAUAUAGCCAAAAGCCAUGAGAGAAAGAACAUUUGGUUACACCACUGAAAAAAUAUGUAGUUACUAUAGUGUUCCUUUUCCCAUGAGAUAAGUUUUCAGUCAAGUAGGGAGUGGUAGGGAUCUUGAUUAUGUCACAGAUGGAAUUAGGGGCGCUGGCCGGGAAAGCGGCCAUUGCAAGGAUUUUGUUUUCAGUCACCUCUUCUAAUAAAUUAGAAUUUUAGCUUUAAAAAUAGAAAAUUUUUAUUUCUGACCCCUCCUAAAAUUUUUCUCUAACUUCGCCCUUCCAAACUAAAAUUCAUAGCUCUGCCACUGCAUGCAUAAUGCAUUGUGUUGGUUUCUAUAUAUAUAUAUAUAUAUAUAUAUAUAUAUAUAUAUAUAUAUAUAAGUAAAAAUAAUAAAAUAAAAAUUAAUUUGAAAAUUUUUAAGAUCUCAUUAGAUAAAUUUAGAGUUGUUUAAGGAUUUAUUAUAUAAAAAUUUGAUCUUUUCGGCUUUGAAUAGUUUUUUAAAAAUUGGGUUGUCGCAAACCACAAGUUAUUCAAUUGUCCAGCCUCUAACGGUAAUCCACGCAAUCACCACUGAUAAAUCUCCUAAAUUUUUAUUUAGGAGAGAGAAAUUGUUAUGCUUAAAGUGCUAGUUUUCUAUUAUGUGACUUAUGUAAUUUUUUUUGUCUAACAGACAACCACCUUAAAAAUAAAAAAACACAGCUUACUAUUUAUAGAGAAAUCUGAAAAACCAUAUAAAUUAUUAUGAUCUUGAAAAAAGAGUUUUAAUAAAAAAUAAAAAAAAACAUGGCCUUAUAAUUUUGAUGUGCCUAUAUAACAAAUAAAAGAAAUUAAUUUGAGAAAACUAUAUAAAAAUUUAUAAUAAAAAUAACAAAUUGAUAUUUUACUCUAGUUAAAUAUUUAAAAAAUAUUAAAAAAAACCAAUUAUGUACAUCAGGCUCAUAUAGAAUAUUCAUAAAAUAAAUAUUAAUAUUGCAAUAAAAGGCUAUAAACUUAUUUGAAAAUUAUAGCAUAAAUGGAUAAUUAUUUAAAUAUCAUUUUAAUAAUUUUAUUUUAGAAGAAUUUCAUUAUAAAAUAUAUGAAAAAUAAAACAACUAGAUAAAAAAAAAUGAAAAGCUAAAAGAAUCAAGCUCGAACCCGCAAGCAUGACUUUUUAGAAAAAGCCAAGCACUCUUUUAGUCUAGCCUACUAGAAGAAUCUCAGCGCACCUGGUUUUCUUUUAAAAUCAAAUAGAGUCGUUCACUUGAUAAUUUCUUUCAUAUAUAAAAUAGAUGACACGUCAUAUACUUUGACGAACGAACGAAACUAGUCAGAACAAAUUUUCACCAUAAAAAAAAUCAAGGUUCGAAUAUUACGGACCCCUAAACCCAAAAUUUCAACAUAUUUCUUUAUUAAGAACACAUUGAAAACAUACUUUAAACCUUCAUAACCCAAAAAAUCAAACUAAAUUAAAACCCUAUAAAUUUUGAGAAUUCUGAUAUUUUUUUUCAAUAUAAUUAAAGAUUCAAAUCAUUUCCAUCAAAAAGACGAACCCUCCUCCAUGUUUAAGGGCAAGUUUAAAUAUAAAAAAAGCAAGUUUAAAUAUAAAAAAAGCAUGACUCGAUAAAUUUUGAGAAAUUGUAUGUACAUAUAAAAUAAUAAUUAAUUCAAUAAAAUAAUAUAAAAAAUAAUAAAAUAAAUAUUUUAUUAUUUCUCUUUGGGUCUGGACCGGUUCCAAACCGUCUCUUUCUUUUCUGUAUGUGUACGAGAGGCGGGACGGACCCGUGACUUCUGCGUACCACCCAGGCAGGGACGGAGUCAGGGGGUGGCAAGCAGAGGCCCGGGCCCCUGCCCCUGCAAAAUAUUUUAAAUUUGUUUAUUAUUUAAUAUUUUUAAUUUAAAUAAAUAAGCUUUUUAAUAAUAUAUAUUAUUAUAUUAAUUUUAGCCUCCCUGUAAAAUUUACCUAGCUCCGCCCCAGCACCACCCAGGGAUAGCGACUGAAGAGAAGGGGUUCUGUCUCCGACAUAGGAAGGAAGGAUUCUUAUAAACGUUAGCAGGUCAUACUUUCUGCUAUCGACACAGACAGUGGCAAUCGCAGCUGCAUUUCUCGAGAGGUCUCUUCCCACCAUCAAACCUUACCAGCCCUUGACAUAUGAGGAAUAUCGCGUGAGUGAAAAGCCAUCUGAGUCGAGAUCACAGCCUUCUAGCCCUGUGCUAAAGCAAAAGGGGCCUCCUUCUACAUGAAAAAUGAAAAAGACUUGUCGGAAAAUAUCGCAUAAAAUAUUCAUGAGAAUUAUUAUUUUUAAAAAUACAUGUUACGUUCAUAUAUAAUUAAUAAUAAUUAAUUUGAUAAAAUUCUAUGAAAAUUUUAUAGAUAAAAAAUAAAAAAAUAGAUAUUUUAUUCUUAUUAAAUAUUCAUGAAAAAUAUUUUUUUAAAAAAAUUACAUGUUAAGUUCAUAUAUAAUUAAUCAUACUAUCAUCAUAAAGAAAUCCAAUAUUAUUUGAAAAGUAUGGCAUCUCAAAUGAUUUUUAAAAUUAUUGUAAUUUUCUUCUUUUUUAAUAAAUUAAAAUAUAAAAAAUACAACAAUUAAACAAAAGAAAAAAAAAACACAGAGAAUCAAGCCUUGGGUUUAGAAAUCCACAUGCAUGUCCUUCAAAAAAAGUCCAAGAUGAGUCUUGACUUUGAAGAGCAAGCCAGUGCACCUGCCUUUAAAAAACAAAAGCAGGGGAGGACAUCUUCUCUCCUGCAAUAAUUUUCAUCCACCUAUGGUGACCGAAUAUAGAUCUAACUAGUUAGAUGAACUGCGUGUUGUUGCAGGUUUUUUUUUUUUAUAAAAAAUAUAAAAAAAAUUAAAUUCUAAAAGUUUUAGGUUUUUUUGCAAAGUUAUAUUCGAGAGUUUUGGAUUUGACUACAACGCCUAACCCAAGAGUAAUAUUUAUAAUAUAAUAAUAACAUUAAAUUUGGAUGACCCAAGUUUAAGUGGGUCUGACUGCAAUACCAGAUCUAAUAGCCUUGGAUGUGGGUCUGGCUGUAAGGUCGUAUCAUAAAAGUGUGAUAAUUAAAUAGAUUAAUUAAAAAAAACAUAGAAAAAAAACCAACAUGAAGAAAAAAACUAAUGAAGAAAAAAAUUCUGAAUUAACUGGGUUAACCCUUCAAACCAGGUUAACCUGUCAAAUCUUGGAUUCGUGUCGUGAAAGUUUGAUAACUAAAUAGAAAAAAAAAAUUGACGGGUUACCCAGAAUUAACUGGGCUAACCCGUCAAAUCCAGGAUCCGUAUCAUGAAAGUUUGAUAACUAAAUAUAAAAAACUUUAACUUUAACAAACUAAAUUAAACAAAAAAAAUUAAUUAAAAAGAAAAAAAAUAAAAUAAAAGGCAUCAGCAGGGGGUGGCAACAAAUAAAAUAUUUAUAUUUACAUCAUUCAAUUAUAAAUAAUUAAAAUAAUUUUUGCCAAAAGCCAUGAAAGAAAGAACAUUGGAUUAGAGCACUGAAAAACUAUUUAGUUACUAUAGUGUUGUUUUUCCCAUGUGAUAUUUUUUCAGUCAAGCAGGGAGUGAUAGGGAUCUUGAUUAUGCAUGCAUCACAGGUGGCAUUAGGGGGGCUGGCAGGGAAAGCGGCCAACGCAAGGAAUUUUUUCUUCCACUCACCUCCUUUAAUAAAUUAGAAUUUUAGUUUUAAAAAUAUAAAUUUUUUAAUUCUAACCACUCCUAAAACUUUUCCCUAGCUUGGUCCUCUGAAACUAAAAUUCCUAGCUCCAUCCCUACAUAAAUAAUGCAUUGUGUUAGUAUUGUUGGGUUUUUUGAAUAUCAUACACGCAGAAAAAACAAUGAAACAAAAAAUAAUUUAGGAUCCUCUAGGAUACCUUUAGACAGAUUUAGAAUUGUUUAUGAAUUUAUUAUCUGAAAAUCUAAUCUUUUUCAACUUUAAAUAAUUCUUUAAAAGCUGGGUUGUCGCAAAUCACAAAUCAUCCAAUUGUUCAGGUUCUAACUGUAAUUUAUAUGAAUCACUACUAAAAAAUCUCCUAAAUUCUAUUUAGGAGAGAGAGAUUAAUAUGCCUGUAGUCCCAACUCUCUAUUAUAUGACUUGCGUAGUUUUUGUCUAACAGACAACCAUCUUAAAAAUAAAAGGCAUUAUUUAUUAUUUAUAGAGAAAUCUGAAAAACUUAAAAAUUAUUAUGAUCCUGAAAAAAGAAUUUUAAUAAAAAAAAGAACAAAAAAAAUGGCCUUGUAAUUUUGAUGUGCCUAUAUAAAAAAAAAAUUGAGAAAACUAUAUAAAAAUUUAUAAUAAAAAUAACAAAAUUGAUAUUUUACUCUAGUUAAAUAUUAAAAAAUAUAUAAAAAAUAAUUAUGUAUAUUAGGCUCAUAUAGAAUAUUAUUAAUAUUAUUUGUAAAAUAAAUAUUAAUAUUGCAAUAAAAAGAUACAAAAUUAUUUGAAAAUUAUAGCAUAACUGGAUAAUUCUUUAAAUAUCAUUUUAAUAAUAUUAUUUUAGAAGAAUUUCAUUAUAAAAUAUAUGAAAAAUAAAACAAUUGGAUAGAGAAAAAAAUGUGAAAAACUAAAAGAAUCAAGCUUGAACCCGCGAGCCUGGCCUUUUAAAAAAGAUCAGGUGCUAUUGAGUCUAAAAGUGUUGAAUAUUAGUCUAUGAAAAGUUUACAGAUAAAAAAUAAUAAAAUAGAUAUUUUAUUUUUGUUGAAUAUUAAUGAAAAAUAUUUUAAGGAAAUUUACUUGUUAUCAUUAAAAAAAUCAUACUAUUAUCAUAAAAAAAAAUCCAAUAUUUUUUGAAAAGUAUGGCAUCUCAAAUGAUUUUUAAAAUUAUUGCAAUUUUUUUAUUUUAAAAUAUAAAGAAUAUAACAAUUAAAAAAACACAAAAAAAAUCAACUCUAAGUGUCACUGGCUAGACAUGCUUGGGUAAAUUCCAAGAUGCGUCUUGACUUUGAAUAGCAAGCUGCACUUGCUUUUUUUUUUAAAAAAAAAAGUAGCGGAAACCUCGAGGAAUGUAACUUAACUGAUCAGGUUCUGGGUUUGCUCUUUAAAAGUUACAAGUUAAAGUCCUACAAACCUCAGGAUCAUUAGAGGUUUACAUGGUCGUUAACUUUAAAGCUCGUGAAAUUAGUUGAGGUGCGCGCAAACUAACUCGAACACCCAUAUUAAUAAUAAUAAAAAAGUAGCGGGAGCACAUGUUCUCCUGUAAUAAUUUUGAUCCAUUUUCCAUUUCCGUAAAAUCUAGAUUUGAUUUUUUUACCUCAAAAUAAAAAUCUUAAUUUGUUUUGUUUAAAAACAUCUAAAAACAUCAUAAAAAUCUCCAUAAUUUCAUAACAUACUUUAAUUAGUCAAUAAACUCAAAAUCAAAUUAGACUGAAAUAAACUUGUUGAAUUUCUUUUUUUUUUUAGGCUCAAACCAUCAACAUUGAAAUCCUCUCUUCAAAAUGAAUAUAUUGAUACUAAAAUCAAUGGUUUUUUUUUUUUUUUUUAUGUCUGGCCAAAAAUUCCCUCUCUCCUCUUUCUUUUCUGCUCUAUCAAUUAUUGGAGACUAGAAUAUAAGAGAAAUAAAGUUUUAUAACCAAGAUUUAAACUUUUAAAACUAUAAGGAUUAAAGUGUAAAAAGAUGUGCCUUAUAAACAGUGCUAAUGAAUAAUGAAUGAAUAUUGUUUUGUGCAUGCAUGAAAAGCGUGACUUUAGUUUUUUUUAUAUUUAUUUUACCUUUUAAUUUAAUUUGGUCAAUCUUUAAGCUUUGAAGUUUGAUGUACCAAUUAUGAUUGUAUAUUAACUAAUAAGGUAAAGGUGUGGGUGAUUCACUGUUCACCUACACCCAAAUCAUCGUGAAUUACAGCAGUAAUUUAAAAUAAAUUCUUUUUUUUUUCAACUUUUCUUGUUUUUUGUUUAUUUUUUAUUUUUUUUUCAAAAUUACUUUUCUUUUUUUUCCAACUUUUCCUCUCUUUUUUGUUUAUUUUUUUAAAAAAAUUAUCUUUGUCGAUUUUACUUUUUAAUAUUGAGCUGAUUAAAAAUUUCGCUCUGUAAUUCUUUUUCUUUAAAAUACUGUGGAUUACUAUGGUGUUUUCCUACAUGGUUUUUCUAUUUUAUUUUUUUAUUUUUCAAAAUUAUUUUUAUUGAUUUUAUUUUUUUAAUAUUGAGCUAAUUGAGAAUUUAGUUUUGUAAUUAGAAUUUUAAAACAUUGUUGAUUGCUACAGUGUUUCUCCGCAUGGUUUCUUUUUGUUUUUGUUUUUUGAUGAUUUUCUCCGAAAUUAUCUUUUUCGAUUUUAUUUUUUAAUAUUGAGCUGAUUAAAAAUUACAGUUACAAUAUGUGAGAAAAACACUGUAACUUUCCUCGCAAAUUACUGUGAAUUGCUUUGGUGUUUUUCCCACAUGAUUUUUUUCCAGUUUUUUUUGUGUUUUCUUUUUCUGUAAUAUUUUUUUCAAAAAUAUCUUUGUCGAUUUUAUUUUUUUAAUAUUAAACUGGUUAGAAUUUAACUUCGUAAUAAAGUUUAAUCAUGUGGGGAAAGCAUUGUAACUUUACUCACAAAAUACUGUGGAUUGCUAGAGUCUCUCAACACGGUUUUUUUUUCUUAUGAUUUUUUCAAAAUUAUCUUUUUUAAUUUUAUUUUUUUAAUAUUGAGCUGGUUGAGAAUUACAAUUACAAAUCAUUACAAAUAAGGCUAAAUCAUGCGAGGAAGCACUGUACGUAGCUUUCAUCACAAAACACUGUGAAUUGCUACAGUGUUUCCUCCAUGGUUUUUUUUCCUGUUUUUUUAUAAUUUUUUUUUAAAUUAUCUCUGUCGAUUUUAUUUUUUUAAUAUUGGAUUUAUUGAAAAUUUAACUUUGUAAUUUUUUUUUUUAAAACACUAUGAAUUGUUACAGUGUUUUCUCAUAUGAUUUUUUUCAAAAUUAUCUUUGUCGAUUUUUUUUUGUAAUAUUGAGUUGGUUAAGAAAUUAUAAUUACAAUAAAGUUAAAUCAUAUGGGGAGAGCGUUGUAGCUUUUCUCACAAAACACUGUGAAUUGCUACAGUAUUUGUCUAAAGAUGGAACCUUCAUAGAGAUUCUGCUCUGAAAACUUGAGAAUUAUGCUGCUUGUCCUCUGUCUUACACUUUCUGAUGUUGUAACAAAUCUGAGAUAUCAGCUCAUUGAGCUCUACAGAAAAUUGUAAGCAAAUCCAAUAUACACUAUGUUUCUUAUCUCUUCUUCUCUCAGAGAACCUGGUGGAUUUUAUGUAAUAAUGUUGUACAUCAUAAUCAUGGGAUACCUUCCCAACUGCACACCACAAGUUGAUCAGAUAAUUCUCACGAAUCUGGAUUGAAGUUUACAGAUUCCCUCCAGAUGAGUUCCUUGAUGUUUUCUUCAGUAAAAGAUGGUUGCUCAAAAUCAAAGCUGAAAGGCUUUGGGCAAACAGGCUCCUCAUUGAUGCCAUGAAGAGGUUCCAAGUAUGGAUGGCACAGUGCCUCAUCGACUGCAAACAGCAAAAAGGUCAAAUGUAAUCAUCGGUCAAAUAAAAGCUUCUUUGAUGAGAAAAUAUACUCAAUUUUGAACAUUCUGAUAUAAUUUCAGAAUGUUGAGACAUGCCAUAUUUUACUCUACUAGUUUGCUAAUAUAUGUAAUUUCGCUUCAUUAAGUAAUAGCAAUUAUCUCAAAUAUUAUUCAAUGAAUGCACUUAAUUCCAGAUCAAAUGUGUAGCCAAGAUUGCAGGAAAUGUCUCAUAAAGAUAAAAACAACAUAUGAAGCUAUUUCCGUAAUUAAUUCUUGUUUUGUCGCAUGAUCAAUGUCAUGUCUAUCCCUGAAUGUUCAACUUUACCUUACGUUUAUAGUCAUUGAUUUUAAAAAAUAAUGUCACAAACUAGUCCUUGACAUCACUAUCAUGCCUCAUUUUUACCUGUAAUACGCCUAUUUGGAUCAAAGACCAGCAUUUUCUCCAACAAUUCGACAGCACCAGCAGACAUGUUAGGAAAUCUAGCAGCAAAUUUUUGCCUCGGGUAUUGCGGAAGCUGCCUAACAUAUCUUCGAGCAUUCUCGCUUCGUAGGAAACCAAGACUGAAGUCGUCAGGUGAACCUAUGAGCUUUUCAAAGAUAAAUGCACAAGGUAUCAUGCUCGUAGUUUGAUAACAAAAAACUGAGCAGUUUCAUACUAUCAACAAGCCUGCUAUAUACUUCAACCUCUAUGCAUGCUAACAAAAGCUAUAAAGUUGCACCCCACACAACAGACAAAAGAACAAACCAAAACAUAACUGACAAAACAGAACAGAAGUUACACUGAUUGAAGCACAAGAUACUACAUUAUCACCAUAAUUGACCAUGAAAAGGAGAAGGGAGGAUCAUUCUGAUUCCCAAUCACUUCUCUUUGUCUCACUAUUGUCAGUAAGAUAUCAUCACUGCCAGAAAAUUUUCAGAAUUCUCCCUAAUUUUGCAAAAAAAAAAAAAAAAAACCUAAAUGGCCCCCUCAAUAAAAAAUUUACAAACUUGCCCCGAAAUGUCACAUCCUAGAUUCAUCCCUGGUCGUUACAUUCAGUUACCAGAUUAAGAAUCACCAUUAAUGCAAUUCCUGCCAUUUGAAUAAAAAGGCGGGAGGGAAGCGAGAGAUGAGUCUCUGACUCAUCAAUUUUGGAAAAAAAGCCAAAGGGCAAUCAUAAUUGUCAAUGCACAUGACUUUAAAAAGCUACAAUCACGCAUGAGUUAAUGAAAAGAGUUAGGGCUUUUGAAAUGAAAUUAUUUAGGGCCUCCCGUCCACAAAUGAUGAGCCAGAUACUCAAAAAACACCACAAGAUUACCCCAGGGCACAAUUGCUGGACAAUUUCAAAAUCACAUACCUCUGUAAUAAGCCUCAGCUGGUGAACAUAGUCUUUUCCAGGAAAUAAAGGUUGCCCAGUCAUGAUUUCACCAAGUAUGCAACCCACUGACCAUAUAUCAAUUGCUGCAGUAUACUCAGAGCAGUUAAGGAGUAAUUCUGGUGCCCGGUACCAUCGAGUGACCACAUACUCGGUCAUGAAAUCCGUUUCAGAUGUUGUCCUUGCAAGUCCAAAGUCUCCAAUCUUAAGGUCACAAUUAGCAUUCAAGAACAAAUUACUGGGUUUUAGAUCACGAUGCAAGACAUUUGCCGAAUGUACAUAUUUAAGCCCUCUUAACAAUUGAUAAAGAAAGUACUGCAAAGAAACAAUUUAGAUAUCAGUGAAAAUCAAGCACAUAACAAAGUAUUUGUUAAUUUAACAAUGCUUGCUCAUAAACAAUGAUAAUUUCCAAUUACAGCAUAUGUUAUAGAAAGCAUUUUAUUCAGUAGCAGUCUCUGGGCAGCAGCAUGUAGCCAUUUCUUGCCUCUCUUUGGUAACUUUUGUUUUCUUCCCUGGGAACAAAAGGAGAGAGGAGAUGGAAAGGGGUGAUAGAUGUGAUGGGUUGGCCUGUAGGAAUUAGGGAAACAAGAGAGAUAGAAGAACAGUGAAGCCAAAUGAUAGUUGUGAUUUAUUAGAGACAUUAUCCCGCUAAAUUCCAAAAAACUAAGAUAGCCAACUAAUAAACCUAUUAGCUCAACAAAGGCAAACAAAAAAUGAAAGUCAUCAUGUUAUGAUUGUGAUUUAGUUGAAAAUAUGGCAUUUAUUCAUAGCUAAUUUUAAUGUGUUUUUCAUUUAAAAAUAUAUAAAAAUAAUAUUUUUUUUAACGUCAAUAAAUUAAAAUAAUCUAAAAAACACAAAAAAAAAUAAUAAUUUGAAGCUAAAAAUAUAAAAAUUAAAAAUUAAAAUCACAAUCUAGCCGCACAAACAAACACCCGCCUAAAUGAGGAAGUAUAGCUUGUGCUGCUUAUCAUAACUAGUUGAACCAUUUUGUCAAAAUUUAACCUGUAAAGCUUGAAAUAUGCAGCAAGCUAAAAAGUCCAGCUAAAAGUUAAAAAUAUCCUAGAGAAAGAUAAAAAUAAAUAAAAAUCAAAUAAGUAACCAUAAGAACAAUAAUAUCUAAAAUAACUCCGCUAGCUAUGAGUAUAAAUUACUUAUAGUAAACAUGAAAACCAAGAAAACUUAAUGGAGCUAACCCGACAAUGAUCAUCUGUCAAUAGUUGGUUGGAGCGUAUUAUUUGAUGUAGAUCCGUGUCCAUUAAUUCAUAAACAAUGUAUACAUCAUUGAAGUUCUCCGUCUGGGGAGGCCGGAUGAUGUCUUUGAUAGCAAUAACCUGAGGAGCAGUAAAUGAUUAGCACGACCAUAGAUACAAAAAAAAACACCAUAGAAACAAUAAAUUAGACAGGUUCUGCGGUACAACGUCAGCAAGCACCCAUGCUGUGUAUGCUUCUAUGCACGUAAUUACAGAGUGUUGACAAACUAGUCUCAAAUGAGGAUAAAAAGAAGUCGAACAAAUAAGUUAAGGAACUUAGCAAUCAUGAUAAUCUAGUCAAUCCUGAGCUACCAGAGCACAUGUCUAAAGGACAACGUCGAAUACAAAAGAAAGUUGUGAAUCAAAUGAAUCCAAGGUAACUCUAGUCGACCCAGCAACUGGCCUCUGAAUCACCAAGAUCAUCAUGCUUUGUGAAAGCAAAACUUAAAAGUUUAAUUUAUCAAGGAAUCACCCACUCGAUAAUAAGAAUAAAUUAAACACGGAACAAUUUAACAAAAAUCCCACUCCCUAUAAGAGAAUCUCAAUUGCAACAGAACUCAGGUUCUUAGUAGCAUUGUCACAGGGUAGGAUUUUUCUUGUUAAAAUUUUCCAGUCCCCAUGUGGCAGCUCAGCCUCCUGUCAGACUCUAUUAAUUUACUCGUGUUUACUUAGCAACUAAAUAUUUCCCCUCACCAAGAGAUUUCUUUACACUCUUCCCUGUCACAAGACAAGCGGAAUACACAAGUAGAAAGGAUGCAAUGCAAUAUGAGUUCUGUGAGCAGACAAAACCCAUUGUGCAUAUCACAUACAUUAACGGACUUACUUGUGUAUAUCUUUUUGAGUUAAUGAGGAUUGUUAGCAUUAUAACAGAGUUUAGCUACGAAAUCAUGAGCAACAACUUCAGCUGAGCUACAAAAUCAUGAGAUAUUAACUUCAGUUGAGCUAAGAAUCGUGAGAAUAACAAAGGAAAACAAACUUACAUUUUCAUGAUCCAUGUGGCGAAGAAGCUUAAUCUCUCGUAAAGUCCUCUUGGCAUCUAUUCUGUUGUCAAAUGCAUUACCAAUCUUCUUGAUGGCAACCUCUUCACGUGUCUCAGAAUUCACAGCAGCACUGAAGGAAACAACAAAAUCACAUCUUCCUUCACGUUGUAGAUUUCACACAAAAAAUUAAGUCAAACAUAACGAGACCAUAACAUUCGCGAUUCACCAGUAACAGCAUUUUUCCUAACUAAUAAAACAGAUUCCGUGCAUUUUCCUUUCUGUAAAGUAUUCCAAACACGCUCGAAACUCCAUUUACUUCUUUUUUUAGCACUAGCUUCACGGUUUACCAAGCAGCCUAGAGCACUUAGUUUUAAGAGGAUUUAUGAGAUUACGGUGUCCUGGUUAUUGUUUUGUUUAAAAAUAUAUUAAAAUAAUAUUUUUUUAUUUUUUAAAAUUAUUUUUAACAGUCAUAAAACAAUAAAAAAAAUAAUUUUUAAAAAAUAAAAUUUAAGUAAAACGGCCUCUUAAUGUUGUAUUCUUGAGACUUCCACCAUCAUUUCUCCGAUUCCAAAAGGAUAGCUAAAAAUUCUAAUAAAAAAUCAUAACUCGAAAGGAUAUUUUAAGAAGAACACAGUUUUUAACCUCAAAGAAUCGAAAUCGGAAACUAUAAGAAAAUCUACAGUUGAAACUUAAACACGAUCAUACAAGGGAAAAAGAGAGAGUAAAGAAUCAGACUUACCAAACAAUACCAUUAGCGCCACGGCCAAUAGGUCGAAUAGGAGGGACGUACUUUCUAGAAACUUCAAAGAGGUUACCGUACACAUUAUACUGUACAUAGCGUCCAUCAUGAGCAGGCAUGCCUUUGAUGUUAGGAUCACCACCUGAGCUUGACUCUAAGCUUGUCAUUUUUUCCAGUAGCAACCUGAAAGGAUCCAAUUAAGCUAGAGCGAAAAGGAGAUAGAAAGGAGAGGGCUAAUUAAGCAGUCCAGUGGUGGUUGUUGAAGAGGAGGAAGAGGGGCUAAAAAAGAGGGCGGACGUGUUAGUAGGCGUAGAGCUUUCUCGUUUUCACAUUUCUUCUGGUUGGCGUGUGGGUUGUUUUACUACUAUUAGAGUCUACACUUUACAGGGACGAGUGAGAAAGAUGGGGGAGAGAAGAUAAAAGGUAGAGGUGGACCGGACCGUGUGGUGCCCGACUUUUGAACUGGAAAAGCUUAGCCUACCUCGUGACUCGACAAUUUGCUUGCUGACGUUUAUUUAAUUUAUCUCAGGUAGUUUUUCCUAGAGAGAACAGGAAAGAAAAUAUACACUGUUUUUGUUGGUGAUUGUGAUUUAACUCUAAUUUAUCAAACUUUGAAUUCUGACUUUUCUAGGUCUCUCGUAUUUUUAUGAUCAGUAGUGCGAUUGAUUGAGAAAUAAAGAAAAGAAAUUAUGGGUGGAUGGCAUUUGAUUUCGAUUGGAUCUAGCUCGAAAUCACUGGUGUUUAGGCCUGCCUAAACUUAGCCAGAGCAAGCGGACAGAAUCAUGUCUAUUAUCCCAUUCUUUUCGAUUUGGGUGAACUGGAAGAGAAAGAUGCAGGAAACGGACCCAUCAAGCAUUCCUUUCUUCAAGGAACAUGAACAACUCAGCAGAUCAUGAUGAUGAUGAUGAUCAUCAUCAUCAGUAUGGUUCUCUACUCCCUCCAUUUUUGUUCAAACUAACCUAACUGUAAGAAAACAUUACACUGAUAAUUUCAAGUAUCUUUGCAUUGCAUUUCGAGUCACAGUCAUGGUUCGUUCAACAUAUGUUUGCUUGGCGUGUUUGAUACUCCGAUCAAAAUAUUUUUUUUUAAUUAAAAUUAUUUUCAUUUGUUGAUUUAAAAAAUAAAUUUUAAAAAAUAAAAAAAUAUAUUAAAAAAAAAACUUCAAAAUAUAACUUCAGAAACCACGCUUUCAAAUUACUACGAAGAAAAGGUUUCCCGUGUUUCAAACCAACCUUCAACUUGCUGAAAAAUCAAAAGGAAGCAAAAAGACUCCCUCCUCCAAGAGAAGAUAACAACUCAAGGCUCAAAGUCAAGGCCUGCCUACCUUAUUUUCCACCGACCGGAAAAUCCGCCAUUUUCUCCAUCCCCCCUGGAAAGGUCUACUCAAACACGAACCUUCAUCGACAUUAGCAUCUCCGGAUUUUGUCUCCCCAAACGUGAUUUUUGUUCCAAAACUGUCACCGUAUAUUUUAUUUGGCCAUGGCAUUCCUGAAUUCCUGAUUGUGGUAUUUUUAUGGAAUCCAGGGAAAAUUUGUUCAGGAUACUCUAGAAUUCGAAAAAUUAAUGCAUUACUUUAAUGAAAUAAUACCAUGUUGAUUGUAGAUCAUUUUGCCCUUCGUUAUGUUCCAAUUUUAAAUUGGUUUUAGCUCCGAAAUUCUUCUUUCUUUGCUCAAAGCUAAAGGUUUUACUCUGUCCAAAUAACCAUUUUUUGGUCUCGAUUUUCCUCUAAUUAAAUUACUUGUAAAAAAAAACGAAGAAGAAGAAAAUUAAUCGGAAACACAAAAAAAGACUUCAAAAGUCCAGAAGUAAGUGGUCUAACUGAAACAAGCCCAAGAGAAGCGAAGCCGAGCCAAAUCUUCGAACUUUUUUUUUUUUCACAUCAAAAGCAAGCAGCCUCACUAUAAUUUUCGCAGAGCAAACGCUCUGUUUGAAGCUAGUUUUUAGUAGGGGAAAUGAUCUUCAGUGAAAGUAGAAUACAGCAUCAGGAUGAUGCAUUACCCUACUUAAUACGGGCUUAAGCAGCUGCUUCCUUCGGUUGAGGUGAGGUGGAUAUACUUGAUUGUGGAGUUUCCGAAUUCAAGACUGGCAAUUAUUUGUAGCUCAAAACAGGCAUGCUCUUCACCAAGCAUUCCUCGGUGGAUUUUACUUAAUCAUGCUGAUGAGUUGGCUAUGUCGUUGACCAAUUUCAGUCGAGUACUUAAUCAUGCUGAUGAGUUGGCUAUGUCGUUGACCAAUUUCAGUCGAGCCAGAAGUCUUUAGUAGAUAUUUGACUACCACCGAGGGUUGAGUUUCACGGGCCUGCCAACUGAUUUGAAAUAUCAAGGAAGGUUUGCAGGGUUGAGUUUCUCAGAGACCCACGUUUGACCGAGGACCUAAUGUGUUCUGACACGGCCAACCCGGAGAAUGGAGAGUUAAUUGUGAUAGUCCAAGUCCCCACGAAAAUCCUACUUCCUGCUAAAGAACAAAAAAAUAAGAAAAAAAAAGGAGACAUUUUACCAAGAGUUUUGAUUUGGAUAAUAGUCUUUGAAUCCGAAACAACAGGUUGCUUUAUCUUGUUGUCUCAUUGGAUCUUCUAUGCGAUGCAUUCAAAAUAAAAUCGGUGGGUAGUUCUUCGUUUGGAGGCCUUCGCCACAACGUUUAUAGUUAUUUACUCAGCACUCUUAUCAUCAAAUGAGAUGGAGUGAUUUCUUAUCCCAGAUCAGUUCAUUUAUCUAUGUACGUUGAUUUAAUGAAGUGUUCAGACCUCUUAGUGUAGAAGUUUGAGAAAAUUGUGAGGUAUGUUUCUUAUAUACUCGCAAAAGCUGCAUAAAAUGUUUCUUAUAUACUUCGCUCUUAGUUACAGGGUUAGUGGGUUACUAUAUUGUUUCAUUUUAUUUUUUUAUUAAAAUUAAUUUUUAUUUUUUUUAUUGUUAUUUGCUUUAUUUUAAUCUUUUUUCUAUUAUUAUUUUUUAAAAAUUUUGCUCUUCAUCACUUGGUUUCAUUUAAUUUUUAUAUUAAAUUUGAUUUUUAUUUUUUUAUUGUUGUUUUUAUUCUUUUUCUAAUUAAAUCUUGUUUUCAAUCCCAUCCAUCACCCUCUGAUUUCAAUUAUUUCUAUAUCAAAUUUAGUAUUUAAUUUUUUUAUAGCAAUUUCUUUGGUUUUAGAUGUAUUUUUUAUUGCUUUUUUUUUUCAAUUUUUCUCUUAACAUUUUAUUGAUUUAGAAUUUUGUUUAGUUAUAUUUUAUAUUUUGAUUUCUAUGGAGUUACUUUCAAGCUCAAAGUUAACACAGAUUUACUUUGGUUUUUUUUUUUAAAUUGUUUUAUUAAGAAUUAGUCUUAAUUUUUUUUUUCUUUGAAGUUAUUUAAAUCUUAUGAUCAUGAGGUUAAUAAAUUAAUUUGAGUUGACUUAGAUCUUUUAUUUUGUUAUUUUUUUUCAAUUUUUUUUUAAAGUUUCACCCUUCGUAUUAUUUGAUAAUUAAACUUUAUAAUUUUAUUCAAGAUUUGCUUUCAAUAAAGCUAUCUAAAUACAUACAGGCUAGGAGCAAUUUUUUUUUUUAUUUUUUUAUAUUGUUAUUUUUUUUAUGAGUUUAUUUAUUAUUAUUGUAUUUUUUAAAUUAACCUAACUUACUCCAUUCAAUUGAUACUAGUCUCGAUUUUUUUUUUUUUUUUUGCUUUGCCUUGGUAUUUUUUUCUAGGUUGAAAAAAAAAUUAGGUUGGCACAGCAUAGAGCUAAGCCUUUUAUCUAGUGUGCUCUAAGCAUCAAAUGGCUUCAGGGGUUCUACGAAAAGGUAGAAGAUGAAUACCCAUCAACAUAUCACUAGAAUCAAAGAAGCUUCUUUGCUUUGCGAAGCAUUCCCAGAUUAUGCAGUUGCUUCUUGCAGAAACCCCCUAUGAAUCAUCUGAUUCCAGUCCGAGUGCUGAUUCAUUCAACUGAUGAAGGCAUGUAAGAAAAAGUACUUCUCAAUAGUAUUCUCAAAUAUUGAGGAUGUAGUGCAAUGAUCAUAACUGUAAAAUGACAAUAUUCUGAUGCAUCCCAUCCCAAUUACAGGAAACUUAAAGGAUCAAUAGGUCUGAUUCCUUCCAAAAGUUUCUAAUUCACGAAUUUGCACCCCUUGGAAAUGAUGCAAAAGCUAACACAUCAAGUCAUUUUACUUGGAUCUUGUAUACCAACUCUCUAGGUCAAGUCCACACGCAAACAAGUCCACACCCAAACACAUUCAGGAAGUUAAAGUCACAUACAAAUGAUGCCGUUGAUGCUUACCAUGUGAAAACAUCAACUUGGAAUAACUUCAUCCCUGAACAAAACAGAGUCAAGACAUCUAUAGUUAAGGAACAAAAAGCAUUUCCUACAAUGAGUCAUAUAAACGUGUACUUUGGAAAGAAAUAACAGACACCCAACUGAAUUUCACAAACAGUCAUCGUGGUUACCAUACAGAAACCUCAGACUUCUUCAACUUUCAUGCACAACGCAGGAAAAAGCCCUGAAGAACAAGGAUGCAUUUAUGGAUAGCCACAAGAGGAAACCCCACACCUAGCAUCCUCCUUGCGGCCAGCACCAGUAUCCUAUGGCAAACGACUCAAAGAAUAUGUAUUAAUGAAUACGAGCAUUUUGCAUUAAAAAAAUCAGAUAAAAAACCUACCCGUAUAUCAUCAAAGAAUGCGGGCAUGCUAUCUAUGUCUCCCUAUUCCUAGCCAUAACGAGAAAAGGGAAGAAGGGGAGUUAAGGUAAAACAUAACAAGUAGUGAAACAGUACAAGACAUUUCAUGUAUUUCGGACAUGUACAAACUAGUAAGAAAGCAUUACAAGAUACCUCACACCACACAAGACAGGACAGGCCCACACAAGACAAUACACUACUGAGGGAACAAGCGGUAUCAGACAUGAGAACAAGCGGCUUCAACAUAAACAUCUAUCCUAUAACCUGUUCCCCAUUAUUCCCUCAGAAUUACUCCCUCGGAAUGGGUCGGCAACGGUAUCAGACACUCUCAGGUUACAAAGCAAAGCAUCACGCCCACUUAAAACUAUUUUGAAAAAGCCAUCUACUUCCUUAGCAAGAAAAUCUAGCACCUGAGAAAGUCUUUCUGCUCUCCUCCCCAAAUCCGAAAAAGAACUGCUGAAUGCUUCCACUUCAGUAGGUCCCAUACCAUCUUGGAUCAUGGGAUAUAAAUUAUUCACAACUGUCUCAACUUCAUCUAAUUCUUUCAAGAAAGUAAAUUUCCCACGAGAAAAUACUUCUCUAAUUUCUCCAUUUACUGUAGUUUGCAAAUCAGAAUAAGCUUGUGCCCACAAUAUUGUGUUGGGUACAUCCAAAUCUAUCAGAUUCUUUGAAUUAACUGAAAAUGCAGCGGCAAAAACACUACAUACAAAUACUGUCUGUACCUUAACUCCAUACAUGGCACGCAUCAACACCUUUCCUUUGGCCGAGUUCUUAACCUUAGGCAGAGUCAAGGAAUCCACAAGAUUCUCUAAGAUGGAUUUACAGUUUUCCAGUCUUGGGUUCUUGGAGCCAAUGUGCUGUCUCCAGCUAUCUAGGGAAGAACAUGCCUGCAUUAACUUCUCUGAAUUGUUGGACUCCAAUUUAUGCAGGGCGCAUUGAAGAAAAAGUUGACCUUGGUUCAGCCACGAGAGCUCAGAGCUAAAAGCAAUGCAAAUAUCAAGCAACUUCACAGUGAUGUCCAAGUACACAUCUAUCCACUUCUCAUCCCAUUCAGUCACAGGGAGCUCAAGUUCUGUGAUAAGUGUUUUUAUGACAGUAUGAGUCUCACAGAGUGACUCCAUUGCCAAUUUCAUCCACGUGAAGCUAAGAACAUCACCCUUGUCUUUAGGAUUAAGUUUCCGCAACCUCGCUGCCAAUGCCUCCUCAAAUGUAUUUAAUAAAGAAAGAAGCCUUGGAGACAACUGAGAACCCUUUGGAGAUAACAUCCUGAAAGGAUUUCCAAAUGGAAAGAAAGGGCGGUGUGGCUGUUGUGGUUGACUCAUUUCAACAAUUUACUGCAACAAGUUUGGAAAAAAAAAUCAUUAAUCUUGUUGCACACAACAUCAAAAGAGCACACACAAAAUCAACAAAAAACCACACCAAACAAAAGAUCUACAAUCAAUAGAUAGCGAUUAGGACCCACCCAAACUUAAGCAAGAUAAAUUGCAAAACUUAUCAUCACAAUGAAACAAUUCAUCAAGAAAACAGGAGAAAGAACCAUAUCUCCAACAAAGGUAUUUCUUUAAGCCUCCAUGCCUUCCUGAGAGAAAGUCGAGAAAAACUCUUCCCAAAUACUCAGAAAAACAAAUUCCAACCCCAUCAACCAAAUAAAAAACCUACACAGCAUAUAGACCUUAAAAAGGAACUCAAAACAAAAGCUAGACAAAAGAAGAUCUAUAAAGAACACAGUUAUGCAUAUCCAGUUAUUGGCCGCUCUACAUCUUUUCAAAAUCAAUAACCACAGCAAGAAAAAAGAGGCACAAAAUCAAUGCAUAUUUUCUCUUUAUCUCAUUCACACAAGAAUUUCAAGUUCAAACCAAUCAAAAUAAAAAUCAGUUAAAUUAAAUGAAAAAAAAAAUCAACUCUUUUCCUACCAAAUCGAAUCUAAAGUUUCGAUCUAUGAAUCUCUCAUUUCAAUUCAUGCCUUCUGUUCUUAAAAUUAAAACACAAUCAAACAAGCAUAUAAUUCAUACACAAAACAGUUCAAACUUUAUAACUCACCUAAAUACCAGAUCCUUAGAUCAGAAUAGCAAUCAAGUCAAGACGAAACAUAAGAAUCACUAAGAAAAUAUUGAAACCCUAACCCUAAUCAUUUUUACUAGAAAAAACAAUACUCUAAUCUAAGAUCUAGAAAAAAAAAAAAAAAAAAACAAAGAGAGAGACCUUUUUUUAGCUAUAGUUGUAAGAGAGAUAGUACCUGAAGGAGUUCUUGCAAGAGAUGAGAAAUUUCCAGAGAAAAGUGUCCAGACGCGGAGCUUUGUUGAAAGUUUCCGGUUAAUCUAGAGAGGUUAGGUGAGGUCUCUAUUUUGUAGCUUAAGUUGUGGGCAAAGGUGAAGUUAACUGGCUGUUAUAAAGUAAUUGGUGACAGAUGUGUACGUGGAAGGAUGUGAGUGGUGGGCUGUGGUAACGGAUAGAUAUUCAUUUGGAGAUUACUUACUGGCAUUUUUGUGAGCAGAAAUGGUGGGUCAGAGACAGGGAAGUAAAUUCAAGCUUGAUUUUACUUUAUAUUUAAUGCAUGUGACAUGUGAUCCAACGGACAAGAUCCUUGCUUCUAACUACACGAAAUUGCCCUGGUUGUCGUUGCUAUCUGGACCUCGUUCGCCGACCACAAUAUUAUAUAUGUGGAUACUUUCUUUCCCUGUGGGGGAAUGGAUCCAAGAAGAUUUCCUUGAGGUAGUCGCCAUAGGAAAAGGCUCGGCCCAGGUACAGAUGGCUAAUGCUAAAAUUGCAAAGGGCUCCCGAAUGGACUCGGCCGCCAAAGAACUCGAACCACACAGGAGCCAGCUAGAAAUUAAAGGGUGCUGCUACGCUCCUCUCUUUACACUACAGACCAGGCUCAUUCACUUGGAUUCUUGAGAGAAUCGAUACAAGCACGGGGUUCAUGCAUAUAUCAGAACAUUCUGACUGGUUACUGCAAUGAAUUCUAGUAUUUUUUUUAAAAAAUGAAUUUUAGAAAAAUAAAUUAUUUUUCAAUGUUUGGCAGUGUAAUAAAAAAUAAGUUGGAAAAUAUUUUCCAGUAUUUGGUUAUGUCAUGUAAAAUGAGCUGGAAAAUAACUUAUUUAUGUUUUAUUUUCUCAAGUUUAUUAAAAUAAUAAGGAACAAAUCUUACAAAUUAAAAAGUUGAAUGAGGAUGAAAUUGAAAAAAAAUAUAAUUUCAUAAAUUAUCUCAAAUAAAAUAAAUAAUAAUAGAAAUAAUAGAAAUCAAAUCUAAAAAAUAAAAUAAAAAUGAAAGAUGAAAGAUGAAAAAAUUAAAAUAAUAAUAAUUAACAUUUCAUAAAUUAUUUCAAAUAAAAUAAGUAACAAUCAAAAGAAUGAGGACCAAAUUUGAUAGAUAAAAAAUUUCAAUAAAAAAAAUGAUAAGGGAAAAGCAAAUAACAAUUAUAAAAAUGAGAACCAAAGUUAAUAUAAAAAUUAAAUUUUAAGAGAUGAAAUUGAAAAAUAAAUAUUCAACACAAAAUAUAUAUAGCAAUCAAAAGAUUGAGGACCAAAUUUGAUAUAAUCAGCAAAUAAUAUGACAUUUCUAAAUUUUUCACAAUUUCCGGAAAGUGUUUUCCGUCCAAAUUUUUCAGGAAAAUAAUUUCCUGGAAACCAAGCUAAAUUUUCCUUUGACUGGAAAGUGUUUUUCAUUAAUCAACUUUUCUAAUAGUAAAUAAAUACAUGAAAAUUUAGAAAAUAAUUUUUCAAAAAUUACUUUUCAGAAAACAAACAUACUCCUAAUACAUGCUGCUGUGAUAGAUGAUGAAUACCCAACGGCGCUGGAAAUUGGGCUCAAAACAUGAGUCUAGUCCACACAAGUCGAAUAAACUCCAUUGAACCGCCUGGUAUGCUAUGAAGAUGUUUCGUCCUUCAAGAUGGAGACUGGUGAUGGCCCUGUGGGAAAUGGCACAUCCUGUAAGCUCGUAUAUACACGAAGGAUGUAUUUAACUAAGGUUUUCCUCUUUUUAAUAAAAAAAAAAAGUGAGCAUGCACAGCAUAAAGUCAAUACAGAUAUUGAUAGCGCAGCGGUGCUGCCACAUGAUAUGUUUUCAAGUAAUCGAAGCUAGGGUUUAAGGAGCAACAUAAGUAGGUGCCAGUAGUCCUCUCCACCUUUGGAUUUGAAUAAUAAUGCUCAGGAUUAAUCAGCCUUGAACCCCUCUCAAUGCCUAACAACAUACCUGACAGUACACAGGCAUUCUAUUCUAGACUUGCCCCUUCAAAAGCUUCUGAACAAGAAUACUAUGGUCAAUGGGCUGGAAGAGUGAGAAUUGAGCAAGGUAUCGUGUAUCUUCACACCAUACAUUGCCCAUCUUGCACACAAAAGGCCAGAAAAAGAUUACGCACCUCUAAAAAGGUCUACUGAUCAUAUAUCGAAAUUCUGGAUUCAUGAAAUAUUUUAUGGCCAAAAGUAGUCCUACAAACUCUGCUCGUCCGCCAGUAAAGUGAUCAUGAACGCAGGCUUCUCAGCCCCACAAGAUACAAACAAAUGUUAAUUGUAUCAGGUCGCCUCCUACAAGUGAUAUGAAACCAUUUCUAGUACUGGCAUGAGAGAGACAAAUGAAGCUCCUGCCACGUGAAGGAUUCCGAAUUGACAUGGAGACCAGUAGCUCCUACGCCAAGCUAAAAACAUGCCCAAAAAAGUGUGGAAUCCCCAAGCUUGGCAUUUUUUUUUAUUUUUUUUUCUCCAGACUGGUCCUGCGUUAGAUCAUCACAGGACGAAUAAAUGCCUUCACCAAGUAUGAUCUUGCGCCAGUACAGAUUGCUUCGUUAGAAGUUUCAUAAAGACCAAGUCACGAACCCGAAAGCAAAGUGCAGCAAAGUGACAAAUGAACUCAUCAAAUACAUCCAAAACUAUUUACUUUAACAGGUAUUAUGCCAAGCUUCAUUGUUAGGCUACAAUGCAAAAGCAUGUACUCUGGCAACGACGGCUAAAUAAAUCACACGGCAUGACCCCAUUUCCAGACUAGAUGUUGGCUGCUUCCUAGCUAGCUGGUCCAACCCAAAACAAGGAAAGCACAUGAAUAAAAGAGUUGCAAGUACGUUUGCUACAGAAGAAAUAGCUGGUUACCGGGUCCAUUUCCCAUAAACAUCUGGUUUUUUUGGCUGGCAAUGAUGGUGACGAGUCACAAACAUCUGGUUAGAUAAAUAAUGCAUCCAUUGAAAGAAGAACUAGAAUGGGACAAUCAAACUACAUCCAUGAAAUCCUCAUAACUAAUCUAUAUCUAUGUAAUAGUAAAGCAAUAGCAUUCCGAUUUAAAUCAAUUUGCCGAUCAAUUGAAAUUAUGGGGUGACAACUGGACUGCUGACAUGGAUGUGUCUUGUAGUGCUUAAUGAGCGUGAUAGAUCCUAUCGGUAUAUUUUAACCAGGAAGCAUCCUUUCAUUGAUUGCCGCAGAAUUCCAAAGCAGAUAGGAGCCGUGCGUCGCUUUGCUUACAUAUUUUCCAUCUGGGAACACUAAUGUAGAAUUUCAAUAUCAUUUUGUUGAGUGAAUCCGCAUUCAAACAAACUCAGUAGUUACAGAGAGUAGAACAUGCUUGUAAAGUUUCAAUCAAUCUGAUUUAAUGAUCGGAUUAAAAAUUAUAUUAAAGUUUCAAGGUGUUGUUGUAUUGGUGUGCCUUGAGAUGGUUAGACUGUCCCUUGCAAUCCUCCUGUUGGUGAUACUAGAACAAUGAAUAAUGGAUUUAAUCAUGCUGUAAGGCCAUACAAUGAGGAAAUUCUGGCUGCAUAAGUGGAAGGUAAGUAAUAUUCCUAUUUGCAUAAUCUACUUCUUUGACAAUUCUUUCACGUUUACGAUCAUAACGAGUUCAUUUCACCUGCUGCAAAAUGAUCACACAGGGAGUUCACCUCAUGUAUUUAAUUUUGGUUCUGCGAGUUCUGAAUACACCAGUAAAUAAUAAUCAGCUGAACAACCUGGACAGCAACAAAAUGGACCACCCACGUGAGAACUGGGCGAUCAGCUAGUUUUGAAGUAUAAUAGAUACAAUGAGAAAGUCCAAAACUAAUUUUGAAUGACCAUGGAGCAUACAAACAUGUAACUUUGUUUUAUAAUUGAAACAAUAAAAUAUAUCAUUUUUCUAUAAGAAUAAUGAAUCAAUUACACAACUGCAUCCCCCACGGAGUAAGAUAUCCGAAAUGGUAUGAAAGCUAAGCUUAAAACAAAUGCAGAUUAUCGUUUACUUAUAUAGAAGAUACAACAAACACAAUAGAAUACCUACAGGGAAAAAAAUAAAUAAAAGAUUCAAUAACUUGGAGAGAUGUAAAAUUGUUAGUCACCUAAUCCUCCAAUGAUGUUAUCUCCAUCUAGUUGGCUGAUGAUGUUUCCUACCACUUUCACCUUCACUUGUGUCUGAAGUCCCUUCUCCCGAUUGCUUAUCAAUGAAUUUCAUAGCAGCAUGAUUCUCUUGUUCAUAAUCAUGCUGUGAAUGGGAAGGUUCUCUCCCAACUCGACGUUCCUGCAAAAUUUGCGCAAGAAUGGAUCAAUGAGCAGGAAACUGAACCAUUAAAAGAGAGAGAUAUUCUUUCUUUAGACACCACAGAUUAUAAUUCUUUGUUUGAAAGAAAUGAUGCAUACAUACAUCACGAAAUAGCAAGUCAUCAGCCUCAAGCAUGUGGAUCACGUGUCCCAUUUUGGGCCUCUUUGUAGCAUCAGGAUCGACACAUUUAAGAGCUACCAGGAGAGCACGUUUUAAUGCUUUUGAAGCAGGCAUCUCGGGUAACUUGGGAUCAACCACUUCUUCAGAUUUUCGGUUCCCAACCAUAGUUUUUAACCAUUCUACCAGAUUCACCUGCAAUCAUUUGGUUGUUUCCAAAAGUUAUAGUUACAGCAAUAGAUAAUAAAAGACAGAAAGGAGAAAUUUUCAGAAUUAUAUGUAAAAACUAACCUCUCCUUGUGGCCGACUAUAAUCAACAGGGCUUCUCCCAGAAAUUAUCUCCAUGAUAAGUAUACCGAAACUAUAAACAUCACUCUUCUCAUUCAGCAUUCCAGUGCAAGCAUAUUCUGGAGCAACAUAACUAGAAAACCCAACAAAAUAAGAUUUAGCUUUCCUGCUUAGGAGAAUUAAAAGUCAACCAACCAUUGUCUCAAUGAACUUUCAUAUAUAAUGUUUGCAUUGCAAAUGAUUUUUUUUACAACAGAGAAAUAAAACCGGAACUCAAAUCAAAGGAAACAAACUGACCCAAAUGUUCCCAUCACACGUGUUGUGACAUAACUUCUCUCAGAAUGUAAGAGCUUGGCAAGCCCAAAAUCAGAAACCUUAGAGUUCCAUUGGCGAUCCAGUAAUAUGUUACUAGAUUUUACAUCUCGAUGAACAACCUUUGGUUCAAGACCAUCAUGAAGGUAGGCCAAUCUGCAACAACAAUAGCAGCAAACAAAAUACGUUGAGUGAAAAAUAAGAACAAAUAAUUUCAGCAACAAUGCAUGCAUCCAUAUGGAUGAUGAGUUUACUUACAAUGGAAUUCAGAAUACUUACCCUUUUGCUGUUCCCAAAAUAAUGUUCCUACGAAUAUCCCACGUUAGCGGGCUGACUUCUCCAACAUCACCAUGUAGCCAUUGGUCCAGAUUACCAUUGUCAACAUACUCGUAUACAAGCAUUCUACAUAGCAAAAACAUGACCAAUUACAUUGAGACUGUUGACAACAUGAGGCACAAACUCAAUUUUAAAUUGGAAGAUAAUUAUACGCAUACCUGUAAGCACCCUCAACACAGUAUCCAAGCAAUCUGACAAGAUUCUUGUGCCGUACUCGUCCAAUUACUUCCACUUCUACUUUGAAUUCCCUCUCAGCUUGACCCCUGAGAAUUUUCAGUAUCAUGAGCUACUAACCUAUGCAUGCAUAAUUUUAGUAGAAAGGCAGUCAAGACGUAGAUGGAAGAUUGCUGUCUGCUGCAGCAACUUCUAUUCAUAUUCCAAAAUUAUCAAUUCAGGUUCAAUUAUGAUCAAAGGCAUUUGACAAGGAAAAGUAAGGAAUCCCACAAAAGCAUGUCACUUUACAGCACAUAUCCAACCACAUGCAAGACAAGAACCAAAAAAAGAAGACACCAAUCAUAACCACUCAAGCACAGCACAGUAAUUAAAACUUAGCAAUUUUCUUCUACCAUGGAGACUUAAAGCAUACAGUAAAAUAAGCAGAUAAAUUUCAAGUUUCCAUAGUAAUUCUAAACGUAAAACAUCUCAAACAAUCCCAAGUUCAAUCCAUAACAAAUAAGAUCCAAACUUUUACCACUUCUCUUCCCCAUAUCUUCCCCUAGCAAGUAGCAACAAAUCAAAGACAAACAUGCAAUUCAUUCCAUUUUUUUUUCUCAUUAUCUAAAAAAAAACACAUGAAAAUAAUAAUAAACCAACAAAGAAAACAAUUAAAAGAACAAACUUUACCUGUUAUUCAACAAAUUUUUAACAGCAACUUUAGUCCCGUCACUCAAAACCCCACGAUACACAAUCCCAUACCCACCUUCACCAAUAACAUUCUCUUCACACAACCCACCAGUAGCAGCCUCCAACUCUCUCAAAGUAUACCACCUACCCCACCCAAGAUGCGACACUUCAGGCCCCACACUUCCACUCCCAAACGACGCCGUCUCACCACCACUAGCAGUCCCUCUACUCUCCCCACUCGAAAACACCACUCUAUGCUCCACCUUCCCGAUCCCAACCUGGAUCUCCGGCACCUGAAUCGCAUGGUGAUUGUGAUCUUGCACGGGCAAGUGCACGAUUUCUUGAAUCUCUUUAGAGAUUGGAGGGGUAGUGUCUGUCUUUGUUAGCUUAAAUUGUCGGUUCUUGCGACGUGAAGUAACGCAAAGAGAGAGGAGAAAGAGGGCAAGAACUAUUAAUGAGCCCAAUAAGAUUCCUAUGACUACCCAUAAACGGAGACCAAAGAUUGAUGUAGGUUUUGAUAGCUCCGUGUUAACAAAUGCACCAUCGUAUACAGACAUUAUUGUUGUAGAAAACAAGAAAAGAAGAAAUGGGCUGUUGUUAGAUUUACUGGGAAUAGUUAUGGAAUUGAGUUUCUUGGCUCGGUUGCAUUUGGUUUCACCGGAAAAAAAGAGGCUCCCGGCGAUUAUGAUAGAUGAGGGAGCGAAUCAAAGAUAGGCGGAGAGAGAGAGAGGAAUCAAGUGGAUAGUAAAGGGUGGAUGGGAGGAAGGAAAGAGAGAGGGUUAGCGUGUGAAGAUGAGCUGUCACUUUGUCUGUGUAAGCUAAGUUGAACUGAGACUGGACUGGCUUAAGGUUAAAUGACGUGUUUGUCCUUCGGAUUUGUAUGUGGUGAUGGUUUUUUUUUUUUUCCUAUCUAAAUUUGGAUGAAGUUAAUAUGGUAAAACCAGCACUGACCGAUCUCCGCUCACUUUUUAGCAAGAACAACAAAUUUGUUAUCAAAUCCAAGUGGUGAAAUGUAAUGGCAAUAAGAAAGCAUAACCCUUUAAUGAUUGUGAAUAAAAUAUUUACCCUUUAAAAAUUUGUUCUUUAUGCUUUAAAACACUCACUUGCAUGCUAUGCCCACCCACAUCCAAGACCAUUAUCUUAUUAAAAGAAUGGAUAUGAUUUCUCUUUCGGAUUUUAAUUGUAUAAUCAUGAUAGCUUUUAGGAUUCUAAACUAAGUUUUUUUAUAUAUAUAAAAAAAAGAAAAAGGUUGAGCAGAAGGGUAUCUUUGUAAGUAAAUUAUUUUUUUACUCUUUUAAAAUUAAAAUCCUAAAUAUAAGGAGUGGUAAAAUUAAACUUAAUUUUAAUAUCAUGCCGGCCUACGAUGAUCAUGACAGGAAGCAUAAUUUUUCAAUAAUGAAGAUGGUGUUUGACAUGGUUUCUCUUUAUGCUUUUAGAUAUUUUUAAAGGUAAAUUUUUUUUAAAAGAAGUAUUAAAUUAAAAUUUUUUAUAAUGAUUUUGAUGUACUAUCUUUAAUAUAUUUUCAAGUAAAAAUAACUUCUAUUAUCUAUUAAAAUCUUAAUUAAUUGGAAAAUCAAUCUCGUUUCAUAUCUUACCUCUCUUGACUUAUAUAUUUCUUUUAAAAUAAAGUUUUUCUUUUUGCUAAUUUUCGUAGUUUCCAUUCAUAAAUCUACAUAUGAAAACUUGAGCUGUUAUUAUUCUGUAGCCGGAGUUUGCUUUUCACGCACGAAUUUUACAAAAAAUAAUAAAAAGAUUUGAUUCCAUAUCAUUUUUUCCUCUUGAUUGUCUCUUUCUCUCUCCGGCCGGCUGUAAAUAGCGGUAUUUUCUGCAGCUGCGCCAUAAUACUUCUCUCAGGCGUGAAUCUGGCAAGUUUUAAUAAGGGGAUCUACGUGGACAUAGCUACCGAGAAUUAAUUGAAAGAAAGAGAGGGAAGGUGACCGUUGAAGGUGAUUAUGAUGUUAGGACAGAGGGAUCUCUGUUCUAUGUUUUCCUUCGUCUGCUAGUUCUUACAUACGUGUAGCAAAGACUAAGGACUGAGCUUGUGUAUAAUUUCCACAUGGCAGUUGCGCCAUAUUCGUCAACGGGUCCCAUGCUCCCAUCAAUCGCUACAUGAUGCAUUCAUGUUAAGCCAGGUGUGGGCCCAAGUCGGGCCCACAGGGGAGACUUUCGUAAAUCACAGGAGUUUGGUGGACCGAAAUCAUGGUUUAGAUAAUACUUCGGUGGUAGUUAAGGGAAAAUACAUAUAUUAAUUGUCUAGUUCAUUCUGCAAGUGCAUUUUGAAAGCUGUAAGUAAUCUUUUUGGAUUCUUUUUUUAUUAUAAUCUAUUUAUGUCAGGACACAACAGGAAAAGCAUCUUGGUUGAUUAUAGAACACCAAGUGGUGGAAAGUCCUGUAAGAAUCGAGUGGACACCAACAUAACAAUAAUGGGCUGUGUGGAAUUUGACAAAAGAUUUCUUGGUUGGUUUCGUGCCCAAUGGCAGUAGUGCUUUUCUUGAAAUCUUUCGUUACGCAUCGCAUCGCAUCGCAUCUCAUGUUUCUUUAUUGUUCUUUUCUAGCUCAUAAUUUAUCUCCUUCUCAUCUGAUUGGAGCUGGCGCUGUCUGUGGAUUUGUCGAGAGGGGUGGAUUAUGGAUUGCUGCCCUCGAAACCAAACCCAGCAUUGAGUUUCUACUUGUACCGAAUUCCAAUACAAUUUUGUAUUCGAAAUGCAACACAGCGACUGUCAAUCCAUGUACAGAGGCGGCGUAUAAAGAACAGAAAAAGGAUCUUUUUAUAGCUCUAAGAAUGAAAUAAUGACGGAAUGGCAAUCCAUCCGGUGGUUAAGCACAGGCAACUCUGCAACCUUUUCAGUAGCCAGAAAUGAAGAUAGCUUUUAAAUCUAUCUGCAAUCGCAUGACGAGAUAUGCAUAACGAUCAAAACAGAGAGCGAGACUUGAGUUAACGAGUCAUUCCCAUUCAAAACCAACUGGACUGCUCCUAAUCUUGCGCCAUGCGAGGAAAUACUAAAUUUACCAGAAAUAAGUCGAGCUUUGUAGCUCUUUUGGUGGAUACAAAGGUUCAUUCCAAAAAAAAAAACACACUCCCCCAAAAUUUGCAAGCAUAUCACAGCAGACUCAAAACACAUGAUCAACAGGUCCUGUGAUCAUUAGCUCAUACAAACAAAAUAUAUAACUAAAAUUCCAAAGUUUCCUGUUAAUUUUCACCUGUUCCUUUCCUUCUAUCCCCCUCUUCUCUGACCUGGGAAUUGAGUUCUGACAUGAUAAGUUGUUCGUGAACAAAACAAGUGUUAAGCUUCAACAAAACUCAUGUAGGGUAAUAUUACAACUGCUGACUUGACUGUUCCAGUAUCCUGUUUGUUGCAAUGAAAAAAAUUUAAUUCUGGGGUAGCCAUCCACAGAUUGCCCUUGUUAGUCCGCCUUCUUAUCUGUUUCAUCAAUUGCUGCCAGUCUUUCAACAAGGGAAGGACGGGAUAUGGCUACAGAUUGCCCUUGUUAAUCAGCCUUCUUAUCCGAUUCAUCAAUUGCUGCGAGUCUUUCAACAAGGGGAGGAUGAGAGUAGUGAUAUGCUGAGUACCAAGGAUCUGUAUUCAUAGAUGACAAAUUUUCUUCCUGAAAAAAAUUGGCACACUGUUCAGUCAUGUGCAUUUCCUGAAAAUGGAUUAGAAAAGAAUACUUUGCCAAUGUAGAACUUAGAUCCCACAAAAAUCUGAAUGCAAGAAAUAUACAGGACUCCAUCUCCACUACUGAUGGUCUGUUAGAGGGAAAAAGUUAAAAGUUCAAUAGAUCACCUGUAGUUUCACAAGACCACCCCGAAGAGCAGAGCCAUAACCAAGCUUUUUAGCAAAAGCAUCCGCCUAAUCAAACAAUUACAGUAAGUGAGAUCAAGGACUUGAGACACACAGAAACAAGGAGAGAGGGUGUGAGAGGUUACCUGAAAUUCAAAAGAUCGGCUCACCAGAUUAAGGCCAAAGCUUACAAGGUGUUGGAGAGGUAUUACAGUAUGCUGCAAAUAAGCAACCAAGUCAGAUAAACCCAACCACAACCAACUUUUGUAUCAUAUAACCCCCCCCCCCAACACACACACUAAAAAUCCCAUAAGCAUUUCUUUUCCUUCACACAGCAAUUCUUUUCAUAUCAGCAAUACCUGAAAUAUGAUCAGACCGAUGAGCACUGGCUGUGUAUCAAAUCCAAAACUUCGGAAGAGAUCAGUUGAGUUCCUCACAAGAGUGUAUCCUCCAAAUUGUAAAAAUGUUAGAAUCUGCAGAACAUAAGAGCAUUAAAAAAAAAACAAUGAAUCAUACACCGGUUAUAAGCUCACAAAUAAAGUCAAAGGACACCUAUAGGAGGAUGGUUGGUAAAUUCUUAAACAAAACACUGAACUCUCCUACCAAAACACAAAUUGAGAUUCAAAAAUAUGUUUCAGGCUUUUAGCAUGUAUUAAAAUUUUCUUGUGCUUCAAUCCAAGAUGUUUUGGCACUAUUUUCUCAUCAGGCCCAUGAACAAAUCCUCUGAGGUUUGAAUCUCAAACCAAGGACUUACAGUCUCAAAGAACAAGAACAUUCGUGUCAAAGUUUUCUCCGAGCAUUUUCUUGAUGAUAGCUCUCAGAAGAUGCCUUUCAGAUGGUAUAUAUGGUAUUUCAAUAGCAUUUUAGUGCACAAAUAGGAGCAAAGUACAAAUCAAUUUGCAAGAAAACAAUUACUGCAUACCUGCACAGCAAUGAACGAGUACAUUGUAUGAUUGAGUUUCCAAUGUCCCAGUUCAUGGGCAAUAACAGCUACAAUUUCCUCAUCGUCUUUGCACUGCAAAGAAUCACAUAGAUGUAAAGACACUUUCACAAUUUAUGAAAAAGCAAAGCCAUAUUUCAACCAUAAAGUCUAAAUGAGGGCAAAGCCUAAAUGGUUCACACACAAAGUUGCCCAGGCUGUCAGGAAGAGUAGGAAAUUAAGAAACUGGUAAAUAGAUUGCACAAUUGCCUUAGUCCUUACAUAAAUCACAUUGAAAAUGCUUCUAUGGAUGGAUUGUAAGUUACAUCAAACAGGUCCUCCCCAGUUGGAUAGCUACUGUGUAUUUGUUAAAAAAUGCAAAACUAUAUUUCUUCAAGACUACAUGGAUAUCAGUAUCAAAAAAAUUUAAGCAGGCAAAGAGCCUACGAGACAGCCCCUUGGAACUUCUAAAAAGAGAAAUCCAAGGCAAACACUGCAAUUCUAUCCAUUUGAAUUAGCCAGGGAGAAUGUCUUCCAACAUAAGAACUGACAAGGAUCUAAAUGGAGGCAGUACAACCAAAAAUGGCCACAGUCAGUAACCCACACCCAUCAGGUUUAUAAUCUGGCUAGCAGCCAGUAUUUCACUUCCCAUAAAUAGCAAAAUCCAACCUUUAAUUCUUAGGUUCUAGGUUAAUAAUGUUGGAGGAUAAGUAUCAGAUCGGAGUUAGAAAAUCUGGUGCAAGAUUUGAUCAAAUCCAGCACCUCAAGAUCAGGAAUGGAGGACUUCCAAGGACUGAUUUCAGUGGAGAAGGCUCGUUAAAAGAUUAGAUGAAACUAAGAUCAUGAAAGAAACCUAACAAGUGAGGAAGAUGGGAAAACCUAACACCAGACUACAGUUCAGAAGGAAUCACUUACUAUAAACCCUUAGGAACACACCUAAAAAAGAACGCAUGAGACAUGCAAUUUAGCAUGACAUCCCAACACAUGCAAGAAAAAAAGAAGGCUGAAAAUUUUUAUUUCCUUCCCCCCAAAAUAAAAUUUUACAGGGCAAUACAUAGCCCAUUUGGGAAGAUAUUUCCUAGAAAAAUUAUUCAUAAUUAAGCAACUAAGGGGGGUUCCUUGAGGAGACAUACACGAGGAAGUUAUCUAAAGAGGUUGCUUCCAAGUUGCUGGGCACCUAAGGCGCACAGGAGGGGAGUCCUUUUAAGGACAAGCCGUCUACUCAGUAAAGAGGCUAUAGAUUCAGCAGCUUGACCAGAAGCCACUAACUGGCAUCAUACUGUUCAUACUUCUAGUAUGUUGGGCAAGAUUACAACAGAACCAUUAUCCCUAAAUACAACACUGUUUCCUCAAGCUGUUGAGUGAACCCAGCAACUAUGUUGAAUGAAUAUCCAAACAUUUUCAUCAUUCUGUAUGCGUUUUAACUUCCAAGAAGGCAACCAACAUCAUGAUUGAAGUUAACAACUGUACUCGGUGCAUGACACGACUAGGACAACAUUAGUAUUUUUAAUAUAAUGCUAUUUCGACAAUAAAAACACUAGUGGUGCCUAUAUUUCACACAUCUUGCUUUAAACAAAAUAAGGUUAUCAAUAAAAAAUGGACAGAAAAAAUUUGUAGUUUUCAUGAGAAUACACUUCAGUUUGAUAAGAUAGAAAAAAAUCCAGAAAGAAAGGCUUCCUCACCUGCUGAAUCAAUGUGUCAUAAAGUACAAUUCGCUUGUUCUUAAAGAAUCCAUACAUAUAGGCCUGCACAUUGUUGAUAGAAUAUGAAUUUGAUCUACAACAGACUAGUAAAGCACAAUUUUAUUGUGAAAGUACAGAUGACUUGACGAUAGAGAAAGCGCCUGCAACCAUGUAUGAUAACACUACGAGAAAUGAGAGCUGGCCACAUGUAAUGCACCUAUCUAAUGCAUUUUUUUUCUUCACUCUACAAAACAAAUAACUCGUCAAGGUGGCCUGCAAACACAUCUUAAACCCAACCCCAACCACCCAAAAAAAGAAAGAAAAAAGAAAAAACACAGAUAGCCUGAGCUUUUGGUACAAGUUCCCCUGCAAUUUUUCUGUGAGUAAUACCAUUAGUUUACCACAGUUUGGCCAAGAAAAAUAGAUAUUUCUUUUCAUUACAAAGCAAGGAACGUGGUAGACAUAAAUAGGGAGGAGAAGCAUUGGUUAACUUCAUGUUGCAGAAACAGAAGGGAUACAAACAAAACAAAACACUGUAUAAUCGAAGAAAAGGUUGCAGGUAAUGCUGAGAAACCUUGAUAAACAUAUUAAAAUAAGAAUACUCACAUUGCUAUGGCUUGACCUUGUGGAUCCAUCUACAACGAACAACUUCUUUAAAGGAAACUUGAGGGAGGAAGCAAGUUUCUCAAUUUUCUCUCUGAGCUCUCCUUCUGGAAGCUAUUUGUCACAUCAAAAGUAGGGGGGAAAAGAUUACUAAUUGAGCAUGACACAGGUCUGAAUGAAUUUCACAUUUUCAAUACUCACAGGGGUGAACUUGUUGAAGAGUGGGGCAAUUAAAACUGGGUAGAGUGUCAUCAUGACAAGAGAAAGAACAAACAUGAAUGCCCAUAGAUAAAUGGCCAGGUAAGGACCUCCUUUCUGCAACCAUGCAAAUGAAAAUUCAACAGUGUGGGAAGACUUGUUCAUUCACAAAAGCAGGUAACAGAGCUGUAACUUGUAAGAGCAUUUUUAGAAUAAAAGCUGCCACUUAUUCCAAAUCAGUAUCAUUAAUUCAGGAAUAAAAAUGACCAACUACUGUCAACAGACAGUGAUUAAAUGCUGCAAAUAACUGGCCACUUCAUCAACACUGGCAGAUAAAAGUACCUGUACUAUUAAAAUAAUUGCUGAAACAAUUGGGGGGCCAAGUAGAAUGGCAAGGCAAAUUCCUUUGAAUAAGUCCCUAAAGAACAGCCAUAUUGUUUGCUGUACAGAUGGAAAAUAAAUUAGAAUCACACGAGAGAUAAGAUAUAAAACGGAUUGGAAAUCAAACAACUAUAAAUUUUAUACCAGUGCACGUACAAGUAAAAGGAAUGUAGAUCCACCAACAAAGAAUUAGUAUUCUAACAAGUAACAAGAUGUGUGAAAAUCACAAGAUGUGAGAGUGAAUGCAAACCUUGUUGAAGCCAUGGCGGGCCUCAAUCACAAAAGUUGAAUAGAGAGAGAAUGGCAAAUCUGUAAUCUGCAUAAACAUAUUUCAAAACAAUCAAUCAAAUAGUAUCGAUGGAGAAACUUAAAAAAUUGUACUUAUUUGCAUGCAUUUGCUUACAAGGGUGCCACAAUCCAAACAGGAUUCCAAAAAAUGCAAAAGACUGAUAAUCACCAGCGAAAAUGGAAUAAAAUUGAUUUCUUUGCUUAAAAAAAUGAAUAACAGAAUUACUGUGUUAUUAAUUAUAUAAGCAAACCCAAUUAUAAUAUCCACACAAUCAAAAAGCAAAGCAAUAUGCAUGAUGAAAGGAUACUGGUUUAGACCUUAUAGAACACCCUUCUGAAGAGGUAAAAACUCAAAUAUUAUAAACCAGAUAUUAUUUAUAUUAAAAAAAAGUCUUGUCUGUGACAUAUACUAUUACAUCAGAAUUAUUAGCUCGGUCUACAAACAGUGUCAUCAACCAGGGAGUCUCUGCUACAGAGACUGACAACACUCCGCCAGCUCACCUCUUUCAAGAUGUAGAUUCGGAAUUGGAAAUUGUUGAUGUCAAUGUGCAUGCUCUGAAUCUACACACCACAACUAUUACACAAAAUAACCCAGCCUCACCUGUGUAUAUUCUUGCUUAAUAAUCUUAAAAAUAGCUGUGAACAUUGAGUGCUCAAUUCAAAUGUGAAAAAUAGCACCUAACUAAUUGUGCGAGAAAAAAGAAAAGUAAAAAUAACUGAAAUCACAGACCAUAAAUCUUAAACUGUUGUAUAAAAGGCAGGCAGCAUAAAUACGGUGGUUAUUAUCAGCUACAGUAAUUAGAAAUCAUGUGCAAACCUGUGACCAUAUCAUAACACCAGCCAAAAAAGCAAGGGUGUGGAGUAUUUCAUUCUCCUCAUUGAAACCAGCCAAAACCACAAAGCUUCCUGAUUUCUGCAGAUACAAAAAGAAUUGGAUGGUGACAAUACAACCACAGAGUAGCUCCACUAACAUUGCAGCAAAGUACUUACCUUCCAAAACCAAGGCAAUAUCCCAUAGAACAAAAUAGCAGAGUCCAGAAGUAUAGUAACAAAUUCAUGAACAAAAUUGAAGUGGCUGAAAGUUAAGAGAUUCUUAGUGAGAAUCAAAGAAAACAUGCACUAAGAAUCAGAUUAGGAAAAGCUAAAAGAAUCAAUGCUAGCUAGUUGCAAUAAAGAAAAAACCUUUUAUCAAGACUAUAAGCUCGAGAUUUUUCAAACUUCUCCUGGCUGAUUACUCCUACCAGAGUUUUUGGGAGAAUUGGCAGUUUCAAAGCAGCACGUUGUCGCAAAUCCAAAUAGGUCUCAAAGAAAUACACGAGAAUCAUAAAACCUGAAAAAUCAGGACAAACCAAAGCAGUUGUUAGAAUCUCCAUAACAUAAAGCAUCCAACCACUGAUCCAAAUGUCAAAAAGAUUCAAAUAAAGUGUGACAAAGAAGCAUCAAAUUGCAACUAACACAACUGAUGUGUAUCUUAAUAGCCUCUAACUGUCGCAUUGUCAGCUGAUAAAUAUCAAAGAUACUAACAACAAAAGCGGAUGCAAAUGUUCAUUAGCAGCUCCUGCUAUUGGAGCAGGUGUGUUACCACAGUUGCACCUAUGGUGCAUCCUCAAUCAUCUAGCCCUAAAUUUGGUAGCCCUAAGAAACUCAGAAAAAUAAAAUCUCGAAAGUUGUCUCUAACUUUAGUUUCUUAGAAAUGAGAAAGCCUCAAACGAGCAUUAAGAAACAGUAAAACAAAAUGUUUUUUUCUUUUGUUGACCCAAGAUAUUAAAAAAAAAAAAAAAAACUUUUACCAUUCAACCUAAAUUUCUUCUUUUUCACUGAUUUUUUUCCCUCAGGAACCAAGAAAAGAUUUGUCUUCAUAAAUAAACUCCGGUACUUAAAAAAAAAAAAAAAAAAACCAAUAUCCAUGUUAAGAACCUCGAAUAAGCAUCGCCGUAACAGAAAUGUAUAAAAGGAAAAACAAGAUAAAAUCAAGAAAUGAAUAAAAAUUUAACGCAAGCUAAACCCUAAUAGAUGGCAAUCGCAAAAUAAUCGAAAAUUUUGUAGAAGAAUAAACGAAGCGUUAAGAGAAAGAUAAUGAGCUAAGAAUUAUUUUUUGAGUUGGGAGAUAAAGAUUAAAGAGAGAACAUAUACCAACUACAGCUUCCAUGUAAGGAAACGCCAUGGUCGAUACUCGAGGAAUCUGAGAGCUGCAGAGAGAAACAAAAAGGAGAGGUUUCUGCCUUAGCUUUCUUCAAGUGACGGUCAUGUUUGUGUUUUAUGAAAUUUUGGGUGUAAAGUAUUAAAUUAGAUAUCCGGUCGACCCGAAUGUUUUUUUUUUGGACUAGGAUUGACCCAUAUUUAUAACCCGCGUACGUGGGCUUAUACGAAAAGAAUUUUCUGGAGCUAGCAUGAAGAUAGCCCGUUUUGCUUGCAGUGGCACGUGCGUUUCACGUCAAAAAAAAAAACUAAAGAAUUCUUGUUGUUUUAAUAAUUUUUAAAAUUUAAAAAUAAUAGUAAAGGAAGGUUCAAUGGGUUUCAGGCUAGAAGAUGAGAAGAAAUUAUUCUCAUCCCUAAAUUCCAUUCACCUUUUUUUCAAGUUAGAAUAUAAAAAUUUUAGAUAAAAAUCUCAACUCUUAACCGUUAGGUUACAGGGCUGUUUUCUUAAUUUAUUUAUCAACUUAUUAACGAAAAUAAUGCACAAAAAAUCGUUUUAAACAAGGAUGGUGUGACUUUAAUUGGCAUUUCUCUUUAUUUUAAUAGUUGGAUUAAAUCUAAAGACACUACAUUUUCGUUAACAUGUGCUUAAAAAACACUAAAUUUUCAUAGAGUUUUGUACGGAAUAGUGAUAUCGUGCAGAAUUUUGAUCAAAGUUAAAAGAGCUUUAAAUUUAAAAAAUAAUGAUAUUUAUUUAUAAAUUUUAAAUGAUUUAAUACUCUAAAAUCUAUAUAAAUUUAUAUAAUAGACACUUUUAUACGAAAAUGCACCAGGACCAUAUGAUUUCAUAAUGGUACGGAUUUAGGCAAAGGACAUUAUUAACUCUUUUCAAAUAUACUCACCUAGAUUGGUUUUUAUUUCCCAUAAAAGCUUGCAUAGCACCAAUAAGAUAGCAUAGGCUUACAAAUCUCUAAGAGAAAAACCAUGAGGAGCCUCUACUUAGAAAAAAAAUUUAAGAGGUGGAGAAAUCUAUAAAGAAUGAACAUGUACUUAGAAAUAUUUCUAGGUGGUUGAGGGGAACUAUAGAAAAAACCAUUUCAAGGACUCUUAUCUUCGAACUCAUUGGAGAACUCUCACUAGAGGAACUCUUUUUAAAGGAACUCUCAUCUUCAAACUCAUUGGAGGAACUCAUUCCAUUGUAGGUUGUACUUAAAAAAUUUCUAGAUGGCUAGGGGAAACCCAGUGAGAGUGAGCCUGUACUUCAAAAAUUAUUUAAUAGGAUAAAAGGAACCCAUGAAGGUAGUGUUAUUGUAUUAAGGAGACCUCAUAUCAAUCUCUUAAAGAGUGUGUUAUUGCACUAGGAAGACCUCCAUACCAAUCCUAUAUGUUAUUGUACUAGGGGGAUCAAGUCAAUCAUUUAUUUGGUAAUUGUAGGGCUAUUGCCUUAGAAAGACCAGGUUAAUCCCUUCCUUGGUAAUUGUAGGGCUAUUUUUCUAGGGAGACUAAGUUAAUCCCCUUCAAGGAGAGUGAUGUUAUUACAAUAAGGACACCUUAUACCAAUCGCAUAGAGAGUGAUGUUAUUGCACUGAGAAGAACAAGUCAAUCCAUUUCUUUAAUAAUUGUGGGGUUAUUGCUCUGGGAAGACCAAGUUUAAUCUCUUCAUUGGUAAUUUUACCCUGUUAGUAUUAAUAAGAAAUAAAUAUCUCUUACACAAGCAUUAAUAAGAGAAAAUAUGGUCUUGAGGGAUUUUUUAUACACCAAAAGGUAUGAUCUAUAAUGCAAUUGAGCCCAUGGGAGUAGAGCUCUUCCUCUAGACUGGCCCAUAAAAGUUAGGCUCUUCGUCUAGAUUAAACCUAUGGGUUUUUAGGCUUUCAUGAGUUUUUUUAAGUCUGUUAAAUUUGGGUUCAUCAAUUAACUACUUUAAUUCACCAUAUGUUUUUUCAGAGCUUCUUAUGCGAUAAUGUGAAUGGAUACAACGAAUACUGACUUAUAAGUGAUGUAGAGAGAUGGAGAGGCAUAAGGAAGGAAAUGGUGGUGGUAGCAGCAAUAGUAGUAGUUAUUAACGUUUUUAUCCCUAAUGAUAGAUAGAUAGAUAAAUAGAUAUAAUGAAGAAAAGAGUCACGGCGGUGAAACAGAUUUAUGUGGGUCCCACUUCGGGUUUGAGAGUUAAUUUAUCAAUGUCAGUUAAUUAUCGAAUUCCUUAUCUCCUUCCUCCUGAUUGCAAUCUGAAGUUUCACUAACCAUAUUAAUUUUGGUUAUUAUGAUGUAUUAAUCCCAACGCUCCUUUCCAUUAAUGGGUAGAACUAGCCUCGAUGUCCACCUUUUCUCGUGGGGCUAAAAAUGUUUAUCCAUAAAAAACAUGUUCAAGUGCUGUAAGUGAGUUCGAAAAAAAAAAGAAUAUGUGAUUUAGACUACAUACGAUAAUUAAAAAAAAAAAGCAAUUACAGCAUAUGAAUAAAAAAUAAAAAAUGAUCACGAAAACUUGAGGAAAAAAUAUAUAUUUUUAAGUGGGACAAAUGAUAACUCAAUUCACAACUCAUUAAAUACAUGAAGACAAAAUAGGGUAAAAAAACCUAAAAACAUCAGCUCUUAUCAACCUAAAUUAACAUGACAAACAUGUAAUUUUGAUAAUUAGGGUCGAAUCAACUCGGGAUAUUCCGUCAAAUUGACGACCCAAAUCAUUAGAUCGAAAUAUCCCGAUUGAAAAAAACAAAAAAAAACUAUAAAACUCAUUUAAAAAAAAAUUAUCAACCAGUGUUAAUUUUUCAAAAUUGUAACCCUAUUUAAAAAAAAAUCAUGAAGCCUAAUUUCUAAUCAAUCAAAUAUUGAAGGUUGAAAUUGAAAAAAGAAUUUCAAUUGUACAAAAGGAUUUGAAACAAAAAAAAAACAAUUAAAAGAAUGAGUAUCAAAAUUGGAAUGUAAAAUAAAUUUUAUAUUUGAUUGAAGGGCGAAAUUAAAAAGAAAGAUCAAUUUAGUAUAAAGACCCAAAAAAUCAAAAAGAUGAUGAUCAAAAUUGACAUAACAAAUAAAAACAAAUUUUUUAUUGAAUGGUGAAAUUGAAAAGAAAAAUAACUUUAACAAAAGGAAAAGAAAAAAAAUGAGAACCAAAUUGGUAAAAAUAAUAUAACAUAAAUUUAGAUUGAAUAAUGAAAUUGCAAACAAAUAAAACUUUCACAAAAGGAUAAGAAAAAAAUCAAGACAAUAGGAACCAAAUUGAAAGAAAAAAAUACCAUAAAUUUGGAUUGAAGAAUGAAAUUGAAAACUAAUAAAACUUUUUCAAAAGUGCAAAGAAAAAAAAUUAGAAAUCAAAAUAAUAAAGACUGAAAUUUAAAUACCAACAACAAAAAAGAUCAAACUGUAAUUUUUUAAAGGAUGAGAGAGAAAAUAAAAAAAUUUCACCAACAACAAACAACUCCACCACCGUUGACACGAGCCACACGGAUGUGGUAGUGCUUUCAACAACACAAAGAAAAGAUGUUUUUUACUACAAAGAGGUGCUGCACAUACCUCUUAAAGUGCACAAGUGUCUUUCACACGUCGACGAGUGCUUCACAGCACCGAUAACUUUUUAUUUUUUAUUAUAUUUCUUUCUUUAUUGAAAGACCUAAUUGUUACUCAGCUGACUUGAUAAUAAUAAAAAAAAUCAUUGUGAAAAGAUAAAAAAACCUCUUGGAACUAGUUUUAAAUUUUUAGCUUCCAAUAGUAUCUUGGUGAUUUCACUAUAUGUUUUGUUCUUUUUUUUUUAUUAUUUUAUAUGUCUAGUUAAAUAUUAAAUUGCCCCUCAUAUAACAUUAUAACAUUAUGAAUUAUGUUAAAAACAUUGUAAAAAUACAAAAUUGUCUUAUAAUUCUAGUUUUAAUUUUUUUUUAUUCAAAUGGUAUUUUGAUUGUUUUAAUGUGCAAUUAAAAUAAAAUAAUGUAUUUAUCUCUAAUUAAUUUAAUAAUUACUAACACACCUUGUAAAAAGAUCUCAAUGCCCUCAACAACCAAUGUUUUUUUUUUUUUAAUAUGAGAGGCAAAACUAUCAUUACAUUCAUCUAAAUGAAGAAUAAAGUUUUUCCAAAGAGAUUUAGCUUCUGUUAAUGCAUGUUUUUAAUGUAUUUGCCCCCCUCCCCCUCCCCCUCCCCCUCGUGGAAACUGGAAACUAACCAAAAAAUAAAAGAAUUCCAACCAGCAAUGCUAGCUGUUAUUUGGUGUAUACUCGCCGCUUCGCUAACCAAUAUUCCCGUCAGUAGUGAGUAGAGAAUGCAUGCUUGAACACCAAAAGUUGGUUGACGUAUUCAGCCAUCAACAACCUUGACAAAAUUGCUUCUCAGAAUUCCCGCAAUUUCACAAGGCGUGAUGCAGUAGCAUAUGAGUCAUGCAAUGCAUGUAGCCAAGCAUGCUCAAUAAUCACAUGUCUUUGACACCAAUAUGCAGUCUGAAUAAUGGACAUUUGAAGAACGACACGUUGCGUUGCAAAAUAUUACAUUGAUCUUCCUUUGAUUUUUUAUGAACUCGUUCUCCAAAAUAGAUUUUGAGGGAAACAGAUUAGAUAAAUCUUUCGUCUGUUGCAUCAAAUUUGGGAUCCAACAAAUACUGCAUGGAAAUGGUUGAGACUUGGAUGGGGAUAAUAACUCUUAUAAUCAUCGCCUACUCCUUUCCUUCGAUUUUGAAUCAGAGUGGUGCGCCUUCGAUUUCUUCUUGCGAGGCUGAACGGCACCACCACCUUCUAUAAAUGGCAUACCCAUGAGAGACAAGAGUCUCUGCGCUUCUUGAUCGGUGUUGGCUGUGGUUGUAAUGCAAACAUCCAUUCCCCUGUGUUUACCAACUGCAUCAAAAUCAAUCUCUGGGAACACACUCUGGUCGCUAAUUCCAAUGCUGUAGUUGCCUUGUCGAUUAAAGCUGUUUGGGGUCCCACCUUGGAAAUCCCUUGUUCUAGGCAGCCCCAAGUUAACAAGUCGAUCUAAGAACGAGUACAUCAUCUGUAAUAUAUAAUCAAGGAUCCAAGUUACAAAAUUUCCAUGUAAAAUUAAAAAGAAUGCAACCAGCAAAAUGCACCAGGAUACAAAUUUGGUAAUGAGAUGAACCUGUUAUGAUCUGAUCUGAUCUAAACAGCAAGUAAAACCAGGACACGAGCAACAAGAUCAAUUGCUGACAAAUUACAUGAUGUGUUGAUUCAAGAUCAAAGUGGCAUGGGAGUGUGUACAAGUAUAAGAAUGCCCUACUCGGAAGCACAGACCAUUGUGAUAAAAGACAGAAGACUGAAAACAAGCUCUAGCAUAGAGCUGAAAAGGAACAAAUCUCCCACAGUAGAGUAUUGGUGAUCAUCUUGAUACUCUACCUAUGGACCAUAGCCAUCAUAUCUACCGUGUUUCUUCUAAAAUCUCUUUGAGGAGCAUUGCCAUCAUUGAAGUGAAUGGUCAUACUCAAAGAAUCCAUCAUCUUGAGCAAUCACUAUAUCUCCCUCGUGCAGAAGUGAAAACCAAAAUAAAAAAAAAAUUCAUACACUAUCAUUCAAAACUUGACAGUAAGCCUCAAAUCCUGUUUAGAAUCGGAGUUUAAAAGCAUUUUUUCUGAGGAUCAAACGAGAGAAAUCCCAUCAUCUAAUCAAAGUGAGAAGCUCAAUUCCAAAAAUCAAUAACUUUUCCUUCCCUAAUAGCCAGUAUCAUCGGCUAAGCUAAAUGCCCCUACCAUUGAUCUACAUGCUACUAAAAGCACACAUCGUCGAAUCAGCCAUGAAAAUAAUUAUCACAAAAUUAUGCAUCCUGGCAUUUCUUCUCUAUCUAUAAGGAAGCUCCAGAUAUGCAGCAUCAUUCACCCUUGCACCUGUAACUUCAACUAUACCCAAGCAGCUUCUCCCAACAGAUCCAUCUUUAAAAUCAUUUUCCUCAAAGCCCCCUCAAAAACUACAACACCCUUCCAAAACACAAAAGAAGAAAUCUUGCGCUAUGAUGUCCAGAUAACAUGUAGCCUCUAGAGUUUAGACUCCUAGCUAACUUUAUCAUGAAAUGUGUAGCCACAGCCAUGAACAUAAACAAGAAAAUUCGAUAAAGAGAAAAAACAAAAAUGCUCACAUUUCCUCUGAGUGUAACAUAAAUACCAAGUGGUCGGGCUUCCCUACUCUUGAAGGCAUUAACCGCAUUCUCGGCCCCCGUCUUUACGGGUCUUUGGCCUGUGAUAAGAGCCAAAUCAUUUAUCGCUGCCUCCACCUCCUUAGAACUCUGCGCGGCAUCUCCAAUCCCACAACUCACCACAACCUUCUGAAUUCUUGGAACCUAAAGAAAUGAGAAAUCCAGAUUUUAGCAAAUUGCUAAUUAGAAUAACUUUAUCAGUAAAUUGGAAAAUUUUUAAAGAGUUACCUGGUCAAUGUUGGUGUAACUGAACUCUUGUAACAGCAAAGGGACGAUUGUUUCAAGGUAUGUGGUUUUGAGCCGAAUGCUUUUGUCUGCUUCUGAUUUGUCCACCAAGACAAAUUCUGCAGUGGUUCUCACUGAUAUCACCCCAUUCUGGGUUCCGUACGGUGCUCGUGCGGUUAAGCGCGAUGGGAGAGUGGGGAAUCGGCCGUGAAACGACGCCGCCAAGGAGCGUAAGAGCGAAUGAGUGGCCAUUUUUCUGGUUUGAAGGGAGGGGGUUGGACUCCGAGAUUCUGUUGGUAGGGUUUAGUGUGCGGGGUUGUGAAAUGGGUUCGAAGGUUGAACUUAUUUACGCAAGUGCCAUUUAGGUUGAUGCUGGCGUGGGUGUGUUGUAAAUUUUGGGAAUUGUUUUGUCAUGGUGAGAGGAUAAGAGGGAUGGCAAAUUACGAUUUUGCCUUUUUCUUCAUGGGAAAACAAUAAAUGUUGUGGUGAUAAAAAAAAGUUAUUCUCAGUCCGUGCUAUCCCUCUUGUGAGCGAGAGGAAAAAAUCAAAAAAUUGAUUAAAUUGAAAAAAUUAAAAAAAAUAAUUGAAAAAACUAAAUAAUGAAAAAAAACUGAUUAAACCGAUUAAAAUUUAAAAAAAAACUGGCCGGUUCUGUUUGGUUCUGGUUUUAUAAGCCUGAAACCGAAAAAACCGAACCGAACCGAACUCAAACCGAAAAACAGGAAAAAACUGAGCCAAACCAGAAAAACCGAGUCAGAAUCAGAAAAAACAGAGAAAACCGGUUAGAACCGGUUUUUGUUCUAAAAAACCGAACUGAAACCGGUCGGUUUGAACCGGUUUCGGUUCGGUUUUAGUUUUUUUUAAAAAAAAUUCAGUUUGGUUAUUUUUUUAAUAAAAACUGAACCGAACCGAAAAUCAUCAUCCUUAUUUUUAACUGUGGUAGCUGUAGUUUUGUUUUUUAUUAUUAAUAUGGGUAUUUAAACCAAUUUUUGUAUAUUUUAAUUAAUUUUAUAAAUUUUAAAAUUAAUAAAUAUUUUAAUAAUAUAAAAAACUCGAAUUCAUGAUGAUUAAAAAAACAAACUCAAUAACUGUUACCCCUCAGAAUUGCAAUUGCAGUUCUUACAUUGCGAAACAUCAUGUAGUAGAUUUUUUCUCCAGCACUUAUUAGAAGCAAGAAAUAAGUGUGGAAGGAGAAUAUAAUAUACAGAAUAAUUUUGCAAGUUAAAAGGAAUCUUUGCUAGAGUGGUUGCUUUGUAUUGUUCAAUAGUCAAAGCAAUAAUUAUUAUAUUUAUAUUAAAAGAAAAUGGUGUUUUCAUGUAUAAAUAACAUAAUUAUAAAUUUUAUAAUUUUUUUAUUAUAGCAAUAAUAAAAUUAUAAUUUUUUGUUUUUUUAAUAGGAAGCAAGCUUUUUUUAUAUAUUUUUUUCUCUUUUUAUAUUUAGUAUUUUUAUCAUUUUAUACUUGGCCUAUUUAUCAUUAUUUUUUUCUUAUCUUUAUUUUUUUAGUUUUUUCUUUUUUUUCUUUACAAUUUUUUUCAAAAAAAUAAAUAUUAGUUUUAACACUUUGAAUAUUUAUCCCUCUACACUUGGCUUAUUUAUUUCAUUUUUUUGUUCUCAUAUUUAUUAUUUUGUAUUUUUUUAAUUUUUUUUCUUUACAUUUUUUUUAAAAAAAUUAUUAUACAAAGACUAAGAAAAUUGUUUUUUAUUGUAGCAAUUGCAACAUAAUUUUUUUUUCUGCUACGUUAAAAAUUAGAUUGAGAUCUUAUAUGUUUUUAUUAACGCAUAUGAUAUUCACUAUAUUUUAUUAUAUAUAAGCAUUAACUUUUUAUUCACAGUUAUAUUUUUUAUCCGAAGUAAAAAAAAAACAUGUUAACAAUACAUACACAUUAAUUUUUUUGCAAAAAAAAAUAUUCAACCUGCAGCGAGGCGAGUUAAAUAGACGCAUUAACACUUUGUUUUUUAUAUUUAUUGACACCGAUAAUUUUUGAUGUAUUUAAUUAAAUAUACGCGUAGACUUUUUAAUUUUAAAUUAGUCUUAUAAAAAACACAUUUAGAAAAUUUACAUAUUUUUUUAUCAAAAAAAUAAAAUUAUUCAACUGAGGAAGCAGGUCAAAUAACUAGUGUGACUAAUUCAUGCUAAGAGCGCAUGACAUUUGAUUAUUUGGAGAAAUUUGGCUCGGCAUUUGAUUGGUUUGAGAUAUUUUUACAGAUAGUAGGAGUAACAGCUUUUUGUUUUUUCAAAAUUUAAUAAAUAAUGACGUGAAAUUUUAGUGUGAUGGGUGAAAUUUUAGUGUGUUGUGACUCUAAUCAGUAUAGGUGUUUUUAAAUUGAAAAUUUAUUAAAAUAAUAUUUUUUAACACAUUAAAAUAUUUAAAAAAAUAUUCAUUCAAAGUUUUUCAAGUAUAAAAUAAUUUGACAAAAAAGUUCAAUCAUAAAAAUAAACACUCCCUAAAAUUAGGCUGUUAGGAGAGAUAAUUUCUAAGAAAUUUCUUAAGUUUUUACAAGUUUAAGGUAUUUUUGAAACAUUAUGAAAAAAUUAUGAAAAAUUAAAGGAAGAAGGCAUGGCCACCCUAGUUGACUCUGAAAUUGUUUUAGAUUCCGUUUAGUACUGUGAUAGUAAUUAUUUUUUAAAAUAUUUUUUAUUUGAAAAUAUAUUAAAAUAAUAUUAUUAUUUUUUUAAAAUUUGAAAACAUGAAAAAAAAAUUAAAAUGUAUAAACAAACAAAAAAUAAUAAUAGUUAUGCAUGAAGUUUGAGUUUGUGAUGACAUUGACACCAAAGGUGAUUGCCGUGGGAAUAUAAUGAUAAUAAUGAUAGAGAAAGUACAUGGAAUUGAUAAUUAGGUGAUGGUAAUGAAUAUAAGUUAUUGCCAUGAAGUUGGUGGUAAAAUAAUGAUAACGGUGGUAUUAUGAUAGAUAAAUUAGAUAAUUGGCAUAUAAAAUAAAAGGAAAUAGUGAAUUAAUAUAACAAUAAUUUUUUUUUUGGUGAAAUAACAUAUUUUUUUUUUUAGAUAUUAUGGUUUUAAAAUAUAAUGAUGGAUUAAAAGUAGUGUUUUUUUGUUGUCAUAGUCACAUCAAUUAAACUUCAUGAUUGUCUGAUCAACCGUUCCAUAAUAGUCAGUUAAGUUAGCCGAUCGGCUAACACUAAAAAACAGAGAUAAACUUCUAUGUGAACACUAUUUUUUUUUUUAAUUGAUGUAUUUUUUUUAGCCUCUAAGUUUGGCAAACAUGUAUAUUUUGACUCAUAAGAUAUAUUUAAAAGAAAAAAAUUCAUAAAAUCUUAGUUUUUGUGUGAACCAGUCGACCGGUUUAUAUAGCUGGAUCAAUCGACUGAUCGGUUAAGCCAGACGAUUGGUAGUGAGGCUACUAACCCAUAUAAAUUUAAUAAAAAAAUAGUUUUUUAUGAGAUUUAUUAUUUAAUUUAUUAAUCUGACAUUUAAUUUAGUCAAUGAUUUUAUAGAGUUAAAAAUUUUAUAAUUUUAACAAAAUUUUGGUAAAGUUUCUCCUGUACAGGAACUAUACUCAAAAUUUUAUCCUGUUUAAAAAAAACCCGCAGAAAACAACAAUAAUCAAGCUCAACAAAUUUUCACAUUUUAUAAUCACAAGUAAACCUAGAAAUGCAAAUAAGAAAACAUAUAUACAUGCUAGAUGAAUCUAAAAUACUUAAAUAAUACAACAUUCAAGUAAUCAAAAUCCCAAAAUAUAUAAACAUAACUCAUCUAUCUAUCUAUCUAUAUCCACAUAGUCUACUGGAUGAUUCGGGCUUAUCAGUUUAACGACUAGAUCCAACUCUUACACCUACUUAAAUGGCUCCACUCUUUGCCAUGGCGUCAUCAAGAAUUAACCUCUCUCCAAAGAUUUCAAGUCCAAUACGAUAAAUAUUGAAUCACCAUGAUGCAAAGGUGCAACUUUCAUUUUUUUUUUUGUCAAAAUUAUGAAGCAUGAAUGUAGUCUAUUGACCAUCUCAUAGCAUGAAGUCAGCCUAGUAUUAAUAAAAUAUUAAUAUUAAAUUACAAAAUCAAUAUGUAAAACUCAAUGUUUAGCAUAUAUUAAUUAUUUAAAAAUUAUAUUACUUAUAAUAUUUUGAAUUUGUUAUGCAUGUUGCUUAUACUGCAUGUAUCCAGGUGAAGAAACUUGCUUCAAAUUCAAAGUAAUGACUUGACAAGUGAUGUUCAUGUACCAAAUCAAAUACUUCUCAUUUGUAACCACAAGAUGCAUCUCUGUAAAUAUUUUAUUCCCCAUCCAUUUCAUUUUGAUACAUAAACUUCAUGACAACUUAACUAGACAUAAUUAUUAUUUUUAUCCUUACAAGUUAUGACUUGCAAAAUAUUAUACGUAUCGAUGUCAACCAUAAUAUAUUAUAUGUAACCGAAUUAAUAUAUUACCCGAUCUAGAUAAUAUAGCUCAAUCAUUUUAAAAAAUAUUAGCGUAACUACUAAUAUCCAUGUGUAUCUCAAUAAUGCACAAGUCAGAACAACAACUAAUUUUCCAUUAAAAUAAAGCGUUCAAAUGAGAAAAUGCACAUUUCCUUGCAAUAUAUAUAUAUAUAUAUAUUUUUUUUAGUUUAACGUGGGUAUCCGGACCAGCUUGCGCGCACCUCGACUAAUCCCACGGGCCCUGAAGUUAACGACCAUGUAAGCCUCCAGUGGCCAUUAUAUGAGCAACCACAGGACUCGAACAUGAAACCACAGAGGAAGCAAACCUCUUGAUCCCAAGUUCUUACCAACAUGUACCCAUUUUAGCUGUCGAUGCAGAUUAAAACUUAAGAAUAUCAAUUCUACCCGAGAAAAAAAAAAAAAAAAAACCUGCGAAGAUUGCUGGAACCAUUACGCACCCAUUAUUCCAGCCUUUUACUUUCUUUCAAUCAAAUAUUCAAACUUUAAUUUUUGUCAUUCAAGUACGUUGGCAUUUCUGUCAUAUUCAAAUAUUCAAAUUUCGUCUUUCUUUUUUCACUCUCUAUUGAUGUGGUAGUUGACCUUGACCCACUAACUUCAAAUCUUUUUAGCUAUAGUCACGCUAUGAAAGGGAAAAAAUUUCACUUUCUAUGGAAAAAUCCUUCAAAACUUCCAUUACAAAUUAGGUUCGAUCUAAAGUAUUUUAAAAAUCACCUUUAGUUACUAUUUAUUCACAUAUUUUUCUCCACACUGUGCUAAAAUUUUAUUUUUUUUUAAUUUUAUCAUCAAGCAAAAGGAUCACGUAAAGAACAUAAAUAAUUAAUAAUUUUAUUUAUUGAAUUUAACAUGAUAAUCCAGUUAAAAAAUAAAAAUUAUUCAAUAAUACAAAUUUUGCAAAAAAUACCUUGGGUGUAUAAUUAAGAUUACUCUGAUAAUUAGACGAUAGAUUAAGAAUAUAUCCUAUAUAUAAUAUUUGCAUUUCUUAAUAAUGUUAAUUAACAUAAAACUUAAAAGAGAUCAGUAAUACAUUACAUUGCGGACAAUUCACCAUGAUUCAAGCAGUGAAUACCACUGAUUUUCUUCAAUGAGUAUCAUUCUCUCCACUCCUCACACUUUUGUUGCGUUGGCUCGUAUUCUUUGCAUCUCCCCUUAGUUUCUGGUCAUUUGCUAUUGUUUUUUUUUUUUGUUUUUUUGGUCAAGAGAAUCAAAUACUUUUAGGGGUGUUUGAUAUUGAGAUUAAACCUAAUUUUUUAAAAAAUCUUGAAUUUUUUUGCUUCAAAUUGAAAAAGAAAAGCGAUUCAGCGCUAAACCAGAUGGAAUCACCAUGCACGUGCCAUAAAGGGAGAAAAAGAAUGCGAAGACGAAUCAAAUGAUGCGGCAUUAACACUGCCUUGACCACUAGAGUUAGUUGCAUGCUCCUUCUAAAAGCGAUACAAAGGCGUUGCAUGAGUCAACAAGUUUUUUUUUUUUUUGACAAAUAAGAUAUGUCCCUGGGAUUAAGUGAUAAUAACAAAAAACAUCAUUAUGAAAUAAAAGGUCCUGUAAUCAAGGGUAAAAAAUUUUGAUGGCAAGAGAGAUUGAGUCAUUACAAUGAUCAUAGUAAAAUGAAAUUCCUAUAAAGCUCAGAUACCUAAUGUUAAUAUAUUUUAACUUUUAAGGGCAGUACAAUUAUUUUACCGUUAUAGGAAAAUGGAAAAGACAUUGUUGCUCCCGAACAAAAUAAAGAGCGACAAAUUAAUCUCAUGAAAAGAUCAUUUUACCCCUCAAGUCUAGUCCGUCUAAUUUUCCUUGUUAAGGGAAAAAAACUAUAAUAUUACCGUUAUAAUCCAUAGUAAAUCCACAGUAAAACCAUAUAAAGAUUUUUCCACGCCAUUUACGUUUUUAUAACUAGAUUGUUGGCCCAUGCCAUGCUGAGGCCCGAACAAUUGUUUUUAACAUAAAAAGAUUUACCUAAAUAUUGCUAACAUUUUUCUAAUAGAAUUUUUUAUUUUGAAACCAUGUGAGGGUUGUCUUGAUAUAACUCGAUUGAGUUGACAUGUUAAAAAACAACCCAGAUAAAUAGUAAAAUUAUAGUUUGAUUAAAAAAAAUCAAAAUGAUGUUUUUUUUAAUAUUGAAACGACAAUUUAUUUGAUUGAUCUAAUUUGCUAAAUCCACAACUCAUAUCAUGAAACCAUGAUAAUUCCAUAUAAAGUGAAUCAAAACAUAUUAUGAAACUCAAUCUCCAAAACCCAAUAUUGAAUGAUUAAAUUGAAAAAAAUAACCUAAGUCAAUUUAAGUUAACCUGCCAAGUUCAUGACCUUGAUCAUGAGACUAAAAUAACCUUAUAAAAAGUAAAUCAAAACAAAUUAUGAAACCUAAUUCCCAGCCAAUCUAUUAUUAAAAGAUGAAAUUGAAAAAAAUAAAUAAAAAGGGGCAUAAAAAUGACCUGAGUCAAUCUGCUAAACUCAUGACCCAGGUCAUUAAGUUGGGAUAACCUCAUAGAAAAUAAACAAAAAAAUAACUUCAGACAACAUGCCAAACUUGUAUCUAGAUCAUGAAAUUAUGAUAACCUUAUAAAAAACAAAUUGAAAAAAUUAUAAAACCCAAUUUAUAAUGAGUCCAUUUGAUGAAAUGGAAAAUAUUUAAUCUAAAAAAAUGAUACAAUAAAAUGACCUAAUGCUUCUCUCGCUAAUUCGUAGUACCCGUGUUCCAGGUCAUGAGAUUGAAAUAACUUCAUAGAAAGCAAAUCAAGACAAAUUAUAAAACAUCAUUCCUAAUAAACCAAAUGUUGAAGGAUUAAGUUAGAAUAAAAAACUCAAUUAAAAAAAGAUUUUUUUUAGUCAAUUAAGUUAAUCUGUUAAACCUAUAACAUUGAUUACGAGAUCAAGAUAAUAUAAUAAAAAUAAAAUAUGACAAAUUAUAAAGUUUAAUUUCAAAUAAAUAAAAUGUUAAAUAAAAAAAUAAAAAAUAUAUAUUAUUAUAAUAUAUAGUGUUUUGUAAAUAGUGCAGCAUAAAAGCACCACCUCUAAAAUUUAAUUACUAAUCAAUCUAAUGAGUUUCGAGACUUAGACAGCACUAAAAAAAAUAAAUCGUAAUAAAUGAUUAACCUCAAUCUUCAUUAAUUAAAAUGUUAAAUAAUAAUAAAAAUGUAUUUUUUUUUAAAAAAUUGCAAUGAUUAAUAUUUUAUAAGGUAAUUACCGCUUCUUUUAGUUUUUGUUAAUUAAUAAUAAUAAUAAUAAUAAUAAACAGGAGCUCAAAAUACACGCACUAAGUUAGCGCGUAUGAUUAUCCAACAAACACCAUUUUUUUUUGGUAGUAGUUGUUUUAUUAAAACUCUCUCUUCUUGCCAACCUUAGCUUGUAUAUUGUGAAUAGCGUCAUUUCUGCAACUCUUUGCCGUGUGCAACUCCCAAUCUCUCUCUCAAAAAGAAAAGAAAAGAAAAGAAAAGAAAUAGCUCCAAGCUCCCCGAUCCAAUGGAAAGUAUCGGAGCUUGAAACCCUGAUUUUCACCUCCCUCUCUGUCGCGCUCUUUCUCUCUGCUUCUCCUUCGAUCCAGGUAGCUCAUUCCUCGACAAAAACCCUAGUUUUGGAGCUCCAUUUAUUAGCUAAAAUGAAAACCUAGGAUUUAGAAUUUGUCUAAUUCGAUCUAAACUUGAACUUCUUUAUCUUAGGAAUUUUUAUAAUCAAGCGUUUUUUUAGACGGUUUAGGGUUCAAGAUUUCAAGUUCUUGAUCUUAAAAAGAAAGAAAGAACGAAUGAUUAGUGAUUUUUUGUACAUACGUGAAAUUCGAGCUUCAUUUUUGUGCCAAGUAAGGUUUUGUCCGUGUCUCUUGUGAAUUUAAUUGUGGAUGGAGCUGGAUCAGAUAAUGGUUUUAGCGUGAUAUUAGCUUGUAUUUGGCCAUUUCUUGGUUGGUACUGAAUUCGAUGUCUUGAAUCUGAUUGGAUAUGUGUUGAUGGGUUUUGGAUUAGCGAGAUAGACGAAUUUCUGGUCGUGAAUUAGCAAAUUUUGUUAGCGAACUUUACUGGGUUAUAUCGAGGAAUAGUUUUUGACAUAUAUAGUUGGUGAAAGCAGAGAGAUGGUGAUAGGAAAUAUGGGUAUUGCUUAGCGGAUGCGGGAUUUUGUAAAUUUGAGCUCACAUGUAGUGAUUAGUGGAUUAGAGAACGGGAGUGACUGAAUUGUGAUCGGCUGUCAAUAUAAUCAAGUUUUAGCAGAAUGAGUUUACAAAGUGGAGAUCUACCUGGACCGAAUCAGCACGUGGAAACGAGCAAUGAAUCACGAAAGUAAUGACAUUUCUUUCUCAUGUUUUCUGUUUUUGUGGCGUUGUUCUUUUUAAUUUUGAUGGGGUUUUUAGCAAGUGAUAUUGGUUGUUUGAAUGGUACAGGAAGCUAAAAAUUUCAUAUACAAGAGAAUUUCUACUAUCCUUGAGUGAAUUGGAUGUUUGCAAAAAAUUACCAAGUGGAUUUGAUCAAUCACUUCUAAGGUAAGUUGUAGGUUACGUGGUCAAGCCUUGUCUGUAGAAUCCUUAUCCCUUCAAAAUUUGAAUAAAAUGGUGUCCCUGAUAGUUGGUACUGCUAUUGCUUUCUUCAUGUGUUGUGAAACUAAUUCCCAUUUUCUUCCCUCUAACAGUGAACUCGGGGACACUUCACAGGAUCGAUAUAGAAUUCCUGGCAGUGCAUCAUCACAAAGUUUUAGACGUAAUGAUUAUAGCUCAUCCCCACCCACUAGAGGGGAUUCAAGUAAUUUUUCUCGGGGUAUUCAUGGAAGGUGGGAUAGCCGUUCCUCUGGAAGGAGUGACCGGGACAGUGACUCACAAUCUGAUUGGGAUUCAGGUAAGGCUUGACAUAAUUUUGCUAUUCUGUUGAUCUUUCUGUCAUAGGGACUAGUUGCAUUUUUGGGUCCUGGUAAUAGUUAAACAGUGUCGUGUUUUACUUGCAAGAAUUAUAUCAAUGCCAAUGCUAUGGUUAAUUUUUCACUUUUGUUAUGAUAAGCUAAAUGGAAAAGGUGUUAAGCUGUGAACAUCUGAUUACUAUACCAAGAGUGGGCAAGAAUCCCCUUCCUCUGUCAGCUUGAUGGGCUAGUAUUUAGAAAAUCGGUGUUUCAUCUUCAUGAGGUGCAUCUGAAAGUAAUAUCUUGAACAUUUUGUAAUUUAAGCUGUUUAUUAGUACUGAUCUUAACUCAUAUUUGAUGAGUUUGUUAAGUGAUAUGCUGUUUCAAAAUAUGAUAUUUUCAAAUGGCUCUUUCAACAACUACUGGGACAGUGUUUGAGUUUUCGUUGUUAUCCUUCCUGGCCAACCCUGAUUAGAUGCAAACCAUUUUUUCAACAUGUUCGAGAGAAAUCCCAGGCUGAUGUGUGUGGAUGUAGCCCAAAUGUGAAAUUGCUCACCCCUGACAGCCAAGAGAAUCGAACUCAUGUUGUGUGUUGAAACUACAUAACUUGAGUAAACUCUAAAUCAUCAGUUCAACUCUGCCAUUUCAAAUAAUAAUUAGUUUUUAAAUAGUAAACAGCUAUUAUGCGACUCAGGUAACCCUCCUUUCUUCUCUUUUUACAAAGAAAUGAGAAGCUGAUUAAGCUGGCCUUUUAGUAACGGAAAACUAUGAAUCACAAGGAAUAAACUCACUUAUUUUUCCAGAAAAAUACUGAAUCACAGGCAUGUGAUAUUUAGAGACUUUUGAAUAGACACAUGCAUUUUCCCAGGAAAAAAAUGGUGUUUCAUAGGAACAAUCUAUUGACAGGAUCUUUAAUGUGGGCAAAACAAAAAAAAAUUGGCCGAUGAUGACUGGAAUACUUGAACAAGUUUUGUCAAACCUUAAAGCUGGCUACUAUUUCGAUGCAAGUUGGUUUAUCAUAUCAUGGCUUAACCUGCUCAUGAAAUUUAAAAGCAUGUUUUAGUUGCUUGCAGUUAAUUUCUAGCCAACACCACACAGGAAAUGUGGGUGCAUACAUAUCUUUACUCUUUUGGGCUUUUCAAGGAAAGCAAGCCAAUACAUUUGUACCUUUCUUUUGAACUCUAGGAAAUUAGUAGAAGUUAGCAGUAUGAUAUAUACCAAUUCCGUGUUAUUCCAGCUUCUCCUACCAUGAAUGAUAUUGUUAUAAAAUGACUUGGGUUUGAGAAGUUUAUGGCUGAUUUGAGUUUGGUACAUACUUCCUCCAAAGCUUGGCAGCAGGAGAUAGGAUGCAGUUUGUAGUUCAUGCAUAGUACCAGUAUGUACCCUGACAUCUUUAGAGAGGUGAAUUGGAAUUUUUAGCAUUCAUUUUUCUUUUCUGUCAUGCCAGAUGACUGGGACAAAAGAGUAGAUUGAUGAAUGUUCCGUGUUUGCAUCUGUCAUGCGCUACCAAUGAGUUGAAUUCAGUUGGCUUCUCAUAUAAUGCUCUUGGGAGCAACAAAAGGAGUCUCAAUGUGUCUUUUACUGCUGUCAUAUACUGCUCAAUUCUGCGGCUACAAUUUGAUAUAUGUUGUCACUGAGAUUUCAGUUACUGUUGAUCUGUGAUGCAACUAUCUGAAUUACAAAUCCUGUAACAUAGUUAUUGACCGGAUGAAUGAUGUGUAUAUGUCUAGACGCUGGAAGGCGUUAUGGCAACCAAUCCCGGCGAUCUGGGCAAGUUCCUGAGCAUGAUGGACUUCUUGGAAGUGGUUCUUUUCCUAGACCGUCUGGAUAUGGUGCAGGGCUGUCAGCUCCAAAGUUUCGAUCUAAUGAUCAAUUCCAGCUCAAUAAGAGUAAUGAGCUGUAUCAACCACCUCGUCCUUAUAGGGUUAGGCCUAUUCUUUUUGUCUUUUGUUAGUAUGAUUCUGCUUGCAAAUUUUAAUCAGACAUAUAAUGUCUAUUGAGUGGGUUUGGUGGUAUGUGUAGCUUUUAAUAAGCACUCUAGUCCUUAUCCAGGAAGUCUCCUCUUGAAGUUUGUUUUUAACUCUUCCCUGUAAUAUUUCAGGCCAUGCCUCAUUUGCGUAGGGAAACUGACUCUCUUAAUGAUGAAACAUUUGGUUCUUCUGAAUACACGAGUGACGAUAGGGCAGAGGAGGAAAGAAAGAGAAGAGGUAAUGUCUCUGUUUUGAUGGGAUUUAUAUGGAAGAGCAAGUAAAUAUACUUUGCUUCUAGUUUAGUGAUAAGUUUCCUUCAGCGAAUGCAAGUUUAACAUAUCAUGUCCUUUCAGCUUCUUUUGAAUCAAUGAGGAAAGAACAACAUAAAGCUUUUCAAGAAAAGCAGAAACUGAAUCCAGAAAAGUCUAAAGAUGCAUCUGAUGUUACUGAGUUACUGGAGGACUCAAAAGAUAAUAAAAGACUUCUGAAUGGAAGCAAUGAAUUGGACAAGACAGUGAUCCAGCCUAUGCCAGUUAAUGAUCCUGAUAAGCCUCUAUACCCCUUACAAGCUCCUGUAUCUAGACCUCUUGUGCCCCCAGGAUUUUCAAGCGCCAUAGUAGAGAAGCAUGCUGGAGCAAAAUCUUUAACCAAUUCUGAUCCCUCAGAGGUGAUUCUCUUAUAUUUUCUCAAAUACAUAUGCAGUGAAAAGUUGGCAGGCAGAAUACUGUUUGUUUAUAUCUUUUUCCUCGAGAUUAUUUUUGACUAGCAAGCCUCAGGAUCCUUCUGGUUAAUGGAGUAACAAUGUUUUAUUUGCGGAGAAAUAUUCUACUUUCACACCUCAUCAGCAAUCAGCAGUGCUUGAGAGAUCACCUAACAUACCAUAAACAUGCAAGUGCCUAUCAUAUGGAAUUGCAUUGUCAAUCCGUGUAUCAUCAUAGUCUUGCUGUGCUGUCACAGUAUCAUCUACUAAUCCAAUUAAGCACAAUAAUAUGGAAUUGCUAGUAUAUCUCUUGAAUGAAUAUGUGAUUGCCUUGUUUGUGCUGCCUGUGAAAAUUGUCCGGAAGUCUCUUGGCUGAGGUUGAAAACACUUGCAUUUUCAAAGGUUGCUUGAUUGUCUCCUUUUCCUUUUUAGCUUUUUGUUUGUUAUAUGAUAUAUUGCCAUUUACUUGUUCUUCACACACCAAUUUCGGUUUAGAUCUUAUUUAUAUAGUUUAGCUUGCAAAAUAAUAUUUGGUACUGAUCAAGUUGAAACACAGUGUAAAAAUCAACAGAUUGAUCAUAUGUUUGUGAAAGUAUUAUGUUGCCCUGAUUUUUCUAUGUUUUGAGAUUCAUUCUCCAAUUAUGAUUGUUUGUGAUGUUUGAGUCUAAUUAUUUGUUAAUAAAUCAUCACCUUUUAUGAACUGGUCUCUUAUUGAUUUGCUAUAGGUUGACAUUGAACUUGAGGGAAGCCUUUUGCAAAAAAAAGGUACUCAUGUUUUAGAUGAGACUUCAAAUAAUCAAGAUGGAAAACAAUUUUCGGAGGAAAUGGAUUUGAAUGCGCAGCAUUCUAGAAGCCCAAGUGCUUGUGUUUCUGUUGAUAACAAGAGCGAAAAUAUUCUGAAUUUAGCAGCAGCUUUGGAUGUUUCAAGUAAAAGAAUUGGUUCUAAGACUUCUAAUCUUCCAGAAGCCUUUAUAGAUUCUGAGAACAGUGAAGCAAUAGAUCUUGGUGCUGAGAAUGUGCCAGGGAAUAAAAAUGUGGGUGAAUCUGGAUCCCAUUCAACCUCAAUUCUGGACAAGCUUUUUGGCAGUGCUUUAACACUAAAUGGUACUGGUUCCUCCAGUUUCAUCGAGGUAACCGAACUCUCUUUCUCAAUGCACACAUUCCUAAUCACUUCUUUUUAAAAUUCUAUUUUGCUGAAUUCCUCAGCUGGUGCUAAUUUUAAGUGAUGUACCUGAAUUAAUUUUGUUCAAUUUCAGAAUCUUUAGAUGUCUUCACAUAUAUUUGUGUAUAUGUAAAUGCAAGCUGGUAUCUGUUAUAAUUUUUCCCUAACCAUAGAUAACUGAACUCCUGUCUUCCACGUUUCUGGGUUUAUGUUCACCAGAGUUUUGGACAAGUUUUCAAAAGGUUUAUCAAGAAUACAUCAUAUUUUAGCAUGGUUUGUAGACGCUUAUAGUAGUAAAAUGAAAAGUUAUGACGGAGUUGCCAUGAAGAUUGUGUCAUACAAGUCUCAUGAAAAAUUUGCGGUGCAAAAAGUAAAAUUCCAGCCUCCAGCCUCUCCAAAAUAAGAAAAUAAGAAAACUCUGUAAUUUUGCUAUCUGUAUUGGUAUUCGUCACUUUAAUCCCCAUAAAAAGGUAUGAAGUUGAAUGCUAUCAACUUGGUUGGAUGAACUUCACCAAUCCAAAUGAAUUUUCUCCUUCAGUUGGUACUGCAUGGAUUCACACCCUGCUAAUUUUCUUCUUUCCAGUAAAUGAAUUUGUUGCCUGCAUCAUAAUUGGAACAAGUGCCUUUUGCAGUAGUAUUUUGUGUCAAAGCUUAAAGCAUGAAAUGGCACUCUUUUAAAUAUAUUUUGUUGUUUUUUCAGCAUCAUGAUGUUAAAGCAGAUGACCCACGGAGCCCUCAGACCGGUCAAUCUUCCAAGUUUGCUCAGUGGUUUAGUGAAGAAGGUUUAUGGACCAAUUCAUUCAUUGUUGUUUCUUUUGUUGGAUGCUGUCCACCAUUCACAAUUGCUCAUAGAGUUAAACUUGUUUUACUGAAUUCUAAUUCUUUCAUCCUCUUCUUUACUGAAACAGAAAAGAAACCUGUUGACAAUCUCGCAUCUGGCAGGCCAAAUGAUUUGCUCUCACUAAUUGUUGGUGGUGAAAAGGGUGGAUCCCAGGUUAAAACUACUGAUCACAUGCUGCCAACCUUUCCCUUCCAAAGCUUUGAACUUGCAGACAGGCAUUUGACAUCAAAUCAAAAGUCUGUCAGCGUUGAAAAUAAUGAGGAAUUGUCCAUCACUGGUAAACUAGAUGCAGCUCCAGCUGUACUUACAUGUGAAGACCUUGAACAAUCUAUUCUUUCAGAAAUUACAGAAAAUGGUUCGGCUUUGCCGCCACCUGUGUAUGGCUGGGGAGGUGGUGAUGUUAAGGCUGAGCAGCAGAAAGCUGAUGUUCAUGCAUCCCAGCACCUUCUUUCCUUGUUACAGAAGGGGACAGGCCUGAAUAAUUUAGCACCAUCUGCCAAUCUAGGGAUCAGUGCUACAGACAGACAACAAAAUAGUGGGGUGGCAAAUCCAAGCAAGGCAGCUCACAAGCCAAGACAUGCAGAUGCUGAAAACAUUCCCAAUUCAGGCAAGGCUUUGACACUUGAAACACUUUUUGGAACUGCUUUCAUGAAGGAACUGCAAUCAGUAGGAGCACCUAUUUCCAGCCAAAGGGACUUGAUUGGAUAUGCUAGAGAUGAUGCUUCAGAGUCUCAUGGGUUACCCCUUCCUGUAAUAGAUGAUGGUCUCCUUCCUCCAACAGUUGAAAUUCCGUCGAGCAUGUCUAGUCAUGGAAGUGGUGUCUUAGCAUCAAAGCAAAGACAGCAAAUUGUGUUGGAUAGGACUGAAGAGCAUUUGUUAGGCUUUGAUCCUCAAAAUAAAGUGGACUCUUCACAUCUUCGAACUGAAAUGAGCUCUAAGCUAGGUGGCUUUGAUGGGUCUUAUGAAAUUCAACUUCCUGAAGAGGAUAGCUUGAUUGCAGUCAGUGACCCUUUGAAUCUCCGAAACUUUCUACUUGCUAGGAAUUCAACUAAAUCUGAGUUAAUGCCGAUUCCAGGGACAUCAGUUGACAUUGCUGAGAAACUUGCAGCUUUGAAUUCUGGAUUCAGGGACGAAAGGCCUAUUGUAGGUCACAAAGGUCCACCUUUUCUUCGUGGUCCUUAUGAUAUGAGGGAGCCUGAUGUUCAUUAUCAUAAUCUCCAUGUCCAGCCAUCUUCUCCCCAGCUUCAGCCUCAGUUGAAUCGUCCAGGGCCAAUGUUCCAUCCAUUAGACUCUCAUCCUGCUAAUAUGAAUGCUCAGAUGAAAUUGGUGGCCCCAGAGAACAUUCGCCAUGAUACUCCUAAUCAUCAAUUCCCAGAAAAUAUGCUUCGUCCCCCUUUCCAUCACCCUAGCAGUGCACUGACUGGAUUUGAUCCUACUACGCGUGAUUCUAUGUUACAUCAAUUGCAUAUGCGUGGCAAUUUUCCUUCUCCACUCCUACGACGUGAAAUGCCCAGGGGUGCGAUUCCGCUUCCACAUCCCAACAAUCAGGUGACUGGUUUUAUGCAGGAAUCAAGUCCAAUGCAAGGUUUCCCUAUUGGUCAAAGGCAGCCCUACUUUGGUGCCCUUGGAAUUCCACCUCAAGGUAUAGCACUCAACAAGUAGUUGGUUCCUUUCUGCCUUCUAACUAUUAAACAGCUUGCCUUUUUAUUUAACUUCAAAGUCCCUCCUUUUCUGUGGGUUCCUCACUCUAAUAUUGUUCAAUGAUUUUUCAUUGCACAAAUCUUUCUUACAAUUUCAUUUAGUGUGGUAAUUGUUGCUAUAAUUACUUUGUCGUUCAAAUUGAUUGAUUCAGGUUAUGUUUGGUAUGGUUUUUUGUAAAUUGAUUUAAGUUGUUUUUACUCAUGGAAAAGUCAUAAAUGUAUUUGGUUACAAACCUAAAUAAAAAGUUGCUACAAAAUUGAUCAACGCUUUGAUUUAAUCAAAAGUCAUUUCAACUUUUCACUUAAUUUUAACUCAUACCAUCUUCCUUAUUCGAAAAAGUUGUCUUUGAGUCAUUUUUUUUCCACUAAACACACUCGCAACCAAACCCAUUUUUUUCCUUUUAAGUUAUUUAUAAAAAUUAACUUUUGAAUUAUGAGUCAAAGUCAAAAGUUAUAAAUCGAAUGCAUGUUUGUUUUCCCAUAUGGAGUCAGAGAAAGUCACGCACACAGGCGAUGGCUCUAUAAUUCUGUCCUUAAAUUAGAUUUGAUAUAAUGUAUACUCCUGCUCAUGCACCCUGUAAUAUCGCCAUGCAUUUGUGGUAGUGAUCAAGGUACACGUUUCUUUGUUGUCAUGUUGGCACUUCUGCCAUUACUUUAAUCUGAUUCUUGUUCUCAAUGAAUGUGCAGCUAACGAUGGUGGUGGUGAAAGCAAUCAACCGGAGGCACUCCAAAGGCUGAUCGAGAUGGAACUCAGGUCAAACUCUAAGCAAAUUCACCCCUUCGCCACUCCAGGCCAUGGUCCAGGGAUAUAUGGACACGAGUUAGACAUGAGUUUUGGAUAUAGAUAGUGGAUUUCGUGUUGUGUGUGGCGAUGCAUUCAUGAUAUCAUGCUUGGAUCCACAUGGCAUGGUAAAUGGGUUUGAUAUGCUUCUUCGGAAGGGAUUGCCAGUGGUUGGAUGUAAUUAAAUGGUAUUGACUGCAAAAUUGGCAUCUAUUUGGGACCUUUGCCUUGCUUUUUUCAUAUUUGAAAACACCUCCCAUCUUCCUUCCUUAGAAUUGUUUUUUUAAACAACGGUAUCCAAGAUUUUUAAGCAGCUCCUGUUCGACCAUGGUCGAGGUCAUAAAUCAUAUCACCCUGGAGAGUUAAGAUCUGCAAUGAGAAGAAAUCCUCCUUCGACCCUAAUCAUACGAUAUCAAAUGCAUGUACCAAGUCAUGGCUAAAAUACAAUUGCUUCACUAUAGAGUGCUAUUAUAAAUUGUAAGUGUCAUCAUAUCACUCUAGCAGUUUUAUUCCAACAUGUUGUGUUCCAACUUACCAAGAGAUCAUUUGAUUCAGUUUGAACUCGAAAACCGUGGCAUUGUCUCCGCGGUAGAAAGACGAGGCUGCAGUCAAGUGAAGAAAGAAGGUAGACUCUGCUGCGUUUUUCUAGUAGCACUCCGGUCACCCACAGAAAUCAAUGGACAGUCCUAUAAAUGAACUAUAAAAAACUCCAUAACAGCACACACUUGAACCAAAAAACAUGCCACCACAUGGACAGACGACUUUAGUCAAGCUAAUGUCAGGUAAUACAAGAGUAAGGGCUUAGUUUGUUCACGAUUCGUUCUUUGUAUUAUUUGUACAAGGUUUCCCCUUCACAUUGAUUGCUCAAUACACAUUAUACAGCUCCUAAAUACUGCUCCCGCAAACAAAAACCUCAAGAAACCUAAAAGAACACAAAAGUAAAAGCACUCAGCUCUAUACAAGAUUUGCCCUUGGGCCAUAAAGUGGAGGAUAAAACUGUCCUAGAUUCCUGGAAAGCAAUGAGAACAUGUAUAUGUACACACAAGACACUACAGAUUGACAGACCUAGGAAGAGCAUGUUCUAUAUUAUAUAAGACAUACAUAUAUACAGAUCAACUUCUAGACACUUUCACUCAUUAACGAUGCCAUCCACGUAGCCUUCUCUUCCAGGAUUGGCGUUUUACGGUUUGUGUCCACAAUACAGGAAGUUCAAUGAAUUUUCAUUUCCACUGUUCAAAUAGCUGGAAUAGGGUUUCCCAACCUAUCAACAGUGGUAUUUCUGUACGCACCACCCUCAUUCACCUUCUCAGAGUCAACAUCAUAAGACGCAAGCAACCUUCUCUGCAUGGAUUUCAUUGGAGUUGACAAAUGAGUGACGGCAUGAUGACUAAAAACCAUUCUACUUAUGUCACGGAAAAGUUUAAAAAGAGUGGUGAUAAAAGUCGUAGCAGAUAUACAGAGAUUGCAACAGGAAAUCUAGGGACCAAAUUGGUUAUAUCAUUUCAUAAAGUUACUGGUUGAGAACCAAAAUGACCUUCAAGAAAGCGGGGAAAAUUGUCAAUCAAUGAAAGAGUAAAAUAUCCAUACCUAUGCAAGGAAUAAAUAGAGAACUCUUUUGAGACAUAAGUUUUCCAAUAUUGUAAAUCCAUAAUUUUAAACAAUCGAGAAUAGCCAAAACUUUAUGAGGCAUCCUUGGAAUGGUGAUGAAUGAACAGAACCAAUUGCGGCAUGCAGUAGAGAAAAUAAGAAUUAAAUAACAUCAUGCACAUAAAUUAUACAUGAACAGCAGGUAAGUAUGAAUAAUGAGUCCCAUUUAAUGCAAACUGGCUCCAUGAUUCAGAUUUUGGUGCAUCACAGGUGAAUAUCACAAAACACAACAAGGUUAAAGAAAGUAAAAUGCGUAACUAGUGUUAAAAAUGCUUACAUGAUCCUCAAAUUCUGGACUUGUCAAAUUGAUAGAGAGGUUCCUCAUCAACAACAAAACCUGAGAAAAGCCAAAUAAAAUCUCUCGAGUCAAUUUGUGUUUUCCAGGUGACAAGGAAAACCAAAACCUGCAAUUUCUUCAGAGGAAUAAAGGCAAAACCAAUGAUUUUUAUAUACAAGAACGAUAUAUUUUCAUGAAAAGACUGAAGAGAAAAGGGUGAGGCAGAAUGCAAAGUUGCUUCCACCCUCUUCACACGAAACAUGAUUUUUAAUAACUAUGCUCAAUCUACUCUACACCCCAACCGACCUACUGAAUGCAACACACAUUGUGAGGAAUCAUGAAGGCAUAAAAGAUAGAAAAGAUGAAAAAACAACUCACUGUUUCCAAAUUUAUUGGGUCCAUCUGCUUCAAUCUCUGCAAGUGAUCACUGCCAUUGGGGUCAAAGACAUUUCCAAUGAAGCUGUACACUUGAGCAAAGUCCGGCAUAACUGCAUUUGGAACAGUAUGAACUCAUCAUGCAUAGGAUAGAAGAAGAUUUACCAGCAGAUGAUAGACGAUGCACACAAUUCACAACACUAUCUACAAGUCCAGUUGUGUAUAAUGAAAAAGAGAGGUUCAGAUCCACAAGGCAGAAAGAGCCUUAAAUGCCAGCAACAAGAAAGGGUAUCAUCCAAGGCACCAGGGAAGCUUGGCGUGAUGGACAUGAAUCUAUUCGACAGAGGUAAUAUCCAUACAUGCUUUAUGAUGUAAAAUGAAAGCUAAUUGUCAGUUUGAUGCAGCAUGAGCAUCAUUAUAAUUGUUGAACUACAAGAUGUUAAGAAGCAGCAAAAAAAUAAAGGAUGAUACAGAAAAGGUCGCUAGCAACAAUGACUGAAAAGAGAGAGACUUGCAGAACAUAACCCUUUUCCUUCAAUAGGAAAGAGAAACCAUUUUUUGCGCCUGAAAUUACCAAACCAUCAACAAAUCCCAAAUGCAACUUCCUUUUCGCUGCACUAAAACACAGCUAGAAUGCUAUCAACACUGACUUGAUGACCAAGACACGUCAUUAGAAUAUCACUAGAAGUCUGAAAGAGGAGAGAAGAAGUCCAGUGUUCAUGUGGAACAGACACAAAAGCAUGAUUAAAGCUUAAAUGCACUUGGUUCGUGAGUUGUGCUUUGGAAAGCCAAAAGGUUUUAAGAAGGAAAAAAGCCCAUCAUUUUUCAGCUACAUCUGUAUCUCAACUUCAAAUAAGAAGCAUGAUACUGACCUCUUUCUGGCUUGCCCUGAGCCCGUUUAUCAAUUAUUUUGCCAGUUUGCCAAGUCCUCGAGGCGCUUUCAUUACUGCUACUGUAGCAACAUUUAUUUGCAAUUGUUGGCCCAGCCAAUCCCGCAUCAUCUGAGAAUACACACAUAAUUUACUAUAAUAACUGUAGCUCUUGAAGAAGAAAAGAAAAGAAAAGAGGAGGAGGGGAGCUUAGAAGAAAAAAAAGAUACCAUUAGUCAUCUGUGACAUGCUGACUGGUGGUACAGAGUUAAAACUCCAGGUAGAUAAAGCUCCACUUGUAAUUGGAUUUCCAAGAACUGAUGUUGAAUCAGGCCUGUAGAGAUAUCCAGGUUCAAGCAAAGCAGAUGAAGAUUGAAAUGACCCAGUCACUUGGGAUGCAACUGCAGCUGUUAGAGAUACACAAACAAACAAAGAUUAAUCCAGAAUUAGAAGAAUUCAAUCCACAUCCUCCUCUCGCCUUCUCAAAAUAUUAACACAAAGUUUGAACAUACUAACCACUUUUAGGAGCCUUUUGAGGGUAAGGAUGAGCUGCCUUUCUCUUUGGCCGAGGUGGAGGUACAUGUUCGCUUGUUCCACUCUUCUGAACCUUCAGAAAGUACUUCUGCGCAUGGCUCCGUAUCUGCCAACAUCCAUUAAAUUUUACAUGCAAAAACAUUUUGAUGGUGGACAUGUGGUUCACGAAUAGCUGCGAGUCUGUGACUGAAUUGAAAUACACCCAGACAGACACACAAAAGCACGAGAAAACACCUGACAUAUGCCCAGGAGGCCAAAACUCCCUCAAAAUGUUUGAGUUUAUGGUCUUGGGAGUAGUGAAUCAAUAUACCACAUCACAAGGAAAUCUCUAAAUUACUCUCAUAAAUAGGUGGUUUCAUCAUUUCUUUGAUCAACUGUAAUCAUUACAACGAAAAUAUAUUUACCGUUUCAGAGCUUUAACCUGUACGCAAUAGAUAGGUGUUAUGCCUUUCACUAACAAAUUUGUUCAAGUGAUCAAGUCUGACUAUGCAAUGUAACCUCAUAAGCAUAUAUAACAAAAUAUAUCAGAUGGAAAAUGAAGAUAGGAUGGAAGAACAUCAAACCCAAAGAGUGAUUUAACCUGCCACUUAAAGAAGAUAGAUUUGACUAUUUAAGAUACCUGUAUGACAGUCUUUGACCCAACAAAUGCUUCAAUCUUCUUCCAAUCACGAUCAAAUCUGUAACCAAAAGAAUUUUAGGUUAGGACGCAUGGUUUGUUAACAGACAAAUCAGAAAGCGUGAAUUAUAGUGACAUAGAUAAUCUCAUAGAAAGUUUUAUCACAUAGUCACCUAACUGACUAUAACAAUAUUCAAGUUAUUAAGACCGAAACAAAAGUUUAGAAGCUUUCAAUGUUAGGUUUUUCUGGUCAGAGCUUGAUGAACGUGAUAAAUUGAAUUGUUUUUAUUAUCAGAACAUAAAAUAACAUUUUUACCAAAACAAGUAGUAAGAUUCAAAAUCUUUCUCUCUCCGUAUUUCUUCAGCAAUCAACAAUCUUCCCACUUCUGCAUCAAAGACUAAAGCUCCCAUUUCAAAAACUAAAUUAAUAUUAAAAUUUUAUAUAUAUAUAUAUAUAAGAUUUCACUAACACAAGUUUACAUCAGAAAGCAAACUCAUUAGUAACCCCAAGUUCAGGUACCUUUAAUUCCCUCAGUUUGUUAUUCAAAUUCUCUCGUUUAAUUAAUCACUGAAGUCUCAAAUUCAAAAUCCAAACUAUAAUUAAAAUACAAAAAAAUAAUAAUUAAUAAUUAAAACCCCGAAUUGCCAUGCCAAUCAUCAAUGCCAAAUUGAAAAAACCUUUAUAAUUUUUUAUUCAAUUUCUCUCAUUUAGCUGACCAAUUAGGUGAAACUAAAUACAAAUUCUCUUUUCUUGCAACCAAGCAAAACAUAUAAACUAAAAACCACCACCCAAUAAUAAAAAUUAAGAAAAAGAAAAGAAAAGAAAGAAGAUGUACACUAAUACUUACAAUUGGAGAGCUUCUAGAAACUUGUCGUGCUCUUGUUCAGUCCAGCUCUCUCUAGAUUUGGUAAUAGUAUAAGGUUUCCGAAUCUUCUUAUUCGGAUCCUCCGAGAACGACACCAGCUUAUGAUUAUUAUUAUUAGUAGUAGUAGUAGUAUUAGCCGCUGAAACUGUAUCAUUACAAGUAUCGGUAGCAGUAUUAGUAUUAGUUGGUGGCAGAAAGUUGACACCGGGUAACUCCAUAUGACUACUAUUAUUCAUAGGAUCGAAGAAAUAAAACCCUAGAGCCGGGUUCGGGUUAACCGACACCAUUAAAAGAGAACAAACCGACUCUGUUUUUCUGCCUGUUUAGGUUCCUCUGGGUGGUCUUGUUGUUAUGUUAAGGUUUUUGUACCGCGUGUUCUGUGCUGCAAGGAAGAAAGACAACAAAGGAGGAGAAGCGUGUUGGGUGAGUCUUUUCAGUUAAGGUUUUUGUGCUGAGCGUUGUGUCUUGCAAGAAGGAAAUAAAGUGAGAAGAGAAGAUGUCCAGAGUAGAUGUGUGGUUUAUAAAUGAUUGAUUGAUGGUUUUAUAAAUAAUAGAUUAGAGAGAGAGUGUGUGUGGGAGUUGUGAUGGUGGUGUUAGUGGGCUUGGAAAUGAUCGUACACGUGGCAGUGUUGUUGUCUCGAUCGAGAGUUAGGUAACCCGUGGACUCGGCAAACGGCAAUUUUUGUUACAGUUACGUGGGUUUCCUCGUUUUUUUUUAAAUAAGGUUGGGGAAGUGACCUUUGGGCACGAAUUUUUUCGAAAAAUAGCAGUUCGGUAAGAAUCUUAGAAGAAUGAUACAGGUGAAAAAUAUAUUUGAAAAAUAGUGCAGUUUAAAUAUAAACAUGUUUUUAAAUAUUAUUUUUAUACAUGUAUGUUAUUUUUAAUAGUAGUUAUUUAAUCAUGUUUUUAAAUAUAUUAUUUUGCAAAUUAAUUAAUUUAAACUUGACUAAAAUAUAAUAUUCAAGAUCCAAUGCACAAGAAAAAAAAAAUAAUGUAAUGUGAUAGGAGAGAGAAAUGAAAGAGAAAAAAAAAUAAAUCAUUAGAAACACACUAGAGCUCUAUUUUUUAUACAUCCGAUAUUGUUCAAAAAAAUCUCGACAAAAUAAUUCUAACAACUUCCAAACAAGAUCGUAAUCAACCCUAAAUUAACCCCGAACAAAACUUCUAACCAAUUACAACCUUAUUUAGUGGUCUUCAAUCAUCUCGUCGAAAUCUUUUUAACGAUAAUAGAUAUGUUGAAAAUGAAGCCUAGUGUAUCUUUGGUAACCUUUUUUAUUAUUAUUCUCUUAUUCUUUCUCAUGCAAUGUCUGCUUAUCUAUUUUUUUAAAAAAAAUUUAUUAGAUCUUAAAUUAUAGUAUUUACAUAUAAUUUUGGGUUUAUUUUUGUACUUAUUUUAUUGAGAAAUAACUUUUGAAACAAGAUGUUAUUCCCUAUAAUAAUUUCUCUAAUACUUUUCUAAUUUGUAUCAUUAUUUUUCAAAAUUUUUAUCAAAUUACGUUAGAAUGAUAAAAUAUCCUUUGGUACUGCAAGUCAAAAUUUGGUUGGUACCUGAACUAACAGCCAAUAAUUAAAAACUUCGUUGGCUUAUAUUUUCAUAGUUCGAAUCCAAAACCUUUUUUUUUUGUUUUGUUUUAACCAAGGUGAGAUUAACGUGACCUUUGGGUAGAGAAGUGAGAUUGAUAAUGCCGCGUGUGACUCUCAGCAGAGGUAGCUCUUGCACCCUUCCUAGAAGACACCGAAGAAGGAUGAAUUACGACAGUUUCGUUCGAGAGAGACACAUGGGGGCUUGUGAUCAUCAGCUUUAUCUGUUUUAAGUAGCUUGCCUUUGCGUUUAGCUAACAUCUACUCAUUAUUAUAUUGUGAAAAUGCUGAUUAUGCGUAUCAAAACUCGGAAUUAGCAAAAACAUUAUGGUUGAAAAGGAAGUUGAACCAGUGUAACCAAUUAUUCAGUGACAGCGACCGAGAAAUUGCUUACUUUGUUGAUCCCUGUAUUGAUUAAAGUCCCCAACAGAAUUUCCUGAGCAGAUACUCUCGUAACAUCGGGCAACGAUGUAUCCAAGACAACGUGCUGUAUAUUUAGCAAUAAAAAACAUCAGUAAAUGCAUUUGCUCUCUAGGCCAUCCGAUUCAAAUAAAUUUUUUUUCGUAAAUAUAGUAGUUGCAGUAUGGAUGCUUCGUUCGGAAACCUGAGAAUAUUUGUGAGCUGUUUUGUAUAAUUGAACACAGGCCUCCGAUAGAAAAUAAAGAGUGACAACAAGAAUGACCCUUCAGAUCGCAAAACGAAGGUAGAAUUCGAACUUCAGAUUUGUCCCCACCUCCUCUCCAGCUUCGGAAGAAGAUCGAAUAUUAUUAGCUGAUAUACUUUGGUCGAUAUCAAGCAGUAUUGAUUAAGACUAGAGAUCCGAAACACGAGUAUGAAAUUUUAAGCAAUUAUUUUGAUCAUGUAAAUGGUCGGUGCGAGAUCAGCUGAUAUUGAUUGGAGGUGUUGAAGCAUUAUGUAUGUAUAUACGAAUGGCGAUUGCAAAAGCUUUCCUGUCCCCCAUAGUUUCCCCCUCUCUCAAGCCAAGUUGUGGGCUCCAAAAAACCAUGUGAACUUUCCUUUGCAAACUGCAGCAAUGGGACAUUCUUGCUUUAUUAGAUUAAGGACCUGCUGGAUCUAGCGUUACCUUUACGGCUUUAUCAUUCCAAAACUGAAAUCUUGCAGAUCACUAGGGAAGAAUUAGCGCAGCCUCACCGCCCAAGGCCACCAAGCUUGAUACUUACAGGCAAAAAAAACCAUUAGCAUCUCUGUUUUUAUGUAUACUGACCCUGAAAGAAAAUUUGGUGUGCUUACUGCAAAUAGACAUUAGCUUAAUACACGAGUGCAUUUAAUUAUUAAGACAGCAUUAUCAAAGAAAGUGAAGCAGAAAAUCUUGCUCAACCACCUGUACUAUGAUCUUGUUUAAAAAUUCUGACUUCUCUCCCGUCAAGGAUUUUUGGAAUCAUUGAAGGAUGAAAUGCCUUGUGAACUUAUUCAGUGAUUCAAAGCACGCCCACCUUAGCGAAUUUAGAAGUUCUGUUAUUGAUCAGCAGUUACUUCACAAGCCCAGACGCUAGCGCAGCUACAAUAAAAGGUAGAGAUGAUGAUAAAGCAGUGGUUGACAACCAUCUACUAGCUUCGACAACAACAAAAUGGACACUGCAAUGGAAUUUCAUUAAUUCAUUGAGGUAGAAACAACGAUCCAUUUGACGAAAAAAUGGACAGUUCUCAUAAAUUAUGAAGUACAUUCAUUUCUGCAAGAGGGCCAUACAUCCCGCGGGUAAUGGAUGCAUAUAUAACUGAUAACUUACAAAACCAGAAGGAAAAAAAAAAGGAAACAGAAAAGAAUGCUUUUUACAAAUUGUUUCGAGGAAACAACAAACUUAAGGAGAAAACAAAAUGAGUAGCUGAGAAGAAUUGUGAGAUGGGCAAAAAAAUAAGUUUAGGUUUCUCAAAUCUUGCUAUCACAAUCUAAUCUAGCCAACGAGUAACACCAUCAUCUUCCGCUAUGGCGGCCAGAAUCUCGACACGUGCAUCCAAAAUAGCCUGCAAUUUUUUGCACAAAUUAAGGCAAUUCAAAGGAGAGAGGACAGGUAAAUAGGAAUUGGAUUUCCUCUGUGCAAGUGCAGGGUGGAAGGCAGGUAGCUAGUUAAGAAUGAUGGAUUUAUCAAAAUUCCAUGCACUGCUUCAUGUGUGUUGAUGCCCUACUGAAAAAUUAAUCUUAGUAACCAUCUAAGCACCACUAUUUUUUAGCUAGAGGGACUAUAAUUAACCAUUACAGAUCUCUGUUUAUUGGAGCUCAAGUGAGUUUAAGACAGUUGGAGGAAAAUUAUCAUGCAGCAUAAUACAAAGAGGAGAGAAAUGUACCAAAGGAUUUCUACAGUUAACCAGCCUGCAUUCAUCCAAAGAACCUUCCAACAUCCAACUCUCCCAAACAUCAAAACUGUGACUGGUGAAAACAAAUUCCAUUCUCCUGUUAAUCUGCGAUUUUCAAAAUAGAACUCGACCUUAAUCCCAAGCAACCAAAUAAUUACAUCAAGAUACCUGAAUUUUAGCAAGUUAGGCAUUUACCAUUCAAUCAUGCUGGAAAAUGAAUGACAGGACAUAGAUCAUAGAUGCAGAUUCUCUAAGCACAAUUUUCAUUUUGCUUUCCAAAUGAAGAGCAUAAUUGAGAACAAAAAGAGCGCCUGAUUAAACAAUAAUAAGCUUCUAUCUUCUUUGAAAACAUGCAACCCUCAAAAUAAUCAAUCCAAAGUCUGAUUUCACACAGCAAAUGUCUACUUCCCUAAACCAAUGCACUGUAAAGCAGCAAUACAUAAAAACAUUCUAUGCUCCACAAACAGAUACGAAGAUUAAGUAUGCCCCAGUUAUAAACAUGUUCCGAGAACUCAAAGUGUGUAAAGAAGGCCCUAUCAGCAAAAGAAAAGGAACAGUGCUAGUUGUAGAAGCACGACCAUAUCACACUAGUACACCAUGAGAACUUGAGCAGAUAUUAGUGCCCAUAAACAGUAACUUCUUAUCAUACCAGUACAGCAGCACUCUCCAACUACUUAAUCUUACAAGAUAUAAAGUACCUGCAAUAACUUUCCACCAGCAGCAAAAGAGCGCAACCCAAUUGUGUCCUGCAAAAAAAUGCAUCCACAAAAACACAUUAGCGAACUCAACAGUUAACCUAUCCAAUUAUGCUAGCAACCGUAAUAUGAUGAAUUGGUUGGAAAAUGUGGUAAAGGCAUGAAUGAUUCCUGCCAAACAAACCUUGUUUCUGAAAACAACAAGGAACUGGGCUGCAGGAUCUCUUUUUGUUACAUUUGACAGAGCAUCCAGGAACCAACCACCUCCUUUAGCUCUUUGCCUGGAAACAUGGAGUGCAGGGCGAUCUCUUGCAUAUAAAGCUAUAAUGUGCCCAUCUUUGAGCAGCUCAUCAGACUUUCCACUGAGCCUCUUGCCUGAUCUUGAAAGCUGGCCUGAACUUGAUUCUUGCAUUAAUUCUAUUGGUGUUUUCCUACUCCUUGAGUCUUCAGGGGAAGCAAACCGAGAACUGGAGACUUGAUCACUGCCACUCAUAGCAGUAUCAUCUUCUUGAUGUGAAGUACUUUCUUUCUCUAAUUGAGAAGGAUUGUCUGAUUUCUGUCGAGGUUUUUGACGGCCAUGUCUUUUUUUUGCCUUCUUGCCUGAUCGGCUGCGUCUUUCAUCAGAUCUUGUGGUUGUAUUUUGAGACAUGCCAGAACCCUGAGCUUGGCUGGUAGAUUCUAUUGAUUGACCACUGACUUUUUUGCGAGAGGUUUCUGGAGUUAGCUGAAUAUCAUCGGUCAAUUGCUCACCAACAGAAUCCUGCAGAGUACUUUCUUUGUCUUGCCUGUGAAAUUGUUCACUUUCAUCACCUAUUUCACUUUCUUCCCCUUCCUCAUCAGAAACAGCAUUCUUUGGUACGAUCCCAUCAAAGAAGAAUGACUGCAGAAUAGAGAUAGCUUUUUCCCUUAUCUCCAUCCACACUUCUUCACUGUAAUCUGCACUGCGUGGAAGUAUCAAUACAUUGGGCAUCUCUUUUACCUGAAGCAAAAGUUUGGGAUGGAUCACUCAGUCAGAGGUGCUAUAUUCUGAGUUAAAUAUCAUACAACAUUCACAUAAAAUCUUAGUCUACAGCACACAUUUUUCCAAACAUUACCAAAAAUCAAAGACCAUGCUCAGUGCUUUGAGACCUCAACCCUUACCGCUCACCAUACUAAAAUCUAAACAGGAAGUGUAACGAUAAGGGCCUUUACCAUCUAAAACUACAAAAAAAAAAAAAAGAAUUUGAUUUUGUUCCAAUCCAUACUCUAGCAAUGGAAAGUUUGACGAGGAUAGAGUUUUUUCCUGAGGAACAUGUAUAUUCAGAAAAGCAAUGGUUGAUUUAGGCCAAAACGAAUCAAGACAUUUGCUUUAAGCAGCAAUGCCACAUGAGCAUUCGAUCGCAGUUGAACAUUGUAGGCUACUGGUAUAAAUAAAAAAAAUACAAAUUGACUAACAGGGGAAAAGGGUGAUUAAAUAGGGCAACAGGCAAUAUAAAUCAUACAGGCCCACAACUUUUUUGAAUUAAACUGGAAGGAGCAUGUUUUAUAGCGCUCGGCAUUUUAGUUACCACUGAAAUGAUACUAAACAGAGACAACUAGGGGUGUCCAUCAACCUACCCAACCCAACUUGCUAAGUUAUUUAGAAGGGGGAGAGUAUGUUAUUAAUUUUUUUAUGAAGUAACUGAUAUUUCAAAUUGGCCAUGAAACGUUAUAGAUUCCAAGAAAUAACAUACUCCAUUUAAACUUUUUGUAUAUAUCCUAAAAAUAACAUCAUAAUCCAAUUCAUAAAUCAUACAUACCCAUGCUUCCAUCCACUGUGGCCCUUCAGCACCAUCCAGGGCACAACCGGCCAAGGUCCCAUCAAUCAGAAGUUGCUUCAAAGCACAAUCAUCCAGCAGCUGACUGCUGCCCGUAUUCACAAGAAAUGCCCCUAUAAGAAAGCAAAGAGGUUCCUUCCACAUAAAUAUCAACAGGAAGUAAAUCAUUGCAAACUUCUCAAAAUGAGUAAGGAGAGUAAUAUGCCUGGCUUUAUAUGUUGCAAGCACUCUUCAUUGAUAAUCUGAACAGUUUCAUUAGUUAAAGCACAGUGAAGUGAAAUAAGAUCACUUGCAGCCAGUAAAUCAUUAAGAGUAUCCAUUCUUCGAGCAGCUAAAGGAAAUGUAAUAGAAGACCUGGUUAAUUUUCCUGGCCCCUGCAUUAUUUAAUUUAGGCAAAAACGUGAAUGGAGAGCAAAUGCAAAUGCAAAUAACUUGAGCACCGGAAAAUAAAAGCAAAAGAGCGCACAACAAGUCAAUGCAUUAAAUUAGAGAGUAGCAACACUUCAAAAAACAUCAAAUCCCACAACUAAUCAACUUCUAAAAGAAUGUUUCUCAAUCAUACCCAAAUUGCAUCUUCCAAAUGCCAAGCUUAUCAAAUAUAACAGGGUAUGCUAAACCAAGAUUUUAUUUUCUUUCAUUACAAAGAUAAGAAAACAACUUGUGCCUUAUAACCAACUAAUUUGGAAAUAUUUACAGACACGAAAUGUAUUAUCUCCACAUAAACCCCAUAAAACAUCACAAUGAAGAUCAUUUCUGAUCUGCCCAUAAAUCAACUGCAUCCACAAAACAAAAAAAUUCUUUUAACUUCAAAUGGCUCUACUAACCCAUCAGCCAAUCCUAUUAAAAAAAUCUAACAAUUUUCUCCUAUUUAAUUCACAAGCAACAAAAAAAUUCUAAAAACGACAUUGUUUGGCAUCAAAAUCAACACUUAUCUAAGCAACUUGAAUAACUGAAAAUUCUAAAGUGCGUGAAUAAGUACCUCGUGUACAUCAAAAUACAGCACACUCAUUUUAAAAGCUAAGCUUCUAGUAGCCAAAGAUCUAGCUGAUGCAGAUCUACCAACAAUGCCCAAUACCAAACCUCUACACCUCCUCAUUCCUCUACAAAGCGGCUGCAGCGAGCCAAGCCAACCGGAAGCUGAUAAGGCAUGUCUUGACAACAAAUGCGUCCGGCGCAGCAAGCCUAGAAACAAAGCCAUAACCGUAUCAGCGAUCUCCUCGGCUCGAGAAGUAUCCACGUGUACAAGCCGGAGACCUAAAUCGGCAGCGAGAGCGGAGUCGACAGCUCGGUCAGCCGACCCCAGGCAUAGGAUGAGCUGGUAAGGACGGAGACGGCGUUGGGCGGCGCGUGGGAGGUAAGCGAGUGAAUGGAGGAGGACGGCAGCGGCAGAUUCGAUCUUGCCAUCGGAGAGGCGGCCGAGAGGGACGUGUUCAAUUAAAGCGACGCCGGAUAAGGAGUCUUGUUCGAUGGCAAAAUCUUCGAUGCAGUUGAGAGUGACAACAAGAGGGAGACGUUGUUGUUGUUGUUGUUGCUGUUGCUGUUGCUGUGGAGGAGGAGGAGUGUUAGUGUUACGGCGGUGUGACAUUGUCGCUAAAGAUCUGGUAGUCGUGGCGCUCAUUUACAAUUUUUGUACUAGUUAGGGUUUAACGUGAGGAAUUUGGCCAUUUUUUGGGUGGGUACAAUGGAGGAGGAGGGAAAAGAGCUUCUUUUUUAUUUACUUAUUUGUGAACUGAAAUGUGAGAGAAAGAGGCUGAUGGAGUGUCGUUUUUUCUGUUGGUUUGUUUUUGCUUCCUAUGGUUUGGAUGGGAGGGAGAUGGUGAAAAGUCCCUUCCCCUACCCUACCCUUGCUUGUCUAGAGCAGUAGACUAUUUCUGACCCCUCGUCCUUGGGGUUUUGAAAAGCUGCAGUAAUGCUUCGAUGACUUCGAGUCCCUCACUUCAUUUUAUUUUUUUUUUAUUAAUGAAAAUAAGUAAAGUGUUUAUGUUUUCAUAAUUAGGCUUAGUGUUUUUUUAAGACCAUCAUUACCCAUUAGAGAUUUAUUCUCAGUAAGGAUACCCACGUGGAAGGGAAAAAAAAACUGUAACCAUGACCAGGGUUUUGCCAGUCGCUACCAACAACAUAGGUCGCUAAUUAGAGACGGUGAAGUAUUGCUAUUACCCUGUUUGGGCGGCUUUCUUUAAACCACUAGCAGUUUUUCUUUCUUACAAGAGGAGGAAGUGAAAAUUUGAAAAACCACUGUCAGAAGAAUUUACCUUCCCCGCCCUGUCGGUUGUCAUUUCACCACUGGUGAAAGCAGGUUUCGAAGGCCUUUCACAUAAAAAGAAAGUGCACUUGGGGGGAGAAUACUCGAGUGCAUAAAAAGAAAAACUAGCAUUUCAUAUGGGUUUAGCCCGGGUGUAAAUGGAAAUAAAUACCUGGUUCAAUGCUUCUACGUUCCUCCAAAGAUAGCAAAAAUCAGAUCACAGAAAUAACAGCACUCCGAUAUGAGAUGUCGUCAAAACACUUCCCCAUUAUUUCAGAAAUGCAACAAGCAGCUUUAAACAAAUUAAUUAAAUGCAAAAAUGAGACGCAGUAGUUUGAGUUUGAAACAAGAGAAAAUAAACCUGUUACACUUACAUUAGAGAGAGAGCUACACAAAUACACUACAGGACCCAGAAAACUAUAUGCAUUUUUAUAGAGGCACACUGGCACCACCAAAAACCCAUGCAGGCCUGCAUAUCUCUUGCAGGUUCUUCGGAAGAUCGAGGCUGUCAUUCCCUCCAGAGUCUACUCCCAAGCUCUGCUAGUCCAAAUAUUUAAGCAAAUUUGCAUUAUAUCCGACUUCCAUUUGGACCACCACAAGUCAUGAUCUUAUACGCAACUAGAGGAAUGAGAUGACGAACUUUAAGCUGGUCUCCUUGUCAAGAUAUAUAGAUCUUACAACUACCAAACAAAAAUACUGUACAAGUUCCGUAUCAUUUACCGAAACUCACACUUAACAGAUCAAGCCUGCCUUAUAUGUUCCCCAUCUCCUUCGACUUCGUCUGUUGAGCAAUAUUACAGAUGUACUUCUACAUUCUGAAAUAUUUCCAGCUGUUUUUGUUCAUCCACAGUAACAAGCUAUUAGACAGAAUAUCCGGUUCAUAAAAACCUCCUAAAAUUCCUCGUAGUUGCUUGAUAUGAACGCAUGAGCAGUCCAACACCAAUGCCAGCACCAAGACACAUCCCAAGGCCAAUUCCAACACCAACUCUCACACCAGCAUUAAACCAUGAGAGUUGUCCAUCCUCACCAUAAUACAUGUCUUCUGAGUAGUAUUGGCUUCCAAUUUUCUCAUCUGAUUCAUAGCCAUCAUCAUCUUCAGCUUCAGUAAUCUGCACAAGAGCCCAAUGUUGAUGAGACAAUUGAAAUAGCACAAACUGCUGACGAAGGGAUGCUGUUCCAAGUAAACUGAGGUGUCAACAACCUUUCUAAAACACAUAAUCAGAAAAUCACUCAAUAUAUAUUGAAUCAUGCUCAUGUUUGUCCUUGUAUUCAACCUAAGCAGCUAUGCACAUCAUGGAUUCACAUUGAUUAACACAUGAAAAAAAGAUGUCCACAAUAUAUCAGAAAAUUUUCCAAUUUGUCCUGUGCAAGAGUUUGUUAAGCUUCUUAAAGCUGAUCUACAGUUGAAUAUCUAGAAGACCGUAAUUGCUUCCUUUGAGGAACACGUAUUUGCAUGAUUUAUUUCAAGAAGACAGGAGCACAUUAUCCAACAAAUCAUUUGUGACCAACUCCAAGCUGCACCACAAUGUAAUCAAUUGAUAGACUUGUACAGGUAGUUAUAAUUUCAAGGGAGACACUCAUGUUACAUGGAAGCUGCCUUCCUCUCUCUCGCCAAAUAAACAAGUGGUUCAAGAGGCUGCACCUACUUCUCAUGAAAUAAAAAAUGUGGGUACCGUAGAUAGAUUCAGGGGAAAAAAAUCGUCAUACAAUUACAUUCACUGGACACAGUUUAGAACAAGGACCAGCAAACCUAAUGCUCCAGUGCUCAGACACAUUGCAGAACUACAACUUAAAACAACACAAUCAACAUCAAAAUCCACAUUACCUGCAUUAUACAAAACUUAAAUUAAAUCAUAAUCAGAAUUAACUCAACUCACGUAGCUUCAAUCCAACUUGAGACACGAUAAGGCAAUCAAACAAAAAGCCUACAACAUUCACAACCGCACUUCCCUACAACAUAACAACCAAUACACAACAAAAGACUUGCAUUUCCUCGAUUAACUUCUCUAAAACAAAACUAUUAAAUUUCCCAUCAUUCUAUUUCUGAUUAAAAAUCCAAACAAAGAGAGAUGCAUUAAUGACAACAGGAUUAAUUUACCUGAACUUUGCGUUGUCUAACCAACCCAUUACUAAUAACACCGUUUUGCUUCCUAUUAUCCAACUCCUCAUCCUCUGGAAUCGCAUCGAGCAUCGCAUACCUGGACGGUUUCUUCAUGGGACCAACCAAAAUGGUCUUCGUCAAAAUCACCGGCACACCUCCACAGCAACCAGCAAUAUAGACCUCGAUCACCGGCGCCGAAACCCCCAAUUUAAACACCGAGUUCCCUUCAAAAACACCAGCCGCCACACAGCAUUCUAAACUCCACCCUGUCUUCGCAUCAUUCUCCAACCCCCCUACACCCCCAUUAUUCCCCCACGAUGUCGUUUCGAUCCUCUCCAACGACCCACACAAAACCAUGUCCUUGUUAUCUAAUACUUCAAAUUCAACCCCGCGGGUGACGCGCACGCUGUCCGUGCUAACAUACGUGACCUCCGAUGAUUCCUUGUUGAGGCGGUCGCGACGGAGGGUUAAGGAGGCGGAAUCAGAGGAGGGGAUUUUAGAGCCGUUUAUUUCGAGUGGAGUGCUGAUUGAACGACGGAGAUGGCGGAUGGUCAGGUGGUCGGGUACGCUUUCGAUAACGCAAGGAGUUACUCUUACGUAGAAUAAUCGGAUUUCGAGCCAUGAAGAUGAUUUGUUUGUUAUUAGAUAUUUGUAGGAAUUUGAUUCGAUGUGGUUUCGAUCCAUUGAACCCUAGUAUAGUUCCUUCAAAUUGGAAUCAAAAUAAGCUGAAAUUAGGGAUUCUUGGAUUUGGAUUUUGAUCUUUUAUCAAAUCCUGGGAAUCAUAGGAGGAGGUUUUCUAUAAUUUUGGCGGUGUUAGGAGAUUAGGAGCAAUGUUUGUUGGAGAGGGUAUAAAAUGGAGGAGAUUUUUUAGUUUCUAUUUUUUGCAUUGGAGAGGAAAAAAGGGUUUUGAAUUUUUAUCCGUGAUUAGGGUUUUUGAAAGUGAUUUUCUGAGUGUCAAGAGUUGUUGCGGAUGUAAAGGACGCGGUGGACCUGGUCAAAAACUUCGGACAGGAAAUAGGAAGGACGAGGACGACGAAACCGUGAGCUGUGAUUAACACGUGUCGUCUUCAGUUGUUCUUGCUGGAGGUUGACGGUAAGGUUUUUGCUAUUAUUAUUAUCAUUAUUAUUACGUGAAAACUGCGGAUUAGCCCCCAGCCAAUGAUGCACUUCGCGUAUAAGUCUCCAACCUUCAAAACUUUAUUAAAUAUGGCUCAAAACUUUAUUAAAUAUUAUCAGGAGUUUAUGCAUCCAGGCUGGGUCCUAGAUUACAUAGAUUAAUUUACAUUAACUUAAAAAAUAAUAUUUAAAGUUUUAAUAUCAUAUAUUAAAAAAUUAGAAACAAUUUAUAUAAAAAUAGAUUAUAUUUGUUGUAAAUAAUAAAUUUAAAAAGAUUAUUUCAAAGUAUUUUUCAUCUCAAAUUAAAUAUAAAAAAAUUUAUUUUAUAUUAAAAAAACACAAUUUUUUUUAAUUAACGUAUAGUAUAUAUACCGAUGAAUUUUAUAUUCUAUAUUAAAAAAUUAAAAAAAAUUAAUAUGAAUUUUAAUAUGAGCUAAUAACUAAUAAAAAAAUUAAUAAUCAGUGUGCAUGUACAAGGUUAAGACCAACAUAAAAAAAAUCUUCGAUUGACCCUGAAUAUGCACGAAGGAGCACUUAUGCAUUUUAAACCUUUUGUUUUUGUUCCUCAUUUAACUAAAACCACUAUUUUUUUUAUUCUCUCCCUCCUCUGUCUAAACAACUACUCCUUCAAUAUUAUUUUUUUAUUGAUGGCCUUUUUGUUUUGAAGAAACCCGAGAAUAUUUGUUCCGCGUAGAAAUAUUCAUGGACAUGCUAUAAAAAAAUGUGGACCUGAGCUACCUAGCUAUCUAUUGAUUUGAAUUUUCAAUUUAUUGAAAAAACAAUGACAUGAAAAAAAAUAAAAAAAAAACAGGUUUUAUUGCGUCACUCAAAUUACAGGCUGUCCUAACAAGUCCUACAAAAAUAACCAGGCCAAUUGUUGGUCCAGGUUUUGCCUACAUCAUAUUUAUCGUGCAUGACAUCAAAGUAUUGGUAUGCAAGCAUACAACAUGCCAUCGAGCAGGAUGGAUUUGGGUUUCUUGGAUUUUUUUUAAUGGUAAAAUUUAAAAAACAAUUGUUACUGUAUAGCACGAAUUCAAUUUUUAAAAUUAUGUAAAAUAAUCAUGGUUGAUUUAAAAUAAAACCGAUGAAGAAUGAAUGACAAGAAAUGAGUUUUUGUUAGUUUUGCAUUUUUGCAAUAAAGGAUUGCAAGAUAAAACAAUAAACUUAGGUUGUAGUGGGAAUUAUUUUUCAAAGUGUUUUUUAUAUGGAAAUGCAUUAAAAUGAUAUUUUUUUAUUUUUAAAAAAUUAUUUUUGAUAUCAGUAUAUCAAAAUGAUCAGAAAACACUAAAAAAUUAUUAAUUUAAAGCAAAAAAAAAUAAAAUUUAAAUUUUUUCUAAAAUAUUUUUAUUGGAAUCUACAACAAUCUACAACACAUGCAUAGAAAUGACAAUACGAAAUCAGAGGAAUCCCAGCAGCCUACAGAAACACUACUGUCCACAGCACCCUAUAAAUCAUUCUAUUUCUAUUCUGCAGUCUUCAUAUAUAUAUAUAUAUAUAUAUAUAUAUAUAUAUAUAUAUGAUUAACAGGUUAUUAAUUAGUUAGUUAUAACCGUUAGUUAUGUUCGAAUAUGUGUAUAUAUUCAUUCAUUCAAUAUAUAAAAGAAAUAUAAAGGUAGAUGAAAUAAACUCUGCAUGCAGAUAAUCUAGUCGUAAAACAACUCUUCUUUUUGUUUCAAGAAUUCAUUCUCCUCUUUUGUUGAAUCUUUAUCUGCAUGUUUUACAUUUUUCACGUAGGAAUUUCACAGUUUUUGAAACUAAAAAAAAACAAAGAAAAAAAAGAAACUGUAACAGCGAGAGAAUGACUAUAUUUACUAAAUAAAGAGAGUUGAUUAUUAUUAUUAUUUUACUUUACUCUAGCAAAUUAUACUCAUUAUUAUUUUUUAAUUUCCUCCCAGCUAUUUUAAAUUCAAGCACGUGCUUCCCCGAUGAGACCUGUUGGGUAAUAUGGUGGUGGACCCAUCGGCUAGGGCGUUCCAACAUUGAGCUAUAUUUAGCAAAGAUUAGAAGGUCGGGGGCUGAUUUGUAGUUGUCCCCCCUCUUUUGGUACUUAGGUUAACGGGAAGUUAAGCGGCGUGAAAAAGUUCACGCUGUGAAUGGGUCUGGGCUUCGAGGUCUUUUAUAAAAGGGGCCCACACCUCGAUUUUGAGAAUCGGGAAUAUACUGAAAGCCCAGGCUUAUGAAUUGAGUUGGGCCAGGGCUAUUAUUGGUGGCUAAGAAACUUUUGAGGCCACAGGCAAUAGUCAAACAGGGGCCCUCACAGCAGCUCUGAUGUGAAUAUAUGUGAUAGUGGAGAAAAGGCCGGCAAGAAUACCCUUUACUUCUUGGUUCAGCAAAAGAUUCACGUAUCAAUUCAGUGGUCACCGUGAAAGCAGGAAAAUGAAAAACAACAUGGAUGAGUCAGGCGUGUUUGCCCGAGCGCCAAACACUUCGAGAAGCCCGGGCAGUAUUUUAAGAGGCCAAAAAUGCCUUUUUAUUAUUUUAAUGGAAGAAUUGCCACGUCAUUUUUUUUAAAGAUGGAUGGUGGUGGUAGUGGGAUGAUUUAUCAACAUUUUUUCUUCUCUCAAACAAAUCAUAGCUUCAUCCUUUUGAUGUUGAUUUUUCAACUUUAAUUUUUAUUUUUUUGUUUUAUAAUUUUUAUUAUUGGCUUUUUUGUCUAUAUUUCAUUUGUUUUCAAUUUCAUUUUUUAAUCCUAAUUUGUUAUAUAUUAUUUUUUUAAUUUGAUUCUUAUUUUUUUGAUUUUGUUUUUUCAACUUUUAUUAAAUUUUAUUUUAUUUUCAAUUUCACUCUUAAAUAAAAAAUUUGUUUGUAUUUCUUACUUCAAUCUUGUUCAUUUUUCUUUUGAAUUUUGAAUUUUUUUUAUUUUUCUUUUUAUUUUCACCCCUCAAUCAAAGAUAAUUUUUUAUAUAUAUUUUAAUUUUUAUCAUCGUUCUUUUAUUGUUAUUUUUUUAAUUUCAUCAUUCAAUAUUUAAUUGAAUGAGAAUUGUGUUUCAUGUUUUUUUCAAAUAGAAUACUUCUGGCCUAAUGACUUGGAUCAUAUGUUUGAAAAGUUAAUGUGAGUCGACAUUGUUUUUUUUUAAAAAAAAAUCUUUGUGAUUUUCAUCAUUUUACUUUCUACCAUGUUGUCUCGAUCUCAUGACAUUAGACGCGGGAUAAUCCGGGUUGGCUUGAUCUUGAUUAACGAGAUUACAGGUUUGUCAUGUUAACUUAGGUUGACUCGGACUGAUUUUUUUAAUUUUUUUAAUCUAGUUUUAUUCUUUGUAUUCAAUAAAAUGAUAAUUGAGUUAUAUUAUUUGUUUUUUUUAUAAAAAUAUUUUUUUCACAAGUUAUUAUGAUCAUUCUUUUUAAUGAAAAUAAAAAUUCAAGCACGCAAUGUAGCAAGAUCUACUGUUAAUAGCAUACCACAACACAAAUUUAUAUUUCAAACAUUUGAAAAAUAUCAUAGCUUUUUAAAAUUAAAUGCUUCGAACAUCAUAUUCUACACGGAGUAGUUUCACCAUCCGUUACAUGGUUCUUGCAUCGAAUGUUCAAAAUCAGGAAACUAAUUUGUUGUUCCAGCAAAACAUAUUUUAAGGCCACUACUUUGUGUUUCUCCAACCAUACCCGAGGAGUCCUUGUCGGAAUCGCAUCACGAAGCAUAUUGUAAAUUUUAUAAUUAUAAUUGAAAUGUUUCAAUUCGAAAUGAUCACCAUAUCUUAACAAAAACUGACAGGCUUGAUGUCGUGGCACGUAAAACAGGAGCACCCUCGAGGCUGUUUUUUUUUCCUUCUUUUUACCCGCUUGGAUGUGGUCACAGAAAGUUCCGGCUGGCGUUGAGGCAACGCUACAGCCUACAUGCCUGUGCUCAGCAAACUAGAAUGGCUGCUUUCUAAAUCUUACAGCUUGAAAAAUGUGACGCCGCCGGUGACUGUCAAAACUCGCAAAUGAGAAUUCUAUGAUUGACUAGUGGGGUCCGCACUUUCCUCUGAAGCCAAAAAUGACGGCUCUUGUUUGACUCAGAUAACCUCAAUUACACUGGUUGUUAUUGACGCGCCACCACCUGCAUGGCAAAAUAAACCGUUUGUUUUUCUAAUUAAUUGUAGGAGUAUUGUUAUAUUACGUGCACGGUGAUGCUCCAAAUUGAAAAUAAAAAAUGGUUGGGGAUUUAACUAUGUAAACAACAAAACGAGGGGUCGUUUCUUUUGUUGCUCGUGUUUCUUCUUGUAUUAAGGAUCGACCAAGUAUAUUUUAGUAGUUUCAUAAAUUAAAAAUAUUUUUUUAAUAAAUAAUUUAAGUUUAUAAGUUAUUUAAAUAUAAAUAUAUAUCUUACAAUUUACCACCUUUUCAAAUAUUUUACGCAACAUGAAAAACAUUUUCCAUGAAAAAUAUACCAAGUUGAGAUGCCAAUACCCUCCUCCUCCUCCUCCUCCUCCUCCUCAGGAUGUUUCACUAGUUUAGAAUUGCAUUUCCAACUAUUAAUAAAUCGAGAUUGAUCCUUUUUAAUUAGCAAUGUCAAAUUAGACAAGGUGUUACAAGCAGAUGAUUUUUACAUAUGCUAGAUUUAAUUCUAUUCAUAUUUUUUUUAAUUAAAUAUAAUGAAUUUAAAUUCAUUAAAAUGAAAAUAAAUAACACCUGAAAUCAACUAAAAUACAAGAGGAUUAUUUUAAUAUAGAGAAUGAAAAAAGGUUUACAAGCACAUUAAGAGCCCCUAAUUAAAAAACAUGCAGUAAAAAUCUUAAUUAGAGAUCAAAGAUUUAUAAUUCAACCCCAAAUUAUAAAAAACUACUUUACAAGUGGAUAUUGAACAACCGACACUCUUUUUUGCAAUCCAUUGAUUGCCAUGUUACUUUAACUUAUCAUUUGAUACUCUUUCCGUGGACAGGAAAUAUGAAGAUUGAUUUAUUAUCAAUUUGUAUAAUUUUUUUAUUGCGAUACAAAUAUUCAUGAGAUGGCAAAAUAACACAAGAAACAAGAAAAAAAUAAUUAAACAGUCAUGAAAUUAAGAAAAUACAUUAGAAAAAUUGGACAAAAGCAAUAAAAAACAUAAAGUUUUAUAAUAAAAAUAUUAGAAAAAAGGAAAAAAAAUUACUGUCGUGAUUUGUUUUAUUUCACUGAUAACAACUCAUUAAAAAAUUUAAAUUAUUUUGUCAGAUCUCGAAAUGUAAUAUAUAUUAUUUUUUGACAUAAUCCUUUAAGAAAAGCUUCAUGAGUUUGAAACUUGCACAAAUUCAUAUCACUCCGUGUUUAAUUUUAUCAAAUAGAACAAGGGUGGUAAGAUUUAAAAUCCUGAUUAUUUUUUCAACAAGACUGUGAUAUCAUGAUAAAAAACCAUCUCAACUCCAAAUCUCAAGCUAUUAUAUGAAGUAAUUAUAUAUUAUUUUUUAACAAAUAUAACAUAAUACACGCAAUCAAGAUAAUUAAAGAACAACAUAAUUAAAUCCUAAUGAUGAAUUUAUUGUUGUGUAAAAUUAGCAAAUAAAAUUAGACAAGCAAAAAAAAUAUGUCCAGUUUAUAGACAUCAAGCAAAUAAGUAUAUGCCUACUUAUAAUCAUAAGAAAAAAACUAGAAUGCACACUAAUAUACAAAGAUAAAAAAAAAAACUAAAAUGGUACUUGCUUAUUCAAACACUUUAAAAUUAAUCUCACUUUGUUCUUGUCGAUGAUUAAUUAUUUAUUCUUAAAAUUUCACUGCUCAUCAUUUGGUGUAAUAAAAUCUUUUUCAAUAAAACUCUUAGAAUUCCAACACCACCACCUUAUUUAGGAGCAUUACUAAAUAAAAUCUAACAAGCUAAAAAAUAAUACUCAAUUAUUUAUCUUCUAAAUUAAAAGGAAUUUUGAGAUAAAACAAAGAUUUAAAAUUAAUAUUAAAAAAUAGAGUAAAGAAAAGUGUUUAAAAAAAUAUAGAAUUAAUCACCCAGACACUCUCUUUCAACCUUGUUUUUUCUUUUUCCCCGGUAAAAUUCUCUACCUAACAAUUUUGUUUACUCAUGACAAAAACAGGAUUAAACCUGAAUUUUUCUUUAUUUAAAUGAGGUGAUUUUUAAAUGAAAAAACUGUUUAUGCACUAUUGACAGAGUUCUGAGAAAACCCGAUAAUUUUUUUUCUUCCAUGGACCGUACGAGUAUUCCAAAACGUAGUUCAUUUCAACACGUGGUCAAGCGUGGUUCUUAAUCCUCUCUCAUUCGCGUAGACAUACAUGGAAAACGAUGGCGCUUUUACUUCUUCCUGUUAGUUCGAGGUUAGAGACUAGAGAGCUCGAGGCUUGGGACUGAUGGAUCAUAUAGAUUUCCGCACUUCUUCAACAUUCAUGCACUCAACUUACUCUCUCUCUCUCUCACUCUCUACUUUAUUUUUCUUCCUCUCUCCUACUCUGCAUUUCUUGUUUUCUUUCGUUUUUUUUUUUUGUUUGGUGUCCAUAAUCGUACUUCUGACCUCUCUCUCUCUCUCGACAAAGAGUGAUUUGAUUCCUUCUUCUCUUCUAUUUCUUUUCAACAUUCAUCUGUUCUUAUCCCUCAUUCCUUCACUCUCUCUCUGUCUCUCUAUUUUUUUCCACAUUCUCCCAUCUCUAGUUUUGAUCUUCGCAUCAAAUGAAGGUUUGGUUCUCUCUCUUGGAAUCUUUAUUUGUUUAUGUAUUCCCUUUAUAAUUCUUUAUACGGUUUUCAUUCUUUAAAAGGUCGGAUGCUUUCUAAAAGGAAUUUAAGACAUUUUGGUUUAUGGGUUCAUUUGAUUCCUGGUAACAUAGUUGUUUGGAUGGGUCCAUGAGUAUCAGGGGUCUCUUUCUGGGACUGGUUUAAAGGAAGAAUUAGUAUUUUCAGUGCUCUUUUUAAGAACAGAGUCUUUUGAGUGCCAAAAGCUCAGGUUCAGAUUUUGUACAUUAGUCAAGUUCUGGUCUUUUUACAGACAACUGAUCAUUAAAAGUUUGUUGAUUCUGUGUUGGUGCCGUGCAUCUGUAACGUUUUGAUUUUCGGUAUCUAUAGGAGCGAAGACAAUUUGAUGUUUUAGCCAUUUUUUUAUAAAAUAAAAUUGGUUUUGGUCACUUUGAUUAAGAAGUUUGAUGUAAAAUGAUUAAUGAAUAUGUGGAGGUAGUUGAAUUGAAGCUCUGAGUUAGAUCUAUUUGAUUUAUGCCUGCAGAAGUUUGUGUUGAAGGUGGACUUGCACGAUGACAAAGCCAAGCAAAAGGCUAUGAAGACAGUCUCUACUCUUACAGGUACCAAGUUCAAUUUAUUUUUUGGAUUUCCAUUGAAGUUUGUUUUUUCUUACGUGUAAUUUGGGUUUUUUAGAUUUCAGACAGGAGGGUAGUUAGUUGAAAAAUCACUCUCUAAUGUUUGGUUACAAGGGUGGGGUAGGUGAAGGGAAGCAAAUUGCUUAAAAUUGCAUCUGUAACUUUUUUUGUUUUUUUCCCCCCUCCCUUUCCGUAAUGAUGCUCUCUCUAAUUUCUUACAAAAAGGUUUUUUCAUUUUUGGUUGGUACUUCUUUCUCUGCUUUAAUUAUUUCUAUCUAGAUGUAAGGUGAUAUGAAUGUCCAUACCAACCAAAUCAGUCACGACACGCAAACUAGCAAUGAAAAAUUUGGUGUAGGAGGGAAUACCGAUUUUAUCAAAUAUUUUCGUGAAAUUGUUUCAUGAAAAAUCAACCAUGUAUCGAGUGAGCAGAUCCCGUGAUUGAAUUCUUUCGGAAAAUGAUCUUGGGAAGAAUAUUACUUUUUGUAAGAUUAGCGUUAUUCUUGAUGUAAUAGCGUGCUAGUGUUUGUUUUGUACUCUGCACAAUUACUAGUGCACUAUCAAUACUCUGAAAGAUCAGAUUUUGUGAGAAAAUUCAGUAGGCAGCUUCUGUAGGCCAUUCAGUGUACCUCCUAAUCACGAAAAGGCACGCGAAUGGAUUUCAAACUUUCAUGUGAUGCGAGACAGGGUUGCGUAUAAUGAAUGAUUCCUCCAAAAAAAAAUCAAUUUCUUUCUUUAAGACGUGGAAAGGCUGAGUAAGCCUCUCGUGGGCAGAAAUUGAAAAUGAUGGGUGUAUCAAUCUGCAGAUGUUUGCGCUACAAGCUGUUAGCGCGCGGGACAAUAUUGUUGUUGUGGAAAAUUGACGUGCAGUUAUUUUAGAAAAUAACUGUGAAGCGAUUUUUUAAUCUCAUUUUGCAAUUUUAUAGGAAUUGAUUCCAUGGCCAUCGACAUGAAGGAAAAGAAAUUAACCGUGAUCGGAACGGUUGAUCCUGUAAAUGCAGUCAGCAAACUGAGAAAAUAUUGGCCAGCAGACAUUAUCACAGUAGGGCCAGCAAAAGAGCCUGAGAAGAAAGAGGAGGCUAAGAAGGAGGAACCCAAGAAAGAGGAGGCAAAGAAAGAAGAACCUAAGAAGGAAGAAGCGAAGCCAGAGGAAGCCAAGAAGGAAGAACCCAAAAAAGAGGAGGAGAAGAAGGGGGAAGAGAAGAAGGAGGAGAAGAAGGGGGAAGAGAAGGGGGAAGAGAAGAAGGAGGAAGAGAAGAAGAAAGAGCAAGCACCACCGCCAGACCCAGUUAUGGAGCUUGUCAAGGCCUACAGAGCUUACAAUCCUCAAAUGACCACAUAUUACUAUGUCCAGAGCAUGGAAGAGAAUCCAAAUGCAUGUGUAAUUUGUUGAGUUUUGGGCUAUUAUAAAUUAAAUAUGAAAGCUUUUCCGGCCGGUAGAUGAUGGUUUUUAAUCUCAUCACCGUGUGGUUAUCCCUGUAUAUAGGUGGUGAUGUAUGUGCCUCUUUCAUCUAUAUUCAGACAUAAGCAAUUUGUAGAAAAGAAUAAAUGGAAUGUCGCUACUGGCACACUGUUUUCUGUAUACAAUCUGUACAAUAAUGUUAAUUUCGUUACGUUCUUGACAAAUCUUCAUGCAGCACGAAGAUUAAAGAAAAGCUAAAAAGCAAUCGUGAUUGAUUUGAAGAUUUAUGAGAAUUCCGGGUGGGUCACACAACUCAUGCUAGAUUUUGUUUUUCUUACAUCUCUCCCACCGUCUUUCUCUGUGCAUGUGUCAUACGUCGAGGAACAAGUGAGUCUGUGGGUCGCGUUGAUCUUAACUUGUUGUCUCUUCCUUUCGGCUUUCUUUCAUGUCAUCUAAAGUGCCGUGGUAUAAUUUCAAGGAUAUACGUUACCUGAUUAGAUUUUGAAUUAAAUUUUUAGAUAUUAUUAAUUAAAUUUUAGAAUUACUGAGGCUUAUAUAUAUAAUUAUUAAUUUUAAAAUUUUAUAUAAUUAAUUAAAAUACGUGUAAGAGGUGAUUGAAUCACUAGAAUUGAAAAAAAAAAAAAAUUUACAAUUUGUCGGUGCCGUGAUGCCAUGGUGAUUUCAAAGGAUCCGACUCUCUUCUUGACAAGUAGCAUGCCACUGUUUUUAGUUACAUUUCUGGCUAACUAUUUCUUUUCACCUUAAAAUGCAUUUAUUCUUUGAAAUUAACUCGUCCUAUCGGGGCUUGCUGAAAUGAAAGAAUCUCCGAAUGACAUGACAUAACACCCUUGGAUUUAAGUUUAAUCACUGCUACUUUCAAAUUUCACGCUGUAAUACUGACGUCAUCUUCUGUACUAUAAAAGUUGAGAUUUAAAGGGAAUCUAGAAAGGAAUUGGAAGACAUCUUGGUUGUUGGGCGGUGUUUAUUUCGCGGUGGUAUUGUUUUUUUUUUUAAAAAAAAUAUUUUAAAUUAAUUUUUUAUUGUUUUGAUAUAAGGUUAAAAAUAAAAUAUAAAAAAUAUUAUUUUAAUAUAUUUUUAAAAAUAACCAUUACUAUUCACUACAUUUCCUAGCUUAGCUUGUGAAGAGAGGAGAAUGUCUGAAUAAUGACUAGAUUUUCAAACUAGCUUAUUACAAGCCGGGUUGAAAUAAUUAAGAUAGGAAAAUUACUAAAAAUAGUAUAUUCUGAUUAUUCAACAACAUAAAAACACAAGUCAUUCGAGAAGAAUUAAGCAAGAAAUAAAAUAAAAAUCGUAUAAAAUGAAGCCAGAAAAAUUAUCAAGAAUGGUAAAAUUAAGGCCCCGUUUGUUUGCUGGAAAGUAGUUUCUUUUUGGAAAGUGAAUUCCGGGGAAAGUGAAUUUCAGGAAAGUGAAUUCCGGGAAAGUAUUUUCCGAUGUUUGGUAGUGUAAUGGAAAAUAAGUUGAAAAACACUUUCCAGUGUUUGGUUAUGUCAUGGAAAAUGAACUGUAAAAUAAUUUAUUAAUGUUUUAUUUUUCUCAAGUUUAUUAAAAUAAUGAGGAACAAAUCUUACAAAUUAAAAAGUUGAAUGAGAAUGAAAUUGAAAAAAAAUAUAAUUUCAUAAAUUAUCUCAAAUAAAAUAAAUAAUAAUCAAAAUAAUAGAGAUCAAAUCUAAAAAAUUAAAAAAAAAUAAAAGGUGAAUAAAUUAAAAUAAUAAUAAUUAACAUUUCAUAAAUUAUUUCAAAUAAAAUAAGUAACAAUCAAAAGAAUAAGGACCAAAUUUGAUAGAUAAAAAAUUUCAAUAAAAAAAUGAUAAGGAAAAAGCAAAUAGCAAUUAUAAAAAUAAGGACCAAAAUUAAUAUAAAAAUUAAAUUUUAAGAGAUGGAAUUGAAAAAUAAAUAUACAAAACAAAUUAUAUAUAACAAUCAAAAGUUUGAGGAUCAAAUUUAAUAUAAUCAGCAAAUAAUGACAUUUCUAAAUUUUUCACAACUUCCGGAAAGUGUUUUCCGCCCAAAUUUUCCAGGAAAACACUUUCCUGAAAACCAAGCCAAAUUUUCCUUUGACUGGAAAGUGUUUUCCGUUGACCAACUUUUCUAAUGGCAAACAAACACAGGAAAGUUUGGAAAAUGGUUUCCCGGAAACCACUUUCCGGAAAACAAACACAACCAAAGGGAAAACACUUUCCUGGAAACUAAACCAAAUUUUUCUUUGACUGGAAAGUGUUUUUCGUUGACCGGAAAGUGUUCUUCAUUGACUGGAAAGUGUUCUCCGUUGACCGGAAAGUGUUCUCCGUUGACCGGAAAGUGUUUUUCGUUGACCAACUUUUCUAAUGGCAAACAAACACAGAAAAAUUUGGAAAAUGAUUUCCCGGAAAGUGAAUUCCAGGAAACAAACAUGACUAAGAACACAAGUAAUGAUCAGGAUAUUGAAAAAAAAAGAAAACAAGUAUAGGACAACAGGAAACAAAACGAUGAGAUUUAGGGCUCGAAUCGACCUCUAGCAAGCGUAGCUGGUUUCUCACAACGAGCGUCAUUUGCAUCAUUUAAAUACUAGUAAACAAAGUAAUGAUCAAGAUAUUGAACGGUCAGCAAAGGGUCCCACACCAAACCUGAAAUCGCUGUCUCUGCCAUCCUUGAGCUGAUCUACCCUGUCAAGAUAGUCAAACGCCAUCAAUUUUAUUCCUGACAGCUCAGCUCCAAUAGAAUCUGAUGAUGUGUCAAACACUCAUCAACAUUUUCUUGAUUUUUCUAUUUUAUCCUUUGACGAAGUGAUAUAAUAAAAUAUGUAUGUAUGUACGUACGUACGUAUUUGUGUAUUGUCCAGUCACCCUUGAAUCCCAGUUGCAAUACGUAUACACACACACACACACACACACACACACACAAAGCUGAGGGCAGGGAUUGGAUAAGGUGUGAGAGAGAAUAACCUAAAAUUAAUGAAGGCUCUCUCUAUUCCAUGCAUCAUUAAUGAAGGCUUUUAUGCUCGAUAUUUCGUGUCUAAUUAAUCGACAUGUAUCAUAUUACUUGUACGAAUUUAAACAGGAUUGUAGCAUCAUCAUACUACUUUGAAAAAAAUCAAAAAGAUUAUUUAGAAAAAGUGGGCAAAACAAUCAAUACUAGUUAACCAACUUAACAUAUUAAACUUCAUCAUGAAAUUAUAAUAAAUUUAUAGAAAAUAAAUCAAAAAAAAUUACGAAGCUCCACUUCUAACAUAUCUAAUAUUAAAAAUUAAAAUUAAAAAAAAAAACUAAAUUUAUAAGACCAACAUAUAACCUAAUAUAAUAUAUAUAUAUAUAUAUAUAUAAAACACACUAACUUAACUAAUAUUGAAAGAUGAAAUUAAGAAAAAAACUGAAUUAUCAAAUGGAAAUAAUAAUAAUAAUAAUAAUAAUAAUGUUGUCAUUCAAGACUUAAUCAUGAUUAUAAUACCUAAUUUGAAGGUUAAUUCAACCCAAAAUCUAUGUUAUAGGUUAAGAAGAUUAUCCCAGUGAACUUAAUUUUUAAGUUUUUAUUUUUUUAAAAAUAAUAAUAUUUAGAUUAAAAAUAUGAGUUCUAUCCCAACCAAAUCCUGGUUUGUCAAGCCACUAAAUUAACUAGCCAGACUAAAUAAUGAUAUUGAUAUUUUUUAACACGGCAUAACUGAAAAAGAAAAAGAAAACUUAAGACAACAUGUGAAAAGUAAAAAUGGGAUUGAUUGUUAUGAGAGGUAAUUAGAGGGUGUCUAAGAGUGUGAUAAUGAUUAUAUUUUAAAGUAUUUUUUGCUCAGAAAUAUAUUAAAAAAUAUAUAUAUAUAUUUUUUAAAAAAAUCAUUAUUGAUAUCAACAUAUUAAAAUGAUCUGAAAAUAUAAAAAAUAUAUUAAUUUAAAACUAAAAAAAAUUAAUUUUUUUUCAAAAAUAUUCUUAAAACAUAAAAACAGGCCAUCAAUAAUCAUGCUAUACAUCUCAAUUCUCUUAAGAACUUUUUGCAAAGAGUGUUCGAAUUGAAUUGUCCCAUUAAGUUGAGGAUAAAACAAAUUUUUUCCCGAAAAUUGACACCCUCUUGUCUAACCUAUUACUCGCAUGAAAACUAUAGACUCCAUUAAUUGUUCCUCACUCACCACCGCCCAUGCAAUCACGAAUGACGAAAGGCCAUCCAUAGUGUCAAGAUUCGGACAGCGACAACCUUCGAGCAAAAUGAGGCGCACAACAAUCUGUUGCCACAGUUUUUUAUAUUCUACAGCACGUUGCUUUUUGAAUACAACACUUGAAAAUCUCGUGCUAAGACUAAAACGAUUGAUUCAAUAGCAAAUCAAUGCACGCUUUGUUUUACUGUCUUUAAAUAUAAUAAGUCAACCAACUUCUCCUAAUCCUUUAUAACAAACAAUCUUAGUCUAAGGGUUAGUUCUAUCUUACAGGAAAAUAUUUUCCUGUUUCAAUGUAAAACAAAUACUAGAAAAUAAAUAAACAAAAAAAACACCAUUUUAUUAUUAAUGUAAUCUUCAUCUUAUCACCAUCUCACCGUAACCAUUUAAUAUCAUCAUCACACCAGCCAUUUCAUCCACCACCAUCACUAGAUUAUCAAUAUAAUUAUAGCUUCUUUAUUAUUUUUAUUAUUACUCCAACAUCGUAAAUACUAUAACAAUCAUUACCGUUACUCGCAAUCACCAAUAUCAUCAUAUUAUUAUUAAAAUAUCUAUAAUAAUAACUUUUAUUAUUAUCGUUAUUAUCAUUAUCAUAAUAACCAUCCUAUAAUCACUAUUUAUCUUCACAUUAUAAUCAUCAUCACCAUCACCACAAAAACAACAUAACAAUUAUUAUUUUCACAAUCAUAACCUCUAUCAUUAAUUCUCAUCUUUAUUAUCAUCAUUCAAAAAAUACAAAUGCAGAUUAAUUUAUUAUACUAGAAAAUAUUUUCUUUUUAAUGCAUUCAAACAAUGAAAAAUAACUUUUUUUAAAAAAUACUUUUCACAUGAACAUUUUUUUGCAAACCUAAUGGAUCCUUAGCUUGCCGUGUUUGGUCGUUUUCUUCCCCCCCCCCCCCCCCCCCCGGGAAUGAAGCUUCCCAUGCUUCUGUUUCACAUUAUCUCAAGGUUGUUAUAAAUGCAGGCAGCAUGAAUCAAUCAAACCAAUGGGCUGAAAUAAUGAAGCUUCAAGAAACCGCGAUCUGACAUGGCCAACAGGUGAACCAUGCAGGAAAUAAUGUAUUUGUGAACAUUCCAUGCCCUUAGCUUGAAAGGGGAUGAUGCCUAGGAAAAAAAGAAAAGAAGGCGGCCAUGCUUUUCUGCACUAUAAAGGGUGAUGUAUUAAUCUCGCUGUGCCAAAAAGAUUCAUUACUGUUCCAAGUUCAAGAUUCAUGCUUCCAUCAACAUAAGCCAGGAGAGUUCAUACAUGACUUUCCUCGUCUGGCUAGCCAGGAAUUUCAACGAGAAUGGCAGUAUUCAAUUUGCUCGAGCAAAUAGCCGCCCAAGUUGAACUUACACUAGAUAAAAUUUACCUCAUGUACCAACAUGGUCAUAUGCAUAAAUGAGAUCGCAACCAAAAUCAUAUAAUAAUACUGAUAACAACCCAAAAAGAUACGCACUCGUAAAGAAUCAUGUAAAACGCUGAAAAAAUGGGAGAAAAAUUUUAUUUUAUUUUUAUCUCUACCACCAGUUAACCUUGGUGAUGUGACUUUUUUUUUUUAAUUACUUUUCCUUCAUUUUUUGGGAAAAAAAGUAUAUAUCAUACGUGCUUCGCUUCACAGGUUGGAUAAAAAAAAUAGUAAAGUUUAGCCAUUAGCGAUGUAAUUUUUGUAGCAGCAAGAAAUAUUUUUAUUACAAGUAACGUAUAUGAUAAACAAAUGGAAGAUCAAAGACAUCAAUAGCAUUAAGAAAUUUUUUUUAAUGAUAACAAAAUAUUAAACCGAGAAGUUAAGAGGCCUCAACCAAAUUCUUAUUUAAUUUAAAUUUAAAAUUAAAUCGAAUUAGAGCUGAUAUGAUGUAAACUCAUUAAAAUCCAAUUUGAUAUCAACAAAAAAAUAUUCAUAGACAUUAUUGUUUUAAGUUUUUUCUUAUAUAAUAAGACAAUUAUAUUUUUUAUAAACUCGAAUUAACUUAAAUUAAUUCUUAGACCUUCAAACUAGACAGUAAGCUUGGAUUGGAUGGGUUUAAUAAUUUAAUUGUUUUGAAUUUUUUUUUUCUAACUAUACAACAAUAAAAGUUGACAAGCAAAGAAAAUUCAUGGAAUAAAAUUUAAGAAAAGAAAACUAGCUAUAAAAGAAGAGCACCCCCUAAUGUUACAAAAAUCAUGCCAUAAACUUUCUAAAGAAAACAAAAGAUUGAAUGGUAUUCAAUCAAAUUAAUAAUAUAUAAAAAAAAGUGGCAAUUAAAUAAAAUUAAAAAAAAAUAACAUUAUAAAAAGUUAUACAAAAAGAGCGCUCACUAAUAUAAUAAUAAAAAGAACUAUGAUCUCACCUAAAAAAAAAUUGCAAUUUCAAUGAUAUUCAAUAAAAAGAAUUUCAAAUUAAUGGAAUGAAGUGCAAAAUAUAAGGAAACAAAGAAAAAAAGAAAAACAAGCCAUACAAUCAUGUGAGCUUGACACGCGUACCACCUCAAUUUUUUUAUAUAUUAAAAAGUGAACAUGUUAUUUGUCUUUUAAAUUUUUUUAUAAAAAACAAACGUGUACAAUAUAUCAUUUGCAAAUUAAUCAAGAAAUUCAGCAAUAAAAAGAGUAAAGAAUACCCUAAAAACCUUGAUAAACUUGUUUAAGGCCUCAAACAACCUAAAAUUUAGUAUAUAUAUAUAUAUAUACACACACAAAAAUCAUGCCAUAAACUUUCUUAAAAAAAAGAAAAGACUGAAUGGUAUUUAAUCAAAUAAUACAAAAAAAAAGUGGCAAUCAAAUAAAAUUAAAAAGAAAUAAUAUUAUAAAAAGUUUUAUAAAAAAAAGUGCUCGCUGGUAUAAUAAUAAUAAUAAAAAGCUAUGAUCUCACCCAAAAAAAUUGCAAUUUCAAUGAUAUCCAAUAAAAAAAAUUUCAAAUUAAUGGAUCAAAGUGCAAAAUAUGGGGAAACAAAGAAAAAAAAAACAAGCCAUGCAAUCAUGUGAGCUUGACACGUGUAUCACCUCAAUUUUUCUAUAUAUUAAAAAGUGAAUGACAUGUUAUUUAUCUUUUAAUUUUUUUAAAAAAACAAACAUUUACAAUGCAAAAUCCGCAAAUUAAUCAAGAAAUUCAACAAUAAAAAGAGCAAAGAACACUCUAAAAACCUUGAUGAACUUAUUUAUGACCUCAAAUAACCUUAAAAUCAAUCUAAAUAUCUAAAAUUAAUCUAAAUUCAAAAACUUUCUUAGUGCUAAGAUCUACACUCUCAAGCAAUGGAAAUAGCAAAGAAUAUCACAAUAAAAUUUAUUUCAUUAAAUUAAACUUGUUGAAUUUUAGUGGUCACAAUUGACAUCAACGGAGUUUUUUUCUCUGCAACUAGAAUUCAGCAACUCUAACUUUUAUCAAUACAGUGACAAAACAAAAUAAGUUUUAUAAUGAAAUUGAAAUUUUGAAAGGCAAAGGGACUGGAAAGUAACAAAUCCAAGAGUUGGGCAACUAAAUUAACCUUUUCCCUCCACUUUUGAAAUUGACACCUAUUUUCCUGUCUUUUCCAUUUUGCUUCUCUUUCUUUUAAUCUUUUUCUUUCUUAGAAAAUUAGAAAUAAUUGGCCAUCAAUUUGACUUUAAAAGGUUGAAAAUGAAAAGUAAAAAAAGAUCAAGCACCAAAAUGGGAAAAAUAUGCAAUGAUCCGGUCCAAAAUGAUUUAUGAAAAGUUGCACGGUAAAAACUACACAUUUUAGUUUUUUUUUUAUGUUAAUUGUUAAUGUAACCGGUGUCAGUAUUUUGUACAUUUCAAUUUUAUAUAUAUAUAUAUAUAUAUAUAUAUAUAGGAUUUUUGAGCUUGCAAUCUCCCGGUUGAACGUUGAACUGCAUUUAGAAUCAUGAGAAAAAUGACCCCAUGCCUUCCUAGUAAAAAAAUUCUUUUUCCUCAACACGGCAUUUAAGAAACCAAGAAAAUAAGAGAAAAGAUCUUACAACAGCCAUCCAAAAAAAAAAAAAUUAUCCUCUUUCAUAUCAAAACUCAUAAAUACUGGCCUCGUAAUGUUUAUGCUUUGUACCAACAAAUUUCCAAAUGGAAACCAUCUCAUCAGUAGUAAUCUACCCAAAAAGUUACUGAUUGCGCGAGACUGAAAAGCACAGCAACCACUUUGCCCCUUGGUUAAAUUAUGAAUAAUGCCUGGGGUAAGAGGAAGAAAAUCAUACAAGUAUAAUUGAGUGGAAAGAAGGUAUUACUGUUUCAUUUCCUUCUAAACAUCCCAAAAGCAUAGCUGAGACAUUACACAUACUAAAGGGCACACCUUUGAUUACUGACUGGCCCUCCCAAAGAAGUGUUCUAUCUGUAAACAGCCUUGAGAUUGCAAACUGCUUGUUUUAGCUCCAUACUUGCACUUCUUGGCAGAUACAGAAUUUUCCUUGCCAUCCUGCAUAAAAAGGUCACAGUUAGAAGUCAAGCAAUCAGUUUCAUAACGAGGUUGUAAUAUGGAGAUAUGUGAUUCUAGAUACAACGUGGAUGACAAAAAAAAUAGCUGCAAGAAAACCAAAGCCAAGUUGAAUGGAUAUGAACAGAAAACUAAUUGAUACUCUAUAACAAAAUGUAAGUAGAAGCAUGAUUGCGUGACAGGUAUUGAAGUAAGCAACUAACGCGGGCAGCUACAAGUUGCGAAGACAAAGAUGUUUCAAACCAAAAUGUGUCAAACUAAUAAUUAAAUAAUUGUAUACAUGCAUUACCUACCAACAAGGAUUGAUUCAUAGAUCUCAGCACUUUAACUCUACCACCUCGCCCAUCAGAUCCAACAGCAAUUAAAUCCCUGCUACUUGCACUUGUACCUUGCAUGGCCAAUGACCCGUUGCUUUGACCACGCUUACACCAUCUCCCCAAGUACCGGUUUGUUCCAUCAGGACCCAUCAAUCCACUAGAGAAACAUAUAUCCCCUGGAGGUUUAGUAUCAUAAUAAACAACUAAUGUCAGAUUCUGAACAAUUAAUAUUCCAAAAUAUGUAUUUUACAGAGGGCAAAAGUGUGCUCAUGCAUGUAGUUAUAUCACAAAGUUUGGCUCAAGCCACUCCUUGAAACCAAUUACAUCAAACUCAAAUUAUACCAAUAGUAAUGUGUGUUUGGGAUUGUGGUGGCGGUUCAAAAUGCUUUUCGCUUAGAAAUGCAUCAAAAUGAUUUUUUUUAUUUUUUAAAAAUUAUUUUUUACAUCAGCAUAUCAAAACGAUUUGAUAACAUAAAAAACAAUUUCAUUUUAAGCAAAAAAAAAUCAAAAUUUAAGGAAACACGGUUUGCGCCGCGCCCUAAGAAGUCUUUUCUAAUGUUGAGAAUGGGUUGACCUUCUCUGGUGUCAUCAAGAGACACAAUAACUUCCUCGUCUGUAGCAGAAUCAAGAGCAUUGCCCUUACCAUUGUUGAUUCUUAUGCCAAAAGGUCCAGAUGGGUUCACUGUUUUGUGCACUUUGGCUUCACUGUGAAUAUCAGAAACUGCUUCUGACUUUGCAAGAGCAGAUUCACCCUCUCUGGUCUGAUGUUUUGAAUCAGGGUCUAGAGUUACAUGCACAGCUGUAGGAAGAUUCAAAGCUGCUUCAUCUCUUGCAUAAUAAGCAUUUCCCUGUUUGUUAAGAGCAGUGAUUCUAGUACAUUCUUUGGAUGAAUUGGCACCCUUAUCACCCAUGAAACUAAAAUUUUCUCGAUCACUGGUCGAGCUUCCUGUUAGAUCCACAGAUACACAAUGCUGUUCCUUUUGACCAGCACAUGAAGUACUUGUGGCCAAAGCAUUAGAACUGUCCUUGAUAUCUUCUGCAACAAGCCCUUUGCAAUUUGCCUUCUUUGAAGCUUUUAAAGCCCUCAAACUUUCGUUAUCUUUUACUUCAACAACCAUCUCUAGUUCUUUGACCCUUGUCUGAUGAUGGCAACAAAACAAUCAUUUCAGCCAAACCAGAGACUAAGCCAUUCCCCGGAUGAGCUUUUAUUGGAGAAUUUUAAACAAAGUCCUCACAGACUUACCUUUAAUUUAUUGAUCUUUUCUUUUGCCUUCUCAAGUCUUUUACAAGAACGAGCCUCACCCUGUCCAAGUUGGUUACACUUAGCCAUCAAUUCUUUGUAAGUCCUGUUAGAAGCAAUGUGGAACAACAAAUUAUAUUAGAUAUCAAAACCCUGAAAAAAAUAAGAGAUGCGGGUAAAUAUAAGGAAAAACCAUUGAUAACAUUUUGCAAAAAAUAGCUAAAUAAAAAUGCAGUGAGAAUAAAUCAGGUAAAUUAUCAACAUGGUUAUUCUUCAGUGGAAAAAUCAGGGUAAAAUCUAGCAUUAGCAAAAGCAACUAUCAGAUAAAGAUAGUGCAUGUAAACAUUGUAAAGUGUAAACACUGAUCAUUACAGAUAGGUAUCAAGCAAAAAAGCUCACCGCUGUCAUAACACAAUCCUUGAUGAUGAAUCAACAGCUCUCAUCAUUUUGGAAUUAAGAAGGAGCAUUAAAAUUCAAUUGAAUGUCAAAACUCAAAAUAAUUUUCUCCAUCCAUAAAUACAUUUAAUUACUAUAACUGAAAAAUAGACAGCUUACUUAUUGCGAAUGACCAAAGACUUUCUCAGGAUGUCUACGGUAUCUUUGUUAUUGGCUUCGUUACCAAAAGAGGCAAGCUUUAAAACCUCAUCUUCCUCCAGAUUCACAUCCGAUACCCUAAAUUACAAACCGUAUAAGUACAAGAGUUCAUAACAAGAAACCAAAUAAUAAAAGUCUAUUUGAACCUAGCACAGCUGCACUUACAGCUUGAGUGCUACAAGCUCUUUGGCAAGUGCCAUAUUCCUAUCUUGCAGCCUGAUGCGCUCCAACUUCAGUGCAUCAAGCUCCUACAACACAGUUGACCAAAAUCUCUUAGAAAAAUUCAGUUAAUUGGCACCACCAACGACAUGAAAAGGGGAAUAAUCUAGAACAACUGUGAAGACGAUAGUACACCUCAGAUUUCGAUCGAAGCAGGUGCUGAAUCGAUGCUUUUUGUUCCAUUGCAUGAGUCCUCAAUUUAACUUCUUUCUUCAACUCAUCUUUACAAAGAUACAACUGAAACAAAAAUAGCUUCAUAAGACCCGGAGAAGAACAAAAAUAAUCGGUUUGCUUCAAAUACUUCAUUGAUAUAGCCAUAGAUUCGGUCAAUUACAGCUACAAAGAUAACUGCACGCCAGGUGUUCUGCAAAAUUUUCACAGACAAAAACAACCAAACAAAUCAUAAGAGAAAUCAAUCUUACUUCCUCAUUGAGAUGCUUCAUUUCCUUCACUUGACUCUCCAAAAUGGUAUUGAGACCCGACAAUUUUCCUUCCAAUCUCUUCACUUCUCCACGCAACAACUUAGGAUCCUCCUCACACUCCCCCGCCUUCCGAUCCCCGAACGGUUCGGUUUGGUCCCCGACCGACUGAAAAUAAAGGCGACCGGCAUUUUGCGCCGAGCAAUUCUGCUUGCAAACUGGACAGCUACGCUUCUUUUCAUUCGAACAAUAUUCAAACCACUGCUGCAGGCUAGGGUUUCAAACAUUAACCACGGAAACCUUAACAAACUAGUUUCCAGGUUUGCAGAGAGAAAUUGAAAAAUUAAGCACAUGCGAAAUCGUUUCCGUACCAGAGUUCGUGAAAGACGUGGCCACAAAUGGAGAUUGAUUGGAGAUCUUCGACAAUGGGCUUGAGAUCUUCAUAGCAGAUGGAGCAGAUUGUCUUCGCGAAAGAGUUGUUAGGGUUUGUGACCAUCGCUCGGUCGCUGUGGGUCUGGGACUCCUUUUUUGCGUUUCGUUGCUGUCGUUUUGGUGUUUUUCAAUUUUCCUGUCUCUCAUUGUUGUGAAUGAGAGCGAAAUUUAAAAUGAUGAGGGAAAGCUGUAAAUUUUAUUUGGCGGGACAUAGAGGGAAAAUGGAGAAUUGGGUCAGGUGCCGCGUGCAUGCCACGGAGACUAAUGUAAACGGUGAGGCAGACAGUUUUUUUUGGGAAAUCUCACUUUAGCACCUAAUAUGUUAUUCAAUUAUCAAUUAAGUACUAAAUCUUUUGAUUUCAUUAAUUUCCUUUUCUUCUAUUUUCUUUCUAAAUGACCUGUAAUGCAAAUAAAAGCAUUGAAUCGACCGAAAGAAGUGCCCCUUCCUUUACUUUUAUUUUAGAAUAUAUUAAAAAAAUUAAAAAUUUAUUUUUGAUAUUAACACGUAAAAAUAAUCUAAAAUCAUACAAAAUAUAUUUAAAACAAAAAAAUUCAAAACAUUUCAAAAACAUUGUUAAACCUAAAACAAAUACACUUUAAAACAAGUUUCAAUCUCUCUUGAAAAUAACUUUAACAUCAAAUCGUAAUAAGAUUUUAUUGACUUUGUUUAAAAGUGAUAAUAAGAUUUUCUUGACUUUGUUUAAAAGUGAAAUUAUCAUAUUUGGGCAUUAAGAUUAGCCUUUAUAACAUAUUCAGCUUUUUUUGCUUUUUUUAAAAGAAAAUAUGGUAUACAGUGGAUGGGUAAAGGGUGAUCUUUUCUGGUGCACGUCGUGUUUGGGUAAAAAUUAUAUAACCAGAAGAUUUAUUAGGUCCAAAUUGGUUAUGAGUGAUACAUUAGGGGCUAAAUUGAGAUUUUACUGUUUGAUUUGUAUUUUUUUCUUUGAUGAUAAUAAUAAAGGUAUUUUGAUUUUUUUAUUGUUAUUGCGACUAAAUUACUUUUCUAGUGGAAUUGAUUGUUCUUCACAUCUUCGUUGCUAUGUUGGGAGAAUUGAUUGUGAUCCUUACUUGUUUUAUAAGAGUCAAUGAUUUAAAAUCUUUAUUACUGACACAUUAACACGAUUUAUAUAGAAAUUUAGUAUAAAAAUGUUUUUUAUAAAUUCAUUAUUCAAAUAAAUAAUACUUUAAAAAGCGUGUUUUCAUUUAUAAUAUCGAUCAAGAUUGGAUGAUAGUAUCUAUUUAAGAGUGUAAUUACGAUUGUUUUUUGAAAAUAUUUUUCACUCAGAAAUAUAUCAAAAUAAUAUUUUUUUUAUUUUUUAAAAAUUAUUUUUUAUAUCAACGCAUUUUAAAAACACCAAAAACAUAUUAAUUUGAAGUAAAUAAAAAAAAUUAAAUUUUUUUAAAAUAUAAAAAUAAACAAAAUCACGUUGUUUAUUCUUUGUUAAUGGAUUCUUAGGUAAAAUUUGGAGGUAUAAUUUUUACAUGCUCUGAUUUCUUGGUUUUUCCAUGUUCUGCCAAAUGAGAAUGAUAACACAACAUCAACACAACAAAAAUUGAAAGGCUAUUUCCAUAAGAUUACAAUCAACACAACAUCAAAGAAUUAAAUUGAAAAAAAAAAAAAUAACACAAUAAAAAAAGAAGAAGAAGGGAACACUAUGUGAAUCCAGGAUGACCCCUUUCCGAUGUUAGAGUGAAAGGCUAUUGCCUUUUAUUUAUUUUCUUAUCUAAAAAAAUAAAAGUCUCAAAUCAUUUUCCAUCAAAUUUGCAUCCAAAUAUCUCAACUAAUUAGCCAUAAGAUUACACGAACAUGACAAUGUUUGCUUCACUGUAAAGUAAUGUGCUGCAAUGAUUUGGUUUGUGAGUGGUUGUUUUUGUAUUAUAAUUUGUUUUUUAAAUUAUUUUUAUUUUAAAAAAUAUUAAAUUAAUUUUUUUUAUAUGUUUUUUUUAUUGUUUUUAUGUCUUGACAUAAAAAAAAAUAAAAAAUAAAAUUUUACUUCAAUUAAAAAAUACAAUACACCAUGUAACAAAAUAAAUCAAUAGCCGAGGGAACAUGUAACAAAGCACAAAUUUGCCAGUUUAUACAAUAAUUAAUAAAAAAAUAUUUUAUAAAGGUAUUCUUUUUUUUUUUUCAAAAUAUCAAAGUCAAUAUACGUGUCAUCUAUUGUGAUUAUACAGACAGUAUAUAACUAUUGAAUUAUGAAUUAAUAUUAUUCUAUAUAUUUGUUUGACCAAAACAAGUUCCCGUCCGUAGGUAGUUUUGUCAAAUAUAAGCUAUGGAUCCAUCAUAUUUUAUAAUAAACUGAAAUUUUAUUUGUCAUGUACUUGACUAAUAUACCCCCAUGAAUAUUAAGUUUAACAAAAACAUUAAUAAAACCAACACGUGACAUCACAAAUGAUAAAACUAAACUCAAUGUCUUUUCAUGUCAAGGAUGUAAAGAAAUCAACCAUCUAGGUGGUGGUCAAUGGUAAAAGCUUGUGAUCAAGAAGUUUGUUUCUUAUGUGGUCUCAGGUUCGAGCCCUGUGGUUGCUCAUAUAAUAGCCACUGGAAGCUUACAUGGUCGUUAACUUCAGGACCCGUGGGAUUAGUCGAGAUGCGCGCAAACUGACCCAGACACCCAUGUUAAACUAAAAAGAAGAUGUAAAGAAAUCAACAUCAAAGUUGUUGGGUGAUGGACAAAUCAUAAAGAACAUCAUGCAAAACGAUACAAAAUAUGAAGUUGAAAACGAUAAUUAUCUCCUGUUGUCUUUAUUGCAAAUAAAAUCAAUUUAUUUCAAAUGCCAAAUAAAACCUAACACACAAAUUAUGCUUUAAUACUAUAAAAUUAUACAGGGAAAAGUUAGCAGACACUUAAAUAUACAAGUAAAUAAUAAAUACUAAAAACAAAUUUUAAUGAAUUAAUUUAAAAUAUAAACAAGUUGCAAAAAAAAAAUGUGUGGGUUUACUGUCUUUAUGAAGUGAAACUUGACAAAAAAAAAAUGAUAAAUGAAAGUUGAUACAGUUAACAAAUGUUGGUCGAUCGUUGGCGGGUUGAGGGCUGGAUUUACAUGAGGGUUGCCGGAAUUUGAAGAGAUUCGAAGAAGGGGCUGUUGUUGUGCUUUUUAGCAAAUGAAAAAUAAGAAACAGGGGAAGAGAGAACCAUCAGGUUUUUAUUCAUUUAAAAUCACUGAUGGAUUCCGUCAGCAUUCAUGUUAUGUCAAAUUUUUAACGAAACUACUAACAGAGUUUUAAUUAAUUUUUUUAUAUUCUCUUGCUACCAAAAAUAUCCAACCAUAAUUUUAUUUUUAUUUUUUUUUGUUAAAAAUUACCAAUAAAAUAUUUUUUUUGUCUUUUUUUUUUUUGGAAUUACGAAGGAACAAUAGAGGUGAAAAUAUCUUAUUAAGGGUGUAUUUGGCUUGGAGGUGUGGUGGCUUUUUGUCUAAGGCACAAUACCUUUUAAGCACAAACUACACCUCUAAAAGCUAUAAAAACAUGCUUUUUACUCAAAAAAGCACAAGUUAUCUCACAUUCAAACACCCUCUAAGUAAAAUACUAAACCGCGUAGGUUUUUUGUUAUAGCCCAUCCACGAAGAAAUGUGUUAAGGGCUACACUGAAAUUUUUUUAUCAUUUUUUAUUUGUUUUGAGACAACACUGUCUUUUUAUUUUUUUAAUAACAAUGCAAUUAUUGUAUUGCCCUUAAAGAGUAAAUAACCAGAACCUUUAGUCCAGGGGCCAUGUGGUAAAUUCAAAUUUGUCAUGAACAGUUGAAUUACCUUUAUUAUGCAAAUUUGUUAGUUUUGCCUUUGCAGGCUUGAUUGUCAUUCCCUAGAGUUUCUUUGUUGUUGUUAUUUAGUCUUGAGAGUAUUUUUGGGUUUUUAUUUUUAAUAUUUAUGAACAAUUGAAUUAUUCCACUAUUCUUUUCCAUUCAACUUUUUAGCACUGACUUUAAGGAUUUUGUUGUAAUUUUAUAAGGGUUUUUUGUUAUUGUUGUUUAGUUAUGAGGGUAUUUUUAAUUUUGUGCACAUAAAAAAAAGCUGCUAACACGUGCGGUUGACAACGAUGGUUGAAGUCAAGCUUCCUCCAUGUCAUUUGAUGUGUCCUAGCAUCCUCUUUCUCUUUUAGUGGCACGUGUAUAGUAGCGAGGCAUAAUUCAACAUCGAUUGACUUUUCUUUUCUUUUUCUUUUUUUUCUCGGAUUGCGUGCUGGUUAUAUAAAAAAUACACCAGCCUUUCAAUAUAUUUUUUUUCUUUUGAUUCGGUCUUUUUUCUCUUAAUUGUAAUUAUUUUUUUUACAUUGAUUUUUUUUAUUUUGAUUUUAUUUUUGAUUUCAUCCCUGAUUUUUUUAUUUUGUUAUUUUUUUUUAAUCAAAUAUGGUCCUCAUUGUUUUAAUUUUUUUUGUUUUCAAUCAUUUUCUUGAUUUAUUUGUUUUUCUUCUAUUGAAUCCCUAAGCAUUUAUUUUUAUUGAAUUUUUAUGUCAAGUUUGGUGCCAAUUCUUAUAAUUGUUAUUUUUUAAUUUUUUUUUAAUUGAUUUGUUUUUUUUAAUUCAAUCCCUAAACAUUUAAUUUCAUUUAAAUUUUCCAUUAACAUUUAAUUUUAGUUGGUUUUUAUGUUGAAUUUAGUCCCGAUUCUUUUAAUUGCUAUUUGUUUUGUUUUGCAUUGUUUUUUUAUUGACCUUUUCCCCCUCAAUUUCAUCCCUCAAUAUUUGUUUGGUUAAGAAUAUUGCUUCUUUAUUUUUUUAGGUUUGCCUUCAACGAGGCCAUUCUAGUCUCGUGACCUGGGUCAUAGAUCUAAAAAAUUAGCUCAGGUCGACUUUGAUUGUUUUAAAAGCAUUUUUUUAAAAAAAUUUCCUGAUAUUUUUUCAUUUUUUUUAACAUAGAUAUUUUGAUUUAUUUAACUAGAUGAUUGCAUACACUUUUCAAAUGACACUUUUAAUUUUUCAUGUAAAAAAACACACUAGAGCAACUUACAUACAUGAUAUAUAUAUUUUUUAAAUAAACAAAUUAUAACAUGCAUGCCAAUUUCAUGAUUUUAAUGUUUUAACUUUUUUUUCUUUAUACUCUUUUUGGAAAAAAUAUUAUUUAUACUUUGUUUAUUUAUACCAUUAUUUUUUUCAUUUUCUUUUACUCUUUUGUAAUAUUUUUUUUGAUGUUUUUUCUUUACACUUUUGUUGCUGUAAACUUAUUCAACACAAACUAAGAAAAUAAAGUUUUACUGUAACAAUUACAAUAUUUUUUUAUUUUUUAGUUACAUUAAAAAUUAAUUUGAGAUCUUAUUAUAUUUUAUUACAUGUAAGCGUUGAUUUUGUAAUUCAUGGUUAUAUUUGUUACUUGAUGUAAAAAAAGACUCUAGUAAUACUUACACAUUAAUUCUCAUGUGUUGGAAAAAAAAUUAUUCGACCUACUACCAGACGAAUUGAAUAAACGUGUUAACACUUUGUUUUUUUAUAUUUAUUGAUACAAAUAAUUUUUAUAGAUGUUUUGAUUUAUUAUUAUUAUUAUUUUUUAAAUAAAUUUAAAAAAUUAACAUAUUUUUUUUUUACUGAAAAAAUUUAUUCAAUCCGCACGGCAGCGCGACCCCAUGACCAGGUGAAACUAAAACGUACAGGGUUCCUGAACUUACUCUGGGUCUCGUGACUUCAUUAUUGUUUUUUUUAUCAUUAUAAAAUGAGGACAGGCUACUUCAUUGCAUAACUCUAGGUCUAAUUUGACCUUUCAAUACACCGUAAAAGAAAUUUAAUUUUCAAAAUAUUUUCUUAAAACAAUUCACAAAAUAACAUAGAAGCGAAAAAACAGGAAAAACAAAUUAGGCGGUGAACAAUCCGUGUCUAUAUAUACACAAAGCAGAAAGAGCGUUCUAACUUCUAACCUCUCAGCAUUCCAUUCACGCGCUCUCGCUCUGUCUCUUCUCCAUCCCUAAAAAUUCACGUCUAGCUGGGAAAAAAAACCACAAAUUUCUAGACAAGAUGAUUUCAACCGAUCUUGAAGUUCCUGGACUGGAAGGAAAGACCCUAAAACUAACCAUCAAUCCUGUUGAAACAAGCGAAGCAGCAAACACCACCUGGGAUUGCAAGACCCCAACUGGAGAGGAACACAAAAUACCUAUCCAGCACGAGUGCCCUCCAGCUCCAGGUCCAAAGUGGCUUCUGGAUUCUCUCUGUGUGAAGAAGAAGGCGUCGAAGAAGAAGUCUAGGUGCCAGCCAAAGGUAAUAAUGUUGCAACCUUUUAACGUAUCUUAUUCCAAGCGAAUCACUCUGGCGCCUGGGAUGCUGCCUGAGGAUGUUAGAGCUUCUGAUGAUGCCUUAGAGGAUCACAUUGUAAGAAAUUUGAAGUGGCCAGUCGAAGAGAUGAGAAGACUGCAAUAUCGUUCACCAAGAGAAAAGAAACACAGGGUAUAAUUUCUCCUUCAUUGAAGGUUGCUGGGAGAAGGUCAUGAAACUCAAUGGGUUUUAGAUUAUUACAUCAAGACAGUACUUAAUUAUGCGUUGUGAUAUGAUCACCACCUUGGUUAGGUUUCUCAUUGUUAAUUAAAAACGAAAUUAUGUUUUAUUUCGGAUCCCUUUUUAUAAUUUUCUAGAGUAAUUAAUGUUUUGUCUGCAUCUUAAUUUAUUCACCUUUUCUUUCAUAACCAUAGAAAUUAAGAAGAUGGCAAUUGGCAUUACCCUUUUAAGCGACGAUAAGAAGGAUGUAAUCACCAGGUAUAAGGAGCUAAUUAUCAUGCGCAGAGCCCACUGGUCAAACCGACCUUUUUUUUUUACAGUGCAGGCUGUUUAUAUGAUGGUUAUUUAUUUAACUUUUUAGAUUCAAACCCGGAUUAUCAAUUAGAAAAAAAAAAUUAAAAUUUUCUAAAUAUAUCAAGCUAUUUUUUUUAAAUACAUUAAGCUGACAUGGGAGUGUACUUUUAAAGUCAUUUAGAAGGAGAUUGAUUCCAAUUAAUGUAUAAGUUGGUCUUAAAAAGAAAGAAAGAAAUUGACUUUUCUUUUUUAAUAUAAUUAUUCAACAUAAUUAUUCUUUUAGAUUUUUACAUGCCUUGAAAUAAAUUUUUAAUUAUUUAAUUUUUCAUAUAUCCAUGUUUCAUGUCCUUUAAAAAAUAAAAUAUAUAUUAUUAUGAUGUAUUUUUGAAUAAAAAAUACUUUUAAAAAUAAUUAUUUCUGAAUAAAAAAUAUUUUACAUUAAAUAUAAAAUUUGGAUGUAGUUUGAUAAUUAUUUAAGAUAAUUUGACUUUUAGAAUCCAAAUUCAAUAUUUUUCAAGCAAAUAUAAACAUGAUGUUAUCCUUUUCGUUUAAUUACAAUUGCAAUAUUAAAAAGACUAUAUGUUAUUAUUGGUGUAUUGAUAAUUUAAGUGCCAUUUUUUUUUUAAAAAAACUUUUAUGUUGUAUAUAAAAUAUUUUUAAAAGUAAUCUAUUCCUCGUGUAUUGCAUUUUGAUGUUCAAGAAUGGUCUUAUUAUCAUGUAUCGGUAUAUCAUCUCGUGUUAUUUUAGGUACGAGUUCAUGAUCCUGUAUAAAUUAAUUUAUACGAAUAACAAGUUGCUCAAAAUUCUUGUUAUAAUCACACAGACUAUUAGUUAUUAUAUAAAUUAUCUUAUUAUAGUAUCAUAAUCUAGUUUCCUUCUCAGUCCAUAAUUAUAUACAUGAAAGAAUAGUUUUAUUAUUGUUUUUGGAUUGAUUACUGUAUCCUUAUAUUUUCAAUGAACGUAAAUCAUAUCAUAUAACUUCAGUAAAUUAAAUAAUCUUAAUUAUAUAUAAUCAUAAUAAGCGUCUUAAGAAGAUUAAUCAUAACUAGAUUCUUUAUUUAUUUAUUUUUGAUAACACGAGAAAAAAUCUGGUCAUCAAUUUUCAAAACAGUAAGAUUAUAUGUUUUGUAUUUUUAACUAUCAAUACUGGUCAUCAAUUCAUGUAAGCAAUUACCUUGUAUUUUGAAAAGGUUAUUUUCAAAUCACAUGACAUAUAUUUUUUUAGUUCUUUAAAUAAAAUACCUUAACAAAUUUAAUUUAAAUCUAUAUAAUAAAAUAUUUUAUUAAUACAUGGAUAUACACAUGAGCUGGCAUGUACUAUUCGGCUCUAAGAAAUUUAAAACCGAAAUUAAAAAGAAAAAAACUAGAAAAGGAAGUGUUUUUAUAGGGUUGAAGUCUACUAAGACACCUUUUGAUACUGAGGUACAAGUAUUUCUAAAAAAAAAUUAAAUUAAUAAUUUUUAAACAAUUUUGAUGUGAAAAAUAAAUUUUAAAAAAUAAAAAAAUAUUAUUUUAAUAUAUAUUCUUUUAAAAAAAUCUAUCUCGGUCCAAAUUCUAAUAAGCAAUAAGUGGUAACAGUGAUUCCAAUAAAUCCUGCCUAAUUUCAUACGCUCUAUUGCUUCUCUUUUCUAUUCCCGACCCUAACCUUUUUUCCUAAACUCAAUUCACCAGAAGAAAAAGAAAAGAAAAGAAAAUUACAGAAUCGAAGAUCAUAUGAUGAUACCAAGCUUGGAAAGGGAAACCCUAAAGGUAAAUACUAGUCCAGUUAACAAAGACGAAGAAACAGAGAUGACAAUGGAUUGUAAAACCCCAACCGGGCUGAGACAUAAAAUAGCAGAGACGACAUGGGAUUGCAAGACCCCGACUGGGGAGGAACACAAAAUACCUAUCCUGAACACUUGCCCUCCAGCUCCAGGUCCAAGGUGGCUUCUGGAUUCUCUCUCGGAGAAAAAGAAGGCGUCGAAGAUGAACUCUGAUGCCGAGCCAAAGGUAAUAAUGUUACAACCUUUUAAGGCAUCCAAUUCCUAAGAGAAAUAGCGGGUCUCCGAUGCGCGCUGAGGGUUAUGUUAGAACUUUGAAUAGUCCAGUUAGAGAAAUUAGAAUAUUGCAACAUUCUUUUCAGAAAGAUAGAUACAGGGUAUGAUUUUUCUCGGGUUGCAAGUAGAAGGUCAUGAAACUUAUGCUGAUUAAAAGGACAAGAUUGAUAGGUUUUGGAAUUUCACAACGAGGUAGUAAUUAUGCUUUGAGACAUAGUCAACAGCGUAAUUAGAAACUGGAUUAUAAUCUUAAUUUGGAUCUUUUCUUUUAUUUUUUUAACGUAAUGUUGUUGUUUUAAUCAGCAUCUUUAUUGAAUUGUUUUUAUAACCAUAAGAAAUUAAGAAGAUUGGUAGAAGUUCUGGGCAUACAAAACUUUGCUUGCUAUGCUGUGUACAUGCGUGUGUAAACGUAGAAUCCAAUUAUCACUGGUAUUUCUUUUGAUUAUUAUAAUCUUCUGGGAAAGUUUGUUUUUAUUUUAUGAAAAACUUUUGGGGAAGCUGUUGCGUGGCAUUUUCCAUUUUCUUUCCGAGAAUCACCAUCAUCCAGCCCUCUUCCCUUCAAGUCAUGCCUAGUUUGGCUUGUAUUAGAUGUCUGGAAAUUAUUUGUUAAUUUUCUCAUCUUCUCGGAGGAGCACUGACAAGUGACAACCCAGUUUCUUAAAUUGCUGGUUUGGCCGCUGACAAAAUAACCUUCGAUGUUUUAUACUUUAUGGCACUUGCAAACAUUAGAAGUUUACUGAGGAGGCAUGAAGAUGCAGCUGGUAAUCUUCUGCCUGUGGAUUUUGUCUCCUUGCGGUUAUAUUUAAUGACCAGGUUGAUUCUUACUCCUUUUGAUUUUUGUGGUGAUUAUGGAGGAUCAUAAAAUGACGUUAAAUCGGAAUUUCAGUGAUUUUUGUUAAUAUUUUCUGUAGAAAAUGAUUACUUAGUCCAACAUCGUUUCAUUUGUGCGUACUAUGAAGUUCAAUUGAAUCGAGGUGUGCGGAGUAUGACAAGUCGAGGUACUGUUUUAUUUUCACGAGAAUCAAGAGAUCUAGUGUUAUAAAGUUAGAUUGUAUUUGCCUUAUGUUUUAAAAUUGUGUUUAAUAUAAAAAAAUAUGAAAUUAAUAUUUUUUUUAUGUUUUUUUAAAUAUUUUAAUGCAAAAAAAUAAAAAUAAAAUCUGAAAAAAAUAUUUUUAUAAAUUUUCAUAUAAAAAAUAUUAACGACUAUAAAUAAAUGACAAGCAAAUGAAUAAAAAGGCAAACUUGUCAACUUCAAGCUUCAUACAUGUUGGGUUUUAUUUUAAAUGGAGGUUGAUCUGGUGGAAGAUAUGAUCAAAUAAAAUCCAAUGACUAUUUGUUUUUAUUUUUAUCUAAAAUGAUAUCCUUUUAUUUUAAAAGAACCAAAAUAGCUUUGUUUUAUUUUAAAUUGACCGGAUAAACUCACAACCAAACCGAGUCUAAUAACAGAUUGAGUCUAAUAACAAGGAGCAACAGUGUUGCAGCGAAGACCUAUAGAAUGCAGAAAGCAUCACCAGGCAUGAAGAACAAACGGUGGCAGACAGGAUACAGAGUUGUUUUCAGAUUACAUCCAUGCUAUCAGAUGACUGACACGGUUGACUUCUUGUUUGUCAGGGGUUCUGCACAGUGAUUUGAACCUCUUCUUGUGUGGGUGAAUUUAAAUCAUUGAAGAGCUGCUUCAGCUUUGCUCUUGAAUUUAGAAUACCUCUGCAUUUCCAAGGAGCAGCGGCUAGAGUUUUUAGCCACUUGAUUGUGUAUCAUGAAUCUGAUGAGCUAGUUGUGUUUUUAUUGGUGGAGCUUAUUUCUAAAGCUUCAGUAAUCCUGUGUAGCUCCACCUCCUUUGAGUUAAUUUUUCCAGUGGGGCUUGGAAAAAUACAGAUGAAUUUUCCAGCACCAUUGUGAAUAACUCUCGUGAAGUCCGCAGCAUAAGGCUUUCCGAUAGAUGAUCCGUCCACGUUCUACUUCAGGCUGUUGGCACUUGGAAGUGACCAAACCAAACUCCAUACAAUCAGAACAAGGGAAUCUUGUUUUCUUGCUUUGAUAUAUUAAUCUGGUUUCUCAUGGAACCAUCGAAACAAGGGAGCUUGAAACUUAUCAUGCAAGCUGGAAAGGUGCGAUAAUUCAUGGAACAACUCCGUGCAAUUAAUCUUUUCAGUGCUUCAACUUUUCAACGCUCGAUCUCGCAUGUAGAAGCAGCAGGAAUCAUUUCCAUAUCUCCCAUCACACACGCACACAGUAGUGUUACACAUGGCUGUAAAACUUGAUCUUGGAUGUAGAUGCACGAAUGUCUCAACCGAUUAAGUUUUGAAUUUAAUAUUUAAUGAUCAUGAGUUCGAGUCCUCCCAUAAUUAAUAAAGGUUUAUAUUAUAAUUAAUUUCAGAAUUCAUAAGAUUAGUUGAGGUGCGCGUAAGCUGGUUUGAACACCUACAUUAAUAAAAAAAACUUGAUUAUAAAUAAAAUCCUGGUCACAAAUUAACCCUAAUCUUUUUAAAAAAAUUAAAAUAAUAAUAAUAUAUAUUUUUUAAAAAAUUAACAAGAGUCGAGCUUUGACCGGAUUAAUUAAUUUUAUUUAAUUUUUUUUUAAUCUAAACCGUUCGAAGCUCUGGAUUAACAAGGUUCUAAAUAUUCAAAUUAAUUUUAUUUUAUAUUUAAAACAAAAGAGAAAUGUAUUCUAAUUAAAAAAGAAUAUAUAGCACCAGUAAAAUAACAAAUCAUUAUUCUAUGGAGAUAAUUGGGAUAUUAAUUUAUCAAAACAACAUUUUCGUUCGCUUUUUUGACCCCUCCCCUGCCUGCCUUUCUGAAGCAUGAAAACAAACACAGCAACAAAAAGCAAGGAAAAACAAAUCAGCUUUGAAUUCUGUUUGAAAGAGUGGUGGUAUUGUGUUUUAAAGUGUUUAUUUUAUUUAGAAUUAUAUUAAAACUAUAUAUAUAUAUAUAUAUAUAUAUUUUAUUUUUUAAAUUUUAUUUUUUAAAUUUUAUUUUAAAUAUCAAUAAAAAAAUUAAUUUAAUAACCUCGCAUCCUAAUUCCCCAAUCUACCCCUACCCACCAUCACGAUUGCCUCUGAGAACACCGCCAGGGGCAAAAGCGUAACUAUAUUAAAUACAAAAAUAAUUUCAUUGUAGUUUUCGUUGAUGAACAGUCUGUUUUCUUGUCUUUCCCUCUUUGUUUCUCAUCAAAAGCUCGAUCUACCGAACCAAAAUCUUCGAAAUUAAGACCCAAAUCCUGUUUCUGGAAAUCGUCUCUGCGUUCCGCUCCUUCUCAUUCAAUCACUAACAAGGUAAUCUUUUUACCAUUUCUAAUUCAUGAUCUGUAAACUGCACGCGCUUUGGUUUUCAUUGAAUUUUCUCAGAUUUAAUGGAGGAGUGUUACAGUGAUCUUGUGAUAGUUUUGAUCGAUUGAGUAUUUUUUAAUGUAUUUAUCUGUGAUUAAUUGCUGGAUAGGAAGCCGGAUUAGUUUUUCCUUUUUGUUUGGUUGAUGAGAAAAUUGAAGAAAACGAGAGAUAAAUUUGGAUUAAAUUCUGUACUUUUUUUGUUAUUUAGGUUUAUCUGAAAUGAAAUUUCCAGCUUAGAACUUGCUCAAAACAAAAAUCAGCUCACUUAAGAUAAAUCUUUUUGGCACACUUACUAUUUUGCUCCUCAUUUGAUGAUUAUGAAGUUUUGGUUAGGUUUCUGAAAAAUCGACACCAUAAUUAUCAAUUUUCUUGAAAUUUUAACUUAUGGUGAUGAUUAACGAUGAUAUGGAUAAUGAGAAGCAGAUGAAACAGAGCAGAGAUGGAAUCUGGAGUGAUAGAAAUUCAAAAUCUUCAUCAGUUGCCUCCGUUCCCCUCAUUCUCGAUAUAGAUGAUUUUAAGGUAAGGAAUAGAUAGUGGAGUUUUUACGAGGAAAACUUGGUAUCAUACCUCAUUUAGGAUCUAUUUUCUUUUUACUUAAUUAAUGUUAAAAUUUAUAUUCCAAAUUCAUUUUGUAGGGUGAUUUUUCAUUUGAUGCGUUAUUUGGCAACCUGGUAAAUGAUCUGCUCCCAUCUUUCCAAGAUGAAGAAGCAGAUUCAGCUGAAGGUAAUAUAGGUGGGAGUGAUAUGUUAGCAAAUGGGGAUGUAAGAGCCCCAUCUGACGCAGCAAAAUUGGCGCAAGGGUUGUCUUCUCCCUUAUUUCCUGAAGUGGAUAGUCUUUUGUCUUUGUUUAGGGAUUCUUGUACGGAGUUGAUAGACCUCCGAAAACAGGUAGAUUGUUGGGAGUAUGUGAUGAAAUUUCUGAGGUCAUAAUUUUUUUUUCUGCUGACAUUUUGUUUUUGGAUUGAAGAUUGAUGGAAGGCUCUACAAUCUCAAGAAGGAGGUUUCUGUCCAAGAUUCUAAGCACCGUAAAACACUUGCUGAGGUGAGUUUUUGGGUGUUUGGGUGCAUGUGUUUUGAAUCAUUGUAAAAACUAUACUGGAGAAGACGAAUCAAUAAAUAAAUGAAAAACUGAUUUUUAUUUUGAAGUAAACUGCAAAAGCUUCUUUAUUUUUAAUCCUAGAUUAGAUCUCUACAGCAGACACGCGUGCACACGCGUCCAUGUGUGUGUAAGUUAAUUCCAUUUCCUUUAGUUGGGUGAUAUUAUAUAGUAAUUACUUGCCAUUUGAUUUUUAGUGGUUAAUGUUAUAUAUUGAUUAGAUUAAAAGUAAAGCAGAAUAGAAGUUGGACAAUCAAAAGAAUGUAUUCUUUUUGAAAUAAAAAGAAAUAGAAAGAAAAGUAAAGUUGAGAGGUUUAUGCAAUAUGUAGAAUCCAGAAAUUUGAGAAUGAAAGGUGUGUGGUUUCUUUCAUUUUUGGCAAGAGGUUUUUAGGUCUCAAGGGGAAUUUGGUUGGUUUGGCUCCUCUAAGAUACAAUCAUUUUGUUUCUCUUUGUUCUGUUUCCGAGAUCCAUCUAACAUAGUUACCAUUUGCUAUGUAUUUUAUCUUUUCAGCUGGAACAGGGUGUAGAUGGCUUGUUUGAUAGUUUCGCUAGGCUUGACUCACGUAUUUCAAGUGUUGGACAGACUGCUGCCAAAAUAGGAGACCAUUUGCAGGUAAAAUUUUUCCCAUGCUCGAUUAUAAUUUGCUAAGCAUUCAGUCUAUAGUUAUUUCACGCUUUUUAUUAUGAUCUUAUCAGAGUGCAGAUGCUCAAAGGGAAACUGCUAGUCUAACAAUAGAACUCAUAAAGGUACUGUCUGUCAACUUAUUUUUAUGCUUUCCUUAGCUCAAAAUGCAUUAACACCUUGUUUACAUAAUUUUUGCAGUAUUUGAUGGAAUUCAAUGGCAGCCCAGGUGACCUAAUGGAACUUUCACCUCUGUUUUCAGAUGACAGCCGUGUUGCUGAGGCUGCUUCAAUUGCACAGAAAUUACGUAAGAUGACAUUAUGUUCUUACAAGCUUUGAAAUUGCAUAAUUCUGCAACCUCAAGUUCUUGUUAUGCUGCACGAGCCUUUUGGACUAACUUAAUUGUUUUUCUAUAUCAGUCAUGCAUUCUUCUUCUUUUUGUUUUUUCUUUGAGACAGUAGCGAGUACCCUUGCAGCUUAGCUGUAGCUUUCCAUCUCCUUUAAUUAGUCUGCUUUACUUCAGUCCUAAUCCUAACUUUAUACAUUGAAUCAUUUAAAUCCACUGCCGCUCCCUCCCUCCCCUCUUUUCUGUGAUAAUAUCUUCUUGUUUUAGUACAUGCUUCUAAACUCAUCCAAUACUAUUGUCACACCAGAUUAAGUGAUAUCCUUUCAUCCGACUUGAUUGCUAGAAGUUUUAUUCAUCUAUAUUGUCAUUUGGAUUUUCAUUGAAAUCUUCUCUUAAAGUGUUCCUGGUAUUUUGGUUGGAUCUAUUCUGAUGAAAUACAAAAUUUUUAGUAGAUUUGGAAUGUUGUAGCUUUUCCAUAAAUUAAGGAAAAUCAAUUUGACCCAUUCCUUUGGAUAAUAGUAAGGCAUUAGAGUGCUGAAUUCACAGUGAAAUUUGUUUUAAACUAUGUGAUUUAUUUAAAUAAGCACAAGUAGAAAAAACAAACAAAUAAUUUGUGAAUUGUGAAAUUCUUCAAUAACAAAGAAUCCUUUUAAAGAUUUUUGCAAUAGCUCUUGUUUGCUUUUCACAGCCAUGUGAGUUUUUUGGUACUUUUGUGUUUUUUAGGGUCAUUUGCUGAGGAAGAUCUUGGAAGACAAGGCUUAUCCGUACCAUCUGUUAUGGGAAAUGCAACCGCAAGCAGAGGAUUAGAAGUUGCAGUUGCUAAUCUUCAGGAUUACUGCAACGGUAUGGGUUCAGCAUAUUGUUCUUUUUGAUUAUUGAUAUUACUGCCACAGGAAGUUCAUAUAUGGUGCAUCAAACAAUACAAUGAUUUAGUGGGUACUGAAAAAUAGUAACAAACUAGGUCCAAAUAACAGACAGUAUGGUUUAAUAAUUAUUAAUAGUUAUACCAUAUAUGCUCAAACAUCAUCAGGUUUGAAGAAAAGGACUAGCUUGUGGUAUCAUGAGAAAGAAUUUACAAAUACCCAUUUCCAUAUGGCCUAAUCUCCUAUUAUUUGUGUUAUUUUCCAUCAUAAUGAAGAAUCUUGGAGUGAUUUCUUUCUGCAUAGCCUUGUAGCUUGGGAUAUGUUUCAAAGAUUGUUUGCAAUUUAGUAGUGAGUCUUGGGUGAUCCUGAGGACAGUAGAAGAAGCAGUGUUGGAUUCUUCUGGGGGUUUUUAUGGAGGAAUGUUUUAGUUCUUUAUGGAGAAAUGCUGUAUGUGCAUUUUGAUGGAGAGGAGUGAAGGGUUUUUCUCUCAUCACUUCACAGAGAGUCGGUUGUUGUGGAAUAUAGGAUAGUCUUCUGGGCUUUGAAUUCUCACAUCAGCAGGAUUCUUUAGGGGCACUUCCCAAUAAAUGGAUUGGAGCGCUAUGUUAUUUUCAUUUAGAUGGUUGUCUACUUGCCUUUUCAAAAGAUGUUUCUUUCUACAAUUUUUACCAUGCAAUUCCUUUAUUCUAAUAAUACUUUCUCCUUUUACCCUAAAAAAACUCAUUUCCAUAUUGGCAAAGCAGGAAGAAAAGCUAUGCAGAUCAUGAUGCUUCGAAGAAAAAUCAUUACUGGCUUUUACGCAUCUCCUUUGAAUCCAAAUUUUGAAUGUUGGGUUUCAAAGGAUAUUUUGAUAAAAGCAAUUAUCACCAUGAAUUCAUUGCCUGGAGAUUUCCUUGUUCAGAAUUCUGAGAAUUUUGUGAUCCUGUUGUAUUUUUUAGUCUGUUGAUUACCAGUAGGCAUUAAAGCCAUGUGGUCAUGGAAGGUCGUAGCCCAUCCCUCAUGUCCAUUCCCCUCCCAAAAUAAAAUAAAAUAAAAAUAAACAUAAGUGAAUUGUAAAGGUGUUCAUGAUUGGUGGAUUUGUUUCUUUUGUUUAUCAUAACGUUGCAGAGAUGAUUUUUUCCUCUUAAUAUUUUUCAUGCAGAACUGGAGAAUAGAUUGUUGGCUCGGUUUGAUGCAGCAUCACAGAAAAGAGAAUUAUCGACCAUGGCAGAAUGUGCUAAAAUUUUAUCUCAGGUGAAUUUUUUAUAACAUGUGACCGGAAAGGAUACUUUUGUUGCCAAACACCUUGACUGGGGAUCACCUGAACAUGUCUACAUUAUACUGGGUGUGGGGGAGUCCUAUUGUUUACCAUAUGGGGUUGAACUGACUGAUUCGACAUAAUCUUUCCUACUUUCCUCUUUGAACUGAAGUCUUCAAGUCCAAAUUGCAUCAGAAUAAGUGAUGAUUGGAAAAUAAGCAGAAAAGUCCUCCAGACUUGCAGGAAUUGGUCCAGAAUGCCAACAAAUUUGCUAUUCCUUUCUGCCCUUUUUGGUGAAAAAACGGGAGGGAGAUUGUUUAAGCCAUAAAUUUUAGUUAUUUUUGUUUCCUUUUGAUUCUUUUUCAUCCUUGUUUGAAAUAAGAUGGAUCUUCCAUUUAUAAGGGGAUCUUGCAAAUCUGUUGAAAUGUUUUCUUUUUCCUGUUUAACUCUUGGGUUUCCUUUUGCAUUACAGUUCAACAGGGGCACAAGUGCCAUGCAACAUUACGUGGCAACACGUCCAAUGUUCAUUGAUGUGGAAGUCAUGAAUGCAGACACUAGAUUGGUUCUUGGUGAUCACGGUUCUCAUGCUAGUCCAAGCAAUGUUGCUCGUGGACUUUCUUCCUUGUUCAAAGAAAUCACAGGUUUGGAAAAUAGCCAUUUAUCUCAAGCAAAGAUCACAUUCUUCCAAGGAUUGUUAAAAAUCUUCAAUUCUCUCCUGCAGACACUGUCCGUAAAGAAGCUGCUACUAUUAUGGCAGUAUUCCCUUCUCCUAAUGAUGUCAUGUCAAUUUUAGUUCAGGUAUCUGGGCAGGAUUUGUUUUUUACCAUACCUCAUGUUUUACGCCGUCUUAUUCAAAUUGCACAAGGCAUAUGAUAUUUUUUUGUUGUGAAUUCAUAUUUUUGAUGUUUUCCAUACACGUGCAGAGAGUUUUAGAGCAGCGAGUUACAGCUCUUUUGGAUAAAUUGUUAGUGAAACCAUCUCUUGUGAAUUUACCUCCCAUGGAAGAAGGUGGACUUUUAUUGGUAUGUAGAAUUGCUUGGUCCAAACUGUUUAUAGUUCCUUAGUUUCAGUCUGAAGCAACAAUCAGAUCUUAACUUUUUUUGUGUUUGACUUGAGGCUUCAGUAUCUUAGAAUGCUAGCAGUGGCAUAUGAGAAGACUCAGGAACUGGCUAGAGAUCUACGAGCCAUGGGAUGUGGUGACUUAGAUGUUGAGGGUAAUUAAUUAACUUUCUUGAUUCUUGGUAAUUUUGUGAAUAUUAGAUGUGUAAUCAUCAGCAAUAUGGAAGUGUAGAACAUCAUCAAUUGAUGAAGAAAGAUGAACUGGGCCUGUCUUUCUCUAUAUUUGAAUAUUGUGGAAAGCUAAUGAUGUCAUGUUGCAAGGGGUAGUCUUUUCUCUAUGUGAUCCCAGGUAAUACCAGGGCUGCAGGGUAGUGGGAUCAUUCCUACCACCCCAUCCUCCACACUCCUGCUCAACCAAAAUGAAAAAAGAAAUAGAAAAACAGAGAUAAUCAUGUUGGAUGAUUCCUGGUGACUUAUUCCCAGUUGUUUGGGAGCUAAGUUGUUGAUUCUGUCUCUGAUGACUUCAAAUAUAUGGAUAUUCUAUAAUAACUUCAACUAGCAUUACCUUCUACAAUCAUAGUAUUAGCUCUUCCAAGUAGUGUAUGACAAAUUCUGGAAAUUUUAGUCUUUUUUGCCUUUUAUUGUAGAAUACGAGUUUGAAUGGUGUAGAAAUGAAUUAAAAUAAAUUUUCGAGCUUCUAUGAAAAGUUUGGGCAUAUUUUAAUGAACUUGUGGAUUUCUUCAAUUCAGAAAAUUUCUCUUUUCUUGGUAGCAGAGAUUGCCACUGAGAUUUGAUGUAUUUAAAUAUGUUACUGCAAAUCAUAGUUGACAAUGUGACUGAUUUCCCGAAUAAAAGUGUUAACAUGACUUGAUGAAUGUGUAUAUCAACCAAUACUUGUAACAUUUGUCCAACAUCUUGCAGAAUUUUUCCUCUUUUAUUUCUGUGUCUUAGUGACUUUCUUUGUUGAUACAGGCCUCACAGAGUCUCUGUUCUCUUCCCACAAGGAUGAAUAUCCUGAACAUGAGCAGGCCUCUCUUAGACAGCUAUAUCAAGCAAAGGUUCAUGUGAUUUUUUUUAAUAUAUAUCAAAUUUCCAGAACACAUUUUUCUUUGGUGACAAUAGACUGUACCAUGAUAUGCAGAUGGAAGAACUGCAUGCUGAGAGCCAGCAUCUUUCUGAAUCAACUGGGACUAUUGGGCGCUCAAAAGGGGCUUCUGUAGCAUCUUCCCACCAGCAGAUAUCUGUAACAGUUGUGACAGAAUUUGUGCGGUGGAAUGAGGAAGCAAUAUCAAGAUGUGCUUUGUUUUCAUCUCUGGUAAUAUUCGAUUCUGCGAUCAAAUAUACCUUGUCUAAUACUGAGAGCUCUUGUAUAGCUGUUCUAUAUAUCAUGGGAUUUAAUGUAAAAUGCUUGAGUACUCUUUUUCAGUUAUCUAAAGGGUAAUUAAGCAGUAGCUAUCUCUAUUUUUGAAUGAUUAAAUGUUCCUUUUUGGUCAAGUCAUCUGGGAAUCCUGUGCCCUUGUCUGAAAUUCUUUUUCUUAUAGAUAACCUUUUUCUUUCUUUCCUCCAGUAAAGUAAGGUUAACAAACAUUCAUGAAAUUGUAGCUAUAUUGGAAGAUGCAUAGAUUUACAUGAGGCUACUUUGAUUAUUUGUCCUGGUACAUGGAUAAGAUUGUCAAAUUGUCCUUUGUUUUAUCUUCUAAUGGACAUGUGAUUAAAAUGUAUAUUUGCAGAUGACAUUUGAAAUAGUCUCUUUUGGAUGCUUGGAAUUGUCUUUACCACCUUCAGUUGUGGAUUGUCUUGGCCUUCUUGUGGGUGUUAAGGCUUCCAUCCACUUAUAGUUUGAUAUGGUUUAUGUUAUCCGGCCCUAUGUCUAAGACAAUGAAUCAAAUGGUAUCAAAUAACACAUAAUCAAAAGAAUGGAUGGUUAGAAUUUAGAAGAAUUAUACAUGUUUUAAGCAGAAUGUUGAGUUAGAAAAAAUGAAAUGAAAUGAGGAUUAGCCAUUUUGGGUCUGAUGGAACUUUUAUUUCUAUUCUUCUCUCUGAAAAAGAAAAUAUGAAUGUGUUAUUUUUCUUUAUUUAUAAAAGCUACAAAUAUUUCACUGGUAUUUUAUUGAUUGAUUCCAAACAUGCUUUUCUGCAGCCUGCUACGCUUGCAGCCAAUGUGAAAGCAGUGUUCACUUGCUUGCUAGAUCAAGUAAGUUGCUUACUAAAUCCAGUUCUUUGUUAAUUUAUGCCAUGGUUAUCUCAGAUUUUAAUUUUCAACAAUAAAAUGUAGGUAGGGCAAUAUAUAACAGAAGGUCUUGAACGGGCUAGAGAUGGCCUCACUGAAGCUGCAGCUCUAAGGGAACGAUUUGUGCUGGGAACGAGUGUUAGUAGAAGGGUUGCUGCUGCAGCUGCCUCUGCUGUAAGUACCUGAUCAUAUACCUUUGCUUGCUCUAUCAUUACCCCUUCUUUAUGAGAUAUACCUAUCAUGUAGUUUCAUAUAAAGGCGAUGUACAUGUACUCAGAAUAGUGUGCUUAAGUGAGAUUGAUGUUGAGAUGCAGGCAGAAGCUGCUGCUGCUGCUGGUGAGAGCAGUUUCAGAUCUUUCAUGGUUGCUGUACAACGUUGUGGAAGUAGUGUGGCUAUAGUGCAGCAGGUAUGUUGGAUUGCAUUGACACUAAACUUUUUGUUAAAUUGGCUAAAAGGAGAAUCCUGUGAUAUAUAGAGAACUUAAAAUGGCUUUAACUUUCAUCUUCAGUAUUUUGCAAAUUCCAUAUCUCGCCUCUUACUACCUGUGGAUGGUGCACAUGCUGCUUCAUGUGAAGAAAUGGCAACAGCCAUGUCCAGUGCAGAGGCUGCAGCUUAUAAGGGGCUUCAACAAUGCAUUGAAACUGUUAUGGCUGAGGUUUGUUCUUGACCCCUAGUCUUUUACUUUAGCAAUGCAUGGAUUCUGAUGGAAACUUGCAGGUCUUUAAUUCUUCGCCAUUUGUAUUUGUUGCGUUAAUGCUUCAUUCUAUUUUCUCUAGUCAUAUUUUCAUAUCCAGAGGGAAAUGCACUCGAUCUAUUCAUGGAUAUGCUUUCAUUGUCCCAUGUCUUGCUAAUCUGUUCCCUGCUCAUUUUUUAAGUUCUCAUUUGUAUAAUUUUCUUUGGGAAACUCCUACACAGGUAGAGCGAUUGCUAUCAGCUGAACAAAAGGCAACAGAUUAUCGGUCACCUGAUGAUGGAAUGGCUCCUGAUCAUCGUCCAACAAAUGCCUGCACAAGGUAAAUUCAGCUCGAUAUACUUGGGACUUGCGUUUUGAACUAAAAGCAUGUUUGUUGGGUUUCUGAGAAAUAAGUGAUACGAAGUCAAUCCAUUUUAUUUUUUGGAUUCUUAGAAAUUUAUUCAUUUGUGUUUUCUUGUCGCACUUGGUGAGUGGGGGUUUCUCUUUGACAACACAAAGUGCCUACUAGUUUAAUUCCCCAAGGUCCCAAGCCUCAAACCAAGUUCAGUCAUACACCUACUAAUAGUAUGAAUCUAUGAGUGUUUGUUUUUGAGGUAGUUUUUGUAGUUUUGGUUUUAAAAAAAUAAGUUUUAAAAAAAUGUGGUUAAGUGUGGUUAGUUGGAUUUAGAUACGUGUUUGGUAAAAAUUAUGGUUGAGGUUUAUGUGUAGCAAAAAACAUAUAUAAAAUGUUUGGUAGUUGUGUUUGGAAGUGUGGUUGCGAUUGCUUUUCAAAGUGUUUUUUACUUGGAAAUGCAUCAAAAUAUUUUUUUUAUUUUUUAAAAAUUAUUUUUGAUAUAAGCGCAUCAAAAUGAUCUGAAAACACAAAAAAAAUAUUAAUUUGAAGUAAAAAAAAAUAAACAAUUUUAAAUUUUUUCAAAAGCGCUUUUGAAACACAAAAAUAAACAGGGUUUUACAAAACUCAGUUAAAAAAACAUGUAAAAACUGCUUCACAAAAACUGCGUUUCAAACUCAAUUUUUUAGUAGGCCCCGCAGUACAAAACAGAGUUUGGUUUGUUACAAAACACUUUGCUGCGUUUGUUGCACCGCUAACGCAAAAGCAGUUGCAAAACAAACGCAGCCUAUGACAAUCGAAUCAAUUCAUUUCUUUUCUGUCAUGUUUCUGCUUCAAAUAGCAUAUCUCUAAUCAAAAGAAUACAUUAUUUCAGUCAUUAUUAAUAGUAGCUGCUUUAUUUCUCUUGACCAGGGUUGUGGCAUAUCUUGCACGUGUGCUCGAGGCUGCAUUCACUGCAUUGGAAGGUCUUAACAAGCAAGCAUUCCUGACUGAAUUGGUUAGUCUAUCUCUGGGAUUCUUUUGACUCUUCUGUUUGCAAUUGUUUGUCCAGUUUGCCCUUCACUUAUCAGUCAUGACUGCUCAUGCAUCUGCAAAUAAAGGAGUUUUAUGUGCACUGUUGAAGAAAGAAUGGCAUGUGUGCUUUCAGGUUGUCUUUUUAUUAUUUCAGACACGAGUGUCAUGGUGCAUUGGAGGGGAUAUUGCUUUAACAAGACUGUUUUGAGCAUUCCAUUUACUAUUAUUGCUUCAAUGAUUUUGUUCUCAUUGAUCUUUGUUCUUUUCCUUUUUUUGGCACAAGUAACAAUCAUUGCCUCUGAGCUUUAAAUGAAAAUAGGUGUACAUUUAUAUCAAAAUAAACCUUAUAUAUGGUGUAGGGGUUUCAUUGUAACUAAAAACACAGUUUACAGUGGAUUGCUGAAGUGAAAUUACCAUUUUACUCUUGGGUGGGAAAAAUGAGAGGCUUUGUUAUGAGGGUAGUUCAGUGUUUUUCAAUUUUUUUUGCACAGUAAAAAUACGUUUUUACCCCUAAAGUCAACAAAUCUAGAACUAUUGACCAAAGGUUAUUUAGUCUUUUCAAAAACUUUUAAAAUGUCAAAAUACUUAUUUACCCUGUAGGUAAAAAAAAAAAAAAUAGAGUUGUUGACCAAGAGGUUUUUUGGUUUUUCACUUAUUAGAGUACAAUAAAAAUGUUUUUACCCCCAGAAAAGACAAAAAUCAAGGCAUGAGUCUGGGGGCAUUUAUGUCCUUUCACGAUGGUUUUUUUGUAUUUCUCAGGUUCAUGGAGGGAAUUUUAGUAUUUUAUAUUUGGGAAAAUAUUUUUUUAUUUGAAAAGGUUGUUGGCGCGUGAUGAAGACGCACCAACAUAUGGGUGGCGUACCCACUCUUUGGGUGGGACGUGCAACGUCAUAUGUUGUCAAACAUAUUCUUUUGCCGUGUCCUUAGAAGCUCCACCGUGUCCUCUUCCUUAUGAGGCAGUGCGUGGAAGCGGAUGGUGAGUGGUUUUUCGCUGGCGGUUGUUCUUUUCUCCUUUUUUCUCUCUUCCAGAGAAAGUGCACGCUUGUCCUCUUUCUUUAGAUUUUUCAAUUUCAGUCCCUAUGUUUUUGAUUGCUUAUUUUCUUCCUUGGUCCUUUUUAUAAAAGUUUUUUAUGUUUUUAAUUUAGCUCUCAUUCUUUUGAUUUUUUUUUUCCUUUUGUUAAAGUUUUUUUCUUUUCAAUUUAACUCUCCCAUUUAAAUUUUUUUGAUGCCUUAUAAUCUAUUUUUUAUUUUGAUUUUAACCCUCAUUCUUUUAAUCAUAAUUUUUUGUGUGAUUGAUUUUUUUCAAGUUUUAUCCUUCUGCGUUUGAUUUGUUGGGGAAUGAGCUUCAUAGUUUCUUCAUUGUUGUGUUUUUGAUCUAAUGACAUGGGUAACGAGUUUGGAAAGUUCAUGCAGUCCGGGAUCCUUUUUUCUCAUUUUCUUUUAUGAUUUUAUCAUUUGAAAAAUUUGCGAGUUUGAAAAAUCUAUAACCUGUGGCGAAGUGUGGUAGCUAGUUCAAACUAUCAGGUGAACUCUUUCAGCUCUUUGAGGACACUGCUUUGGCAAGGCUAUAGCUGAUGAUGAACUUUUUUUAAACAAAUCAUAAUUCCAUCAAACUGAUGAGCAUUCCCAAGAUUAUAACCAGUGCCAUUUCUAACACAUGACUCAACUGAAAAGCUUAUCUCUUACACCAUCAUUCUUGGCAUUUGGAUCAAAUUCGACCUCUUCCCUCCCAUACUAGAAGCAUUCCUGGAAUAUACCGUGACAAGGGAGAUCAUUAUGAUUUCCAGAAAUAUGAUCUGAGACACCUGUAAUUUCACUUAAUGCAGUGGUAAACUGACAGUCUGUGCUCUUGCUUGGGGAAGGGAGGUAGCGUGGGAUAGUGAUUUACAUGCAGACGCUUUUUUUCUCUUUUCAGUUUAUACAUAACUGAAGGGAACAUUUUAGUAUUUUGAAGAAAGAGUGCUUACGGAGAAACUUAACACUUAACAUGGACACAUUUAUUAUAUCAGGGAAUUCGCUUGCACAAGGGGCUGCUUAAUCAUUGGCAGAAAUUCACUUUUAAUCCCAGGUAAUUUGCCUUGCCCAGAUGCUUCAUGCAUGAAAUUACCUGACAUUUAUACUCAGUAGUUUGGUGAAACUUUGGUUGGCAUUUAUAGUUAUGGUUGGUGUUAUUUGUAAAGAGAAGCAUGUUUCAAUUGGUGACUGCAUGUGACAGGGUUGGAAUUAUUUGCAGUCCAUUAAGAGUAUGUGAGUUUCUUAUCCAAUAAAGAAAUGUUGAGAUCUUUGAAGAAAGCAUUUUAACCUUUCAUGACAUAUGAUAACAUCCGGAAAAGGGGAAACGCUGGAUCUGGAAUUUAUGUUGUCUUUACUUGGUUUUGGAGCUUUCUCAUGAGCAUAGAAGUUGCUCAUAAUUCAUGAUUGGGUUUCCCCUGCAUUUGAGGAUCAUGUUUUGGUGGUUGAGAGUUUGCAGUGACCCAUGUUCUAGUGGGAUUCUGGAAGUUGGGAGUGAUUCUUCUAGAUGCUCUAUAUGUGCUUUUCUUUGUUUGAAUUUGCCAGUUUAAUUACUUCAAUAAUUCAGUUUUGUUGAUUCUCUUCCAAAGUUGAUUAACCUAUCUAUUGCGUCAACUGUGCACUAAUCUUGUGAUUUCUGUUUGGAUUUAUCUCUUAGUUUCUGAGUUUGAAUAUUUGUUGUGUAUGGCACCAACAAGUUAUUUUGCAUAAUUGUUCUAUUUUUGGUUCUCCUCUGCAGUGGAGGAUUGCGGUUGAAACGUGAUAUAACUGAGUAUGGAGAAUUUGUGCGUAGUUUUAAUGCUCCUUCUGUUGAUGAGAAGUUUGAGUUGUUGGGCAUGUAAGUUGCAAGACAUUGACAAGAUUUCAGUACUGAUAUAGAAUUCCUUAUCUAAUUUUACUGAGGGAAAUUUUUGUCUCCAGAAUGGCCAAUGUCUUCAUUGUUGCUCCUGAAAGCCUUUCCACUUUGUUUGAGGGUACCCCCAGUAUACGCAAAGAUGCACAAAGGUAUCGUGUAUAUUUUUAUAGAAUUGACUUGAAUUGCUUUACAGUUAGUACUGAUAGUCUGAUACAGUGGAUACAAUAUUUAAGACAACUAAAAGUAGGUUUUAAUUUUAAACUAGUUGACUUGGCUACAAAAAUCUAUUCCUUUCUGUUCUUCAUAAAGCAAAGAAUUUGUCUCCUACACAUGCACUCUUUAGGACUGCAUGGAACAUCAAGUGUUUGUUUUUUUAAAGAAUUAUGAAUCCAUAUCCCACGCAAUGGAUGUGGUUUAGAGAUACCUCAAAAUCUUUCUAGCUUCAGUCAAAACUCUAGGGUUAAAGUUCUGUCUUAUCAUUUAAGGAUUUUCUUUAUUGUGGAUCCGCCCCCUCUCUGGUUUUUUAUUUUUUAUUUAUUUCUCUGAUGACUGAACUUUGAUUGCCUGCCAAUUCAGGUUUAUUCAGCUUAGAGAGGACUACAAGAGUGCUAAACUUGCAUCAAGACUUAGUUCCUUGUGGACAAGCUCUAGUUGAUAAAGCAUCUGAUGUAUAUAUUAUUUUCCAUAUUUCUUGGAUGUCUUGCAUGAAAUGGUGGAUACUUCGCACGGAGCACUUUCUCUGGUGGGCAACAGUCACCUCUAACUGGAUCGCUUGUGGCUCUGAGACCAAGUUGUUGAGCAGUUUGGAAAUAAACUUUAUUCCCCCGUCUAUUCAGCUCAGCUUGGUCAGGAAUCCGGUACAGUAGAGUUUUCUUUGAAUUUUUUUCUUUUCCAUUUUGCUUGUAUAUUUUAUUGACACAUAGUUGGUAAGAUGCGGGUCGAUUUUUAUUUUCAACUGUCAUUUUACAUAUUAGAUUCACAGUUUUGCUUUGAUGAUUCAGAGAAGGAUUAUGCUGUCCGUUGUGUCCUUGUAAAUGAUUCUCUUAGGGAUGAAAAUGGCACUUUAGGGGUGAUUUUUUUUUUUUUUUUUUUUUUUUGAUCUCCAAGUCGUUAUACUCGUAAUCUUGUUUUACAAUGCAUGUCUGUUUUCCAAGUUCCAAGUCAGUUUCGAGUUGAUUUCUUUUUGUGUUUAAAGUUGAGAUUUCUGAAUAUGAGGUUUCAAGAGGAAAUACAGAGGAGUAAUGUCAAAAAAAAAAAAAAAAAUGAUAAAAGGAAAUAAGGAUUAUGUUUUCAUGUUACAACGUUCGAGGACUGAAGGAUUGACAUCGCGUCGUGUAAUCGUUGGGUAGGGAGAAAACAAGGAAACAAACUAAGACCCUAAAGUAUUUUAUUCCUUCUCGUUAAGCCUGCAAACCGGAGGUGUUUAAUUAUUAACUAGGACUGAAGGACGGCCAUCACGUCGUGUAAUUCGGCCUCGGCUGAUUUUUGUAAUGGUAGAAUCUCGGGUUUCUAUCUUGUAAAGUUCUCGGAGUAUAGAGUGCUCGUUCGUUCCAUUUCGAAGUUCCAAGUGGCUUCCAUACAAGAAGACUGCCAUAAACAUUCACUGCAAUUGCCAAUGUCUUAACACAAGAAAGGCCACGAUAGCCUAUAAUGAUGGCGACGACACAAAUGAAGGCCUCUAAUUCUUUGCAAGCACAGCCUCUACCUUCACUGCCUCGUUCAUGAAUGGCACACAAACGGGAGAAAAAAAGUGGAGGUAGCGAUUGUGACACCUGGUACUGCCUCUAUGUGUGGUGAUGAGGUGCGUCCAUUUUUUCUAGUGUGAUGCAUACCUCCCACUAUAAAGUGCUCCCUCUGUCAGUUUAUCUCAUGACAACGGAUAGAAAGAGAGAGGACAUUGAUUGAUGAAGUACGUUUGGUGGGUGGUUAAGUUGCUUAUGGAUGGUUAUCUUCUUUGAUAGCAAAGGCAUCUAUCUAUGUGAAACAUUUCCUUCGUGCCAAUCUCAUGACAAAUUGACAUUUCCCUUCCCUCUCUUAAAAAAGUAAAUCAAAGAUGUGCUAAGACCCCACAAAUCACUGCUGUAGCACCGUGGUCAAUCGAUUGUGUGCCAUCAAAAACUCCUUUCAAGUCUCUAUCUAAUCUCCAAGUAACCAAACAAGUGUUAUUGAGAUCUGAAGUCUUGUUCAAUCCGCAUGCCUAACUAGAUAUACGUAGACUUCGAAGAGGCAUUUCCGAGUAUAAAUGUUUGACCAAGCCAAUGGGGACUCUACCAAAGCCCAAAAACAUGCUCUACCUAUAUAGGAUGGGAUAACGAAUGAGAAAGAAAUAUGAAGCCAGCAAAACCCAUCCUCCACCAAAGUCUCAUACCAAGUGCUUCCCAACUAUGUCAAUAUCACAUAAUAAAUUGGAAAAGUGUAAAGAGGAAAAAAGGAGUGCCUAUGCCGGUUUUUGUCAUGGGUAGUGGUGGUGGACCAAUUCUGAAAAUGCUCUCUCUCUCUCUUCAAUAGUACCAUCAUCACCACUUGAGUAACUCAUACUUCUUCUUCUUCUUCUUUUUGACUAGUUUUUUUUCUCCAUUAUAAGUUUGAAGAUUUUAAGGAUCCAUCACUUGAUGGAUUUGGCCUUGCUGGUUCCACACCCAUCUGGAAACUGAACAGGAGAUUUGGGUUACUGAAUUGGCAAUGAAGGAGCUCACGCCAUAUAAACCAGGAAGGCGCCGAUCGAAGACAUGAUUAUAUUUUGUUGUGAAGAUAUCUUCGUUUGGUAAGUCUUUAUGGGUUCUUUUACCAUGCACGUACCUGUGCACACAAAAGAUUUAUAUACAAUUAAAGAAAUUAUAUUGAACCUGAAAAAUUAAUAAUUAGAUUAAUAGACCUAUAUAUCAUCGUGUAUAUAAACACAUUUCUAACCACUAUCGACAUUCUGAAUUCGCCACUGAUCAUAUCACACGUGACUCGGGUUUAUUUAAAGCUUUAAAUUAACAUGUCUAUGAUCCCUUAUGAAAGUAUUUUGCAAGGUUUACAUAUAUUGUUGCUUGACAUCAAUGUUUGGGGGAUCUGCAUGGACUUUACUUGCAUAUGGACGUGCUCACAAAAAAAAUAUGUAAUAGAAAAGGCUACUUUCUGUAUGUUGUUGGGCUGUACAAAAUAUGUGAACUAAUCUCUGGAUAAAUCGAGAUUUAAAAUUGUCGAUUAAAAUUAAGUUCAUUUUAAUAACGAAAAGGUUGAUUAGCACUAACCCCUUUUCUUAAUGAGAACUUCUCUCUCUAAUUCACGUGUCGUCUUCUCUGAUUCUUUAGGAACUAAAAAACAACAAAAUCGAAAAGGAUGGGGAAAAAAAACUUUGUACGCAAACGAAAAUAAUCUUACAAUGAAAUGUAGUUUGGAACAUUAAAAACAUGUUCCUCAAAUAUUUAAAAGCAAAAAAAAAUAAAAAAAUUUCAAAUAUUUUUAAAACACAAACAUAUUCAUGAGCAUUUUAAAACAUGUUCCACUAGUAUCAAGGAUUCAAAUCAUGUACUUGAGGGUUUAGUUCAGUGGUCAACAUGUGAGGCUUGUCUUGCUCCCGUCUCGAGUUCGACCCUUCAUAUACAUGUCUGUCAUCCCCGCGGUACCUUACCUGUCUACUGGGCUUGCAAGAUGUUCAGUAGACUCGGGGAAUAGUUGUGGUGCACGCAAGCUGGUCCGAAUACCCCGGGUUAUAAAAAAAAAAAUUCAAAUCAUAUUCGUUCCAGAGGAGGCCUAGCUUGCUCCUUGCCGCUAGACCCAACCCUAGGUGGUAACGCUUCCUUUUUUAUUGACCUUUAAAUUGACUUAUUGAAAAUCUGACUAAUCUCAAGGAAAUAUCAAGCCCACUCGAUGAGAAAGAUAUGGUUUGGUCAAAACAAAUGAAUUAUUAUUAUUACCCAUGAAGUCAUAUGGACCCCACACGUUUGCAAUUCAAUGCCCUCGUGCCACCCACGUCUUUAGGAUACAAAAUGUUUCGUCCCUCCAAUGUACGUCAUUAGCCCCUCUCGUCGCAUCAUCUGCCGUCACAAAAAAUAAAUUAUAUGCAAAGACUAAUCCAUGUGAGCGAGAUUUUAACAUUUUCCUUUUACAUUUUAGUGGCCACGAGAGUUUUUUUUUUUUUUUUUUUUUUUUUUUUUUCUGGUUUUACAAAUACAAAAUAAUAAAUAAAUAUAUGAACCAUUAAAUGGAUAGAAUCCAUCGGUAACUUCGACAUUUAACUUUUUUUUUAAUAAAAAAAAGAAUUAAUUUCAAUUUAAACCGAGACGAAUCCAAAUUCUCUUCCUUAAUUGGGUUUUUAUUGUUUUAUUGUCUUCUUUAAAAUUUUAAACGAUUAUCAAUAUUCUCUUUUAGGUUAUUCAAAUAAAAAAUAAAAUUUUUCUUGUUCUUGAAUUUUUAAAAUUUGAUCAAAUAAAAAAAAUAUUUUAAAAUAAUUUAAAGAGAUUAGAUCUUCUAUUCUUGUUAAAAAAAAAUUAAUGAUACCAUGUACAUUAUUUAUAUUUAAAAAUAAAGAAAUAAAAAUGCUUGGUAUUAAAAGAAAACCGACUUCUAAACUUUUAUAUCUCUAUGAUGGUAUAAUCAUCAGCUAAUAAUGUAACAAUAUAUUUAAUAAAACUGAUUAAUAUUGACAAUCAAAUGUCAUGAGUGCUUGACCCGUGAUAGAAUAGAAUAUUUAUUUAUUAAUUUAUUAAUGGGUUCCGUGGUUUAAACUUUAUCUCUGCAUAUAAUUUUCAGCUUGGUAUAUAUAUUAUUUUAUUUAUUUAUGUUUUUAAUUAUAAAUGAUUUGCAUUUGCCUCGAACCCCGUGAGAGUAAAUUGAAAUUAACUCUUAAGAAUAGGUUUACAAGUAGGCUAAUCACAUAAAUAUUACACUUUAAUUUCACAUACAUACAUUUAAUUAAAAUGUAUCUCCAGCAAAUUCAUAUCGAAAUCAAGAUUUAAGAUAUUUUUGUAAAAUCACGAAAUCAUGCUAUUUAACUAGUGAAGUCACUAAAGCAUUAGGGAAACAUCACUGUCAUUUUAUGCGAGGAUUAAAAAUUAAUAUUUUAGCCAGUUAAUUUUUUUAUUUAAAUUAAUAUUUUUUGAUACGUGGAUUAAAAAUUAAAAUCUUGUAAUUGUUUUUAUCUUUUACAUAAUACUUUAAUUACAUAAAGCGAGGAUUAGCGUGUCUUUUGUAAGCCAAGAAAACAAGUAAAAUCACUACGAUGAUUAGCGAAAAACAAAUCCUGACCGCCAGAUCCUGUAUCAUAGGAUUCGUUAGAAAGGGAAAGCUCGGUACGCUUUGAAUCACGAGGCACCGGUAACGGCUAUGACUUUUCUACAAAGCUGUGGGCCCAGGAAAAUCUUCUAGCUGUCAGCCCACCCCCCGUCGGUGUAUGUAUUUUUCCUUUCCCAUUCUUGGUCACUUCCUUCCAGUUAUAUAUUCAUCUCGGAAAGAGAAUAUUGUACUGUAGCAGACGGAAUGGGAUUUGGAGUGGAAAAUAUAUAUAUAUAUAUAUAUAAACAAUACUACCGUGUGUUUCCGAAAGCAAGUAGUUUGGCACGUGCGAAGAAAGUGAGCAGCAGAAUCUGGAAAGAAACCACAGCCGCUGAUCAUGGGCAGGCAUCUGUGCAAGAAAUUGACGGUCCGAACUAAAGUUUCAAAACAUCCUCUUUUCAUGCUGGUGAUCUGGCCGUUGCUUCAGGACACCAUAUUCCGAGAAUAAUAGUUAGCAUAAUCCUUUCAUUUGCCUACGAUAUUUCCUUUUUAUUCAGAGAAGAACACUUGAUCAUUGUAUUCCAGUUCCAGGUGCUUCAUUAUUAUUUACAAUACUGUAACUGAUUUAAACUAUACACAAUAAAUAAAACUAAAAUCAAGUCUUUUAAAAGGAUUAUCUCAUCUUAUACUAAAAGAACACUUUUGUUUUUAAUGAAGGGCAUGGCACCAAUAUUUUAAACACGGUAAAAAACAGCAACCAAAAAAAAAAUAAAGUCAGCACAACAAGCAACGUUAAUUUGAAUGUUUGUGGUAAUUUUUGUUUUUAGAUAUACUUGAAAAGUAUAUUUUAUUUAAAACAUAUUGAUGCUUUUUAAAGAAUUUUAUUUAUUGGUGUCAAAAAUAAAAUAAAAUUUUAAUUUUUUUAAUAUAUUUUUAAACAAAAAAUAUUUUUAAAAAAUAUCAUUCAACACGUAAUAAUCGCACAUCAGAUUUGUUAAUUAGAGAAAGAAAAAAGAGCCCACAACAUUUCUCUUAAAGGGAAAAGUAAAUUCCUCCACGGAGUGAUGAGAAAAACUGAAAUUGGAGCACUCGCCCAAUAACUGGCUUCCACUUUAUUUUCUAUUUUGUCGGUAAUUCACAAACCUCCAUUUAAAUACACAACCGUGUGGACUUUCCAACACUCAUCAAAAGGCGGAGCCACCCAAGUCAUAACCCAGCCCAACCCAGUCCAAUCCAACCCAACCAAACCCCACGUAACCCUUUGACAUUUACCAAGUCAACCCCAAAAAACCAAAACUGGUUUUCAGCUUGUCUAAAGAGAAAAAAAAAGAAAGGAAAGGACAAGAUAAACAUUGAGAUGCCAAAUUGCCAUACUCUCUCUCUCUUUCGCUAUAUAUUAUUGUUUCCCUACUCAUUACAGCCCCUAACCUCUCUCUCUUUCUCUUAAAAAGUCAGCGCCUUCUUUUGUCUCCUCCCUAUAACAUCAGUUGCAGAAGGAAGGUACAGAUUCACAGACCUUGUCUCUGUAGCCAUGGAGGAUAUUGAUUGGGAUCUUCAUGCUGUGGUCCGAGGCUGCACCACCUCCACCUCCACCACUUCUACCACCACCACCACCAUCAACAGCAACAGCAACAGCACUGCUAGUGGCUAUAGAUCAGAUUAUUAUCCUCAAUAUUCUUGCUUUUCUGGUUUUGGAAGUGAGCAAGUUGGCCAUCUUUUCUCUCAUCCAGAUCCCUUUGAAACAAGAAAUGCUAUUGGAGAAUUGCAUGAGCUUUACAAGCCAUUCUUUCCCAAAUCUCAGCAGCCCAUUUAUUCUCCACAAGCCUGCACACCCCUCUCUUCUUUUUCUUCUUUUACCAGUUUUACCAAGGAACAGCCACAGCAACAACAAAAACAGUCACAGCCUAAGCAGUCUCAAACUGGUUCUGUGACUAGUAGUGCAAAUUCUCAUACACCUCGAUCCAAAAGAAGGUAAAUCUGCUAACUUCUCACUUACAGCAAGGAAAAGAAUUUGAUUUGGUAGAUAAUCAUCAAAGAAAGACAAACUCUUUCGCUAAUAAAUACUUCAUUUGUGUUUUUUUGUUUUGUCACAGAAAGAACCAGUUAAAGAAAGUAUGCCAAGUUCCAGCUGAGGCUCUCUCUUCAGAUGUGUGGGCAUGGCGAAAAUAUGGGCAGAAGCCUAUCAAAGGCUCUCCUUAUCCAAGGUAACAACAUAUUAUGCAUCCAUCUUGAAUUUAAUCAAAGCCCGCCUUUUAUUUUGGUAUUCUCGGUUUGGUAUCAAGUCAAAACUUGUAAAUUUUCUCUUUCUAAUUGAUUAAACUCUGGUUUGUUCAAUGAAUAACAGGGGCUAUUACAGAUGCAGCAGCUCAAAAGGGUGUUUGGCCCGGAAACAAGUGGAAAGAAACAGAUCCGACCCAGGAAUGUUCAUAGUGACCUACACAGCAGAGCACAACCACCCUGCUCCUACUCACAGAAACUCUCUAGCAGGCAGCACCCGUCAGAAGACCUCAACACCUCAAACUGGCAAAGCUAAUGAUUCUAGCAAACCAUCAUCACCAGCCAAACCCACUUGCUCAUCUCCAGCAACUUCUCUGGAAGAUGAGCUAUUAGCUCGAAGUACUUCAAACACGGAAUUAAGCAGAGAAGAGAAAGAUAUAACGGAAGAUGAUGAUGAAGAUGAGAUUGGUGGGUUCUCAGAUAUAGCUGUUAGUGACGAUUUCUUUGCGGGUUUAGAGGAGUUUGUUGGUCCUGCCACCGGAGAUUACUUCCCUGAUCAUUUUCCAGCAAGUUUUGGUCAGCCCUGGCUUGCUAACAAUGCUGCCACGGCAGCCGAAAGUAUUUGACAUUAGUUGAGAAUGGCAUCUCUGACAUCGGUCUUAUGCUUUUCUUUUAUUUUCUUUGCUUUUUUUCUUUUCGGUUACUUGUAUCAUUUUGCUAGAAGUAGAAUCUCAAAGGCAUCAAUGCCUUGUGCCUGUGAAGUGAAUGCUGCGGGUGAAAAGUAAAGAGUUUAUUCCUUUUGUUGAUCUUUAGACUGUUAGUAAAUUAGUCUAUUCAUUUAUCCGCCUUUUGCUUUUGCUAUGUCAAGGCAUUUAAUUAUUUACGAGGGUGAGAAAUUUGUUGGAGAUGAAUUCUUGUUAAUUGUCGGGUUAUUACUGGCAAAUCUCAUGUUUGGAAGAGAUAAAGAUAAAGAUAUCCGUGGCCUCUGGGUGUCUUACCCUAGCCCCAUGGCAUAUUGCCUCUUCAAUUGAAUCAGGCAGCAUCCACAAUACGUGUACGGCAGCCUCGAGGACUUGGACAUACACAGUUGACAUCUGUUUGGUUUCUCAGGGAGAUCCAAAUCAUGGCCAUAAAAAGUAAAAUGAGUACUAAAAUUUCUCGAUGAGGUGGUUAUUUUGACAACUUUCCAACCGACAGAUUUUCGCAGAGUCGGGCCAAACGAGAAAAACAAAUAAAUGACAGUUAAUUGGAUUAAAACAUUGUGCUUAACUGAAAAGUUGGACAUACCAUUGGUCUUGGAGUUCAACUGGCUUAUAGGAUGUCAUAAGAUUCAUGAUCCUCUUCCAUCUCAUUAUUUUCCAAUGGAUUCGUUCACGCCACUAGCUCACUCGGCUCCUAAACAGAAGCCAGCCCUUCUCCGGUUGCUAACACAGGUCAAGAUCAUAAAAAGAUUAAAAAAUCUCCUUUCAGACAUGUUUCACCAGAUGACUGUCCGGCAAAACAGUUCAACCAUGCAAAUCACUUACCCUGGCAAGACAUACUAAGCUAUGCUAAGCUUAUUAUAAUUUUAGAAUCAAUUUUAGCACGAAAUUCAACCCUUUGUCUAGAGAUUCAACAGUGGAUGACUUUCAGCAAGCAAAUAUCAAAAUGCAAUUUAACUGUGACAAGCAUCGCAAUUAUACCAAUCUCCCCUUUCCCAUUGUUCAAAAUGAGAGGAAGGAAUCCACCAUCAAUUGGAUGGUGUUGUGGGACUAGCACGCUCGUAUUGAUACACCUCAGGAGAAUGUGGUUCUCUAGAACAAGUCCGGCUAGAAGCCCCAACAAAUAGAGCAACAUGGAGAGAGAAACCAUUACAGACAGAAAACUGGACUCUCCUAAACAUUGCUAACUUAUCGGGACAGCACACAUGUUUUCAGGAAUCACGACCUAGAAGAAGCCUUUUGUGCAGUGGAACUAGAAACCUCACAUCCCGCAACAAAUUUUUUCAACCUCUCUAUUUCACCAACUGCAGAGAGCCACUCUGUGAGGAUCUCCAUGGUUAUAUAAUCAGGAUUACAAGCAUGCUCGAUCAUUCUAUCCAUGAAUUCAAAGACUUUUUCCAAAUCUUUCUCGUCUCUAAGGCCUUUGAAUAUAGCAUUGUAUGUGGUGGUAUUUGGCGUCACCCCCCAAAUUUUCAUAUCUUCCAUCAAGGAAACAGCAGAUUUCACUUUAUUAUUCUUGCACAAAGAGUUGAUUAGGAUGUUGUAUAUCACAGUGUUUGGUGGAACCUUCGAUGCAGCUUUCAUGUCUUUGAAAAUCUCCAUGGCUUCAUUUCCAUUUCCAUUUAAGCAAUAUGCAUUUAUUACAGCACCAUAUGUAGCAACAGUGGGCACCACACCGGCCUUGAUCAUCUUUCUCAUCACUUUCUGAGCAAACUUUAAAUCCCCAUUUUUGCUGGCAUAAGCAAUCAAAGUGUUAUAUGUGAUAGUAUCGGGUUUCAAUCCAGCUUCCUCCAUUUCCUUGAGCAUCUCAAAAACUCUAUGAAACUUGUUCGUCCUACAAAACCCACCAAUCAAAGUAUUAUAGCACACUGUAUCAGGGCGGAUCCCAAGCUUUUUCAACUCUGCCAAGACAAAACUGGCAUCAGCCAUCCUUCCAGCUUGGCUAAAACCAGAGAUCAAGGUGUAGUAGACAAUUGCAUCUGGAGAGCAUCCACUUUUCAACAUUUCAUUGAAGAGUUCCAUUGCCUUCUCAAAAUUGUUCACAUUACAGAAAGCAUUGAUCAAAGCUGUAUACGUAACAGCAUCACCUUUCAUACCUCUCCUUUGCGCCUCAACAAAGAAGUUAACUGCACUACUGACUCUCCCAGUUCUACACAUGCCACCAACCAAAGUAUUAACCGUGACGACAUUUGGUGCAACACCCUCUUUAUUCAUCUCAUCAAACAGCUCCUUUCCCUUCUCUAUCUCACCAGCUUUACAAAACCCAUCGAUCAAGCAAUUGUAUGUAAUGGUAUCAGGAGCGCACCCCUUCUGUGAUCUCAUUCUUUCCAUCAAACCCAAUCCUUCUUGUUGCCUUCCAACUUUACAAAGUCCAUCAAUCAACGUAUUAUAAAUAACAACAUCCGGUUCAACCGAAACACUUAUGCCACCACUCUCUUUACCACCACUCAUCUUUUCAAGAACCUCCAACGCAUCAUCGACUCUCCUAAACUUGCACAUAUGAUUAAUAAGAAUCCCAAAAGUAACAACAUUCGGCUGAAUAUCCAUUUCCACCAUCUUUUCCAUUAGUUCAUUCAUUCUAUUAAAAUUGCCCUCUCUUGCUAAUCCUGUCAAUAAUGAAUUGCAAGCAGCAGAUUCCAAAACAGCCCCUAGUUUUAUCAUUUCAGUAAAAAGAUCCCAACCUCUAUUAGUCUUCCGAUUCCGACACAGCCUGGUAAUCAAUCGACCCAUCCAAAACGAACUAAUAAGAACCCCAUGCUCGCCGAACUUCAACACCAGAUUAACAAUCUCAUCUUCACUCAAAAGUUCUUCAUUUCUUUCUCUCUUCAACAAAAACGAAAACAGAAUAUCCCCUGUAGCAUCGUUGGGACGACAAUUAGAGUCGUCAUUUGACUCAAACAUUUCAUCGAUCACCUUCAAUGCAUCUUUAACACGCCCGGACCUCAACAAAAUACUGAGCCAAACAUUACGAAGAUAGGUGUUUUUAACAGAUGGGUCAAGAUCAUUGAAGAGAAUGAGAGAUUCCUCCACCAACUCACUCCUUCCAGAGGCGCGAAGGAGAAACGACGCAGCAUUGACGGUGAGAGGAAUAUUCAACUCUUUCGAGGUUUUGUAAAGCCGGGAUAGGUUAGCAUUUGAAUCGGGUUCACAAAAAGCGAGCUCGAAAAUGGCCUGGAAAGUAUAGGAGAGUAGAGAUUGGGUGUCUGGUGAAGAAGGGGAGUUAUUUUGGAGGUAAUUGAGGAACUUGAGGGCUUGAGAAGAGGAAGGUAAGCGGCGGGUGAUUUGAUAGAAAAGGCGAGGAGAAGAGGAGGAAGGAGGGGAGUCGGUGAAGAGGAGUUGAUUGAGUUGAGUGGUGUUCCAUUCAUUUCCUGGUAUUUGAAGGAGUUGUAGGGCUUCGGUUAUGAUUGAGUUAUGGUUGCUAGUUUUUGGUUGUGGCGGUGGUUGUGGUUCUGGAGGUUCGGUGGAAAGGCGGCGGAGGAAAGUGUGGGAUGUGAGGAGGCGGAGGAUGUUUGAGUGCUUUGAUGCUGAAACUGUUAUGGUGCUCAUUUUGAGAUGGGGAAGAAGUAGUGAUUUUAUUUUUAGGAGGGGCUUGGGGGUUUUCCUUGCGUAGUUUCAAGGUCUUUCAGGAGGGAAGGCAAAAGGCCGUUAUGUACUUUCUGGAAGACGGAUAGAAAUUACCUUUUAAAGUUUUUGUUUUUAAAAAUAUAUUAAAACAAUAUUUUUUAUUAUUUUUAAAAGUUAUUUUUAAUGUUCAUAUAAUUUAAAAGUAUAUAGAAAAUAAUUUAAAAUUAAAAUUUUUAAAAUACAUUUUAAAAAAUAUAGUUGAACAAUUAUUGCAAACAGAACCUUAACCCAAAGUCCGUAGAUCAUGAUAUAAGAUGAUGCUCUUUUGAUCAAACAAUACUGGUUUUUCUUGCACGUAUAUGCUUUUUUUUUUUUAAUGAUAAAAUAUAUAUUUUUAAAUCUUAUUAUACCUUAAUCGAUACAAAAUAUUUUAUGAAACAAUUUUAAAUAUAUCUUUAUCAUCAGCUUGAUACAUUUAAAACUUUUUUAUUAAAUUUUACUAAAUGUUUACUCUAAAAUUUAAACUCAAGAAAUUAAAAAAAAAAACAUCCUUUUCUAAUGUUACUUUUGAUACGCCACCGUUCGAAAUUUAUAUAUAUAUAUAUAUAUAUAUAUAUUAUUUUAAUAUACUGAUAUUAAAAAUAUUUUUUUAAAAAUAUAAAAAAUAUUUUAAAAAACUAAACAAUCAUAGUAUUAUUAUUACUGCUCAUAAUAUUACUAUUACUGCGGAUUAUGAUUUAGACACGUCUUCAUCUUUAUUGACAAAAUAGCAUGAGUUUCACCACAACUUUUCCAAAAAAAAAAAAUAACAAACAUAAUUGAAACAAUUGUAAUUUUGUUUAAGUUUUUGGUCAUUUAUGUAUGAGUGUUCAGUAAAUAAUCUUUGACUGUCUCAAAAUUUUAAUUUUUUUAUAUUUUCAAAAAUAAAAUUUUAAAAAUAAAACAAAUAUUAUUUUAAUAUAUUUUUAAAUAAAACACAAUUUAAAUCUCAUCAGACAAUCCCGAAGAUUCAUUGGUAUCCCUGCAAACGAGUCCGCUACGCACACACGAAACUGCUAAUAUUCCUGCUAUCUAGCUAUUAAUACGGAGCUAUGCAUAGCCACACCAGAGGGUUGCCAGAUAUCCAGAUAUAUAUAUAUAUAUAUAUAUAUAUUGAGAUUUCUAUCCUUCCAACCAGUUCGGUUAAAUCACGUGACACUUUUAAAAAAUAGCUCCGAAUCCAAUUUCAAGAUAUAUUUUAAUUUCUAUUGAUUUUUUAGGCGAGAAAAAAAAAGGAAAAACAUAUGCAAUUAUUUCUACCACAACAAUUUUCCUUCAAAAUGUAUCUCGAUUUCGAAUGUCGAGAACUGAUGCAAUUUCUGGCUUAGCUUUCAAAGAUGCACCACCAAACUGGUCUUCCGUUAUUUUCACUCUUCUUUCUGGUCACAAAAGGGGUGGAGGCCGAGUAAGGAACACAUCUGCCGGAUUAACCAGUAUUCAAUCAUUUGCUGGACCAUUACUUGAUACAGACAUUUUAAUUUUCUCAGCUGCUGCAGCUGUUGAAGCGGCUGCCUUGUCCAAACCUAACUUUUGCAAUUCGCUCAUGAAACCAUUUAUCUCAGUUUCACUAAUUUUAUAUGGACUGUGGGCAGGACCAGGGAACGAACCAUUUGCCACUUCUUCCUUGUAUUCAACUAGAGCUUUGUUGAUGACAUCUCCAACAUGAGCAUACUGCUUACAGAACUUUGGAGUAACCUAUAGCAGGUAAAACAAUCCCUAUCUCAGCAUACAGAACGUUAGCUAUGCGAAUGAAAUCAACAAACCAGCGUGGCAAUUAUGGGAUUAACCUUGGCAUGAUGUGGAUGUUGCAUCAUUCCCAAUAGAUCAUGGUAAACUAGCACCUGCAUGAACGACGAUUAGAUACACAUCAUGCUACAAUCCAAAGGAAAGAUUGAAUAAGAAAAUUCAGACUCUAAUGUAAUUGUCUUUACUGUCUAGUUUUACACUAUCAAGCAUAACUUUUGAUAUGACCAUUGGAUUAAGCUGAAAUUUUACCAGUAAUUGCUAGACAUAUUGUUCUAUAUUGAAUUAAAAUUUCAGGUCAAUCAAAGUUCGAUAAGGUCUGGCAAUAAAGGUCAGCAAAUACAAUACGAAUUUUGUUAUUUGUUAUUUUUUGGAGAUGAUUCUUUUCCUCGUAAUAUAAGGAUAUUCAGCAACUUAUUUUUAAGAAUUUCCUAGUUCUACAAGGAUCUUUAAUGGGCAACAACAUAGUUUUCAAAUGGGAUAAAAAUUCCUUGUGUUCCAAAAUCCUUCUUUUACAAAAAUUUCUAAUUUAUCCUAGUUAUACAAGGAAAUGAGAGUUGAAGUAUUUAAUGAUAGAUUAUUUUUAGGCUGAUUUUUUUUUGUAUUGAUCUAAAUUAUUUUAAGGUUUUGUUUGUUGUUUUAUUUUAUUAUUUGGAUAUUUGAAUUUGAUUUAGGGCUUAUGUUUUAGUGUAAGUUUGCUUUGGCUCAAAAAUGACUUGUGUUAGCUGAUUAUUAGCUUGGAUUCGUUAGUUUGCACCUAAUAAUAGUCCGUUAGAAUUAUUUAGGACUAUAUAUAUAUAUUUUUUUUGCAGCAAAAUUCAGCCGCUGUGAUAUUUUGAAUAAACUUGUGUUUUGCAUGAUGCAACACACAAGUUUAUUCCAAUUUUGACUUAUCAAGGUAUAAUUAAUCUUAUGGCAUCUUCACAUACUUCGGAUUCUUGAUUCUCUAUAAUCAACGAGUACAAGUUUAAUUUUCAAUGCAUUUGAUUAUGAGGUUCAUGGUUAUUUUUAGAUCAAGGAUUCGAUCUAAACCUGAAUUUUAGCUUCUUGGGUUGUUUAUCUACUUUGUUGUGAGUUUCAGGAUUACUAUCCUAGGGGUUCACAUCACAUCAUGGAUAGAAACGUUCACUUUUGAGAAAAAUUAAGACUACAAGCUUUCAAGUUUCCUGAAAAAGAGACAAAUUGCAGAGCUAUUUCUAGUUACUCAUGGGUACUUGAAAAUGAUAAUUAAAUGAUUGUAUCUGGCAAUGGUCAUAAGUAAGAGAUUCCCAAGAGCUGAUAGAUAGUAAAGUAUAAUCAAGUUGACGGUAAAGUUCUUUUUGAUAGCGAGACGUCACAGAAGGGUGGGUAUUCUAUCUGUUGCUUGUCUAUACACACGAACUUUCACUCACAUCGUAAGUUUUAGAACUCUUGUUCAUGUAAUGCCAUUGAAAAUAUCUUCUCUAGCGUCAUCAGAGACAACCAGGACAUGAAAAAAGGCCUGUGCCCUGUUUAACAAGAUUGAAAUCCUAGAACCAAGCACUUUUGGGCCUUUGGCAUUGGAGUAUAAAACCCAAUGAAAUCUUCACAUUCCUAUAUUAAUGAUCAAAACUAACUAGCACUACUUGGGAAAACCAUAGCUCAUAAGCUUUCUAGUAUGACAUAUUUAUCAUCACCCAAACCUCUUCUUUUUUAAGUGUAAUAUGCUAAUAUUGCUUCUGGUCAACAUAGAAGGUAGCAUGCUUUAAAUGCUGGAGUUCAAAAUUGCACUGCCUCGCUUACCUCCUCUAGACAAGCAACAGUGUAGGAAAUUCACAAAGAUAAUCAAAUUCUUUGAUCAUAAGAAUAAACUUAUAGUGAUGAUCACCCCCAUUCUGCAGUCUAAUUUGAAACAUAACAUGCAAACAUCUUUAUCAAAGGAUCAAACAAAGAAACCAAGAGUCUAUAUGAUAAACCUGGCCACUGCAAAAAGGUCCUGCCCCAAUGCCAAUGGUUGGGAUUUUAAGAGCAGAAGUUGCUGCAGCUGCCACGGGAGCAGGCACGCAUUCUAAAACUACCGAGAAACAUCCUGCUUCUUGCAAAGCCAGUGCAGUUUCUACAACCUGUGCAACAUAAACAAAUUCAACACAACAUAAAACAAACAGUCUCGUAAACAAAACACAUAAUCAACAUACCUUUACAGCACUGGCAAUGUUUUUCCCUUGAGGCCUGAAUCCUCCAAGAACACUAAUAGCCUGAGGAGUAAGUCCUACAUGUCCCAUAACAGCAAUUCCAGCCUCAACAAUUGCUUUAGCAGCAGUAAUUCUCGAUGGCGACCCUCCUUCCAAUUUAAUCGCAUCCAUCCCUCCUUCCUUCAAAAUCCUAACUGCCGUAUCAACCGCCUGCUCAUAAUCCAAUCUCACUCAACAUCACCAACCAAUUCCUCACUUCAAAAUAUUCACAUUCAAGACAACACAAAAUCCUCUCCCCCACAAUGAACCCCCAAGAAAACUUCAUACAUAAACAUUCUACUAUUUCAUAACUUUUAAAAUAUAAAAUUUACAAUUAAGAUAAACAACAAUAGAGCAACAUUUUAGCUUGAGAAAUCUAAUGGGCACCUGGUUAGAACUAGACUCGUAAGUCCCAAAGGGCAAGUCACCUACGAGAAGCGGCCUUUUGGCGCCACGAGCAACAGCACGGCAAUGAACAAGCAUCUCGUCAAGAGAGAUAGGGAGAGUGGUGUCAUGGCCGUGAACAACCAUGGAAGCGGAGUCACCAACUAAACAAACAUCGAUACCUGCUGUGUCUAAGUGGACCGCAGAAGGGUAGUCAUAGGCAGUCACAACAGUUAUCGGAUCACCCUUUUUGUGUUUUUGCUUUAAAUGGGUUAGUGUUACUCUUUGGUGUGGGUUUUGUGGCUUCGGUCCGCCGUAGACGGUGUUUUCAGGGACGUUGCUCAUGAAGCGGAGGUGGCGGAGAAGAGUUGUGGGUUUGAGAGUGGAAGAGGAUUUGGUGAGGUAAGUGAGUAAACCCAUUUUUUGAGUGAUAGGGAGUGAGAGGUAGCGAGAGAUGGGAUGUGUGAAUGACGAGAAAUUUUGAUUGAAUUUGUAGGUUUAUUUAUGGAGGGAGGAGUUAGUGGGGGAGGGUGGUGCAUUUUGGCUGCGCCACCUGCACCGAGUUGAUAGAGGAGUCCGAUUUUGAGUUGCUUUCUUCCAAGUUUGGCAUUGUUAUCCACACGUGCCUUUCAGCGCUCGUGAAGGCCACUCUCUUUUGGUAUAGUAUAUACUGGCAUGUCAUAAAAGAAUAAAGAGAACCUAGGAGCAUAGCAUCUGCUAGGAAAUUCGAAUUAGGUUUUGGAAAAUAUUUAUUUGUGGGUGGAUGAUGGUAAGGUUAAAUUCGAGAGAGAACCCAGGUUUAACAUGAAUAUGGGUACAAUUGAGGAUUUUUUUUUCUUCUUUUAUUCAACUAUGAAAUGUAUCUUUAGAUCACUUUAUGCUGAGUUUGUCGAUUUUAUUAUUGUUGGUGUUAUUUUUUUUAUUAUUAGAAUUAUAAAUUUUAGUUUCAAAGUAUUUUAGCAUUCUGUUUUAGAAUUUUAACUAUACAUACAUACAUACAUACAUACAUACAUAUAUAUAUAUAUAUAUAUAUAAAUAUAUAUAUAUAAUUCAAAAUAUUGAUUAAACAUACAUGAUUCAAGUUUAAAUUUAAAAAUAAAUUAACUUUGUAUUAUACAAUACAAACAUAAUAUUAUUCAUCUAAAUAUAUUUUUAAAAUUUAAAAUAUUACUAAAUAGUUAAGAGUCGGAAUCGAAUAUAAAUUUAACUUGAAGUAAUUCAACACAAACAAAAUGCUAAAAUAUUACAAAAAUUAAAAAGUUUUAACAUAAAAUUAGUAUAAAUCAAACAUCAUAUUCAUCAUCACAUGUAAAAAUAAAAAUUUUGAUUUUACAGUGGCACAUGAGAAAGUUAUGAACUAGAUAUUUCAAUUGAUGAUUAUUUCCAUCAAGCUCAUCCUCGACAUUAGAAUGCCUAUUUUUAUCAUCUAAAAUCAGAGUACACAAAGGUGUCUCAAUAGUCUUAUAACUUAAAUCAUGUCAGUCAGGGCUGAGUUCUUCACAUAUCCAUUCAUCUAAUAAGUUAAUGCUAUAAAAGUUAAUGAGAUCUAAAAUUUUCCUUGUUCAACUCAAAUCCACAUAAAAUACAAAUAUGAAAAAAAAACAUGAAUAUAAAUCAUAUACAUCAAUGAUAUUUUUUUGUUAAGCAAUACAAAUGUUAAUAAAAAAAAAUAAUUAUUAUUUUCAAUAUUAAAAAUUGAUAAAAUCAGGGAUUUAAAAUUUUUUCCUUGGACAGAGUCUCUCUACUAGAUAAUAGAAUUAUGUUUUAGUUUUGUCAAACUUUUAUCUGGGACAAAAUAAUCAAAGUAAAUUCAAAAUAUUUCGACAUGAAUUUGGACGAGAAAUCUAAAAUAACCAAAGAUUUUGAGUAAGAUGAGAUUUGUUUUAGUUUGAUUUAUAUUUUAAAAUGAUACAAGAUAUACCAUAUAUUCGGAAAGGAAAAGAUCUAGAUUGAUAACCUUGCUUUAUGUGUUAUUUAAUAUUCAAGAUUAUUUUUUUCUAAAAAAGAUAAAAAAAAUCCUUUUAGGUAUAUUCAUAAAAAUAAAUUCCUUUCUAUAUUAAUUUUGAUUUUAAACUUAAAAGAGAUCAAGUAAGAAAGUAGACCUUUUAUAUCAUUUAAUUUACCCUCGAGAUUCGAUAAAAAAACCUAUCAAGGACUUGAUCAACGAGAAAUUUAAUCAGGAUCGGUAAAAGUUGGCUCGGAAAUAUACAUACCAUGUAUUUACCUCGCCAAUAUAAUUACUAGUAGUUAAAAAAUCGAUCAUGUUAAGAAAAUAAAUACAUUGCUAACAGUCGGUUGCCUUCUUUUUCCCUAGUGGUAAUAAUAUAAAUUCUUGCAUAUAAGUAGUUUUAAGGUUAACAGAGUUCCAUGUCUGGUUUUCAGUUUUCGUGAAAGAGAUAAAAUAGAGACAGGGUAGGCAACUCCCUAGGCGAAGUCUCUACUCUGGUAAGGACCAAGUGACUUCAUUAGCGUGGAGCUAGGCAUGGUAAGCAUAGAGUAGCGGUAGCGGUACCAAAAAAAAAAACACCGGCACUUAAACAUACAGCAACGCAAUCGAUACAUUCUCGUAGAGCGUGUAUUGCACGCGCAUAUGUAACGUUGGCACGACAUUUUAAAACAUUCAAUCGGACCCGCAUAUCCAUACAGUUUCAUCGAACAGAUGACGUUUUGACUCUCGCUUGAAACUCUCUCCAUCCAACGUCUCAGAUCAACCAAAAUAUCUCUUUGACUCCCUUCAACUCAAUCAUAGCUCAUAUUGUCACACGUGUCCUUACACAACAAAUCACCUCCGAUGCACUCCUGCAAAAUGCUGUUCAAUUACGCGCCACCCUCGUUGAUAAAACCAGUACUCCAUUUCACUUCCUCCUUUGCCUUAUCUCCUCGUGCUGUUCCUCAUCCAGUCAAUAAAAUUCCCCUUUUCCACUCUCUCCGGAUCUUCCGUACUUUCGCUGCCAUGUCUGAAACUAACUCCGCCUCCGAUUCUACGCCGGAUCACAUAUCCGGAACGUGGUACUCGGUGCCGGGCCUCCGCCUUCGGGACCACCGAUUCACUGUCCCUCUCGAUUAUUCCAUCGAUCGCAAUGCUUCUCCUAAAAUCUCCGUUUUCGCUCGCGAAGUCGUUUCCGGUACCUAAAGACUAAUCUCAAUUAGAAUAAUUAUUAAAAUUAAACUUAUCGUAAUUAGAUUUAUUUGAGAUGUAUCUAUAAUUUAUACAAGUUUACAAAUCCUGAAGUGCUAAAGCACUGAAGUCAACUAAACCAUACACUACUUGUACUGGAUUGGAAAAUAUGAUCAUGUUGCUUGCAUUUUUUUCUGGAAGAAAACAAUAAUGAAAAUAUUUUGUUAAAAUGAAUGGUAUUGUCGUAGUUUGUAUGCUUAAAUUCAGUCUCACUUGCAUCUUUUUGUGGGAAAAUCUGGAUAUCCUUGCUGCCAGUUUCAAUUGCAAAAUUGAUCUUUGGAUCAGAUAUCCAGGUGUUCAAUAAUGGAAAUUCUUAUUGUUAGACGCGUGCAAGAAUACAUGAGACUAUUUAGAAACACUACAUCACUGCAAAUCUCCUGCCAUGACACCGUUUCUUGAUAGGCAAGCUGUGUGGUCUCUAGUUAUAGUAGAUAUUGUCCAUGCAAUUUUUGUUUUUUAUGUUCCGUGCAAUUCAUUAACUCAACAAAAAUUUGGUUGUUGAACUGCACGGGUUAAUAUGUAAUAAUCAUUUACGAUUUGCAUUUAUCUUAGAUUAGAUUAUCUACUUUUUUGUUUUCAUUUUAGUACAUGUACUAUUACUUUCACUUAUGCAUUCAGAAUGUUUGCUCUAGUUGGGAAAGAAGAACACCUACUGCCAUACCUAUUAUAUCUACAAGGGGGGCCGGGCUUUGAGUGCCCACGGCCAACUGAAGCCAGUGGAUGGAUACAUAAAGCUUGUGAAGAAUUUCGUGUUAUUUUGAUGGACCAGGCAUGAAUUCUUGGACAUUCCUGUACUUUUACUGCCGUUUCACUACCUGUAUUCAUCCUCUCAUACACGCUGCUGUGUAUUUUUCAUGCAGCGAGGAACAGGCUUAUCAGUUCCUUUGACACCAUCAUCCAUGUCGCAAUUGGAUUCUGCGGAGGAGGUUGCUGAAUACUUGAAAUACUUUAGAGCUGACAAUAUAGUGAAUGAUGCAGAGUUUAUCCGAGUUUGUCUUGUUCCUGAAGCUGGACCUUGGACGGUUUUGGGUCAGGUAUGAAGAUUAUUAAUCUUUAUUGGUUUCCCAUUUCUUGUUCUGUGGACUUGACCAUCUUUUGUUCUGGCUUUUUGUUUCACGAGAACACCCUGAUUUCAGUCUUUUUACUUUAAAGUUCCAUUUACCUUGUGGAAACUAAAGUGACUUGAAUUGCUGACUUCUUGUUCAUUUUUUGGUUUAGAGCUAUGGUGGUUUUUGUUCAGUAACCUAUUUGAGCUUUGCGCCACAAGGGUUAAAACAGGUCCUUCUAACUGGAGGAAUCCCUCCAAUAGGAAAUGGAUGCACUGCAGAUUCUGUCUAUAGAGCAUGCUACGCUCAGGUUAUUCACCAGAAUGAAAAGUACUACAAGAGGUUUCCUCAGGAUGUUGAAAUUGUUCAUGAAGUUGUGAAGUAUUUGGCAGAAUCUGAAGGAGGCGGGGUGAUGAUCUAGCACAUGCAAUUUUUAUACUUUGGUUCAUGAAAAGAAAAAAAAUGUUGAUCAUGCCGUGAUUCUUCCUCGUCUCUCUUUUCCUAUCUGUACAGGUGCUUCUUCCAUCAGGGGGGCUCUUAACCCCAAGAGGACUGCAAACUCUUGGUCUCUCUGGUUUAGGAUCCAGUUCAGGUUUCGAGCGUGUCUGCACUAUAUGUAAGGCAUAUAUAUAUUGAGAAGGAUGUGUAAACACUAUUUUAUCCCAAAUGAACUUGCAACUUUGUAUUCUUCAGGUUUCCCCUCCCGCUUUCUUCUACCUUUAUUUAUCAUAUUUCCUUGUUUGUCUCCACAACCUGCAGGUUUGAGAGGGUUUGGGAUCCUGUAAUAGUUCCAGGAUUUCGUAAGCAAAUAAGCUACCACUUCUUAAAUGCUGUGAGAACAUUGCUGAUCUUCUAUUGAUCACUAAUCCGUGGAUUUUUUUUAGAAUCAACCUAAGUUAUUUCUAUUUGCAGUUUGAGAAUUGGUUGGAUUUUGAUACAAACUCACUCUAUGCUCUCCUGCACGAGUCCAUCUAUUGUCAGGUAGAUUUUCCCAUUCCUCUUUUAGCAGUUUCUUUUUAUUGUAGGUAAAUUUUACUGUACUUUUGCAUGAUUAUAGUGGAACAGCCAUAAUGAUGGAACAAGCUGUGCAAUGUCAAAAGCGCAAAUCAGUUAAUGCUUCUUUGCUGGGUAGAUUUCCACUUUCAAAAGUGCACAAGAUGCACCCAUGCAUAGUUUGUUUAUUUAAGAUUUUCCAUCAAGUUUCUAAAUCCUCCUUUUCUUUUGGUUCAAGGGUGAUUCAUCGCGGUGGUCUGCUCAGAGAAUACGGACUGAGAAUGGCGGUAAAUUUGAUGCAAUCAGGGCUGUCAAAGAAGGUCGCCCUGUAUUCUUCACAGGGGAGGUGUGAAGAAAUUAUAAUAUUGUGCUUUAAAGAUAACAAACUUUUACAGUUUUUACAAUCGCUUAUUGAGCCUUUUUAGAAUAUUAAGUGCAUGAUCUUUUGGGGUAAGAUAAAUUCCCCCCCCCCCCCCCCCCAAUGAUAACCUCAUUUACAUAUUUGUAAGAGGCCAUGCUCGUUUCUUUUUUUUUGGUCCUGUCCCUUAGAAACAUAUAUUUGCAUUUGCAUGCCUUUUAUGAAUCAAAUGCUUGAUCUGUAUAAAAAUAUACUGUGAUUUCUUAGUUUACUGAUAUCGAAUAGAACCAGCAUCUUUUGCUGUUUUGCUUACAUUGUUUUAAGGAAUUCUUCUGCAGAUGGUGUUCCCAUGGAUGUUUGAAGAAGUUCAUCCCUUAAGGAAAUUUAAAGAUGCUGCUCAUUUAUUGGCUGAGAAGAAGGAUUGGCCACCCCUAUAUGACAUUGCAGUGCUGAAUAAUAACAAGGUGCCGGUUAAUCUUCCAUAUAAUUAUUGAUUCAUUAUAAGCCUGCAAUGCAUACACGUUAUACUGAGCUCAAAUGAGAAGAUUUCAAUCUUCGAGAUAUAGCUUUCGCUUUUAGUCUGUUUUUUUAAUAGAAAUUAGCUUCAGUUUUAUUGCUCGGAGGGGCUGCUAAUUUUUUAAAUGCUGGCAGGUACCUGUUGCAGCUGCUGUUUAUUAUGAAGAUAUGUAUGCUAAUUUCAAGUUGGCGAUGGAGACAGCUUCUCAGAUAGCUGGAAUUAGGCUAUGGAUAACCAACGAAUACAUGCAUUCUGGCCUGAGAGAUGGAGGAGGGCAGGUUCUUGAUCACUUGUUGGGAAUGUUAAAUGGAAGAAAGCCGUUGUUCUGAUAACCAUUGUAAUUCGUACUCACUUGUUUCUCUCUUAUUUGUACAUCUACUCCUCCUCUUUUUUUUUGAACUUGCAAUUUAGAAUUAGUAAUAAUGUGCUUUCAUUGAUGGCUCCAAAGCAGUCAUUUCCUGGAAAGUAUUGUAGAUUUUGAACAAGGCGUGUACGUAAUCAUGUAAAUUUUCUUUACAGGGAGAAAUUUGCCACUUCCAGUUUAUACUGACACCUGAGUGCUAGUUGUCUUUGUCCCGGCAAACAUGGAUCCGGUUAAGCAGGGAAGCACCUCUCGAGGAAGUUCUUCACGAUACCGUCGUACUUGGAUUUGAAUCACUGUUAAUGUUUGUAGUAGUCUAUUUUGAAUUCUUUUAAAUUUACUACAAUAGAUAGAAUUAGACGCCGUGGAUCCGUAUUAUUAUUAUUAUUAUUUAAAUGAUGAUUAGGUGUAAACUUACCAUAACGUCAUUAAGGUUAAAAGAUUAAGAAAACUUAAUAGAAACAAAAUUAUGAAAUUAAUUUUUAUUUAAAAAAAUAUUGAAAAAUAAAACUGAUAAAAAAUAAAUAAAUAAAAGAUAUUAAUUUGUUAACUUUUCAAAUAUAUGAUUCAAGUUAUUAGAUCAGAAACAUCAUACAUGAUAAAAUCAUGAAACUCAAUUCUCAACAAAUCAAACGGCUAAAUGAUAAAUCAUGAAGAAAAAAAAAGUAACCACAAAAAAGGAUUUAAAAUAAAAAAAAACAAUUAAAAGAAUAAAAUAAAAUAAAUAAAUAAAUUAGAAAGUAAUUAUAAAUUUUUAAUUGGAGGGUUAAACUGAAAAUUAAAAAUAACUUCAAUAAAAAGACCAAAAAAAUUAAAAAGAAUGAGGAUUAAAAUGGAAAAAACAAUAUACCAUAAAUUUGGAUUGAAUAAUGAAAUUGAAAAUUAAUUAAACUUUUACAAAAUGAUCAAGGAAAAAAAUAUAAACUAAAAGAAUAAGGACUAAAUUGAAAAACAAUAAUAUAUGAUAAAUUGAGAAUAAAGGAUGAAAAUGAAAACAAAUUAAUAAGACUUUUACAAAAUGGCUGAAGUUAAAAUAUCAACAUCGAAGAGGACCAACUUGUAAUUUUCAAUAGAGGAGAGAAAAGAAGAAAAAAAAAAGCUUUAUUGUCGAUAAAACUGCCCCACCACUGCUAACACGUGCAACACCAACAGAAAAAGGAUGCAGCGAAGCUUCCAACAACACGGUGAAAUGAUAUUUUUUGCCACUGGGAGAUGCCACAACUUUUUAAAUUAAAAUAUUAAGUAAUCCCUAUUAAAAAAUUAAAUUUCCCUUGAUGAACUUGAUAAUAAUAAUUAAAAAAAAACUAGAGUGAAAAGACCAAAAAGCUCUUGAAUACAAGAUUUAAUUUUGUUGACUUGAAAAGUAAACUUGUCAUUUUAUUAUAUUUUAAAAAAUAAAAAGAUAUAUAUACUCUCGUGUGCUAGUUUUAAAAGCUUUGAAUGUGAGGGUAAUUAGAUCAUUUUAAUAUAUUUAAAAAAAAUAAAAGAAACUCUUAUAUCUUUGGUCAAUCCUUUAAUAACUAAGAAGUCUUGUGAAAAGAACGAAAUACCUCAACACCAAGUCUUUUAAAUUUACCUUAUGUUAUAGUAUUUUUGUUAUAUAGUAUUGUGGUUUUAAAAUCCUAUAAAAAUAGCAAAAGAAUUACAUUCUCAAAUGGUUGAUAACCUAGAAGUACGAUUUUCACGUGGAAGAAAAAUAAACAAAACUCUUGGGUUCACCAACCUAUAUAUGGAGUGUGGAAUGAUUUGUAAGUUUUAUUCAUUAAUUAUUGUUUUUAUAUAUAUUAUGUAUAUUGUUUAGCUCAUUAAUUAUAAUUGAUUCUUAUUGUUGCAAUUUAGAAUUUUAUUUUUUAUUGUCAACAUUAUUAUUAUUUCUUGCAAGCGUAAUAAUGAAUUGUAGGCUUUCCAAACAGCUUCCAUUUAAUAUUUAAUUACUAUUGAUGAGAUUGAAACGAGUAAAGAAGCUAACUAAGUUAGUGGUUUGCAACGACUUGAAAAUAAUAGGAGUUCACUUUAAAUUAAUUUGCAGUUUAAUAAAAAUAUAUGAGCAACUUAUUUGGUUCUUAAGAACAUUAUUUCAGAUGGAUCUAACUAUUCUCAAUAUAGUGAUGCAAUCAAGUUGCUAAUGUCAUUUAAUUUUUCAAUCAUCUUACAUAUAGUGAAGAAUGUUAUGAGAAUUACCGAUGUGUUUUAACAAGACUUUGUAAAAACAAUUCGGUAAUAGAUGAGUAUUACUAUCGAGUUUAUAUAUUUACAGCUACCAUUGAUCAAUAAUUGCAGAACAAAAUAAUAGAUUCGGUGAGCACAUAACCAAACUUUUUAUGUUGAACGUCACUUUGAAUCCUAAAAAUACCUACAAAUUAUUUAGUGUUGAAGAUAUAUGCAUGUUUAUUGAUAAGUUAUAUCUCAAAGAUUUUUCUAGCCAAGAAAAUAUUCCUUCUAGUUGCAGUAUUAUAAGCUUUAUACACCUAAUCAUCCGGUGUUAAGGAAUUUGUCAUCGAUUGUUGAUUGGUUGAAAAGUUUCAUUGGCACGUUACUUGUAUGUUGACAAUAGGUAUAAUCUUUAAGGUACUUUUGCUUCUAAAAUGUUUUGUUUUGUUCAUAGGCAUGCUUGUCCUUCUUCAAAUACUUGAUGUUGUUGGUGUACAAAAGCAUGCAUGUCUUGCUCAGAGUUUUGGGAAAAAGGUAGGCUUGUUUUUUCACGGUCUAUAUCCUCUGCUUGGGUUGCACCAAUGAUUCUGGCGUAAGGUUUUUAUGUUCUUAUACUCUUAACAUGACACAGAAAAUUGCCAGUUUCAGCUUGAAUAUUGGCAUUGAUACAGCAGACUAGCUCAUUUGAAUACCCUUCUGUGGAACUAAAAGAAAUUCCUAGCGUUUUAGAUGGCUCCGGUGUUCUAAGUUUUUGGUGUUUUUUCUUGGAUUUUAAAUGCCAUCUAUUCUCAGCAUGGAUACUGCCCUGCUAUUCUGCAACAAGAGCUCUUUAUGUAUCAUGUGUUGGUCCACUUUUCGAGAGUGAUUUUCUCUUUAUGAAGAACACACACUUAACUCUUGAAUGGAUAUGUAUUGGUUUUACCAGUCAAUAAGAUAGUUGGCGAGUCCUUGCUAGGUGAACUAAUCAGGACUAAUUACAAGUGUUUUCUUUUAUACAGGACUAAUUAAGAAUGUUAAGCAUGUAGGCUUCGGGAGUCAAAUAUAUUUAUUUGUUGAAUGGGCUGAGCCACAGCAAAUGGGUUGUAUACUUUGCAUAUCAUCAUAUAACAAUGAGUCACGGCAAGAGGGACCUCGGAUAUGCAAAAUUCCUGAGGUUACCUCCCACAGUCCAUCUGACGAAACCAGAAAAGAGACCUCCAAAUUCUUCCUUCUUAAUUAUUCUAGAGAAACUUCAGAGUUAAACAAAGAAUAGUCUCCCAUCCAUUAUAAAAUAACCUGAUGUUUGAUUUUUAUUAAGGGCUAAACACCCACUAGGCAAGUCUUAAUAUAAUCCAACUGGGGCAAUCAAAUAGGCCCUGUUGUUUUAUCUUGUCUACUAGCAAAAGCUGAAAUGGAAUAUAUAUAUAUAUAUAUUUCUGUUCGCGGCACUAAGAAAUUGCAGGUGCAAACCAGUACCAAUUCAAAAAAUGCGUUGAAGAUUGGUUGGUAAGCAGUGCCGUAUCCAUUAACUUGGAGGGAAAUUUCAACAUGUGUCUCAAAUGAGGUAUUUUGAUUUGGUUAAUGAUACAUAGGUACGUAGCAGUCCAUGUAUAUAUAUCAUGCAUGCUAGCUAUAUUGCUUUGGAGAUAACGAUAUGCAUAAGUUGGGCACGUCUCCCCUUUUACUUGAGGGCAGUUGAACAGAAGUAGGUGAGCUGCAGUUGGCUUUACCCAUGGCUACAAGAGAUGGAAUUGAGACUGAGACGGACUCUCCUUUCAAAACCUAGCAAACCAUCUUCAUCUCUCUAUUUGUAGGUCUGUCCAACCUCUUCUCACCUUCCCAGGUUUCCACUACCUUUAUCUUGACCCCUUAUAUAUAUUCAAUCUUACGUACAUCCUCAGUUCUUCUCUAAUCAUUAUCUCUGUAGCCCCACAAUGGAAGGCCAAGAAGCCCCACCACCACCACCACCAUCACUACCACAAUUUCCAUCCCAAAACCCUCCCUAUCUCUUCACGCCCUCACUGCUCCUAUCCUCCUCAUUGCACCCUUCUGUAAUUGAGCCUCAAAGCCUUCCAGAUAUUGAUUGGGUUGGCCUUCUCUCUGGCCAAUCCGGGCUCGGCGAGAAUAGGCCUUUCAUGGACAGUGCUUCUAUGGUAGCUGAAAAUGGAGCUGAGGAAGAAAAGGAUAAGAAGAAAGGUGGAAGAAUGAAAAAGACAACCCGGCCAAGAUUUGCUUUUCAAACUAGAAGUGCAGACGAUGUUCUUGAUGAUGGAUAUCGGUGGAGGAAAUAUGGGCAAAAGGCAGUGAAGAACAGCAAAUACCCCAGGUUUGCUUGUAAUUAACUUAAUUAAACUUCUAAUAAUCAUUCUAAAACAACAAAAAAAAAAACAAAAAAUCCUUGCAUCAUCUAACGUUGCAUGGUGUGCAUUUUUAGAUGUUAUACGUAUACCCAAUUACAAAUUAGUCCGAAACUCCGAAUUUAUAUUUUUGAUGAGCGAUGUCAUUGGAAUUUCAUCUUUCUUUUCUUUCCUUCUUUUUUUUUAAAAAAAAAAUAUAAAAAUAAAUAAGAGUUGAUAGUUUGUUGAUUGCCUAAUUAAUAGUCGUAGGCGACUAGAGCCUAGACAUCCUUCUCUUUUUUCAGCUAGUUAAAACUAUAUGCAUCCUUCUCGAGAAUUCACCUGUAAUCAACACGAUUAAAUAAUUAAAAUCAUAUAUAAAUUACUGUAUUUAUAUUUAAUGUAUCUAUAUAUGUAGAUUUAUAAGGGGUUUCUUUUCUUAUGUUUUGCCAUAAAAAUCUAGCUAAGGGUUAGGAAUAUUCGGAAAGAAAAGCAACCACGAUCGGCAGCGAGAAGGAUCUGUAACAUCAUAUAUAAAUUACUGUAUUUAAUAUUGUCGCGAAUUGUGAAUCACAUGAUAUAUAUCUGUGAAUUACUAUAUAUGUUUUAUUGUUCAUUUUUCCAAUAACAUCAUAUAGCUAUACGCAUGCGCAUCCUAUUGCUUUUCGGAUCUUUAUCUUUCCAUGCACGAUAUUUUGAUUAAUUUCUUUGUAGGAGGAUUUAAUUAUGAGCUACAAACUUCGAUGAGAAGAACAGAGAUUUAAAUGUGGACAGUAAUAUUUUAGUUAAUUGAUACUAUUACUCUCAAGAUUAUAACAGAUGAACAUUAGAUUUAUAAUUGAAGCAAAGAAACAAAAAAAAAAGUAUUUUGCUUAAUUAAUUAAUGAGACUACUGCAACCUAUAUAUAUUUACAACUAUAUAUAUAUUUCUUUGAAAUAUAAAAAUCCAAACGAGUCACUCCGUGUGCUUUUAUCUGUUUAGUAAUUAGUUGUUUUGGUAAUUGAGGAGGUGCAUAUACUCCUUCUUUGAAGUUCUAUAUAAGUUUGAAUCUCGGGACCCAUAUCCAGGAGAAUUUAAUAAAUUCUACAAAAAAAAAAAAAAAACAUUGUUUGAUAUGGGGAUACAUCCUUAAAAUCAUUCAAUUUUUUUUUAAAAUUCGACUAACGUAUAACUAUUUGAAAAUAUCAACCAUUUAUCUCGAAUUGAAAAAAAAAUUAUACCAUGGCGAAGUCAUGUGGACCAAAAUAUUUUGAAUGAUUAAUGCGUGAAUAUUCCCAUUAUUACUAUAUAUUGAAUGUAUAUUACAAUUAUUAUAGAUUUAUUUAAUGUAGCAAGUGGUUUUAUCUUAUGGUCUUGCACUAUUCAUUUUACAAAUCUUGGGCAUAAUGUAGAGUGCAUAAUUAAUUUUUGUCCCUCCUUCAACUAUUAUUUUUUUGCGAAAUAAUUCUUACCCCGGCACUUUGAUUUCAUUUUGCGCAAAGGAGUUACUAUCGGUGUACACAUCAUACAUGCAACGUGAAGAAACAAGUGCAAAGGUUAUCCAAGGACACGAGCAUAGUCGUCACGACUUAUGAAGGAAUUCAUAAUCAUCCAUGUGAGAAAAUGAUGGAAACCCUAACUCCUCUUCUCAAGCAGAUGCAGUUCCUUGCUAGGUUUUAACUUCUUCAGCUUUUCUACACUUUCAAGAACAAAUCAAGCAGACCUCCUGUUCUUGACCAUCUUAUAUAUAGUAGUAUACUUGUUGUACUUAUGCAUGUUUUCGAGGUUGACUUUGUGUGAAUAGACCAAAAUCAGUGUUUAUAUCUAAUGUAAAACUAAUAAACUAUAUUGUGUGUUAAUUUCUUUUUUCAUUUUAAUUUUAUAAUUAGAUCAAGUUAGUUACCGAGCAAGUUUUUAUACAUCAAGUUUAAGUCUACUUUUCUGUAUAUUUAUAUAUAUAUAAUAAACGCUAUUCUUAUCAAAAUAAAACAUUUAUAAAAGUUUUGGUUCAUUUAAGAUGUAGAUAAUUAAAAAGAAAUCGAGUAUAUUUUCUUAACGUAAAAUAAGCUCGAUAAUAUUAAGAUGUGUUAAAGAACUAAUUCAACACAAUAAUUUAAGCUGUUAGGUAAAGUUUCCAGAUAUGAUUUAUAUUAUUCUUUAAUAAGAUGUAACUCAACUCUAUGGCAUCGAUGCUUUUAUUUUCUCAAAAGAUCUGAAGUCUGAAUUUAUUCUUUAUGUGUGUAUAUAAAUUAAGCUUUAUAAGCUUUGAGGUAUUUGAAAUUGUGAUGUAUGAUAUUUUUAAAAUCUAAAGGGGUGAAAAAAACACUUUAGCAAUCCAAUAUAAAAUUAUAUUUUUGCUUUUUUAAAAACAAACUAAAUAGAUAUAGCUAUUAAAUGUAAUAUAGUCUUUUCACGGGGUCCAUAAGUUAUUACCAUAUUUAUAAGGGAUGCAUCGAUCUUUUUGCAUUUUUUAUGCACAAUAAAAUGACUAGAUUGUCUUUGAAAUAAAAAAAAAUUAAAACUAAUGUCCGAGGGUGUUUUUGCAUUUUUAGUUUUAUGCAUACUAAAAUGACUAAAUUGCCUUUAAAAAGUAAAAUUUUAUUCACUUAUGGUCAAGGGUGUUUUGAUAUUUUCACUAUUUGUUUUUACUUCAAACUUGUUCUCAUUUUUUUAUUGCUAUUUGUUUUGUUUGAAAUAAUUUCUGUAAUUGAUUUUUUACGUUCAUCUUCCAAUUUUUUUCCUAUCAAAUUUUUUUCCUUAUUUUUUUAUUUUUUUUUUACUUUGAAAAUUUUUUUAAGUUGAUAUUUUUUUUCUGGUUUUAUCCUCCAACAUUUAAUUGGUUGAGAUUUGAUCUUUUUGAUUAAGCUAAAAAAUUUAUUUGAUCCACGGUGAAGUAUAGGUAAAAUUUGUUAGUAUAUGCUAAAUAAUUUGGAUGAUUAACAUUGAUACUAUUUUUUUUUCUAUAGAAACAUAAUCAAUACUAGCUUUUAACAACACUUAGAUGUACCAAAAAGGAACGGAUAGAGAGACUCAUUCAUUUGAAUAAGGUUAUAUAAACAAACAAGAAAAAUGACAUAAAAAAUCAUUCGGUACGAUAAGUGACAGUACCAUAUGAUAUCCUUCCUCGUCUGUCAAAUAAGUUUUUAAGGUAAGCCGGUGAGCUUCCACUUCUAUAAUCUGUACUGCCCUUUCUUGUUGUAAGCCGGUGAGCUUCCACUUCUGUACUGACCUUUCUUUUUCAUCAUUACCCAACACAUGUAAAAAAUCAUGUGAUACUUUCUUACCUUAACACGCUUCAUCAUUUAUUCUGUCCGUAUAGACCUUGAAUAAUAUAAUUAGGACCUUAGAUUGGACCGACCAAGUCACCUAGAGUUGCACCCACAUAUUGUAAGAACUUGGAAGCCUUUGAAAUCGCCGGAAGAAUAGCAAAAAGGGAGGUUUACUUUCAGUUUCUAAAAGGAUCGAGUUAUUAAUUAACCAUCGUUGAUUCAUUUACAAGUAAACCGGAGAGCUUCCUCUUUCUUUCUCCUUGCCGAAAUCGAGAGGUGUUGCAACAUUUACUAAAGAAGGCUCGUUAUGCUUUCCUUAAAGUUUCUUCACGUUAGCUAGCGUUGCCUAUUCUUUUCAGUUUUUUUUUCUUUUUUUUUUUUGAAAAAAUCGAAGCAUGGUGAAGGCUUUUAGUUAUGGCUCAAAGAUUCUAAUUAGGACAUAUGAUGCCGUCACUUGAUUUGGAAUGGAAUCACGCAUUACCUUUUAGAACACAACGGACGUGAUACUGGUUAUAUGUUACGGUGUCGUUCUCAGAAAAUGUUUGGAAUGUGGUUGAUAGUGUUUUUUUAAAUUUUAAAAUUAAAUUUUUUUAAAAUUAAAUUUUUUAUAUUUUAUAUCGUUUUAAUGACUAAUAUUAAAAAUAAUUUUUAAAAAAUAAAUAAAUAUAUUAUUUUAAUACAUUUAAAAAAAAACACUUUAAAUUAUAAUCACUAUUUAAAAAAAAAUUAUAAUAUUGUCCGAGUUUGGAAUUCAAACGGGUUGAGUAAUAAAUUUUUUCUGCUUUGAAAAGUAUCUCUAACUAAAACCUCCCACGUUAUUUUUAGAAUAAUUAAUUACUAGACAAUGCAUCCCCCCACUAAGUUUAGAAUUCCAAGUUAAUUUUGAACAUAUAUAUAUAUAUAUAUAUAUAUAUAUAUAUAUAUAUAUAUAUAAUUGUAUUUUUUGAUAUCAUGAAAUUUGUUUAUUGAAAAAUGAAAAAAAAUAAUAUUUGUAUUUUAUACAAUAAAUUAAGAUGUAUUAAUUAUUAAACCCAAAAAUAUAUAUGAAUGCUAAUUAAACACUAAAGUUGAAAGUUAACUUUUCAAGCAAUAGAUACAAAUAUAAAUAUUUUAAUUCUGUAAUUCUUUUCAUUUUAUAUAAUACCUUGAAAGUUUACUAUCGUUGCUAGGUAUAUUAUUAUUGUUCUUAUAAAUAUAUAAUAUUUAUAUAACUAAUAUAUCUUAAAUUUAACAUGAAAAAUAAAUAAAUUACAAUAAUCAAUUGAAAGUAUAAUCCAAAAUACUUAUUACGAUUUAAAAAUAUAUAAACCACACAAUUUAAAAAAUGAGAAAUGAUAUUUAUUAUUAUUUAAAUAAGAGAGUGGAUAUUAAUUAAAAAUCAAUUUAAAAAAUAAUAAAAAUUUAAAAAAAAAAAAAAAAGGUGGGAGAGCAAGGGAUGCCUGGAAGGCUAGGCUCAUGCACAUGAUUCUCUCUUUGUUUUGUAUUUUUUAUUGAAUGGGCAAAAGACACAUGGUCGCCUAUUGUGUUUUUUUUUUUAUUGCAAUUGAUCGGACAACACUACAUUUGCCAAUGUCGAUAUUGUGUCAUCCAUGCAUUGUCAUCCUUUUCCGUCACCAGAAGUGGGUUACAAGUUUUUUGACCUUAAAAAAUCAAUUUUUAAAUUAUUGUUCACCAAAAAAACACUCUAAAAUUUCUUGAACUUCAAUAAAUCAAUUUCAAAUCUUAAAACACUCUUUAAUCACUUUAAAAGCAAGAAAAAUAUUAGAAUAAAAAAAAAUUAGAGGCCCUAGUCUAUUUUUUUUUCAACAUUUUCGUCAUCUUUAUUAAAUUUCAUUUUUCAAGAUGAAUCUAUUAACAUAAAUAUUGAUUUUUUUUUUGUAGUUAGAAUUUGGAUGAAUAAAUCUUUUUUCCUUGUUGUUCUCAAUGGCUUUCUCUCUCAUUUCUCAACUACAAGUAACUAAAAUAUAAAUAAAAUAAAAUUUAGAAUUGAAAAGUAUAAUCAUAAGAGAAUAUAGACCAAAUUUGCAAUAAAAAAAAUAAAUGGACCAAACUGUAAUUUUUUUGCUUCUUCUAAAUUGUAUAGAUGAAAAGGGGCUCUAUUUAAUUUUAUUUAUGUUAAUUUUGAUCUUUAUUUUUCUUAAUAUUUUUAACAAUAACCUAGAAUUUUAUUUGGUAAAACUAAUUUUUCAUUUAACAUCGAUAUUUUAUGUGACAUCUCGCAUAUUAGAGAGUACGUAAUUUGAAACAAAUUUCAAAAUAUAAAACUAUAUAUGACAAAAUAAUUUUUGAAGGCCAAAUUAAGAUAAAAUAAAGUUCAAUGACUAAAAGGGAAGGAACCAAAAAAUUGAGGGACAAAGAAAAGGAAAAAAUUACACAAUAAUAAGUGAUAUAAAUAAUAAAAUGAGAGGGGAUGAACAAUGCACUACGUCCGACUUGUUUGUUUUGAUAUAUUAAGUGAUAAGCCUAUUGAAUAUAAUAUGGCAUUGCUUAAUGCAUAAAAAAUGUCUACAUGUAACAUAUUUAUUUGUUCCAUAUUUGAGGGGGCCGUUCAACGCAUCUUGUAUAUAUAUCCAUACAUGGGAUGAAUAAGCUAUAUUUUAAUAGCAUUAAUUUAGUUACUGUUUUAAAAUAAAAAAUUGAGAAUAGUUGAAAUUAAUAUAUAGAAAUAAUAUUUUAUAUUUGUCAAUAUAUUUAGAGAUUAUCGGGAAAACAAAUGUAUUUCUAUAUAUAUUAUUUUUUUCAUUCCUAAUUAAACAUAUUUCUACCCAUUCUAUAUUUAUCCUUUCUCUGCCUGUGACGAUGUCCAAACGACAUGAUUCACAUGCACAUCCUGCAAAUUCUCUGCAUUAAAGUUAUGGCCAUUCUUAAUUGAGAUCCAAACAAAAUGCUGAGCGAACCCUCAAUUUAGUCCCUAAAAUAUACCCAUUCUUAAUUGAGAUCCAAACAACACCUUGGAUUAGUUAGGUCAUUUUCUUAGGGCUUAGUAAUAUUUUUAUAAAAGGUGUCUUAAAAAGAAGAGUUCUGAUAUAAAAUUAGUGAGAAUACACGGAAUGACCCAAUCGGGAAUUUUAAAAGGGUCUUGGAUGUGAUUGAUGAAUUGUUUUGUUUUAGAACUCAAAUGAUUAUUUAAGUAAUAUGUCAAAGGCUAAUUCGAGGCUUCUCCUAAAAUCCUCGUAUAAGGAAAAGGCAAGCACAGAUCUGGACACACGGGGAUACCCACUAGCUACACACGUGGCCUCACCCAUGUCGCCGACGAGACACGCAGCAACCACGUCGAGAUAAGCAUUUCCUACUAUAUAAACGCAAGAGAGAAGCAAGGGAAGGGAAAAUCAUCAUUUCAUACGAAAACGAGGAAAUAAACAAAAGCUCUUAACUAAUCAAUCGUAUUCUCAGUUUUCUUGCAAUCACAAAAAUGUCGGAGUUGCUAUGCAAGGCCAAGCAGUUUUUGGUAGAGAAGGUGGCUAAUGUCAAGACCCCGGAGGCUACCGUCACCGACGUGGAUCUUGAAGGCGUGCACCGUGACAGCAUAGACUACGGUGCAAAGGUGUCUGUCGAUAACCCUUAUGAAGCUGCGAUCCCUAUUUGCGAGAUUUCUUACGUUCUCAAAAGUGAUGGCAGGUCCGUAAUUUCAAAUGUUUCGUUGCAUGGUCCCAACAGAUUUAUCCUUUCAUUGAAAAAGUACUGUAAUUUAGUUUUGUUUUUCAACUGACAGUUUAAGCUUCUGCGUAAUUCUUGAUAUAUUUUUUUCAUCUUGGAUUACUUUUUAUCUAAAAUGAGUGCAAUAUUGUUCAAAGAUCGAUCAUGUGAGAGAUCUGUACAAAACUAUUGGAUUGCGUAAUUUGUUGAAUAUCGGGUUGAGAUUAAUUACUCAUUGCCAAAUGUUCAGUGUCGUUAAUAUAUUAACUCAAGAAGAUGCAUGAUGAUGCGGAAUAGCUCUUAAUCAUUGAAAUUACUUACAUUUUUCAAAAGGAAGUGCGAUUCUUAUAUAUAUAUAAAAAAAAAAAAAGGCAAGAAAGAAAGAAAGGCAAGGGAGACAUGAUUUCUAUCUUCUUACAAUGCAUGGAAGGGCAUCUAAUUUUAAAUACAUGGGUAAAUCUCGAAAAAUCCUUUGAUUAUGAAGAAUUCCCCUACUGGAUGAUAUUCCCAAGAAAAUUGAGUGGCUUUUAAAUUGAUGUAUAAUUUUCUUGUGUGAAUGGUUAUUUAUCUAAUAAAAAUGUGUUUGAGAAUGUGUUACGUAAUAGUUAUGAUUUAAAGUAUUUUUUAUUUAAAAAUAUAUUAAAUAAUAUUUUUUUAUUUUUUAAAAAUUAUUUUUAAUAUUAAUACAUCAGAACAAUCUAAAAAUAUAGAAAAAAAAUUAUUUUUUUUAUGAAAUAUAAUUUUAACCACGUUACUGAACACAUCCUAAAUUAUCGUACUGCAUGUAUGAAAAAUUUAUAAAUGUGGAUUUUUAUUUUAUUUUUACAUGAUUUGUCCAUUUGAAUGUUUGGAUCAGGGUGAUCGCAUCAGGGACAAUACCAGACCCUGGCUCGCUGAAAGCUAAAGACACAACAAUCUUAGAUGUGCCAGUGAAGGUGCCACACAGUGUACUGGUGAGCUUGGUGAAGGACAUUGGUAGAGACUGGGACAUAGACUACGAGUUGGAAAUAGGUCUCACAAUUGACCUCCCUAUCGUCGGCAAUUUCACCAUUCCUCUCUCCUGGAAGGGUGAAGUCAAGCUGCCUACCCUCUCCGAUCUGUUCUAAUUCUCUCCUUUAUGUUGGGUCUCGAUCUGUUUUACGACUAUAUAUGCUAAAACAAAAAUAAAAGGAAAUGUGUUUUAAUUUGUUUCGUUCAGGUCCAUGAUUUUUCUUUCCGUGCUAACUGUUAGAAAUUAUUUACUUUCAACUCAUCUCUUGAGAUUCGAAUAUCAUCGACCAUAACAUAAGAAGCCGACUCAAUUGAAGUGGAUAUCGAGUCCGUUUGUUAACAAGGUUUUGUUUGUGUUUUAUUUAAAACGGAGAUGCAAUCUGUUUGGUUAAUAAUAAAACACAGUUUGUUGUCUGUGGAUCUCACAUAAAUUUACGUUCGAAACGCAAGAAAAAAAAACAGCAAAAUGUUGCUUCUUGUACACUGUUCAUGCUAAUUAAUUAGCAUGAACAGUGUAGCAUACUCUAUUCACGCAGUGUAGCCUAGCUACAUUGUUUCGGUCCGAUCGGUUCCGGUUCAAAACUUUAAAUGCAUUGAACCAGGUCCGACCCAGUAAAAUAAAAAAUAAAAAUUAUUUUUUAUUUUUUAAUUGUGUUUUAUUUAAAAAACUAGUAUUUAACAUUAUUCAAUGACCCAUUGUCAGAUGCAUUUCAUACGUGAUGGAAUUGUAGAUAGUUUAAUGGAACAAUAAAAAAUAUUUUAUAUAAAAUAUUAUUUAUUUCAUGAUGUAAUAAUAAUAUUUAAAUUAAAAACCAUCAAUAUUAAUAUAUAUUUUUUAAAAUUAUUUUAUAACCUCAAUUUCAAAAGCAUUAUUAACCAAACACAUUAAACUACUUUUUGUUCAAAUUCAAUUUCAACCACAGUUUUAACCAAAACACCUAUUUUUUCAAACCAACCUCAACUAAAAGUACUUUUUAUAAAACAACUUUUUUCAAACCACAACCACAACAGCUACCGCAAUACCAAACACAUUCGAAGACGAAAAUGCGUUCGAAGUUGUGGAUGCCUCUCGACCGUAUUUGUCACAAUUAUCGUCUUCACUGUUUUCCGUGUCGAGGAGUCGAGAACCUACGCUAUCAUCUAAUAUAACUGAUUAUAACUAUCUAGUAGGUAUCAGUGAUAAGAGAUUGAAAUUAAGAGACUUGUUUUUUUUUAUUUCAAAUUCAAACCCUAUAGUUACCAAUAUAAUGGUCACUAGAGGCUUAUAUGGUCGUUAAUUUUAGAACCCAUGAGAUUAGUUGAAGUGCGUACAUGCUGGCUCAGACAUCCACGUUAAUAAAUAUAUAUAUAUAUAUAUAUAUAUAUAUAUAUAUAUAUAUAUAUAUAUAUAUAUAUAUAUAUAUAUAUAUAUAUAUAUCUGACUUAGAUACUAAACUAGAGCAAGUCAACGGUACCAAUCCUAAGCCAGGCCGGGUCCCUGAUUGCUGAUUUGCCAGUUAAAACUUAAAAGUCCCUGAGCAGCAUAAAUCAAGUAUAGUAACAGUACUAGAUAUAUUGUCCGGCAACACUAUCAACUAUUUUUAUUUAAAAUAUACUUGUUUUUGUUUUUUUAAAUAUUCAAAUAACAAUAUCAACUAAAUAACCUAGGAAAUUGAAUUUGUUUUGUGAAGAUUUAAUCCGGGAUGUUUUUUAAACACUUAGAGAAACCCUUGCAAAGUUAAAACAAUCAAAUCACUAACCUUAACCUUUAAUUAACUAAAUUUAUAAGGGAUGAAUUGAGAAAAAAAAACAGUUACCGGAAAAAAAAGACUGAAAAAAAGAAAAAAUAAAGUUAAUCACUAUUUCCAUCCAGAGUGUUUGAAGAAACAAUGCACAGUGAAAAUGGCAUGGGAAUCAUUUUUUUUUUUUUUUUUUUGCAAUUGCAAUUGUAGUCUCCACGACCCUCUACUAUGUGUCCCAAUGGUUGUUGAACUAGAAAUGGACCUGGCUAUGCUAGCCAGGGCCCAACGAACCAUGCGGUUGAAUGAUACUGUGGAUAUCAUCUCAGAAGAUCUCUUCAUAGUGAUCAAUCAGUGUUGUAUGCCUAUUGUGACACCGGAAGCGAGCGCGAAUGGGAUUCAAACUGCAUCAGAAUUUAGAAACUGGGUGGUUACUUUUUCUUUCUUUUGGUGAAAUUGGUUGUUUACUUUAAUUUUAGCCAUGAUCAUUAGCCCAUGGUCUAUGAGAACUUCCUCUCGAUAACUUGCCAUGCAGAGGAGUAUUUAAGAAGUACUUUUAAGCCCAGCAAUACGCUCGCCAGGCUAAAAUGGGUCCAUAAUUGACCUAUUAAAAAAAAAGAUUGCAAAUGCUCAGCCCAAACACUUACACCAAGAGUAAAAUUAUUACGGAUUACAAUAGUAUAAUAUUUUCAUAACUCCAAAUUAUUAUGUAAACAUCCCUUAUUGGCUACGCCCUUUCAACCUAUAGCCAUAUGGGCGAACGCGAGCAGGUAAGGCCACUAGCCCCGGCUGCGGACCGCCAGAGCAGCGACGAAGAAGGAGCUUCUCGACACCAUAAGAAACGAAGUAGAAAAUGCUGUGUAUUCAUCGCGGCCAUAUUUGUUAUACUAGUCGUAGCGAUCGUUGUUAUGCGUUUCACUGCCUUUCGUGUCAACGACCCGAUCAUCAAAAUGAACGGUGUUACGGUCACUCAGCUAGAGCUAACCAGUGGCACAAUUCCUAAGCCAGGUUUGAACAUGUCCCUAAUUGCAGAAUAUGUAUCAGUAUAAAAAAUCCCAACCUAGCAUCAUUCAAGUACAGUAACACUACCACAACUCUAUUACCAUGGCCAGAUGGUUGGUGAGGCUAGAAACGGACCGGACCAUGCCAGGGCCCGACGGACCAUGAGAAUGAAUGUUACCGUGGACAUCAUCCCAGACAGGAUCAUUUGAGACCCAAAUUUGAAUGCUGAUUUUAUCUCUGGGCUAUUGUCCAUGACCACCUACACAAGAGUUCCAGGAAGGAUGAAAAUAGUGACUGCCAAGAGGAAUAUUGUUGUGAAGAAUGAUUGCUUCUUUCUUUAUACAUAGCGUAGAUGUUUGAUUGUAGGAGACAUAGUGGAUUGUGAUCCAUCCAUAUUUAUCUUCCUAUAUGUGAAAUAUGAUCUCAAUUUUUUUUUUGUUCGUUUCCUUUUCUCCAACCUGUGAUUCAAUCGAUUGGAAUUGAAGUGAUUUUUGAGCUCUUUGAUAUUGAACUGUCUACUCCCGGGGUGAAACUUACAACUAAUAAACAUGGAAUUUUUAAAAAAAUUGCUUCAGUUUAAUCGCGUUAGUUAGUUCCUUAAUGAUGCCGGUUCUUAAGAAAUGAGAAAUGGAAGUGUUGUUGUUUUUCGAGUAAAUUAUAAUUUAGUCUUUAUAUUUUUCUUUUUAAUUUUGUAUGCUAGGUCUCAUGAUUAGAAACAAAGGAUACCUAGAAGAAAAAAAACAAUUACAUUGCCAAGAAAAAACAAUAAAAAAAACUAGAUUCCAAAUAAAUAUGAAAAUAUAAGAAUUGGGAUUGAUUUUUUAAAAAAAUCAAAGGAAUUAAGUAUUAUUUCAUUAAAAAUAUAGAUCAAAUUAAUAAUAACUUACUCUAUUUUUCUUACCAGAGUUAUAAAAUAAUUUCUUGAUUUCGUUGACUUGGCUACUCAAAUAGUGGCAAGGUGUUGUUCUUCUUUCCUUUUGUUUUCGUGGGAAGAACAAGCCAGGCACAUGACCUGUGUUAGGACAAUUUUUCGUGGAGGUAAUUUGAAAGAGCGCAAGAGGCACCGGAAAAUUCCAAUCACUAUAUAAACUAAGUUAAUAAUCCAUUUACCUUAUUGGACAACAGAGCUGCAAAAGCAGUGGCGAGACCUCUUGCCAUUAAUCCAUGUUACUCAUUUUGUUCUUGAAAGAGGGCAAAGGGCGCUAAAAAUGUUAAUUGAAUAUGUUACUCUUUUUAAUUGUUUUUAUGCGUUUUGGAUACUGAGCUAACUCAAGGACCAGCUUGAAAAAAAAAAUUAUAUAAUGGAACAAAAUGCAAAAUUAUUUUGGUUAUUGGAGACUGACAGGUCCAAUUUAUUAACAGACCAUGACAAAUUAUAGACAAGUUGGGGGGUCUAUAGUUAGUGUGAACGCUUGAAUGCUAGUUUAAGCAUGCAAAGUUUGAAAACAAUACGCUGCAAGGAACGUGGAAGCAAUAAUUUUGCAAUAUAAAAAGAAUUAUAUUAAUUUAAUUCAAUAACUUAAAUUUUUAGAUUUGAUAAUUUUGUAAUAUGAUGCCAGAGUCUUAUUAAUUAAAUAAUCAUGAAUUUAAAUUUUAUUUUAUUUAAUAAAAAUUAAAUAUAAAAUAACGUGAGUAUGUAAAUUUUAAAUAAAAAAAUCUUUCACUUAAUAAGAUAAUAUAUUAGAAAAUAUUAUAAACUAUAUAUUAUGAAAUUACUAUAUUCUUGUUAAUUAAAUAAUUACAAGUUUAAAUUUUAUCUAUUUUAUUUGAUAAAAAUUAAAUAUAAUAUAAUAUAAAUUUAUAAGAUAAUAUAUUAAAAAAUAUUAUAAAUUAUAUAUUAAGAACUUACUGAUAAUUUAAGCUAUUGAUUCAGAAAAAUAUGUCCAUUUUCCUAUGACCCAUCAAAUUUGUUGGCUUGUUAAACUAUCAAAUCACGUAAUGAAUGAGUGCAGCAACGGCAAAAAUAUUCCAUUUCAUGUCAUUUAAGAAGUGGACCAUUUUGCGAUGAUGACAAUGGAAAUAAUAGUACCCCCCAAGUAAAAUCGGAGGCUAUCUUGUAGACCAGUACUCGACGAGUUAGUUUUUUAACCUUAGUAUUAUAUUUUGUUUUUGUAUUUUAAAUUAUUUUUUAUAUUUUAAAGUUAUUUUAAAAUAUUAAUAUUUUCAAAAAAUAAAAAAUAUAUUAUUAUUAUUAUAUAUUUAUAAAUAAAAAAAUACUUUAAAAAAAAAAACUACAAAUUUCCUCCGCAAACAUCAGUUCGUCCUUGGAGUGUCUGCUCCCGUUAAACUACGACGGAUCUGACUUCUCUUUCUAGGGCUUAGCCCCCCCUUUGUAGUGGGGGUGAGAUAAAAGUAAAAGCAUUUGCAUGGAAUUCAAAAGUUUAUCUAGCGAUUAAAUCAGAAAUUCUUGUCUUAACAAUAUGUGAUUAGUACUGUUAAUAGGUUAUCUGUUAAUUAUAAUGUCAGAUCUAAUAAUAAAAAAUGGGUGCUAUAUUUUUAAAAUCUUGAGAUCAGACCUUAAUUUUUUUUUUUAAAUAUAUUAAACAAAUAUGGAGCAUGUGAUUAGUACUCUUGAAUUUUUUUUAAGAAAAAUACUUAAACAUAAAUUAGAGGCGAACAAGUUCACAAAGAAAGCAACAAAAUGAUGUUAAGGAAUAUAUAAGCUGUUAUUUAAAAAAAAGCAAUGCAUGAGCUAUUGGUAACUUCUUCUUGUCGGUUUCAUGCCAUAAUUUUUUAUUUAAUUAUUAUUAGAUCAGACUCCAAAUCUAACUUAAAAAAUAACUCAAGUUAUUAGACUAAGUAAAAUCUAUCAUGAUAUUGUUUCGAGUUUUUUUUUUAAAAAAAAUUGAUCUUGAUCUACUUAGUUUUAAAUUUAAUCAGAUCAUGAAUUAACUUGUUAAACAAUCUAAAGUUAACUAGUUUAAUAUUAAAAUAAAUUUAAAUUAAAACAUGACAUGAUUAAUAUUUUUAUUACUAAUGUGGUGAAUAAGUUUGUGAUAGUAGCUGUUUUUUAAAUUGAUUUUUACUUAUAAAUAUAUCAAAAUAAUUUUUUAUUUUUAAUAUCAGUAUAAAAAAUAAUUAAUAAAUAAAUAAAUCUUAAUAAAUUUUUAUUUAAACCGCAGUCCUAAACAUGUAAUUAAUAUACUUAUCAAUCCAUCAAGCAUGUAAAUUUCUCAGACAAAAUAUAUUUUAAUAACUUUUUUUAAAUGGUUAGUCCUAGUCCUGAUUACUUUUAAUGUUCACGUCUUGGAUCCUAAAUUCGAGGUAUCCGGUCCUCCUCUCCCCGUAGAUGUAGACUUUUGGCCUUGUGUUUUUAACUUUAUAUUGGCCCCGACAGGGCAUUAGAAAAGUGUUGGGUUUUGCAGCGGCUACAAGAGGGCAUUGAAAUUUUUCGGCGUGGGAAAAUCAGUCCGAAAUAAAAUAGGUGGAAUAACUUAUAAGACCUUCUUCUUUUCCUUUUUUUUUUAUCCUAGACUUGGUUUGCACGUGUUGAGCUGGGAAGUCCGUCAAACACAUCAUACACGUGAUAACAAGUUUUUUGAAAAGGUGGAAGUUUAAUUAUUUUUUUCUCAUCUGCAUUACUAUUUUUUUUUUCACUUGUAGAUUCAAUUGAUUGAACUUCACAACUCAACGUUGUUGAGUUAUAAUUAAAUCCCCUACGUGGAUGUGGAAUCCUUCCACAUGAUAGAAAUGAAGAGUGUAUCAUUAUAACAAAAAAUUAAAAGCCCUUGCUAAAAAAAACUUGUUAAACAUAUAGGUAGGGGUGAGAUUAUCUUUUUUAUAGGAUAUAUUCAGUAUUGAAAAAAUAAUUAGGGAUAACAUGGUUCGUUCAUGUUUUUUAAGGUACAAUAUAAAUAUUGAUUUGCCAUAAAUUUUCAAGCUUUGAGUUGGGGGUUUCGUUUGUCUUUUUUUUAAAAAAAACAGCGAAGAUAUAAUAAUGUCCUUGUAGAGGGGAAAAAAUAUGCAUGUGUUGAGGGCUUCACUGUCGUUUUCUUUUAUUGAAACAGUUCCAAUACAAAAUUACUCUUAGAUUUCAACAAAAAUAAAGUUGCAUAUAAUGGUGUUUUCGUUGUUUGGCACUUGAAUUUGACAUGGCUAUCAAACUCAAGGCACCUGAAUUUAACAGCUAAUCACAUCCACAGUAAUGUGGAUCUAGCAUGUUUGUCAUAUUUAAAAUACUUGAAUCUAGAGAACUAUAAAGUCUAACAUGAAUAUUAAAACGUUUAUAAAUUUAAUUUCUAACUGUUAUUACAAUAACUAUUUAUAUUUUUUACGAAUUGGCCCGUAGCAACACGCGAAUUAUCUAUCUAGUUUUUUUCUAUUACUCGAGGAUGGUAUGAAAAUGCAAUGAAGUAAAAUAGGAUAACCAUAUGGUCAUUUUUUUUUGUUGUAAUUGGAUCCAUAUAAUUAGUCCCUCGCUAUGUACUUUUGAUUAGUGUAAUUUUUACAUGAAAACUAUUUUAUUUUUAAAUUCUAUUCGGGCAUUUUUCAAACAAAAACACAGGAGUGAGAACUUCCGGGCUGCUUGCUUAGUGUACACUCUGUCGUUGCAUAUGGGCUUUGCUUAGAAACCAGUGACCAUGGAAAACUUGAGAAGAGAUCCACUUGGCCGAAACGCUCUCGCUUCUCUUUCACAUGGGGAUCAGCAUGACAAGGUGCCACCAUUUCCGCAUGAGAUAAGCUGGCAUGUUGGGUCAAAGACCGAAUAUUUAAAUCCCUCCUUUCCCGUUCUGAUAGAUAGCGGCUCCGAGAGCGGGGAAAGGAAAAUCCACAGACCUUUCUGGCUUUUUUAAUUGUUGAAAGGUUCCUGGAGGCUUCCAGGUUCUUGCUUAUCAUAGAUUUCAUUGCUUCCAAUACCGGCGAUCACAGUUGGUGGGGAGUGCGAGACGGCGUCGCACUGGACUUUGGAAAUGGGCGGUAUGGGAAUAUAAAACUAAGGGAAAAGGACAACAGGGCUUUAAGACCAAUUGUAACGGAGAGUUGAAUAUUAAAAUAUUUGUCAUUCUCGAAACAGCAUUAAGAGUUCGGUUCCAGGACAGAAUUAAAAAAAGUUAGUUCAGCGAGUAGAUCUGCUUAACGUGAUCUCACGCAAUUUGACUUUUGAACUGGAUAGUGCCGCGCUAGUGGUGGGGCGAGCUAAGUUUUACUCAACAUAAAAAAAAUAAUGUUAAUGCGAUCCAAACAUUUAUAAAAUAGAUAAAAAGUUUAAGCCUACUUAAUUGUAUUUAAUAAUUUUAAUUAAUUUAAAUAAUAUAAAUAUAUAAACUGACAAAAAAAUAACAAUAUAAAAUAAAUUGGCUAGAACUCAUCCGAGUUAACAUGCCAAAUCUACAAUCUGGUUAUGCUAUCGAGAUAGCCCCGUCAAAAAUAACAUGAAUAAAACUAUGAAAUUCAAUUAUUAAACAAUCUAAUGUUGAAAUGUAAAACUAAAAAAAAAAAUACAAAAAAAAAUAUAAGUUAACUUGGGUUAAUCUGUUAACCUUGCAACCAUAUGAUAACCCAUUGGAAAGGAAAUUAAAAAGGAAAAACAAGAAGAAUAAUUCCCGAUAAAUCAAAUAUUGAAUGAUGAAAUUAUAAAAUAAUAAUUAAAAAAAGACCUAAAACGGACUAAAGUUAACUCAUGUUAACUUUCAAAACUUUUGACCUUGGUCAAGAGCUCAGGACUAACCUCAUAUAAAGCAAAUUCUAAAAAAUAACGAAACAAACUUCUAAAUCAAUAAAAUGUUGAGUAAAACAUAAUAAAAUAUCCAAAACAAAAGAAAUAACAAUUAAAACAACGAGAGUAAAUAUAAUAUAAAAAUAAUUUUAAAUAAAAUAUCGAGGGAUGAAAUUUGAUAAGAAAAAUGAUAUAAAAAGAUUUUAAAUCAAUUAGGAAAAUGAUAAGAAAACAACAAUAAAAAGAACAAGAUCGAAUUUGAUAUAAAAAUUAAAUGACACCGAAUAAUGAAGGAUGAGAUAGAAGAAAAAAAAUCAAUAAACUAAGAUAAAAAUAAAAUAAAAUAGCAAUUAAAAGAAUGAGAACCAAAUUUGAUACAAAAAACAAAAAAAAAUACCUUUAUUUUUUUGGCGAGGAGAAGAAAAAAGUUCACUAGAGCUCAACCAUUGCGCCACCGUGUAAACACAUUAAAUCAUAAAAAAGAUGACAACCAAACGCUUCCAACGCAGCCAUAAAAGGUGAUGGCAGUGUUUGAAGGUGGGAUAACGCCUCACACGACGCCAUAAGAGCGUAUAUGGUAUCUACUCGCUAGCAUCUGCGUUGCACAUACCAAUCACUUUUUAUUUUUAAUUAAUAUUCAUAUUUAUCAAAAGAUCAAAUCGUUCCCGAUUAACCUGAUAAUAACUAAAAAUGCAGCUUGAAAUGAUGAAAAACACCCAUAAAUAAGAGCUUGAAAAAAAUUUGCUUUUAAGGUGAUUUAAUCUCUACAUUGUGUUUUUAAAAUAUAAAAUGAUUAAAUUAUCCUUUAACAUUAACAUUGUUUUGAAAAAAAUUAUUCUCGGGAGUAAUAAAGUUUUUAUAGUGUAUUGAAAAGGUUAAAAGGUUAAAAUGUUUCUUUAUCAAUGUUAUAAUGACUAAUAAACUUUGUUGAAAGAUAAGAUUGUUUUAGCACAGUAGAAAGUUAACUUCUUCUUUUUUUUUAUUUAUUGAAAGAGAAAGGAUACCCAUUCUAUUACCACGGUGAAUAGUGAUAUGUAUUACAGAAAACAAUGAAUUCUCCAUGGCUUUCAAUAUUACUACUCACGCUCGAGGAAUUAUAGAAGAGGAAGAAGCAUCGUCCUUUUUAUCUAUUUUCUUAGCAAGCCCUCAUGCAAUUCAGUCUAGAACAAUUCAGAUGGCAUCCCUGCUAAAAUCCACAAAUAUUUUCUUCUAAUGGAAAAGCAAAGAAGUGUCACAUCUGGUUCCCAAGAUUCCAUGGUCAUACAGUUUUCAAAUGCAGCCAAAAUAUUCUCACAUGCUGGAAUGUACCAAGAAACUUCACAUCAGCUUGUAACCUUAACAACCCAAUUCACAGAUUUGUUAGCAGUUCAACACAGAGCCAGUACUCAUGAAUCUCCACUAGGAAGAAAAGAAAAGAAAAAAAACCCUAAUUUCCUAGCAAAAGCAAGGCCCGAAGCCCAUGAUUUUCCCACUUCACACGUACUAAAUGCCCCUCUCUGUUUCCAAACCCUGUAUUAAAUGCAGCAGCUGGAAAAUCCACCCACCUUCCGCAAAAACAAUCUCCCCUAAUCCCCAUACCUUUCUCUUUUCUCGCCCCUCAAAUGGACUCCCACUCCCUCUUUAAACCCAAAUGUCCACCCCCACCACCACAAUCCCCUCCACUAUCUCCGCCACCUCCCCUCCUCCCCCUGCUAAUUACCUCACCAACCUUGGCCUUGGCUAUUCUAUAGCCAUAGCCCUUUUCUUUCUCGUACUUCUCUCCACUAUCCUCCUUGCUUCUUACAUAUGUUGUCGCACCAACCGCCAUCGUUCUCGUAACUCUAACAACAACAACAAUAAUUAUGCAAACUCUACAGCUGAUGGCAUAAUACUUCCUCGUAUUAUUUUCGUUGCCGAAGAUGACGAAGAACAAGAACGUGAUUUAGAAAGUGCUGCUGUAGGUCUCAACCAGGCUGUUAUCAACUCGUACCCGAAAUUCCAGUUUAGUAAAGAUGGUGGGUUCAGUGAAAGAACCAAUAAUUUUUGUAAUACUUGCUCGAUCUGUUUGUGCGAGUAUAAAGAUUUGGAGAUGUUAAGAAUGAUGCCUGAUUGUAGGCAUUAUUUUCACUUGCUUUGUCUUGAUGCCUGGCUUAAGCUUAAUGGGUCGUGUCCCGUUUGUCGGAACUCACCGUUGCCUACUCCGCUUUCGACACCGUUGUCGGAGGUUGUGCCUUUGUCGCAGUACGCAGCGGAUCGGAGGAGGAGGUGAUUUUGGUUUGAUGUGGUUUGGGUGUGGACCGUGGAGUGUUGGGUUGUGUUUGGAAAUGGAGAACUGUAAAUUUUUGGGUUUUGAAAAGGCAGUAGGGGAAUUGGAUUUACUGAUUUGUGAUUUUGGAUUGUUCUAAAAUGAAACGUCUGGAAAAUCAUUUGACCAGGAGCUUUUUUUUUUUUUUGGCAAUGAAGUCUAAGAAUUGGAGUGUUAUUUUUGUUUGUUUCCUUUGAAUUUUACCUUUACUGUAACAAUGAUUGACUUUUUCAUCGAUUGCAAGAUGUUUCUGAUUCUUUUUCUUUGUCUUGUUCUAUUCAACUUCUGUUUGGUUGUUCUACUCGCAUUCCUUGCAAAAGCAAUAUCUGAGACUUUGUAGCUCAAUAAAGUAUUCUUUCUGAUUUUCUUCCUAGAUUGCUUUUGCAGUUUCAGACACCCUAAACUUCAAUUUUUUAAGCACAGAUCUUCGUUGCAUUUUGCAUCGGUGCUUCUUUCUUCAUUCCUUUCCUUUUUAUUUCUCGAUGAUUCACGAGUCAUUCACAUAAUCACAUGGAUGUGCAAGAAUCUGGUAGUCCUUCCAUGAUCGUAGCCAUAUGAAGGAAAUUUCAUAUUCAGGAUAUACAUAUAAGAAAGAGAAGUACAUGUAUCCCGCAACCAUUUUAGGUGUGCUUAGAGCGUAGUUAUGCUUAUAGUUAUAGUUUUCCAAGUACAAAGCGAACCUAUUCUUGUCCUACACUUCUACCUACGUGUCUUGCUGCUUCUAUUUUUUAGUUUAAGUUGAGACUCUCGUUGUAGCCAACUGUAACUGAUUCUACUAUUGUGCAUUGGACCAUUUCUCCUCAGAACCUUGCUUUAUCUUGCAAGCGUUGCAGUGAAUACGUUUUUGCGAGAAAAUUGGAGGCUUUAAGGAAACGAGAUUGACCACGUAAUGUACAAAGUGUAAAUUCUACAACUUCUUAUUGGUAUUUUUCAUUCUUGGUGUUCUAGCUGCUUUUUUUAUCUCUAUCGCUACUCUGUCUAAAUUCUGCUCUAUCAGAUCUCUUUUUAGUUCUAAUACCUCUGCAGUCAUGUGCGGAGUUCAGAGUGAAGUAGUAAUAGCUGCUGAAACUGUUGUUAAAAAGAUCCACAAAGAAAUGAAUGAGAUGAGAGAUUUGUCAAUAAACUCAUCGGCAGAAACCCUCGUGUCAAGAUACAGUGCUUUUCUUACUGGAAUUAUGGGGCUUAUUGAGUCAUGAAAGACAACAGGAAAUCCUCCGGAAAACAGUGAAUCAGAGCUGUCCAUACUCUAGUAAGACAGCAACGGUUGGAUGAAGUUGUAGAGUUUUUUUUCUAAUGAAGAGAUUCGCAAAUAUGUAAGGAUCAAACACAAUCGUUUAGAUAAACAGAAAUGGAACGUUCACGAGCAUUGGCCAUGCUUGUUUUGCAACGAAGAAAGAUUUUGAAGAGUACAUGGGUAUUAUGGUUCAUGGACGCGAUCCAUUACCGAGGAGGAGGUGCUUCGCAAGGGGCUCGCAGCUAUACAGCAAGCCAUUACCCAUAAAUGAGUCCAUGUGGAAGCUACCUGACAAUUGAAAAGUCCGAUGGAGCCAGUACAGAUGCAAAAACUUCACUUGCCUUGCUAGGGCCUUGAUAACCAAUACAACUCGCAAGGGAUUCUUUAAGUGUGCAGAUUGCUUCAAUCUCUCGGGCCAUGAAACGCCAAGAUGGAUCAAACAGGCAGAACCUGAUCCGGAGAUGAAUCUUAUAGCAGAUUUUCUGACAACUGAAGUUCUUGACAUCAAGCGAGGUGAGAUCAUAAUCGGAUUGGAUUUCAGUGUAGGAACUGGGAAUUUAGCAGCAUGAAUGAGAGUUCAAUGUCCUAAUAGUCUCAGCAACUAUUAAUCUUGGUGCAGCUUUUAAUGAAAUGGUUGCUCUUCGAGGACUUGUACCUCCUGACUAUAAAUCAACGGCUUCCAUUCCUUGAUAAUACUCUGGAUCUGUGACACACAAAUAGAUGGAUAGAUUUUGUGCUCUUAGAUUUUAUAUUGUGGUUGGGAUAGAGUUCUGAGUCCAGGAGGGUUCGUUAUGGAUUGACAGCCCUUUCUGUUUGAAGGAAGAUUUGGAUGAUUAUUUGGAAGCCUUUAAGAUGCCAAGGAAUGGGAAGAAUAAGAGGAUAGCUGUUCCAAAACUGAACAAGAAUGGCCGACAAGUGUUCUUUUCUGCUGUGCCAGAGAAGCCGCUGAGACCGAUUCGUUACCAACACAUGCCAAAGCCGAUAUUCUUUUUGGUUUCUGACUCGGGAUCUCCAAUUUCCUUGGCUUCCACCUUGAGUCCUUGCGCCCCUUUCGCUUUAAUUGAUGAUUUAUUAGGACACUACAUUCAUGUUUUUCCGGUUAAUUUAGUUAUCUUUACAUUUCACGGUCCUAUAUGGUUGAUAUCUGCACAUUUGAGAACCAUUGUACCCCGUAGGAGAUACAGGUCCUCACACUUCGAUACAUCUAAUUUCUUGCCUUCUUUUCUAUACAGUGGGCCAGAUACCAUGAACAUAACUCUUAACUGUACGACUUAUAAACCCAAAUUUAAUACGCUAAAAAAACACUCUUAAAGGAUCCUAUUUAAUGUAUUCAGGCACAACAACUCUAUGGGCUCGCUUUAGAUAGCAGGUUUGAGCUCUUUUUUCAACUUUUAAUGGGCUGAAGCUCAACUCUCUAUUAAAUUGGUAUUUUAGGAUUUUAUAUUGAUUCAUAGUAUAAUAAAAUUUAAAAUAUUACAAUAAUAAAAUUAUAUUUUAGCUUCUUUCUACACAAAAAAUACACUAUGAGUUUCAAAACCUAAGAUUCACAAUAUUUUAUUUAUAACAUAUAUAUUUUCAAAAUCUAGCAUUUUUUUCUCUGCAAAAUUACUAAUUUAAACAUUUGAGAGUCCUUGUAUUAAUCAAAUGAGAUUUUUUACAGGUAUCAGUUAUCAACCGUAUGAGUUUUUAAUAUCAAGCCACCAUAUAUCUCAGCUAGAAAGAAUGUAUUAUAUUGUUUAAACUACAAGAUCAAUUGAUUAUAUAACACAUAAAAUUUAUUAUUAAAUAUCUUGAAUUUUAGAACUUCCAAGACAACCAAUUUUGAAGUUGUGAAGCAAAGUUGAAGGGUAUUUUCCAAAAUUUUGUUUGUACAAUACUGAAAACAACCUUGAAAAUAGUAUGUAUUUCUGUAUACAUUAUGGUAUCAUCUUAAAACCCAGAAGAAAGAUGUAAGUUUUAUCAUAGAUUCUAUUUUGAUUGCUAAUUUAUAUUUCCUUUACCAAAUUAUAUUCACAAUCUUGCACACUCACCUUUUAUUAAAUGUUUUGCCUUUUAAAAUUACACAAAAACACAAUAUAGAAAAUGUGAUUUUGAGUACCUACACUUGUCUGAUUCUUACAAUUAAGUACCAAUCUUUAAUUUUCUUCAAGUGUUUAUUUGAUUUUUUUCCCGCACAAUAAAGUAUUUGAGUGAAUGUAUGUUAGUCGAAUGCUAACAUGUACGUCAAGGCGAUGAUAUGAACAUUCACACAUUAUAUAACAAUUAUUAAAUGUGAAGACUCUGUUUUUUUACGUGUUUGAGAUAUUAUUAAAUUAACGAAUCAUGUAAUGAACAAGGUGAAACUAAAAGUAAAUGAUGCUAUACCUAAACUAGAAGUGAUGAUGCAUAUCAUCACUUGAUGUGUGUGUGUGUGUGUGUGUGUCUCUCUCUCUCUCUCUCUCUCUCUCUCUCUCUCUCUCUCUCUCUCUCUAUAUAUAUAUAUAUAUAUAUAUAUAGUAAACAUUUACCUGGACAGCGGGCACUUUAUUACGUGAAAUAAAAAGAUCAGACAAUUAAUUUAAUAGAAUUAAAUACUAGAUGCUCAGUUGUGAAAACCAGAUAAAUUUAGUAAUUUAAAAUCGCUUUAUCCUAAUACAAUGCAAUACAGCACAAAUAAUUGAUGAUCUUUCAUAUUUCAUAGAUUGACCGAUUAAAUUGUUCUUUGCUUUACUUGUGAUUUGUUUUGGAUUUUAUUCCUGAGAUACAAACUCGGAGAAUCAAAAGAAAAAAAAAAGACAAAUAUAUUUAACCAUCGUAGCAUUAGCCGCAUUUUGGUUCGAUAGUCACCUUUUUUCCAGGUGUAAGGCUUCUUUAUUGCAGAAAUGCCCCCAGUUGCCAUCUCCAGCUUUCGGACGAGGGGAGGCGACCCAUAAGGUUCAACAUUCUAUCUUUUCAUUUGAUUUGGACCUGAUAAGUCCCUCAGUUGCAGGCCAAGGAUCCCCACUUGCACAGUUACAGUAGCCCAUCUUUGUGCCAUUUCUUGUAUCUUUUAAAAAUAAAAAUAAAAAUAUUAAUUUAGUUUUUCAAUGCUUUUUUUUCGAUUGCAUUUUUUUUUUUGUAGCCAAGAUAAUUUUUUGGUUGGUUUCUUAGUUAUAAUUUACCAUGGAAAAAAAUAAUAAAAAAAGGAUUAAACUGUAAAAUUUGAUAGAAUACAAUGUCCGAUGUGAAAAUCACAUGAAGAAGUUCUUUAUGAUAUACUCACGUUUCUCUUUCCUACAUCACGGUUUCUUUCGUGUUUGAAAUUUUAAUUUUGAUCUUUAACUUUAUUUUUUAGUCUUUGUAUUUAAAAGAUGAGAGAGAAAGCUAUUAGAAAAGAAAAGAACGUUGUUAGCUGAUCACGUUUUGAUCAUGAAAAAAAUUAUUUUUAGUGUUAAUAAAUUACAUUCAAUAAAAGAAGUUUUGUUGAGAUGGUUUUUUACCUUCAUUUUUCCAUAAAAAAAUAGAUUAGGGUUGAAUUAGAUUUUUCCUUUUGAUUUGAUGUUGUGUUUUUGACAUAUUUUGGUGUUUUGAGUUGAUUUACUAGUUUAUUGAUGUUAUAAGAAUAUUUAUUAAAUGUUUUUAGAUAAAAAUGAGAUAAUUUUUUUUUUAUAUUUGGAGUAUUAUGAUUUAGCUAUAGAUUUUAAUAUUUUGGGAUAUAAAAUUACACUGUAAAUUAUAUCAUCGGGUUUUAAAUAUACAAAAUAAAAAAUAAAUGCAAUGCUAAAAUCAUAGUCUUAAAACGAUUAGAAUUUAACUUUAUAAAGAAUAGACAUCCUCAUAAAAAGAAAUCUGUUUUAAACCAUAUAUAAGACCAUAGAUAGAAAUAUAACUUGGAUUAACAACCAAUCGACAAAGUAGCUUAAUUUAUAAAGGAUGCACUAGAGUUGAUAUGUAUUUUCCUUGAACAAGUAGUUUUUAUACUUAUAUUAUUGUAGAUCAUAGGUUAUAUUAGGUGAUGAUUUUAUCUAACCAUGAUUUUAUGAUCAAGUCUAAACACCCUUCAAUUUAAGAGAGAGCUCUAUUAUCCCAUAUCUCGCAUGUCAUGAUUUUUAUUAUUAUUUUUAUUUUAAAAUAUUUAUAAAUAGCACCAACCAUCAAGAAUGAAGUGACAACUACCAUUAACAACAAACCUACAUAUUCUAUAUCACCUAAUUCACCACUGAUUUACAAAAUUCUUGGUCACGACCUCUCUUGUUUUUUUAAUUACGCUAACAAUCUAAAGUGCCAGAAAAUAUCUUUUGCAUGGGACACUAACCUAUUUUCAUAAGCUAAUUUAUUAUUAGUUGUGAAAAAGCUUAAAUUUAUCUGAAGUUCUUCAGAGACUUUAUUAGUUGUAUAGUUUAAUUAUCAGAGUCCAAUAAAAACAUUAUGAAAUUUUCAUUUCAAAUCCUUAGCUCAUUCCAUUUAAUUUCUCCUGAGAUAUUUUAUAUUUUAUUGUCUUAAAAUAUAGAACACGACUAGUGAAUUAUAGAAGUUCUAAUAUAUUUAUAUUAUACAAUACCGCUCGGUAUUUUAUGAUUUACUGAGAAUAUUAUCAGAUUAAGUAUCAAAUGUAUUGCAGAGAUUUCAUUAAUCCAAAGUUUUACGAGUCCGUACAUUUUUUUCACAAAUUCACCAGUACAAAAAUGUACUGGUAAAAACAAUCAACUUCAAUAGUCAAUUCAUAGAAAAAGAAUUAGCAGCAAUCGGCUUGAUUAAGCCAAGGCUUACCAUUUUUUUUUUGGAAGGAAAAAAGAAAAAUAAAAAAAUUUUGUUUUAAAGUAUGGUUGUGGUUAUUUUUUAAAGUGUUUUUUAUCCUGAAAUAUAUUAAAAUAAUAUUUUUUUAUUUUUAAAAAAUUAUUUUUAAAAUCAGCGCAUUAAAACAAUCCAAAACACACAUAAAAAAUUAACUUUUAGCAAAACAAAAAUAAUUAAAUUUUUAAAGAACGUAAUUUGCGCCCAAACAGAUUUAUGAGUACUAUAGAUGGAGUUUUGUAAUAUUUAUAUCUAAAUCUUAACUUAAGAUUUUUAUCUUAACUCAAUUUAUUAUAAAUUAAAUUCAACUUAAUUAAUUUUCAGGUAUUUAUAAGAUAUCUGUGGAGCAUCCCAAAUCAUGAUCUUUUUAUAUUAAUUCAAUGACAAAUAAAAACAAAAAAUCUUCUGAAAAAUCAAAUUACAUCCAACAAGCUCCAAAAUCAUAAUUUAAAUCCAGUCCAAUCAAUUAUACAAAAUAAUCAAUCUCAACCCAGAACAGAGACAAGACAUGCUAGAGAAAAAAAAAUUACACAAAAAAAAAUCAUUUCAACCACAAAACAAGAAAACACACAUUAAAGAAAACCAAAAUAACAAUAUCUCUAAAUUCCCUCCUCUUUAUUUACUCGGGAGUGUUUAAAAUAGUAAUAAAGGUUGAUUUUCAAAAUAUAUUUUUAUUUAGAAAUAUAUUAAAAUAAAAGAAAAAAGAAAAAAGAAUAAUGAAGAGAGAAGAAACGGCUAGAGAGGUAAGAUGGUGAAAUGUGAAAUAAGACCACAUUUUUUAAUUUAUAUAUACUUGGUAAAAAUGUGAUUUUUCCAAUUUCCAAACUCUGAAAUAUAUUUUAUAUUAAUUUGAUUCGGGUUGAGCUCAAAUAACAUAGUUUUUAAACCCGGUCUGUGGCCAGCCUGGUCCAAGGCUCGGGUUUCAACCGAGUCACAGGAUUUUAACCGGGUCACUGGGUCUGCCGGGUCAAUCCCUAUUUUAAAAAAAAUCUAAAACGGUUUACAACCGAGUUUUUGAUCUGGUUUUGUUAGGUCAACCAGGUCGCCAGGUCACGUCAUGAAUUUUUCUAUUUUCUCUUCAACCUGACCUGGUUCUAAUUCCAGGUUAGUCGGAUCCCGGAUCGACUUGCCGGGUUUUAAAACUAUGUCAAAUAGGUUUCAGAUGAGGUUCAACAGUAUUUAUAUUAUAUUCACACCUUAUUUUUUCACUUCAAGUUAUUACAUGAACUUGAACCGAAUCCAAACAAGUAAGAAACAAUUUAUUAAGAUAAAAUUAUCAUUCCCUUGCGUCAGCAGGAAGCUAAAAUCUUUUUUUUUUUCAUCGAAAAAAAACAUUUAUAUUUUUCUAUAAAGAACGCACGUUAGGCCAACGUGGAGCCCACUCUGAUUUCCAGUCUGCCUGCCCAACAAAAAGUAGCAGCCGUCCAUUCCCGGAUCACCGUCUCUUUAACUGCCACGUGUCGAUGCCUUUUCAAACAUCCCAUCCACCACCGUCCUUCAUUGUCUCCACGUAUGAAAGCAAACCUCCCAAACUCUCAGUUAACGACGUAACUCCUCGAACCUCCCAAACGUAACACCGUCAACUCAAUCAUUUCAUUUCAAAUUCAACCAAACCACCAGGUUCGUAGACUCCAAACCUGAGGCUCGGCCCACGAUUUAAAUAACCCUCACAUGCUUUCUUUUUACUCCCUCACUUUUCAUCACUCCCCUCUGUGUCUGUGGGUGUAUUUCUCUUUUUCUUGCGAAGAAAUUCUCUGAAAUUUUUAAAUUUUUAUUAGGAGGAUCCAGAUUACAAUGGCGGAGCAAUCAGAGAAUCCGAUUGAGUCAGUCAUGGGGAAGAUUAGCGAGAAGAUUCAUCACGAAUCGUCUUCGUCGGAUUCGGAGUCCGAUUCAGAGAAGAAAUCGUAUCCUUCCGAGUCGGUGAAGGACAAGAUUUGGCGGUUGUUUGGUAGAGAAAAACCUGUUCAUCGUGUUCUUGGUGGUGGAAAGCGUAGGUCACUUAAAACCUGCUUUAUUUAUUAAAAUUUCAUUUUCUUUUUUUUUAAUUCAUUUAUUUAGGUUGAUUUUGAUUGUUUAUUAUUUUAUUUUUUUACUAGUGGAGAAUAGAAUGAUUCAGAUUUAGUCAUUGUUUUUUUUUUCUGGUCUUCUGGGGUGUUUGGUUACUGAGAAAAUUAAAAGGAAAAAAAAAUGACUGUGGUUAAUGUGGUAUUUUUGUUCAGCUGCUGAUGUGUUUUUGUGGAGGAACAAGAAGGUUUCAGCUGGUGUACUUGGUUUUGCGACAGCAAUCUGGGUCCUUUUUGAGUUGGUCGAAUACAACUUGCUUACUCUAGUGUGCCAUAUCUUGAUACUCUCUCUUGCACUCUCGUUCCUCUGGUCUAAUGCUCACUCUUUUAUCAACAAGUAAUAUUCUCUCGUCCUUGAAGUUUUUAGCUCCCUUUUCUGGUUUAGGUAUCCAUGUAUUUUGGUGGAGGUAUUGACAACUGUAGGCUCGGAAUGGGUUGUUUGUGAUUUUCUUUCCGAUGUUGUUUUAUAGGAGUCCUCCUCGCAUCCCACAAGUUCAUCUUCCAGAGGAACCAGUCCUGCAGGUUGCUUCAGCACUGUGUGUUGAGAUUAACGGUGCGUUUGUGGUCUUGCGCAGUAUUGCCGCAGGAAAAGACUUGAAGAAGUUUCUCAUUGUAUGUUUCUUGAAUAUCUCAUCACUUCUGUUUCUACAGGUUCACCUUGUAAUUGAAGUAGAUCAUCUGAUAUUUCUGCCUUAUUUUGUUUUCAGUAGAAUAAUUCUUAUAUUACUGCUACAUAUGGAUCUGAAAUUUAUUGCUGUCGAGUUCUGCAUUAUUUGGUCAAUAGUGUCAUUGCUGGUUUUCAUGCUUUGCCUACUCUGACUAAUUCCUAAAAUUGCUGGUGUGUAUUGAUGUCAGGUUAUCGCCGGAUUGUGGGUCAUGUCAAUUGUGGGGAGUUGGUGCCAUUUCUUGACCUUGUUUUAUAUAUGUAUGACUUUCGAAGCUGAUUUUAUGCCUGAUUUUAUGCAGUUUGCUUAACGUGCGUUAGAUAUUAUAUACUGAAACUUUCCAAUGAUUUUAACAGGCUUCGUUCUGCUACACACUGUACCCGUUCUCUACGAGAAGUUCGAGGACAAAAUCGACCCCUUGGCAGAGAAGGCGAUGAUUGAGAUCAAAAGGCAAUAUGCGGUCUUCGAUGCUAAGGUUCUGAGCAAGAUCCCAGUGGCCGCUUUGAAAGCCAAGAAAGUUUAGAUUGGUUGCUUUUUGUGUUUGGGUAAUCAGGGGUUUGCAGGUCGUGAUUGCUUUACCCAUAAUUUGCUAGGGAUUCCUUUUGUUCUUCACCCCACAAAUUGUUUUAAACUGUUUGGGUUGCAUUUUGAAUGAAUUGUCUUUCAUGGUGUUAGUUUUGAAGAUGGAGGUUUAAUUUGCAAUCCUAUGGCACCUCUUAAUGGUGGUUUUUGAUGAGUUCAAUGUACAUUAGUUUAUCUUUUAUGUUUCGGACCGUUGUGCUCCCGGUAUUUUCUGAUAUUUGUGUCGUGUUUGCCUCGUGACUACGACCAAAAACAAAGUAGAUGCUGUCGCAGAAACAGUUCCUCAUUUGGCUAUUGCGGGGGCAAGGUGGAUUUGCGUGCAAGGCUGAAAUCUAUUUCAAUUUGGAUGUGUGAAUGUCGGUGAGUUGGAGAGUACUAUUGCUCUGUGCUUUUCUUAAAAAAAAUUUGAAUUUUUUUUUGAAUUUUUUUUGUGUUUAUUUAAAAAAAAAUAUUAUCUUAAUAUAUUUUUAAAGAAAAAACAUUUUCAAUUAAACACCACAGUACCACACAGCCAUUGCGUAAUAUAAGCCAUAAGGUAACCUGGCAUCUAAGAUUUCUAGCUAACAGGGUAUUGUUCGUGAUGUUACGUGUAAACCCGUGUGUGGUGGCCCGGCACAAGCGAGGUGAGGGGAAGCCAAGUAAACAGCAGAGUUUGGUGAGCGGCCACCUCGCAGGCCGCUUUAAUAAAAUUUGUACAACCCGCAUCCAAUAUGUACGCUUUGGCAGCCAUUAAUCGGACAUCCAAGUUCCUUUCGUAGGUGGUUUUACAGGUGCUGCUCAGGUUAAACAAGAAGUUCAAACUGCAGAGCUCAAUAAAUUUAGUGAAGCAUAAUGCCAGCAUCAUUGCACCCACAAGAUAAGAGAGUGAUGUAAAGGAUUUUUGGACAUUACAACUGGCUGAGUUUGGAUGGCGAUAUACACUAACACUAGAUGAAGAUGGAAGGAAUAUUGCAUUCUGCCAUUAAGAUAGAGAGAUUGUACUGUUAUUAUUACGUGACAGCGUGCUAACAUUGGAGAAUGACCACGAGAUAGCUAUUUGGGGAAAAGAGACGCUUUUCAUUUCACCGUGAAAGAAUUGAUUGAACACCAACGAACAAUCUAUACCUUUGAUUAAUUACAUAAUAAAUCAACAUAUUUUCAAUGUUUUGUGAGCAGUCUUGAGAUCCGAGAAGGGUUGUCCAAGGAUGUUAAAGGAACUGUUGAGAACUCGGAAUCGAUAUGUGCAAACGGCAGCGAAUUUCCUCGAGGGGCUACAGGACCAUGAUUUUGAGCUGGAGAAAGAUUUGGUCCAGAUGUGCUAGUUCCAUGGUUGGGCACCGACGAACUAACCCCAGUAGUAUUUGGACUCCUUCCUUGCGAGUCUUCAUUGGGUCUACCUGUAUCUUGCCCAGAUUCCCUCUUUUCCCUUUCUUCAGUUUCCUUGAGAAGAAAAUCAACCCACAUAUCUGCAAAGGACUGGAGAAACAUAUACUUGAGAUGAAAUUGCAUUUUCAUCGCACUCCUCUCCCAAGAAAAAUAUACACUUGUAAAAAUGAUAUACUGAGAUAGCUGAUUAUCUUUUAACGGAAAGGAAAAAUCCUUUCCUAAUAGCUAAAUUCAUGCAUGCACUGUUGAUGCCUCACUAGAGGCUGUAGAAUGUCAUUUGCCAAAUAGGCAUAUGCUAGUGACCAAGAACCCACACACCCCACCACUUAAAAGUUAAAACAAAAGGGCAAAGACUUUACUGUCAAGUCUUGACUACAAAGCAUCCCGAGUCAUGCAUGCACUGUUGAUGCCUCACUAGAGGCUGUAGAAUGUCAUUUGCCAAACAGGCAUAUGCUAGUGACCAAGAACCCACACACCCCACCACUUAAAACAAAAGGGCAAAGACUUUACUGUCAAGUCUUGACUACAAAGCAUCCCAGAGUCACGGUGACCAAACCCAACAACUAUUUUCUGUGAGUCACUCAACCUCUAAUGAAUAGGUGGUCUUCACUCAAUGGAUAGAACACAACAAGAUGCAUAGAAAGUAAAAAACCAAACUUUCAGUUCUGAUUGAAUUCAGAUCAGAAUACAUUCUCCAGAAGAGGCUACUAGGUUCUUGCAGCAAAUUAGUAAUGAGCAAGUGGAUAGAUGGAUCCAUCUCAAGCAAAUGCUAACUUACGUCAGCUCAAUGAAAAGCUCAAAAUCACGCAAUAACUGAGCAGAGAUUGAGCAGUCUGCCACUAGUCUAAAUGACAACCCAGAUUAUUAGGAUGCAAAGGGCACACUGUAUGAAACACCACAAAGAGUGGAAACAGAGCUACUUGUACAUGAAGAUCAAAAGGCCCAUAGCAUCAUCUUACAGGUCACCUAUUAAACAUCAAGAAAGAAGAAAAAAAACCAACCUGGUUAUCGGAUGCCAAAUUCAUUUGAACACCAGCUGCACUUCCACCCAAGAUUCCACCAACUAGGCGACCAGGUAGCCCCAAAACCCCACGAACAACACCUUUUCCACCUUGUUGAGCUACACCUAUUCUCUGCUUGUCUUCAUCCGAGAACCCAAGCAUUCGAACCAUAAGAUCCAAAACCUGGAACCCGCCAUACAGAAUGAGAGUAUAAGCUAUGUCAAAUUGAGUACGGGUUGCCAAAGGGAUGAGAAACCAGAAACAAUAAUCAUUAUAACAAUUUAAAUAGCACUGCUAUGUGAGAGCAGUGGUACAAUAUGGAUUCUUUCCAAACAAGGAUCUAUUGAACUUGAGAUGUCCUUUAACCAAAGGGUUCUCCAGUUAAAAAAAAAAACAAAACAAAAAAGAUUUAUGUAGGUUAAAUUUUUCCUUCUUGAAGAGAUGGAUAAUGAUGCCUAGGUGUAUUAGUGGUUAAUCUCCUAAAUGAAUAUAAAAACAACAAUCUGCCUGCAUGGUAUAGCAGAGACUAAAUAUUGCCAACAAACAUAACAUUGAAAGAAUGAGAUUAUCUUUUUUUUGUUAAUUUUUUAUCCUGUUCAAUUGUACUAAGAGAUUCAUACCUCUUUGCUGUGGUUUCUCUGGAAGUAGGUCACUAGUAAUUUAAUCACAAUGCGCCUGCAAUAAAAGCCAGUCGCACAUUAUAGACUACGCGACCCAUGCAUAUCAACUUCCAAUCCCAACAAUGUAUACAUGGUACAAGCCAUCUCACUAACUUGUAACUAUGAUGUAAUGUAUAACAAAGUAGUAGAUUGAAUACAAAACAAUAAUCAAAACUAAGAAUCACACACAGAGCAGGCUAACCUGUCAACUAGAUAAUCAGAAUCCAUGGACAUCCUAUUGAGUCUGCUCACACUCUGCUCAACAGCACGACGAAGUUUUGCAUUGUCUUCCUCGAGCUUAUUCACUCUGCUCUUCCCUUCUGCAAACUUCCUUUCAACGUCUGAAAGCUUGGCUAAAAUUUCUUCUUUCUCCCUCUUUGAUUCCUCUGUCCCUAUCUCUGCUUCCUGGAUAAAUCAAGGCAUAUCACUCUCCAAAAAAUGGGUAAAUGGAACUUUUACAAUAUAAAAUAAACCAUUAGUUUUCUGGGUCAGCAAAAGCAGUAAAACAUGCUUUGGCUUGAAGCAGUACUCAUCUGACAAAUACAACAGCAGCUUCAUUCUUAGCAAAACUCAGGAAACUAUAAUGAUGCUGCAAAAUGCAUAUCAAAACAAGAAUAAAAAAGGGUAAAAUACAGUGUUAAUUAGAUUCUCUCUUUUAAAAAUUAAUUAGACAAGUUCAAUGACAAUUUGAAUGCACAGCCUGUAGAUAAGGUUGUGCACAUGACAGUAUCUCAAAAGUACAAGACUGCAAAACCUUACAAGACAGAAACUUUCUUCAUGUCAGAAAAACUAGGAGCUUGUAAUGAUUCUGCAAAAUGCAUAUUAUAACAGAAAUACCUUGAUAAGUAUUUGAACAUUUGGCCUUUGAACAGCAUGAGAAGAUUUUCUUCUUGAAUAAAAAAAAAUCUUAUUGAGAAAACGCAAUGACAAUUCAAAUGCACCAUCAGUAGAUAAGAUUGUGCACAUGCCAUAUCACAUCAAUCUAACAAUACAAAAAGUUACAGAAGCCCUUCAUCUCAUAGACUUUGUACAUUCAUGGAAGAACAGCCCUCUAAAAGAUAAUUCAACAUUGCUCAUAAUACAGACAUCAAAUUCCAGUUACUAAGUUAUGAAGACAUCCAAUUCACAUCACAAAAAAUUCAUAAAAGUAAAUAUUAUACAUAAGAAAAUUAAGGAUUUUCAGGAACAUUUAUGAAUUAUCUGAUCUGAAGUAAUCUGAGCAGUUUGACGAUUUUAAAAUUAAAGGUUUAGAAAACUAACAAGACUUGGAAUAAGAAGGAAGGUGAGGCCAUACUUUCAAAAGUUGAAAACGCUUAGCUGAUUCUUCUUUUGUCAAAGCCAACUGUCGCUCCAAAUAUUCCUGAUAAAACAACAACAACAACAACAACAGGAACAAUAGUUAAAAAAACAACCUGGAGACUGCAAGACAUCAAACAUAACCUGUAGGAAACGGAAGCAAAGAUUACCUUUGCUUCAACUUCAGCAAAAUACUGCCCAAGAGCAGUUUGAAGAUUUAGAAGUUCAACAUUUUUUGAUUCUAUUGUGCUCAUACAGUUUGCAAGUUUUUUUUUCAAAUCUUCAGUCAUUUCUUUGGACUUCUGGAUUUCAUUGCUGUUCAUCAUCCUGACUUCCUCCUGGCCUGCAAUUGCCUGCUUUAGAGCUUUCUCCAAAUGUAAUAUUUGAGCCUUUUGAUAUUCAUUACUCUGACGGAGUUCUUCAAUGAUCUUACUGUCUUCAUCCAUUUUUUCCGAUUCUUCAGAUUCCUAGACAGCAGAAGUCUUUAAGGACUGAGAACUUCAUAGCCUACAUUUACUUCAAUAACAUGCAAAGGAUCACAAGAUCCAAACAACACAGAUAAUACCAAGCCAAUAUCGUAAUUAUCAAUAUCAUUAUAUGGAGUGGCUAUUUCAAGUCAUGUUUGGACAAAACAAAAUUGACACAGCAAACAUGAGUGCACAGCAUAAGCUUUGGCAUGGGAAAUUGAAUUUACUAAAAUAUCAAUGUAUCUCCAAAAGAUUCCAGAUGAUAAACCAUUGAAUAAUGUUUGCCACAUGCAAUAGUGGGAAACUUUGACAAGAGGGUUUGAAAUGUUCUCAGUUCCUGUAGAUGGAGUUGAAUUUAUUAAUGAGCUAACAUAUCAAAGUAUCUCUAGAACUCCUGAAGAGAAACAAUCAACUCAUAAUGAAUGCAUGCACUAGUUAGAUUCUUUAUCACGAAAUUUUGUUGUAAUAUUAGCCAUAAUUGUAAAAUGAGUAAAGCAGUGAUUGCAAAACCAUCAUUUCUUAUCUUUCUUAUUUAUUAUAGUACAGUUUGUCAUUUACAUCUCUAAGGUCAUGCCAGUUUUAUGGAAGAGAGAACUUUAUGGUGCAGCAUAUCAGAACUGUUGAGUUGAACUUGAAAAAUAAGCAAAAGUCAGCAACAGAUCAAAGCAAUAAAGUAAAGAAGCCAUGCGAGAUUACAAUAAGAAAUGGCAAUUUUAGGAGUAGCAACCUUUUCCAACAAAUGCUGUUUGAGACGGGCCAAUUGUUGCAAUGCUUUCUCCUUUUCAUGGCGUGUUUCCUUCAAAUCUCUCUCCAAUUUUUGCAGCAAUAGCUCCAUUUCCUCCUUUCUAGGAGAAGUUGUAGUUGAAUCCACUUUCUAGGAGAGGAAUGGAUGAUGAAGAUGGAAAUUUUGAUGAGGAUGAUUAUGAUAACAAUAGUAAAAUAUUUGUGUAAUUGAAGAAACAAAAGAUGUGUACCAGGGGCAGUGAGAAUAUAACUCUCUCUCAAGUAACAACCACGUGUGUGCAUAAGAGGUAGAUAGAGCCUUUGUGUGGGAAACUGUGGGAGUGCGCCCAUACGUGUGCAUGCAGAGAAAGAGAGAGGGAGAGGGAGAGUAAAAUUACCCCAUCUGGAGAAGUUUCGUUAGGAGAAGAGUUCUUGCUUCUUUUCAAAGCAGCCUCAAGUUCAUUCCUUGCCAUCUAAAAUAGAAUAUAGGUGAGAGAUUUAGGAACCCAACAUAGAAAAGGUAUUAUGAAUUUUUGUGACAUACAUGGCACCAUGGUUAUUAAACCCGGCCUGGGGGUCGACCUGGCCUUGGCAGGGUCUCAGGUCACACUGGGUCAACCCAUGAAAAUUAAAAAAAAAUAUUUGAGGUUUUAAUAUCUCACAUGAAAAAAUUAAGAAACAAUUCAUGUGGAAGUGGGCUAUAUAUAUAUAUAUAUAUCCCACGUCGAAAAGUUAAGAAACAUUCUAUGUGAAUGUAGGCUAUGAGAAAAAUAUAUAAGGCAAAGUAUUCAUAAAUUAAUUUUAUAUUUUUUGGUUUCAUUUGAAAAAAAUAUAAAAAAAAAGUCGGGUCUAACCCGAUUAUGUCAGGUCACCCGGGUUUUGAAUUGACCCAGCAGGUCGCCCAGGUUUGACUGGGCCAAUUACAAGUUCAGGUUUUGCUUAUGUGAAAUCAAGCCAAGGCCCCAAGCUUAUGUGAAAUCAAGCCAAGGCCCCAAGUCCCAGGUCAAUUUGCCAAGCCGAGCCAGGUUUCAUAGCAAUGCAUGGCACACUUCUUGCAUGGAUGACAUUUUAAAAUGCAACUAACCUUCAUAUUAGCAUUUUCCUUCUCUAAGGUUAUAUAUAUAGUAUUCCACAUCGAAAAGUUAAGAAACAUUCUAUGUGGAUAUAGGCUAUAAAAGAAAUAUGAGAAGCGAAAUAUUUAUAAAUUAAUUUUAUAUUUUUUAGUUUUAUUAAAAAAAUAUAAAAAACAAAUCAGGUCUCACCCAGAUUGCGUCAGGUCACCCAGGUUUCGGGUUGACCCAGCAGGUUGCUCGGGUUUGACCAGACCAAUUGCAAGUCUUGGUUUUGCCUAUUUGAAACCAAGCCAAGACCCUGGGUCGUCCACUGGGCCAAGCCAGGUUUCAUAACAAUGCAUGGCACACUUCUUGCAUGGAUGGCAUUUUAAAAUGCAACUAACCUUGAGAUUAGCAUUUUCCUUCUCUAAAGUUGCAAUGACUCUUUUCAAACUCUUUACAUUGACAUUGGGAUCUUCAUCUUCCCGCGUACUCAACUCUAUCUGCAAUCGUCUUAUCUCUGAUGUUUUUUCAUUCAAUUCAUUAUGAAUUUUGCUCACAUCUACUGAGGUCUAUAAAUUGAGAAAACACGUCAACAAAACACAAAAGUCAGAUCUCAAAUCAGAAAGAAAAUAUAGAAAGUCAUACAUACAUGCAUACAUUUAUUCAAGCAUAAUAAGAAAAAGAAAGAUGAUGUAACAAAAUCAGCACUGCUAGAAGCAUAAAAUAAUAUAAAGAAAACAAACAUAAGGUCCUAAACUGAUAGGUAGUAAUGGGAUGAUCCAAAAACAUGUAUACGACUACAUUUAUAGAGGUACAGAAAUGUUAUGCAUAUGCCAUCUAGAACAUACAUAUUUCCGGAAACUCCUAAAUUCUGUAAGUGCUCCUUAGUGAAAAGGACAGAAAGACUAAAGAAACCAGAGCAGAAUAAGAACAAAACUGAAUGUAUGCAUGGAAUAAUAUUCCACAGAAAUUAGGAGCAUGUAAUAUGAUAAAGCACUCCAACUAUCCAUUUCUUUUCCCUAAAAAAUACCAAAUAACAGGUCUUUCCCGUAAACUAACGUCCUCAGUCUUCACAGGAACCAUCGGAAUUUCCUGGUACUACCCCAAUCAGGAAAAAUGGGACAAUUAUGCUAACAACAUAGAGUAGCAACAAGAAGUUCCAUCUCACUACCUUCUCACAGAUUGGUAAGACACAUCUAGAUAACAACAUAUCUCACUAACAGUAACUGGUGCAACAUGCUUGUACCAGACAUGGUAAAUAUGCAACAGAUGAGAGAAUGAUCAGUAGAGCCAUAGAAUCAUCAAAUAAAAUUGAACUCACUUUGUGAUGGUCCAUAUUUAGAAUCCGGAGCUCCUCCUGAAAAGAUUUGUUAAUACUUUGUUCCUCUGAAUAAAUGUUGGAGACAACAAAUAAAAAGGAAGACGAGUGAAAAAUUUUGGUAAGUAAUUCAAGCGACACCAAGAAGAAUUCAAGAAGACAAAAGGAAAACAUCAUAUUAAAUUUUUAAGUGAAGAGUUACACCUUGCAAUUUUAUCUGUAUAUUUGCUGAUUUGCGGCGUUCUUUUUCAAGUUCAGUUCUUAGCUCUUUUAUUUCCAACUCAUGAGUAGCUUUCAUUGCUGCCAGAGACCUAUUUUUCUCCUCCAGCAAAUCUGCAAGCUCCUAGAAAGCAUUCAUAUAUCUGUUGUCAAGUUUGUUCAUUUAAAGAACAAAUACAUAAUGAAAAACACUAUCUGCAAGUAGACAAGUACAAAAAGGGUAAUCUACUGCUGAGUCCGUUUGUCAGUCAAUUAUAACGCACCAAAACAAUAGGAAAAAAAGAACUUGCAAUGUAAUACAAGUGAAAAAAGGAGGGGGGGAGGGGGGGUUACAUCCACAAAUUUAAAUUUCAGAAAUUUAUGAACCAAGUGGUGCAGGCAAGGCAAUCAACAACUGACAAUAACAAUCAUCUUACAAAAUUCCCAGAGGCAUAUUCUUACAUGACAGAACAGGGUGCAAUGUGUCAUUACCUUGUCCUUCUUGGUUUCCAUCUUACUCUGAAUCACAUCAGGAUGAACAUCAUGUAAUAUUCCAUUGCCCAUUCCAUCAUGUUUUGGAAAGACUCUGUUUUGUAUUUGAUUUCCACCACGGUUUUUUGCUUGAGUUGCAGGUCUAUGUGGUCGUUUGGGUGAUUGGUCGCCACUUUCCUGUAAAAAUAUCAGCCUGUACUUUUCAGCUUGUUGGAAGGAAAAACAAUACAAAACAUAGAACAUGGUAUUUUCAAUCCCAUAGUAGAAGAAUCAUACUCGGAAACAAAUAUUUUGCACAAAACAAUAAAGCCAAAAGCUGAAUAGAGAACGAGAGGCAGGUCAAAUUCUAGAUUAAAAAGGUGCCUUCCAAGACAGCUUAUGUCAUGAUGGACAAAGGACAUACGUAAGGCCGGCAUAAUUCUGAUAUAGGCAAACACUAAGAUCAACAAUCCAUUGUAAACUAAACCUAUGCUUCACUUUAGUUUCACUGUAAAUAGAUCGAAGUAGUAAAGAAGUCAUGUAAUAUCAUUUUUGAUAUUUGCUGUCAGGUCAUGUUACAAGUGAAGUGUUUACAUUUUCGAUCCUAACUAGCACCUCACGCAGAUCAUAUGAUGGACAACUAAAACAAAGAAUGAAAAUGAUCAUCACACAUUGUUUCUGUUCAAAAUGUUAAGGUGGUCAAAACUGUAUCACGCUAAAUCCCACCAAAGUACUCAAUUGGCUGAUACCAAGUUUCUACAAAUAUUAAUUGGGCAAGCUUCAUGGGACAACUAAGAAACAACUCAGUAAAGAGGGGGUAAGCUGGUCAGAUAACCGUGUAACAAGACAUACCACAUGAAUACAAACUGCCUUUUUCCUAUAGGUCAUAAAUCAUGCACUAUAACUGCAGAAAAAAUAACAUCACACAGUAUCAAGCUCUCAAGUUUACUUGGAUAUAAUCUAAGCAAAGCAACAGAGAUGAUCAGUACUUACCAAAAUACUGUGGAACUCAUAGUGCAUGUUCAAUAAUGAGUAACUAAACAGAUUAAACUUUCAAAUCAAAUAAUGCAUUUUAAUUGAGAUUUGAAUAACCACCUUGAUGCUACUUGUUGAUGCUCUUCGAUGCUCAUUUCUAGACACAUUAAGAGCCUCCUUUGUCACAUCCAAAUUUUGCUUCAACGAACCAUUUUCUUGGUUCAAUCUAGAAAUCUGAUCCUGUAACAUUGGGAUAGAAGAGCAACAGAUUUAAUUUGUCAAAGGCCCUUGAACAUAGAACUAAUGGAAACUAGUUAAUGUUAAUUGAGAGUUAAUAAGCCAAAAAUAUACUCUAGACUCCAAGACAAUCAUGAAAAACAUGAAUUUAAUAACGAAACCCUAAAAUGAGCAAAUAGAACAUGGUGGUCGAUAACUGCAAAAUGAAAUGCAUUUGAUAUCAAUUCUGGACAUGUUGUCUCUUGCCAGUAAAUAUUAUUUCCUUCGAUAGAAUGUGCAUGUACAGCAAAGAUAAAAAGGACAUGGCAUUUAACUAUCAGAGUGCACUUUGCACCUGAAAGCUAAAGGUUUUUCUGUCAUUCAUCGGUACUUAUUUCUCAAUUUUGAUGUUUGAGACAUAAUGAUAAGCAGGAAUAAAAAACUAGCCAAAAAAUUACUGAAUUUCUGCAGCAAAAAAAAAAAAAAAACAAAACAAAGAUUGAUCAUGUACCUCUUUCUCUUUUAAUAUAGCUGCAUAAUUCACAGAUAAUGCUUUAAUCUCCGCCUCAGAUUCCUGGUGCCUUUUGAUUUGUGCUUUGUACUGUUCAAUCUACAAGAAGAAGAAAGAAAGAAAGAAAUAUAUCUCUAUAGCAAAACCAAUCAACUAACCACAUAUUCCACGUUACAUAACACCCCACACAAGCCACAACAAGAAUGCUAUCAACAUAAACUUCUUAUGCAAAUCAACUCAUCUUAACCUUUCUUUACAAAUAAACAUUUUCAGCCUAAAUUACUUCCAUUUACAGCUAUCGUUGGUCCAAAUACUUUUCAAAUAAUCAGCCACGAGUCUCGAGCAAGACCGAAGCUCGCCUGCUUUCGAGCACGUUAUUACAAAGUUGUCAAUGAUUUGGCGAUUACGCACUAAAAUGCAGUACGCUUUACAACUGACUGAAGUGGGGAUCAUAAAAUCUCUAAUUAAUUAACACGAUAAUUCGUAUAUUUCCAUUCCUUGAUUUUUGAUCGAAAUUGAUACCAGCAGGGAUCAAUAACAAGUUCUUGCAGUUCCAAUAACAAAAAAAAACCGUCAUCAAUAAUUAAAUCAUGAAAACACAUUGAACAACAAAUACCUCAAAAUUGUACGGUGAGUCAUUCCCAUUCGCAGUAGGAGACGGUGAGACCGACUUCGAAUGCGCGAAACGGUGAGAAUUCCUCCGAUCAGAUACCGACGAAUCGUAGCCAUUGGUGGAAGCAUGGAUCUCGAGAUCCUCAUCGUCGUCAUGAACAUCAAGUGCAAUCUUUUCAAGGUUUUGCUUCAAAUUCGCAAUGGAGCUCCACAUCAUUCACAAAUCUCAAACAAACCAAAAAUCAAAUAAAAAUCAAUUGUAGUUGUAGCUGAGGUUUGGUAAAUUUAGCGUGAGAGAGAAGAUUGGGGUUUUUGUUUCUGUUGGUAGAUCUGAAAUGGAAAGGUGUUAAAAGAAGAAGAUUUGGUUUUUAAUGAAAAGAGUAGUAAUAAUAAAAAUAAUUUCGUAGUACUUGUCGGGGGGAAGAGAAUAAAUUGCGUUACGUGAUAGAAGUUAUAGUUUGCCCCCCUUUGAGUUGUUAUGUGAUUUUAUUUGGCAAUCAAACUUUGCCUCUUGUGAUUCUUACCGCCAUUGGAGACCGUAGACGGGGUCGGGAAGAAAAUACAGAGUAUUUUGUUUUAUUGUUUUUAAAGCAAGUUAAAAAAAUAAAUAAUUAUGUUUAUUUGUUCUACUAUUAUGUUUUUUUCUUUGGGGAAACUGACUACCUUUUCUUUCGGUAUGCAAUCCACAUGAUUGCCGUAUAUUUAUAUCCUUAUUGGAAACUCUCUCAUAUCUUUAUAAAAAAAAAAACCUAUUUUUAAAAUGUCAAAUAGUAAAGUUAAUCAGUGCAAAACAGUAUAGUUGCUACUAGCCCAUUGGUCUUUGCUAAGCGAUGGAGUAAAAUUUGUUUUUUUUUUUUAAAUAGAUUUUGUUAACAUUUCUUUUUUUUUAAAAAAAAAAUAAUCAUUAAUUUAAAAUCAAUUGAGGAAGAAAUGAUAUUUUUAUUUAGCAUCAAAAAAGAAACACAUUCCAAAUUGACAUGCACAAGUUGCAGGAAUAAUCUUAAAAAAAAAUUAAUAAAGAAUCUAAAUCUCAAAUUAAUUCAAUAUUAAAAAAUAAAAUUUAAAAUAAAUUAAUUUUUUAAAAAAAUAAAUGAACUUGAGUCAAUCAAUUAAACUCUUGAUACAAGUCAUGCAUGUCAUUAGAUUUAAUAUAAAUUUUAUUUCAUAAAUUAUUUUUUUAUUUAAUAGAUUUAUAUGAUAAUAAAAAACAUGUGUUUUUUUAUAUGAAAUAUUUUCUUAAAAAAAAAAAACAUGACAAGCAUGCGAGAUUAAGAUAGCAAAGGCAAACAAUCGAUAAAUAAAUGGUGUAAUUGCAUUUUUCUUUUUUAAAUUAAGGUAUGAAAAAGGUAUUAAACAAAAAAAAUAAGUUGGAUGUUGUGGCUUAACUCACCAAAUUUGCAAUCUGGAUCAUGGAAUCAAUCGGGUUAGUUUUUAUUUUCAUAAAUUUGUAUCUAAAAAAAAGGCUAAGAAAGAGGCCAGUGUAAAAGAAACAACUCAAACACGUGGGCCUUUAAGCCCAGGUUAUCCGCUUGGGCCUAUUCUUGUUCAAAGAGAUGGACAACAAGUCGUUAAUCCCUUAUCAUGUUUUUUUAAAAAAAAACAGACAAGCGAUGCAUUGUUUUCUAACUCGGAUUUUAGGCACCACUGUGAUGGUCAGAAAAUCAAGGCUAUAAAUUUUUAACCUAACAACUAUUUUUUAACUCAUUUAAAGCCACAAACACCUAAAAAACCAAUCUUAAAACUUGUAGAAACCAAUCUAGCAAUCCAAUAAACUUGAAAAACAGCUAAAGUCACAAAAUCAAAAUAAAUAAAUUCCCUCAUCCUUGACUUAAAUAUAUUUUUUAAGUGAUAUUAUGUUCAAAGCAACCAUUAUAAGACUCUCAUCACUUAAAGGAACCCAUCAACACCAAUUUUAAUCAUUUUGGUGGUUGAAACAGGUAUAAACAACAACUUUUUUUUCUAUACUGGAAUUUGACAGUAAUCUUUCUCCCUCUCUCCUCUCAUAAAAAAAACUAAAAAAUGAAGGGAAAUGAACUUUCAUAUAAAAAUUAAAUCUUUAAAAAUUAAAAGGAACAAUCACCUAUAAACAAAAAAAAAAAAUAAGGAACCGAAAUAAACUUUUGUUGUGAAAUUUAAAGUCACCACUUAUUUUAGUUGUUAUUUUAACUUUGGUUCGCUGAUUGUCAAUCCAAUCCAACAAACCUUACUACAAAAAUUAAAUUUUUAAAAACUAAAAGGGUCGAUCACUUAUAAAUAAAAAAAGAAAAGGGAUUAAGAUAAACUCUUGUUAUGAAAUUUAAAGUCAACACCUAUUUUGUUUGUUAUUUUAACUUUGGUUCUAUAAUUUUCAAUCCAACCCAACGAACUUGGGUAUAAAAAUUAAAAUUUUAAAAACUAAAAGGAUUGAUCAUUUAUAAACAAAAAAAAAAUGGGUCAAAAUAAACUUUAUUUUAUGAAAUUCAAAGCCAUUAUCUAUUUUACUCAUUUUAACUUUGAUUUUCUAAAAACCUUUUAUUCUAAAAAGUUGCUAAUUUAAAUUAAAAAUAACUCAGCUAUAUAUAAAAAAAUGUUAAAGAACCAAAUGUUGGUGGUUCAUGCUGCUUGAACUUGCAUCUUGUCUUACGUGCAGCUGCAGCUAGUUUUGUUCUCUUAAAAAUAAAGUUUACGGUGAUUCAUGAAUGCACCACAAUAUUUGAAGCUGGGGUAGUUUUAAGUUGCUCGAAUAGGAAAUAGUCAAUUGGAUAUUAUCGAAUAGCUGAUGGAAUGGGAGGCUCUCACCGCGCUUGCUCAUGCUUAAACUGAUGGCACCACUGAAGUUGUUGGAGAAAAGCUUGAAUCCAGUAAGAUUCUGAAGUUCAAGAAAUGAAUCAGAGACAUGCCCUUCGAAAUUGUUGAUGCAGAUCAACAACACUCAGGGCGAUAAAUAUGCUCGUUAAAAAUCUUGCAGGACACCACCAAGGCUGUUUUGACUUGGCAGCAAUCUCUCCAGGGAAGGAAGCUCAAAAAGCGACGAGUUCAAUGUCGCCUCCAUUGAACUGCUCUCAGUAGAAAGAGAGCCUGGAUUUGCUAACCCAACAUGGUUUAUUGUAUCGAGUAGUACUCUCGGGCCUUUUUUUAACGGUGGAAGGAACGGAAUCCAUCCAAGAAGCUUGUUGCAUGAGAGUUUUAAGUGAAUAAGAUGGGUUAGGCUUGAGAAGAAGGUAUCAAUCCAGAGAGAGUACGAUUCCUUGAGUCCAGUUCAGUAAAAAAAUUGAAGAUUACCAAUUGAAUCUGGGAUUUCUCCAUAAAACUCGAGAAGCAUAAAGACAAGACUUUUAAGUGCUUGUCUACUAGAAAUUCCGGCUAAGUCCAGAACAAGGCAUAUUUCUUGAUAAAUCAAAAGUCUUCAGGUUUGGCAGUAGCACGAUACCUUUCGGAGACAUUUAAGAGAGAUUGUUGCCAUCAAGGUCAAGCUUUGAAAGCAAUGAAAGGUAACUAAGUGAUUCACAAAUGGGACAUUGGAGGUGACAGUGUGACAAGCUCAGGACUUGAGAUUUGGGGGGUUGCAAUUUUCAAAAACUUAUUUUGAAGUUUAACCUUCUUGUUGCAUUAUUUGUAAAGUGAUAUUUUUUGAAUUAUUAAAAUAAAAAAACUAUGGUAUUAUUUUGAAUUAUUAAUAUUGUUAAAAUUAUUUGAGUCAUUUGAUUGUCUGUUUUGAUAAUAUGAUUUGUGUUGGUUAGAUAUUUAUUUUAUUUAAGUUUGAUUUGAGAAAACUCAAGAAUUUUAUUGGAAUAUUUGUAGAAAUUUUUUUUCUCAACAUUCCAAUAAAAAUAUUUUGAUUGAUUUUUUUAACAAAUAUAUGUCUUUUUUUAAUUUUUUCAACAAAUAUUUAAUAGAAAAAUAAUAUAAAAUAGGUCUAUUUAUAUUUUCUUUAAUGCCUAUAUUUUAAAUAUAAGUUUCAUUGCAACACAAAAAUAAUUCAAUGGAAAGAUCGUGAUCAAAAAGUUUUUUUUAACAAAUAUAUAUUUUUUGAAAUUUUUUCAAUAAACAAUCAAUAUGAAAUUGGUAUGUUUAUAUCUUCUUAAAAUAUCUAAAGUUUAUGUUAUUUUAAAUAAAUAUAAGGGUUAUUGUACCAAAAAAUAACAAAAAUAAUUAUUCGGUUGAACUUAUUAUAUGUCGAUUCAAUUAAUUAAUAUAAGAUUUAUAUAACAAAAAUAAUUUCUAAAUCAAGAAUAAAAUAGUUAAAAUUGUCAAUUCAAUUAAUUUUUAUAGGUAUUUUAAAUAGUAUAAUUGAACUUAUUAUAUGAUUUAAUAUUUUAUUUUAAAUAUAAAAAUUGUAAUAAAUUAUUAAUUAAAUUUAAAUUUAUUUAUAAAAAACUCAGUAUAUGAUUUGAUUUUAAUAAAAUAAUAAAAUCUCAAAAUGCCACUACAUUUUAAUCUUUCUUCGGUUGUAAUUUUGAUUUAUUCGGUUGUAAUUUUGAUUUUUGUACUUUAAAUACUCAAACGGGAUGUGAGAGAUUAGGAAAUCUAUCAAAAUGUUCGAUUUUAUUUUAAAAAAUAACUAUCAAUGAGUUUUCAUGUAGACAAAAAAAAAAACUCACACUAUUAAUUUAUGAAUUUUUUCAGUUUAAUUUUACCGUUUGAAUCUCUCAAAAAAUAUUUUUUAAAAUAAAAGGUCUUUUUUUCCCUUAAAAUUAAAUUUUCAAAUUACCAUCUUAAAAAGAAAACCUUUAUAUAUAUAUAUAUAUAUAUGGUGCUUUUCAAGGCCUUUAGGGUAAUUACAGCGUCUGUAUGAUUUUAAUAAGUUCGCAUAACAAUCGAAUCCAACGAUCGAGAUACAUCGGAUUUUUUCUCGCCCUCUGCUAUAUAAAGAGCUAUCCAGCUCUCUAUUCUGUGUGAAAGAUCAGACAAUUUGCUAGGGUUUGGCACUUCGUGGCCGCCUUUCUUCUUUUUCUCUUCUGUAUUAUCAUGUUGCGUGUUUCCAGUAGAUGCGAUGAUGAUAGAACAGUAGGUUAAAAACCCUUGAUUGUGUGGUGGGUUCAUAGCCUCCACCCAAGAUGAGUCUCCUUUUCUGGUUCGUAUUCACUGAGCAUCUAUGAUUUCCUCUACUUCUAUCGUCUUGUCUGGAGUGGAUUUAAAGUUUUUGCAACGAAGGUACCUAUGGAGGGGGUGCUAUAAAAGUGCACUCCUUGUCCAAGUUUGCCUUCGAAAAUUAGAAUCGAAUGACAGAUUUCGCAUGAACUGUAAUCUAUUUCUUGUGAUUUUCAGUUCACAGAUCUGAUUUUCGUACAUGUAUAAUUAUACUUGAAAUUGUCAUGUCUGUAAACUCUGAUACAAUGCGAAGGUCCCAGCAGAGGGGUAAGGAACUCUAUAAAUUGAGGCCCCUCUAACAAUCAUAAAAAUUCCUUCGCAGAUUAAUUUGCCGAAUCGUAGGAUGCCCUGAAUUUCUCAUGACGGGCCGUCUUGAACCCUCGGCUAAAUAUCAAUGUCUGUCUAGUCUUGCAUCUCACUUUUCUAUCCUGAUCUUUCAAUUGAAAAGACUAAAUUUUUAAACGAUAGCUACUUAUUUUUCUUUCCCCAUGAAGAAAGUCCAUUUAUACUAUGUGAAUCCGCCAGGCCAAGUUAAAGCAUGUAUUUAAAUCUUGUGAAAGGCAAGAAGACUCUGGAUAAUGGACAAAGUAAAACCAUUGGAGAGAACUUUUUCUCUGAAAAAAAGAUUUAGAUGGAGGAAAUUAUCACUGCUUUAACAUGUAGGAGGGAAAUUGAUGAGUGAGUACAGCCAGAUGCUGUUAACUUAAAAUGGGGUCAUUGUUUCAGUCAACUAGACUUUCUGGAGAUGAACAUUUCACCUUAACUAGUUUAAGGAUACAUGUUUUCUGAACAAGAACCAUGAACUGUUAAAUGUUAAUAGAUUUUCUUUGUUUCGAGAAAUAUACUGAAAUGAAUAAAGAACAGCUGAGCGGUGCUGUUGGCUGCUCAAACAAAUUGUCCAGUUCAGUUAAUAUAAAUGAGGGAGAAUGGGGCAAGAAACUUUGGGCGGUGAAAUUUGGUUUAGAUUCGGAAAGGAUUUCUGACUAAAGGCUGUGCAGUUGGAGGCAGGUUGUGAAUCAGUGUAUCAUUUCAUCAGAGGUAACAUACAGGGACCAAUAUAUGUGCCUUGUGCUAGCAACUGGAUUAAACUUAUUUCAGGGCUUCUCCACAAGGAUUGGGAUGUGACAGUUACCCGUGUUUACAGAAAAGCCAAUAUCUGUGCUGAUGGAUUGGCCGUGGGGUGGGUGUUGAUGAAAGUCACAGGGUGACUUAUUGCACAGAGCCUCCAGAUUGUGUGACGAGGAUAAAUUGCAGAGGUUUUUGUAACCUGGGAAACUAUAGGUUAUGCAAGUAGCAUCUUCUGUUUCUUUUUUUCCGGGCUUUACGCUCCUGUUUAACACCCAAAAAAAUAAAAAAAACACUGCUAUUACGCAGCAAGAAACGGAAAUUCUCGAUUGCAAAUUCUAAACAGAUAAAAAAUCUAUUUUCGGGCUGCACAUCCUACUCAUACCAUUAUAUGCACCGGAAUUUUCUUGGAAACAAUGAAAGUUUGCAGACUUAUGUAGCUGCAUAAAAGUCCCCAGUUUCUUCACAAUACACCGACACAGGAAGGAUUAGUCGGUGCAGAAGCCGAACUGAUAUUUGGUUGCAGCCCAUUCAUUUAGGCCUAACGAGGUAGGAUGCCCAUAUAUCAUCUGCCGGCGGUGGUGGCUGAACCCAGUGGCCUGGUAUGCGGCUGCACUCAAGUUCCACAGAACAAUUAGGGGAAAAACAACUACACAAGGUUGGUAAACUAUGAACAGCUAUAAAAUGCAGCUUCCAGGAAAAAGAAUGAUUGGCAUGCUUACCUUCCUCCUGGUCUUAUAUACGCAUCCCAUGUUCUUCUAACCUGCAAGCAAAACGAAGAAAUAAUGGAUCUCUCAGCAAUUGUCAAUCCAGAAAGACACAAAUGCAUGUAGCCUUUAUAGUUAAGGCUAUUUGGAGCUCAGUGAACUGAGCACGUAAACUUGUAAUGUGCUAACUGAACAGACAAACUCUAUAACGUGAUUAUAUCUUACAUUCUGUAAGAAAAGGUGUAUCCUGGAAAGUGUGAAAAAUCAGUUUAAGUUGCUGAAAAUCACCUCGAUAAGUGUGCCCAUAUCAUUAUUGCUGCCAUGAUAAUAGUGGUAGAAUUCAAUUGGCAAAUUUGCUACAGAAUCAUAAGCUCCACCAUAAACUUGACCUUUAGAUCCUUUUUCUCCAGAUGGACCAGGAACUGCACCAGAGCCUAAAUUGUCCGUGCUCUCAUUUAUUUCAUCAUUACUUUCCUUCAUUCCAUCUUUGGCAUCACUUGCAUCUUUAGUGUGCAGCCCACCACUCUGGAUUGUUUUCCUAGAUUCCUCAGCUGUUGCAAUGGCACCCUUGGCAGCAUCUGUUUCAGCUGCAGCCAUUGCUUGGCGCUCUUCUUCCUCAACUGCAGCUCGAACUCUCUCAAGAAACUUGUCAUCCUCCUCGGGGAGAAAAUGUCCUGCAUACAACCAACCAUAAUUAAAGGUAAAAAAUAGACAAUAUGACAUUACAUGAGCAUGGACACCACAUGCAUCACACAAAUGACGCACUUAAGAACAGAAACAAGACCCAUACAGGGGUGGUGCCACGGCCAGCCACCUCUGUAUAAAUAAAUAAUUUUUUUUUUCUUUUUUUGAAGUCCUAUUAUUUCUAACUUGGUCCCACCAACUAUUUUUUCACCCCCCACCACUGGACCAUAAAUCAUCGAGUUUCACAAUAACUAUCAAAGAUAAAAGAGUCUCACUGUCUUAGUUGUGAUGACUAUCUUCAGAGCAAGCUGAUAAGUUUUAUACUCUGUAAUGGUCGAGGUGUAUUCAUAAUAACAUUCACCAAGGAAAGAUGCAUACAUUUGAACUUGCCAAAAAAUUUUCAAAUCCCACUUUAAACACAAAUGCCACAUCCGAUGCAUCAAACUUAUACUAGCUGAAAACCAUAUUCAUGAAAUUAGAAAUGCAGUUGUAUUUAACAUGGAAAAUAUCAUAGCACUGUAGGACUGGAAAAAACAAAUCAUAAGAACAAAAAAUUACAUCGCAGCAGGCAUGCACACAGUAAAUAAAAAAGAAAAAGAAAUUUAUCAAGCAUACCUUGUUUCUUCAAUUUUUGAAUCCUGAUGGAGCGCAAUUCUUGCAACUUCUCCACAACUAAUACCAGCUCAAGCUGAAACACUUAAAAUUACUUAAGAUUGGGCACCGGCCACAGAGGAGAAAAACAAACUCAAGAACAGAAACAGCAUGAUAUUAGACAAGUGUUUUAACUCUAAAUGGUCCAAUGAAUGCUCUACUAACUCUUUACUAAUAGUCAACACUCAUUGCAAACUCUUACCAGCAGUGAUGCAGAAAUUAAUGUGAACCAGGAGAUUAGCUACAGACAGCUUUGAGCUUUGUAAAACAAUUACAAAUCCGAAAAUAUUAAAAAAGUUUGUAUGUUAUGUAACUAGUAGACUGACUACUCAAUUCAUUUGAUAUAGAAUGCUUCUGUGAACAUAUAAGAUAUUAAAUACACUUUUUUUGGUAUAUGCAUCUAUAAAAUAUGUGAUAUCAUUAUACUAGAUCCCAAAAUAUCAAAGCAAGAUGCGAGUGAGAUGAUAUCAACUUGUUAAGAAUGUAUGGGAGUUGGUGUAUAAUGUUUCUUAAAUUCUCACCUCAGAUUCUAGCCUCUUCCUCUCUUCUUUUGCUUUAAGCUUUGCAAUUUCUUUCAUCUUUUCCACCUGCAACCGCGAAUGCCUAAGUUAAAAUUGAUAACCUCAUGCAAACAGCAAAUACAACUGAUGUCAACAAAAUGACGUGAUUUAAAAAUAAAAAACAUGAUGACACAAUCUUCAAAGCUAGAUAUUUAGACAAGUUUAGUAUAACAUACAUUUAACAUGCCACCAUCUAACAAAAGAAUUAUAAGAUCAUGCUGUUUCAAAAUCUCAUAUUUCAGUCUCCCAGAUGUGUCACCCCUCAUGUUGAAAACAAGAGCAAUAGAAAAUACAAUGAAUACCAUAAAUAUACCAAUGCAACACAAAAUGAACAAGAGAAAAGGCACCUGAGCUUAAACUUCAUGUACCUAGAGUACUGGAAUAGAAUCAAUAUGCAUGAGUUGAACUUCUGACAGCAAUUAUAACCGUUUAAGAACAGAUGGUUCUUUCAAGCAAGAGAAGCAUGAAAGUUGAGGGUGCUUGGAUGCUUGUUAAAAGAAAUUGAAUGCCCCAACAAAUGCAAGGUGUCCUGUGAAUCAAAUAUGUUCUUUCAGGUAUCUUACAACAUCAGUCUUGCACAGUCAUUCAAGUUUGUUUGGAAUAUUUGCACAAUAUAUUUUAUUGAAAACUAAAUUGGAGAUCUCACAAAUCCAUUUACUGGCCUUCAAAGCAAUCAACUAGCACCCAGUAAUCACCUUAUUAGCUCUUUCAACUGGUUUUGUGCAUGAGACAAUCUUAGAUUGUUCUUCUAAAUUCUAAUGCCUCAACGUAAAUUUUUUUUUGCUUCCAAGGAAACUGGAAAAUCUACCAGCAAUAUCAAAAUUUUAUGCUAUGAUGUCUUCAAGUUAAAACAACAAAUUUUUGGUGAGUUUCUACCAGUCACAUUAGAGGUUUCUACGCUGACUCUAACCUAAUCCAGAUAAAGUACAGUGGACCAUACAAGAUAAUUCCUCGAACUAAGAGAAUCGCACAGCAUUUGGAAUCUUAUCACCUACUGAAAGAGAGGCAAACAGGAAUAUAGCUGAUUAUACCAGUUUCAAACAUAAAACUUCCAUUACCUUGAGUUGUGCAGCAUCCUUUGCUAUCUCCCUAGCCCUCCACUCAUCAGCUACACGAUCAGCUUGGUCAAAUUGUUCAUGUACCUAAACAUCACAGCAAGCACUAUUAGAGGGGGGAAAAGAGCAAAAGAAGAAGAAGAAGAAAAGGAUAAUAACAGAGGCCUGGAAGGCUACAAUAAAUCAAGGAAAACCACCUUUGUGUGGAUUUCUGCAGCACGUUGUCUCUUCCUCUUCCUCCAAAGUUUAUUACGCUUGGACUUCAAUAUUUUAUUAGACAAUCUAGCUGCCAUUGAUUUCUCUUCCCAUGGAGUGACAUCAUCUAUGAUUACUCUAAAUGGCUCUAAUUGAGCUUUUAAUCUUGACAUCAAAGCAUUUGCAGCAUUCACCGAAAGUGAUUCCUGUGCUUCCAAAUCAAUUUUCCUAUCUUUCAAAUACUCGUACAACCCACAAGCAUAAGGGUCGGUAGAUUCCCCUUCCCCCUCUUCCACAGACCCUUCAGUGCUUUUGAUUGUCAUCAACAUCUCAAGCUCUUUCUGCCUAUUAAGAAUAGAAAAUUAUUACAAACCAUGUUUGCAAAAAGCAGAGAAAAGGCAAUGAAAAGCCCCUUGGUAACUUUAUAUCCCAAACAAGCAUUUGAAAUUCAAACUGAAAGCAAUAACUAAGUACAUUGAUGUAGCAAGAGUUAACGUGUCCUGUAACUCUUUCAGCCGAUCAUGCACAUUUUUGGUGUCCCAAAAAGGAGUCGACUGUGGUGGAUUAGGGGGUAACAUCGGGAACCAGGGAGGAGGAGGUGCAGCAGGAGUCGCAUGAAAAGGAACCGGAUGCAUGGCUGUGGAAAGAAUUAAAGUCAAAACGAAACAAAUGUUGUCAAGAAAAGAGCUAAUUGCGGAAAAAGAUUGUUUUAAGUUCUAACCCCAGCUACCAUUGCCACUCGUUAACAAAUUUCACAACUUAAUACGCACAAAGAAUUGACGAUGGAAUAUUGCAUAAUCCAAAAAACACAGUUAACUAUAGCAUUCUUUACCCCUUCAAUUCUUUUAGUGAAUUAAAAUCUCUCUCUCUCUCUCUCCAGUCAGUCAAAUUCACAAACAGUUUGUGGUCCAGUGUGAAAUUAUGUAUUAAUGUUGCUCUUUAUCUUACUACUUCAAUUAAGCACCUUAAUCACGAGUGACUCAGAGAUAUUAUACAAAGGAAGUGAUUCUGAAUCAACCGUUUAACCGCCGGUCACACACAAAGAUAUCAAAUAUAACAGUUCUCUGUAUGUUUUAGCUACAACAACAUUAUAUGAAAUUAUGUAUCUUUGAAAGCAAACAAUAUUGAACGAUUACAACAAAAGAGUAAUUUGCUCGUACCUUUUCAAAUUUUACAGGGUUGAAGUCAGUCCCAGGUUGUGCUAUGAACUCCACAGAGCUUGUUAAAUAGGAGGCCAAAUUGUACCCCGAAAAAACCCUGAACUUCAGCGAAAAAUGAAACACCCCCUAAAUCCCAUUUUUUCCACUUUAAACACUCCCACUUUCGUUAAGAGUUAUAAUACCAAGCCUGACCCAGCCUAAAGCCUGAGUCACAAAUUGGGUAGGUGAAUCCAAAUAAACGUAUCUUAAUUUGUUUUUCUUCAAAUGUUAAAAUAAUGUUGUUUUGAAAAAAAAAAUCAAACCAAAUUUUAAUUGGGUUUUCACCAAGCUGAUCGAGCCAAUAAAAUUUAAUCAAGACAAUUUUUAUCUAGUUCAAUAUAAAAUCCUAAAUCAAAUUCCGAGUUACUAAAUUUACCUGCUAGACCAAGUCUAGUUUAAUUAUAGGGGGUUGGUCCAGCCUGAAGGCCCGAUCCUGAAUAACACGGGAAAACCCUCAUGAAAAAGUGGUAUUAUUAGAAAACCAUCCAUAACAAGUUGUGAUUUUUAAUCUCCUAUAGAAAUAUAUUUAUACGAUUUCUUUUUUCUUUCAAAAAAGACAAAUAUAUAUUAUAUCAUCCUCAUCUCUCGACGAGGCUUUAUUCGUGAAUACUAUACAUUUUUUACUUUGAUAAUGUAAAUCCCGCAAAAUCUGAGUUUGUUGAUCUAGAUGUAUUGGGUAAAACCUAUUUGCCAUGAACUCCUGAUGCUGAAAUUUAUCUGAAUGUUGUGAAUCUUGGACAAACAAUUAAAGAAGGAAAUGAAAUACAUUUCAUUUAAGUUUUUUUUUUCCCCUGAGAGAGAGAGCAUUUGAGAUUUUUUUAUUCAAAUUAUAAUGUUAUGUUUAGUUAAUUUCUCAGAAUAAAAGGAAUAUAGUAGAAGAAACAUAAAAAUAUUUAAUUAGAAAAAUAAAAAUAUAAAAUAAAUUAUAAUUUUAUAGUGAAUCUUUAUCGUUUUAAAACAAGAAAGACAUGAGAUAUGUGAUCUUCGUCCCAAGUGUUUUCGUGUAAAUUAUUUUGAGAUAGUAAUUAAGGUUGUCUAAAUUUUUAUAAUUAUUUUUUAGAACAUUGUUUUAUUAAAACUUGAUUUUUUCCAUUUAACUUUUCAACGAAACCUUAACCUGACCACGAGGAGUGACUUGGUUAAAAAACUAAAAUGGUUGAAGGUGUAAAAUCAGAGAUUUUUUUCGUUGAAGUAUUUAUUUUUUUAAGUUGAAAGAAUAUUUUAUAAUUUAGCUUAAAUAAAAAAAACAAAAAUGAUGUAGUAACCUAAAAUCAUCUCAAUUGUUUUUUUCUGUUAGAUAAUAUUAUUAAUAAAAUAUUAAAGGGUCUGGUUGUGGUUAAAUCACUGUAACCAUAUUGUAAUUAUAUCCAUAACAUAUUAUUUAUUAUAAUAGUAUUUUGUGUUUUUUUUAGUCUCAUACUUCAAUAUUAUGUUAUUUUAGGAAUUGUGGUUCAUAAUUUUUUAUUUUUUAUUUUUGUUGGGUUAUAUACUGAUUUUAUAGAUUUAGUUUUUUUUUCUUGAUUUCAACAUUUAAAAUUAGAUUUAUUGGAAACGGGACCUCGUAGUUUUUUUAAUUUUUUAUUAUGAAUUUAUUUUAAUUUCAUGACCUAGAUCGCGGGUUUAACAAAUUAACUCGAAUGGAUUCAUGUCAUUUUUAGGCCACUUUUUUAAAAUGAUUUUUUUUUUAUUUCAUCAUUCAAUAUUGAGUUUGUUAGAAAUUAAGCUUCAUGAUUUAUUUAUUUUUGCUUUCUAUGGUGUUAUCCCGGUCUCAUUACUCGAGUUGUAAGUUUAAUGGAUCUACCCGAGUUGACUUUGUUUAUUUUCUUUAGGUCCUUUUUUUUAACUAGGUUUCAUUUUUUUAUCUACUUUCUAUGACUUAUCUCAAUCUCAUAACCUGAGUCAUAGACUGACAAGUUGAUUCGGGUUGACUCUAUUAAUUUUUUGUGUCAUUUCUUAAUUGAUUCCCCCUCAAUUUCACACUACAACAACUCAAUCUUCUUUUAAUUUCUUUAUUUAUUUAGUUUUUUAUUCAAUCUCAUAUUUUAAUAUUAAGGUGUUUAGGAAUUGAGUUUCAUAUUUUUUUUUAAUUUGUUUUAUGUGGAGUUAUCCCAAAAUAUAAUAUUUUUUUUUCUCGAUUUUAACUUUCAACAUUGAAUUUAUUGAAAAAUAAAGAUGAGGUGGAGCUUCAUGAUUUUUUUUUAUUUACUUUUUAUAAAGUUAUCUCAUCCUUAUUUGCUUCAUGAGUUGGUCUAGGUUGUUUUUGGUUAUUUUUUUCAAUUGAUUUUUUUUAUUUCAUCAUUCAAUGUAAUGUUGGUUGGAAAUUAAAUUUUAUAAUUUGAUUUAAUUUGUUUUUUAUGGGUUAUCCUGAUUUCAUAAUCCGAAUUGCGGGUUUGGAAGGUUAACUCGGGUAGCAUGCAAUUUUUUUCUCUUUUUUUUAAAUUUAUUAUUAUUUUCUUUAAUAUUAAGUUGAUUAGAAUUUGACAUUUAUAAUUUAUUUUGAUUUGAUUUUUUUAGGGUUAUCAUGGUUUCAUAAUCCAAGUCGUAAAUUUAACAGAUCAACUCGGGUUAAUCUAAUAUAUUGUCAUCUCAAUAUUUAAAAUAAAUAUCACUCAAUAUGUUACCAUACCAAUAUUUAAAAAUUAUAUUAUCAAGUAUUUAUUAUAUUUUUUAGUUAAUAAUUAAAUCUUUUUAAUUAAAAAACACAUUAAGAAUGGAACACUUAAUUUUAAUGGACUUGUGUAGCAGGGUGGGGGAAUGAUAUAGGCUCAUUUUCCAUUUUCACACUGUAGUUCAAUCAUACUUUUUAAAAAAAUUUAUUUUAUUUUGUAGUUUUAAUUUUUUUUCUAAUGUUAUUGGAUCGUUGUGCUUACAUUAAAAAAAUAUAUUUUAUUAUAUUUUUAAAUAACAAUACUUGUAAUUUUUAAUUCCGUGAUCCACCUAAUCAGGCACAUUGUAUUCAACAAAACACUAGUGAAGAUCAGAGACAACAAGGCUAGGAUGGUCGAGCGGUCCAAGGUGUCAGGCUCUAAUUCUUGUCAUCGUGAGAGAGGGCGUGGGUAUGGUCCCACUUCUGACAUUUUUUCCACAUUUCUAAUGUUUUUUAAACUCCACCCCUUUUUUAAGCUUUCAUUGCUGGGCUAAUGAUUUUCACCUUGGCCCAAAUUUUAAUAUUUAUUUUGCAAGGUUUCUAGCAAAUAUCGAAUUUGCGUUAAUUAUAACAUAAAGUACUGUAGUUUUAAAAAUCACACACACAUAUAUAACCAUGUCUUUUUGUUAAGAUUGUGCAUUUGUCUAUUUUAUUUUGUUAUUUAAAAAAAAACGGAAAAGAGGAGCAUAAGAUUGAGAAGAUUUGAUUAAAUAAAAAAAUAUUUUUCAACAAAAAAAAACUAGCUAUUGGGAAUGAUUAACAUUGGUGAAGAGAUUAUUUGAUUAUAGUUGACACGUUGCUAUUGCUCCUCUGAUGAAUAGUUGUUUUAAACGAAUAAUUAUAUAAAAUAGAUAGAUAUUUCCUUUUGUUUCAGGUUGAUGAAUCUUUUUAAUUAUAUAUAUAUAUAUAUAUAUAUAUAUAUAUAUAUAUUCUAGUUGACCGCUUUAUUUUUUUUUUUUUUGAAAUGGUUAAUUAGUUUGAUAAAGUUAAUAUGAUUUAACCAAAUCUUCUAGUUUUAUAUAUUGCUGGUCAAUAAUUUCUCGCCCUUUAUACUGGAUUUUUUUUUUUUUUGGUUCUUGCUGAGGAGCAGCAACACCGCAAUACAUGAUCCCUUGUUUCAUAUCAAACAAAUAAAAGAUAGCGAAUCCACAGAUGAUUCCAGUUCUAGGCAUAGGCCGGGCCUUAUAUAAUCCAAAUCCGAGAAAUAAGCAGAGUCCUCAUCCAUUUUCCUUCAAAUGCAUCAUGAACCCACAUGGCAUCUCGAUGUUCUGACUCAGUAACGUUUCAAUAUUGACUUGCUUUCCAUAGUAACGACGACAAAGCAUGCCCGACAUGUCCUUCUAGGCAACUCAGAGAGAUAGCUCGGCCCCCCUUUGGCCACAUUGUCUACAUUUUCGUUGCUCGGUUUUCUUGCCAGGAACACCCGGGGUUUUCAAUUUCUUGGAAUUAAAUUUAAGUUCAAUUAUUAUUGUUUUUUUUUGUGUGUAAAACCUCAAAUCAGUCCUCAGCCUAUGCACCGAUUCUCAAUGGGUCUUUAAACUGAAACUCUUCUUAACUAGAUCCGUAAAUUAACAUAUAUAUAUUUUUUUUUAGUUUAACGUGGGUGUCCGGCCAGCUUGCGCGUACCUCGACUAAUAUCACGGGCCCUGAAGUUAACGACCAUGUAAGCCUCCAGUAACCAUCAUAUGAGCAACCAUAGGGCUCGAACCGUAAAUUAUCAUACUUUAGUCCUUCAAGCCAUGCUCAUCAAUGAUCGAGGAUAAUUAAAUUGAAUCAAAUAUUGAAUUUCAUUCUCCCUCAUGUACAGGCGGUGGGAGAUUUUGCAGUACUGAAAAUAUUUUCACCUGAUAGUAUGAGUUUAAUAGUCAGGAAUAACAUAUAAAUAACCUCACUCUCCCUCGUGUAAAAUGUACAAGAAAAAUAAUAAGACAAGAUUCCGUGGUUCGAUACACUAAACUCUUCAACAGGAUCAGAAAAGGCUGGUCCUUGCGAUAUUGGUACUAGAUAGGCACAGUAUUCUUUGCUAUAUAUUUAACUAUGAUAAUUGUGUUUUGAUUUUACAAGUUAAGAAAUUAUCAUCCCAAGGUUUAAACCAAUGUCUUGAAGGAAACAAACAGAGGGGUGGUCCGGUAGCGAGGACAAUAAGGAUGUGCUUUUGUUUGGGCCCCUUGUGUCUCAUGCUUAGUAUAUUUCUAGCUAUCGGAGAGAGUAACGAGCCAAAAUGUUGUAGAUAGCUGGUGCUCGUAUCACGUACGACUUAUUUGCAAGCAUAUUUUGUCCAUGUCCCCCCUUUUGUGAUGCACUCUUGCUUGUUUUCAUGUGAUUAUCAAUGCUACAGAAUCCCUUUAAUAAUGCAUAUGUGUGUCUCUUGCUUGCAAUAUUGGCUAAGCCGCUGUUAACAGGUGACGAGUAAAACUUUUUGAAUCUAUAUUUUGAUGUUACGUGAAAGAAACUAAACCCAUUUCAAGGUAAUAACCCAAGUGAAUUUGUGCAUGGCAGAUUGCCAAAUUAUUUGGGUUUAGAUUGCCAUACUAUUGAGCUAAACCCAAUAAUAUGUUGGUUUGACAACUGUAUAUUUGAGUUUAGUUAUAUAUUAACCUCAAGAUUGCGUAGGUCUGAUAAAUUAUCACACUCAAUAUUGGUUGAACCUAAAGCAAUAUGAGUCAGGUAUGCUAUCAGACCCAAUAUAUUUGGAUUCAGCUAUUUGUUGGGUCCAACUAAACGAGGACAUGACAAGUUGUUUGAUCUGAUAAACCUGAGUUCAAUCAUAUGCUGAGCUUAAAUUAACAUAAGUCUAGUAAGUUGUCAAACUCAAUAUACUUGAAUUCAGCCAUGAACCGAGCCAAAGUUAAUGUGGGUUUGUCAAGUUUAUAGACCCAAUAUACCUGAAUCUAGCCAUGUGCUGAGAACAACUCAAUGUGAGUAUGACAAGUUGUCAAACCCUAUAUAUUUGGGUCUAACCAUGAGUUGAACCCAAGUCAACGUCGGUCUGUCAAGUUGUCAGACCCAAUGUACUUGAGUUCAGCCAUGUACUAAGCCCUGGUCAACGUGAUGAUAAAUUAUCAGACUCAUCUCUUAUAGUUUUGGCUACACGUCAACCCCAAUUGGUCUGGACGUUGUUAAAGAUCCAUAUUAGAACCACAUGGUUUUGUCUUAAACCUAUUAAUAUGAUUUGUCCAUGUUAGAAAUAAUCAUUACUUUACAUCUAUAGAUAUAUAAAAAAUCUUUCAAUGACUUACCAUAUUUUUAUCUCAUUAAUGAUAUGUAAAAGAUAUUUGUCUAUAAUUAAUGACGUGUAAGAGAUUUUUAUCUCUCAUUAAUGCCAUCAAGACCAAAUGACUCUCCGGUCCUUUCACUUCAUCAAAAUAAUGAGUUCAUAAAUUAUAAAUGCCCUUGAACCAGUCAGAUAAAAAAUUAAUAUUUUUCUACUUUUCAAAUAUUCAUAUCUUAACUGUUAGAGUAUUUAUCACACCAAAACAAAAACAAAUAUCAUUAUUCUUGGAAUUUAAACCUUUUCUUUUAUUUAUUAUAUUUCCCUACUUGAAAAUUGAUGAUUUUAUAAUCGAAAAAUCUCUAAACCCAUCAAAAUAGACUGUUUUGUAUGUAUCAAAAUUUUUAUCACCAUUUAUAUAUUUCCUGGACUAUAAAAAAUAGAAUAUUGGUAUAAAGACACAAUUAACCAUUAUCUAAACAUCAAUUAGCCUCAUUUCUUAGUAUAUCGGAUUUUAUAACAUCAUCAACAAUAAUUUUUUUCAAAUUUUGUUAACAGAAAUCAUUCAAAAGGUCUGUUUUCUCAUUUUCACUAAAAUAUUAGAUUACAGAGAUUAGGGUGCUGUGAAACAUAAGGGCACGUAGUCAGAUUGAGGGCCUUGCUCAUACGACUUGCAAGCUGAUUGUUCAAGAGUACAUGUAACAAAUAUAUAUAACGCCAUCGUAUUCCUUUUAUGUACUUGAUCAAGACCCAGCACAUCACUCAUUGAAUGCAAAAAAAUGUAGAGUAAUUUACAUGAGAUUUACUAGGAUAGACAUAUUGAGAAAUGUUUCAGUCAAAUACAUUAAUUUCUCAUUUCAAGCUCCGUAAAGGGAUAGUAAUGAGGAAUGAUGACCAGUAGAUUGUUGUGCUUAUUUUUACAAGAGCUUGGAAAGGGAAACUGAUAAUUAACUAACGAUGUUUAAAGGAGUGGUGCUAAUUUUUACUGAAACAUUCUUCCUAAAAUUAGUUUUUGAAAAAUUUCAUCCGUUGGAUAAAUGGAUCCCAUUUGUGUGUUUCAUUCAUUCAAUAGAUAAAAAGAUUUUUCAGGAUGUGGGUUUAGGAAGAAUUUUCCAGUAAAACAAAAUUUAUCCUUUUAAAAUUACAUGCUAUUUAUUUUUGCGAUUCAAACCAUGUUUCGUGAUUUUUUUAAAUUUAUUUUUUUUUAUUUUUUUGGUAUUUUUUACCGUUUUACCAUUUUAAUAUGUUAAUAUCAAUAAUGAUUUUGAAAAAUUAAAAAUUAUUAUUUUUAUAUAUUUUUCAAGCAAAAAAUAUUUUAAAAAACAACCACGACACUACCAAAAAGGUUUCGAACUAGGAAUGGCCUGAAUUGAUUGAAUGGAAAAAAAAAUUCAAUACGGAUGCCGCAACCACUCUCACAGAGGAAUAAAAUGGAAGGGUUGCAUGGAAAAAAAAGCAUAAAAGAUAGCAUAAAGCAACAAAAGCUGGACAAAUCCCUCCGGGGGUCCUAUAAUGCUUCAUCUGCAGGUAUUUUAAUGUCCCAGGCCAUUCAAUAUUGCUGGGAAGAUUCGUCUUUUUAGUCCUCUAUUUCUAGUCUAUCAUAUUGCAAAUUCCUGUCUGUCCAUGCAUGCUAUUAUAUAUUCUGCAAUUUGUUACCCCAGUUCCUGAAUUUUUAAAAAGAAUCCCAUGGAAAAAACAAAUCAAGCACAUAGAGGUUGGAAAUUUCAUAUCUAUACAAAAUGAAGACGACGAAUAAGAAAUAAUUUUAAUUUCUAUCUUCGCACCAUGACGAGACUAUAUAACAUAUUAAUCUGUAUUAUAAUUUAUAAGGACAUACUAAUUAUUUAUCAAACUUUUCACAGCUGAGCAACAAUGAAAAAUUGCCAUCCUGAAUGGACACAUGAAUAUAUAAACAAGCAAAGGAGUAGAAGACAGAAAUGGCAGAUGACAACUUGUGUUUGAUCUCCUGCCCUGCAUUUCUAGAAGCUCUACACUUCCCUUCUCCUUCCGGUCUUGUUUUUUCUCCUCUCUGUAAAACAAUCAUUUAUCUGAAAGUAAAAGUAGAAGAGGAUUAGAACACUUCUGAGAUUUGAACCAGCAAACAUAAAAAUUAAGAAAAUAAUUAAAGAUGGCAUGAACUUACGCAUUGAUCUUUUGCAAUGAAGAACUGCGUCAUGGAUUGAGCUCUCACUAUCAUGGCAACCAUCCAGUGAAUAAGCUACUCUUCUGCUUGGAGAUGCUUCCCGUGAAUUGCUCUGGCUCUUAACUUCCCAUGCUAUCCUCUCAACAUUGUCAACUCUUGUGCUUAUUCUCGAGUCUCUUACUCUGUGGGAUAAAGGUCUAACAUAUCCAAAACACUUCGGCAAGAUUCGCUUCCAUCUUCCAAGGAAACGACAAAGAAUCUGAACAGCUGAGACAGUUUUUGAAGAAAGAGAAGAGGGCACAGUAGGGGCUAAAUUCAGGGAACUGGAGGCCUCACUCUUUGACUGGUUGAUAAAAAUGGGUCUGAUGAGGCCGUCAGAGAAAAGCUGGUCAGCAUGAAGAAGAGCAUCAGGGGAUUGGGAAAUGGGAAAAUAGAAAUUGAAGUUCUGGUCUUCUUCCAGCGAUCUUCUUGAGUUCUGCAUCCUGUAAUCUAAUUCUUCGGAGAUGGCUUCAUGGGAACUGUCAAGAGAUGCUCUGAGGGCCGUCUCAAGACCUUGUAAGGAGGGAUUGACACUGGUCAACCAACUGCGAGAGAAACUUUCAAUGGCCAGAGUUUCUGGGGAUUCCAUGGAUUGUCAACAGCAGCAGCUAAAAUGAAAUUAAAAAGCACUAAUUCUUAUAUAUUAGUGGAGGGCCAAGAUUCAUGUGAUUGGCACAUUUAAAGUUACCACAGGCACAGACCAUGACGACCACAAGUGCAUGAAUUGUCUAUUCUAUCAAGGUCAAGCAGGAGACAAAUGGAACAAGAAAAUUUGAAGCUAGAGAGACGUCACUUGCUAUUUUGUUCUUCAUGAUUCCCUUAUCCAAUUUAAAAAUCAUUUUUAUUUAUUUUUCUCUUGAUCUGUCAUUAUAUUAUUUAAUACUUAUCCAUAAAAUCUUUUGCCAUUUUUUGGCAUAAAAAACACAGUACUGUUUCAGUUUCCUCCUCCUAGUGGCUACCCACAACAACUACUUUGUCCCUAAUCUCUCAACUAUUAACGUUUGAACCAAAGAUGUGUUCCAACUUCCAAGUGCCCAAGGCAAAGGGCCAAAGCCCAAGGGAUUCUUUGAAAAUCUUUUUUUUUUUUUUAAACUCCCUAUGAUAUUAUUUUUGACAAACACACUCUAAUUGUCUUAAUUUGGAAAACAGAGUCUUACUUUUAUUGUCUUAAUUUGGAUAACAGUCUUUUAUGGUUUGCUACGUUAGAUGUCUCCAUCUAUAAUCAAUCCAGUUUUUUUUUUUUUUUAUUAAUUUCAACUUUUAAAAAAUAAGAGGACACGCACAAUCUUUUUAUUAGUUUUAUUUUUAGAAAAAAAUAAUUAAAAUUUUGAAAAAAUAAAAGGAAAUUUGUUACACAUUUUGCCAACUUGAUAUAUAUUUAUAUCUAGAUUAUUUUUUGAAUUUUUUGUUUACAUUGGAAAUUAUUCUUCACUUCAUUUUAAAAAGACAAUUUUUUUAAAAAAAUAUUAUAUAUAUAUUUUUAUUUAGCUGAAUAUUUAUUUACUUGAUAAAAUUAUUGAUUUAUUGAUAAAAAAUUAUUGAUUUAAUUUUUUUUAUUUUUUAUUAGAAUUCUUUUCCAAUUUAUUUUUUAUAAGAAAAUUAUUUUAUGUGCAUGAGAUUUUAUAAUUUCUACAUUUUUUUUCUUUCCUGAUUUUUUCUUUGGUUUUUAAAAAUAAAAUACAAAAAGUAACUCAGCAUAAAUUAAUAAAAAAAUUAACAAUUUUUUUAUCUUUUCUUUUGUCCCUUUAAUAUAUAUAUAUAAAUUCGAAUUUUUGGCAUAACAUCUAUGAUUGGAUUAAAAAAAGCAGAGGCUUCAAACAAUUUUGUAAAGAAAAAGACACUUGAAUAAAGAACAAAAUUAAGACAGAUACAAAUUAAAUCAAGAAUAUUACGCAAUACAAACAUUUUGUUUAGAGUUAUUAAUAUUCAUAUAAUGAUAUAAAGAUAUAAAAUAGAUACGAAUUUGUUAAUAGCAACCAGAUUUGCAAUGACUCUCAUGUUAUCAUUUGAAAACAAUUUGAUUUUUUAUUUAUAGGAAAAGAACCAAAGGUUGUAUUCUAGAAACUCAUUUUUUUAAUGGUAUUCUAGAUGGCCCUUCUUUAUACAUUAAAAACUCUAAUGUUUUAGGUGGCGGCAGAAGCCUCAUAAUGGCUCCAAGAUCAUACUCUAACCUAUGGUAUGGCCUCUACUUUAAUCUAUCCGCAUGACAUCUUGAUCAUUAAAAAAGUUUUGAUUUUUCCAUUAAAAUGAAAAUCUAAAUGCAAGAAUGCAUAAAGACAGCAAUGUGCCUCCGAAUAUUUAAUAUAUGUUUAGAAAUUGAUGCUCAAAGUAUAGAGAAUUGUCCACUGCCCUCUCUUCAGAAACGAUGUUCUCAAAACAAAGAGAUAACAAAACUAUCAAUAAGCAAUGCGCGGCGAGGGACAACCACACCCUGACCAAAGCAGCUCCUAAAUAUUCUUACAUUUAAAGAACGUAUGAGAAGGUGAUUAAUCAAGAUGUCUAACAGUGUUUAUUUUCUGAUUUGUCUGCAUGUAGCAUCGUGUGAAAACAACACACAGAGCACAAUCUCCAUGGUCGACUUUGAUAGAGUACACGAUGAAAAUUGAUGGUGAAUAGGAUUCCCAUUUUCCAAACAAGAGUUUUAACUAUUUGAGAAGAAAGGAAAUGAGUAACUAAUACCCUUUGUAAAACAACUAGAAACACCAAGAGUGAUUCUUUGUGUGGCUGCGUCUGUAUCCUAGUUAAGAGGGCGGGAGGAAGAAAAGGGAUCGAGAGAUGUUCUUUCCAUGCAAUACCUGAAUCUUAACAUGUAAAUAUCCUUAGAAAGAGAUAAAAGCAAAAGUAGCAGUCAGGGGUCCCUAGCUAGCUGAUAGGAGGUAGAGAUAGAAUGUUUCAGGGACGAGCUACAUGAACAGAGAUGAAAAGGCGAUACAGAAGGAAAGGGUCCCCUACUUACUAUCUGAUGAUGCUGCAAUGUCUCAGACACAAACUAGAUGAAAUGACAUGAAAACUGAUAAAGAGUGAAGGGGACUCUCCUCUCUGCUCUCUUGAAAAACAGCACAACUAAAGCAACUGAUCCACACGCAUUAACUUGAGAAACCUAGCUAGCUUCUUUCGUGUCACUGUACACUGCCUCAAGUUUCCUUCCAUUAAUUCAAUCAUGCAAGUAACUGUAAACUAAUGCAUUUAUGCAAAAGCUAGCUCAUUUAAGUAAUAGUAAUUAACUAAUUGAAACCAUCACUUUAAUGCCUCUGGCUUGACAUGAUUCUAUGACAGAGCUUGAGGUUGUUCGCCCUUUACAAAUAGAUUGCAAUGACCAGCAAGUUUUAUAAUGGGAUUAGGACCGCUGCCAAAACCUGACAGAAAAUCAAUACUCACAAACUUGACUCCUGAGGCACGAAUCUCUAACAAGCUGCCCGCAUUUCCAUUCAGACCCCAUUCCAAUAAAUGGCAAUGCCAAUUGCCACCAGCAUUUGAACCAGUAGCUAGCAUUAGCAUUACUAGACAUGAUGGAACGGCAUAGAAGUUUUAAAGCAAGGCAUUGUUCGAAAAUAACAGAAUCCUGUACUCAGAGCAAUCACAUCCUGCUACUAUAAAAGAAACGGUCCUCCAGAACAAUGCAGUGCAAUAGCGGUAAUGUGAAAAAUAAUAAAAUGAAAAUCAUGUCCAGAUCAGAUUGAAAAUAUGAGUAAGAUGUGGCUAUGUGCUGAUUGGAGAAUUUGGGUCACUGUAUGUUCUUUUGAUUUUUUAGUAAGAAAAGGCAUGCAUGUUGGAAAACCAAAUUUAAGUGGACACUUAUUUACAAGUUAGUCAAGUAGUAGUGAAAUAAAGAGCAAAUAUUUUCAGAGAUUAUAAAUCUAACAAAUACCACUGUAGCAUUUAUUUACGAAGAAUAUAUGAAGAUUACAUACAUCGAACAUAAACUAGUAGGAACUGAGUCACCACAGACACGAGAUGUUGAUACAAGACCAUCGAAGAUUUUUAGACAUCGGCCUUGAUGGAAGAGCUGUAUCCACUUUGAUCAUCAUAGUACUUAGACCACAGCAUCACACCGCCAUACUUAUCAGACCCCUUGAUGGCUGGAAGCACAUUGGAAGUUAAAUCAGGUACAGGAAUGAAGCCACUUCCUGCUGCCUCAGGAGAAGCAGGUAAUCCUAGGAAAAACACAGUGGCUGGAAUGUCUGAAACCCAUAGCUUCCAUGCAUCUUCGAGAUUGGUAAUGUCACCGGAUGUGUACUGACAAGGAGGGUUGUUGUAGAAUUGGACCCAAACAUAGUCAAAAAGACCUGUUUUGAGGGCAUUUCCUACAGACGCAUCAGGAAAUGGGCACUGGGGUGCUGCCGUUAGGUACACCUUUUUUCCUUGAUUGCUGUAUGCUGAAAGGUACCUUGCAAGAUCAUCCCAGUACAGGUCUGUUCCUCCUUCAAUAUCAAAGUCAACUCCAUCUAGAACAGCAGGGCCGAGCGGACGAAAUGAAGAUUGUCCACCCAAGAAGUUGUUCCAGAUAUAAGUGGCGACUUGUCUUGCGUCAUCAGAGGAGGCCAGGGAGUAGCUUCCGGAACCUCCUCCGAUAGAAAGCAUCAGCUUAAUUCCUUUGGAUUGACAUGAUUCUAUGUCAGAGCUUAAGCCUGUGCAACCUUUACUGUAUGGAUCGCAGUGACCGGCAAGGUUCAUCAUGGGGUUACGACCGCUACCAAAACUGGAAAGAAAAGCAAUGUUAACAAACUCAUAUAAUCCUGUGGCACAAGUCUCUGCCAAGGUACCCUCAUUUCCAUUCUGGCCCCAAUAAAUAGUGAUGCCACCUGCAUUUGAACCCGUUGCUAGCAGUAACAUUACUAAGACGAGGAAUGGCAUUGAAGUUGUUGUUAGUACUGCCAUUUUAAGGUAGUUACCAAGUCUUUAUAUGAUGAUAAGUCUAUUCUACUUCUUUGUUAAGGAUUCUGGAUAGCCAUGGCUUUUUAUAGCAAAAACUUUCCCCUCUUCUAAUAAUCAUAUUUUGUGCCUAUGCUUAAACGGAGUGCCGUGACAGUUGCCCAUUAUUUUGUAGUGAGGUUUUGAAAUUUCAAUGAAUGGUUCUGAUAUCGAACAGUGGUUAAUUUAUUUAUCUCUCCACGCCACUUUGCAUUUCGUCCAUUUCCUCCUUUGUCCUGGUUGCUUGCUCAAAAUAUAGUGGUAGACGGAGAGAAGUGGCCAUCAACUCCAAGUCUCCAUCUUGACUGCUAUAAUGAUACAGGCACAAACCAUUGUUUGAUUUCUCUUGUUUAGUCUGUUUCCAAUUCAUUAUCUUGGAAAGGACGGGAGUGCUUAUGCCGAAUGGUUUGAAUCCUAGACAACAGUUAUUCAUGCUCAGAUGGAAUGAGUAUUUGUCUUCAUGCAUGGUAACUUUGCUUAUAAAACAAGAAUGGAGUCUUCUUUGUGCAUUCACUGUGAAUAUCUUCUUGUUUAUUGAUGGUUUUUUUGGGUGACGAUCCAGCUUUAGUGGAAAACCAAGGGUUAUCUGGUGCUCAAGGAAAUUAGGGAGUAAAUUGAUAAUUAUUUCUCCUGUGAUACAGACGAAUUUUCUGGUCCAAUAAGCUCAAUCCAGCAAAACAAAACCAAAAUCUUUUAUAUGUAGCUCUUAUUCUAUGAGCACAACACAACUGACAAAAGGAUUACAGCAUAUUAUCCUAAGAGAAGUUAUUGAGAUAACGUUCUAUAAAAUAUGAAAUUCAUACUGUCUCGUAGUGAACUAUACCAAGCAUGACAAAAGAGAAAACAAGGACAAAAUAUUGAAGCCCGCACGAGUGCAACAUUUUCGCAAUUCCUAUACUUUAGUAACUUCCUGGUAUACUGCAGCAAUAAACAUUGAUUUAAUAGCAGAAGAGGCCAACAAUUUAAGACACGUUAGAGGCAAACGAAGGCUAACAGGCAUGCAGAUUUUUUCAAAGCGGAUAUUUUCAAGCUUAAAAAACUCCGUCUGCGUGGAAGUAUGAAGCAGGGGAACUUAGGAGAUGUAACUGUUAAGGCAAGGCAUCGUUAGAAUACAAAAACCCCUGCAGCCAGAGCAAUCGUAUCCUUCUACUAUAAAAGCAAUUCUCCUACAGCACAAUGCAAUGCAUUCUGAAUUAGUACAAUUCCAAGUGGGCAGCAAAAGUAGAUUAAGAUGGCAUUUCAACCAGCAACUACAUUAUCAGUUGCCGCAUUAGUAUUGCUAAUUUUAGCAACAGGAUCUGAUGCUGGUGGAAUAGCAAUCUACUGGGGUCAGAACGGAAACGAGGGAACCCUGGCAGAUACUUGUGCAACUGGAAACUACCAAUAUGUAAACCUGGCCUUCCUCGUGACUUUCGGAAAUGGCCAGACGCCCAUGAUUAACCUUGCUGGGCAUUGCGAUCCAUACAGCAAUGGCUGCACAAGCUUGAGUUCUGACAUUAAAUCAUGCCAAGCCCAAGGUGUUAAGGUGAUGCUUUCUAUAGGAGGAGCUUCUGGUAGCUACUCCCUCGCCUCCUCAGAGGACGCGAGGCAAGUCGCUACUUAUCUGUGGAACAAUUUCUUGGGGGGUCACUCUUCAUCCCGUCCCCUGGGGUCUGCUGUCCUAGAUGGGAUUGACUUUGACAUCGAAGGAGGAACAGGAUUGUACUGGGAUGACCUUGCAAGGUACCUUUCUGCUUAUAGCAAUAAAGGUAAAAGGGUGCACUUAACAGCAGCUCCCCAGUGCCCCUUCCCUGAUGCUUGGGUGGGAAAUGCCCUGAAAACCGGUCUUUUCGAUUACGUUUGGGUCCAAUUCUACAACAACCCUCCUUGCCAAUACGCUUCUGGGGAGGUCACCAAUCUGGAGGAUGCUUGGAAGCAAUGGACUUCAGCCAUUCCAGCCAGCAAGAUUUUCUUGGGUUUGCCCGCAUCUCCUGCGGCAGCAGGCAGCGGCUUCAUUCCCGUGCCUGAUCUCACAUCAAACGUGCUUCCAUCCAUCAAGGACUCUUCCAAGUAUGGGGGUGUAAUGCUGUGGUCCAAGUAUUACGAUGAUCAAAGCGGAUAUAGUUCUUCCAUUAAGAAUGAUGUCUGAUCUCACAUUUCUGUCAAUUCCGCGUGCCUGUAUGCGUGAUGUGUAUCGGUUGUAUUUCCAGAUAUUCUGAUCUAUCUUCUAUAUAUGUAUCUUCGGAGUAUAAAUUUGAUUUAUGCUCACUAGUUUCUUACAUGCGGCUCUCUUCAUGGUCUUGUAGUUUUUAACUACUACUUAUGCCAUGAACAAACCUGGCCAAAAUUUUAACAACUGGAACUUCGAAAACGAUAAAACUGAUGCAGAACAAUGCCAAUCUAAUCAAAAUCAACAUUUCAUCUCACAUACAAGCGUAGGCAUUAUGCUAUGGAUCCAGGUAAACAAAAAAUUGAAAUUGUAGAAGAGAAUUAGCAUCACAAAAAGGAUGGCCACCCUUAUUGCUCAAAUCAGACACGGGUCAAUACGGCUAAACCACAUACUAGUAAAGUGCGGCUGUACGAUAUAAGUAAAUUCAAGCAUUCUUCCAACCUUUUCAACUGGUAUUAAACUGCUAAUCUCCUAACCUGCGGGUCAACCUGCCCAACCCACCACUAGGCCUUGAGCUGACAAACCCAUGUGAAUAGUUGACAAAAAUUUGGAUGCAAAUUUGGUGGAAAAGUUUUAGGACCAACCAACCCCACGUUCUUUGUGGUCAUUACUAAACAAUGGUUUGUAUGGACAAGCGUAAAACAAGAUGCAAGUACAUAAUAUCAGGGAAUGAAAUUAUGUCCCUUCCAUAACCCUCUCUUGACCUGCUAUGCUGCAGCUUGGACCUAGCCAAUGUGCCUAUCAAAAUUAAUCUGGAUGAAUUCGAGGCAGAAGCUCUCGUUCUUAGAUGAAUUCUAAGUGUGAUCAGCAACCAUUUUUUUCUAAGAAAGGUUGCAGUAUAAAUAGAUUCAAGAACGGGUUUAAUAUAAUUUAUUUUCUUUCUUGUAUUGAAUUUCAAAUGGGAGGAGAGAAAGAACUAAUGAACUUCAACACAAAAGUCUAGGGGUUGAUUUUGAAGAAGUUAAGCUUGUAAAAUAUUCAUAAUUUUGGUGCUUUCUGUUUGUUCUUUUCUGCUACUUUAUCAUAACAGGGCCCAACACAAGUGUAAAACAAUCAGGGGCAUCAUUACAAGUGUGUUUGGUUUACUAAAAAUAUCAAUAUUCAUGAGCUAUGACAGCAGGGGAAUAUUUUUCUCAAGAAACAAUAAGAAAAGAAAAAGGAAAGAUUAAUUAAUCUCCUUCUGAUCAAAGAAUCUGUAAAACUUCUGUAACAGCUAAACAAGAAAUAUACUUCCAAUAAUAGCGAGUUUUUAUAUAAAGCAUGAUCAGAACGCCAAUACCAGUACAAACCCUGUUAAUUAAAGGUUAAAAUUUCGAGGAAAAAAAGCCCAAGAAAAUAAAAUUUCCAAAUUACACUAUGAAACAAAAUAUGUAAAGAGCAAAGAGAUUCAAAUUAAACAAGAAACUGUAAUCGCUGGGCCUUGAUAAGCCUUCAUGAAAUGUCGACCUUCAUCCGUGAGUAUUAACAGCUUCCCACAGCAUAUUUUUCGGAACAGGGUUGGCCAGGUCCCUAGCCUGCAGAGCGACAUUCCUGAGUUUCCUGAUUGUCCACACGUUGGCUUCCCAGAAGGACAAGCUCCUGUAAGAUAAAUUGUGCUUCUUGCACAGAUCCUGUACCAAUGGUGAAACUCUUCUCAAUU